rnacentral:lncRNA from 1 species
CCACGUGAAGACCAUGGGUUGUCUGAACAAGAAGUCCAGCAGGAACAACCUCGACAGCAGGCACAGCCUCGACAGCAACCUUCUCGACAACAACCUUCUCGGGAUCCUAGACAGCAACCUUCUCGACAACAGGAACCUCGACAACAACCUUCUCGGGAUCCUAGACAGCAACCUCCUGAACAAGUGGAUCCUCCAGGAUCUCCACUUCAUCACUCUCAGGCUCAGUCUCAUCCAUCAUCUCAAGGGAAUAAUUUCCAGGAUACUUUAGAACCAAUGUUGCCGGAGCUACAGGAGGACACAAUGAGGGAUCUAAAUGCCUUGCUUCUGGUGCCAAACCGCGAGAAGUUUACCACCGUCCUCUCUCCAACACCGCUGCCAACCCGAUAGCUUGGACUUUAGCCUAUCCUUCAAAUAAUCAAGCAUGUCAACUUUUGACCCCACUAAAACACUCGGGUAACCCAAGGUAUGUCCCCGCGCCAUCCUCAGUUGCAAUUCCUAAGCACUUUUGAAUACUCACUUUAUCUGCAGCCCCUACCUUUGCUCCAAAAGUAAUAGAAGACUUACUAAGGUUAAUAGUCUGACCAGUCGCAUUGCCAUAUGUUCUCAAAAUAUUCUGUAGGACCAGGCUCUGAUCAAGAGAAGCUUUACAAAGGAAAAGAGAAUCAUCCACAAAAAGCAAUUGAUGGACAGCCGGCCCAUCAGGGCUGAAUUGAAUGCCUUCUAACUUUUCUUCACUUUGAGCUUUGUUCAGUAAGUAUGACAAACCUUCAGUACAUAGCACAAAAAGAAAAGGUGAUAAGGGAUCACCUUGCCUUAAUCCUCUCGGUGGAAUGAUCAUACCAAAAGGGUUAUCAUUAAUGAGCAUUGAGUACUUCACUGUUGACACACAAGUCAUAAUCCAAGAAACCCAUUUGAUAUCAAAAUCUAACGCAAUAAGUAACGAUCUCAAAUAGCACCAUUCCACUCUGUCAUAUGCUUUUGACAUGUCUGACUUAACCGCCAUGAACUCAGAAGAAAUCAGUGGAUGAACCCUGAGACUAUGAACCAAUUCAUGAGCCACUAAAAUGUUGUCAGUGAUAAGUCUUUCAGAGACGAAUGCAGAUUGCGUAUCAGACACAAUUAGAGGCAGGAAAGGCUGAACUCUCUUCACAAUAAUCUUGGAAAUGAUUUUGUAAAGGACCAAACACAAGCUAAUUGGUCAUAAGUUUGACAUCUCAGUAGGAUGAUGAGUCUUUGGAAUCAAACACAGAUGCGUAUAGUUCCAUUCAGCUGGAAGCACACCUUCAACAAAAAACUUUUGGACUUCAGCAAUAACUUGAGGACCAACGAUACUCUAGUAAUUCUGGAAAAACAUUAUAGACAUCCCAUCAGGACCUGGAGCUGUAGAAGGUUUAAUAGAGAAAGUUGCCUCUUUUAUUUCCUCAUCACUAACUGUUUUAAUAAGUUCAGCAUUCAUGAGAUCAGAAACACGCGGUGCCAUUCCAGCAAACCAAUCAUGAAAGCUAGCGGGAAUUGAAGAAGUAAAGAGAGACUGAAAAUAGGCAGCAGCCACCUCUCCUUUUGCUGCUUCAGACUCCUGCAUGUUGCCAUUGACAUCCUUCAGUCUUUCAAUUCGCUUCCUUUGUCUAUUUUCUUUCACCGCAGCAUGGAAGUAUUUAAUUAGAGUUGCGAUUUCCACUCCUUAACCAUUUUUGCCUGCUUUUCUAGUUUCCAAUAGGAUUCCUCCUCUCUAUAGGCCCUGGCCAAAUCCCGUUUUAAAAGAAACAGUUUCUGGAUAUUAGGCCAACAAUCAGAUUGCUCUUUCUCUAGAGCCACCUCUAGUUGCUGAAUCGUGUCCUGAGAAUUCAAGGAGUUCUUUUUUUCCAAGCACUUAAAGCUUUCCUGCAAACUCUAAGUCUUUCUGCAACAGAGAUAUUAAAACCAGAAUAUCUAGGCAUCCAAGCCUUUGCAAUUGCAUCACGCACCUCAGCCUUGUGCAAGAACCUCUUAUCAAACCUAAACUACCCUUUGUAAGAGUCUUGAGAAGUCAUCAGCUUGACAAGAACAGGUCUGUGGUCUGAACCUCUGAUGUCCUAAAAACUUUGAUUAGAAACCGGGAAGGUCUUAAACCAGUCAUCCUUACCAAAAGCUUUGUCCAGUCGACAUUGGAUCCAAUGAUCACCUCUCCUGCCAGCCCAAGUGAACUUGUUUCAUUACUAGGCAUCUCAACCAGCCCACAAACUCUGAUCAUCUCAAUAAAGUCUUUGGAAUCAUUGUCUGAUCUUCUAGGUCCUCCCAGGUUUUCACCAUUAUGCAUUAGCUCAUUAAAAUCACCCAAGACACAUCAUCUAUCUCUUCUACCAACACCAAUUCUGGAAAGCCUUUCCCAAACCACUGAUCUCUUGCUUCUAUCUGGAUCUCCAUAUACACAUGACACAAAAAAGUUGGCAGCUCCAAGUUGAACUUGAGCAUCCAACAGAUUUUUUAUCAAAAAACUUAAAGUCUACCUUUACACUACUCUUCCAAAAGACAGCAAGACCGCCACAUCUUCCAAUCAGGUCCACUGUAAAAACUUGAUCAUACCCCAGCCAUACUUGUAAAUUUACCAAGACAUUUCUCUUAUGCAUCGUUUCCAUCAAGAACAAUAUCUCAGGGAAGUGUUUUUUACGCAACUCCUUGAGACGAGGAAUUGUCAAUUCAUGAGACCGUUCCAAUCCUUGACAAUUCCAGCUUAAUAUGCUCAUUGGGCAUUAGACAAACCCCCCCCCCCUUUGGGUUCACCUCUUGAGGAUUAAGCUUUGUCGAUUUUACAGUGCUUGUACCCUCAUCAACUGCUUUUCUUUUGUCUUUAAAACCCUUCUCAGCUCCCAUACUAACAUAUACCCGCAGCUCUUGAAGAUUUGGAUCCAAUGGUCUCGGCUUUCAGACAUUUUUAGUAGGACGCUUCCUUUGUUUGUUCUUUGCCUUUUUCGGAACAAUCCCGGAAGAUCCUACCACAAAAGGGUUAGAUCCAUAAACCGUUGGAUUGUUUUGAAAGGGCUGAGACAGAGCUAAAAAGCUACCAGAUCCCUCCAAAGAAGAAGAAGACCCAUGUCCCAAACUCCACAGACUAUCAGCACUAGAACUGCUAGCCCCAACAACAACCAACGCAUCCUUUUCCAUCAAAACACCAUCACAAGAGGGAGCAGAAGGAAAAUCGUAACCAAAAACUAAACCUUUGCUUUUGUUGACAUUUUGAUGAAAAAUAGGAGAAGGCUCCAGCCUCAGAAUAGAUUUUGCAGCCAUAGGAUCUUUCUCCACAUCUCUAACAGAAAGUCUAACCUUGUCAGCUCUAAGCAAUCUUUCUUCAUCACUUGCUACUCGCAUGUACUGCCUCAUACCUUCAAGCACCUCCGCUAAUUCUUUGUCUACCAGUAACCGGGUCAAUACCAACUUGGUCUUCAUUCAGAAUCCCAAACAAUGGAUCUGAUUCAUUCAGCACCAGCAGCUUCUUUGGCUUUAAAACAGGAAGACCGGCCCUUCUAGCAUCAGAAGAGUCUUGUCUUCUCUUAAUAAGAACUGGGCAGAAAUCUUUCUCAUGAGUCAUUCUCUGACACUCAUAACAUCUUUUCUGCACUCUUUCAUACUCAAAAAACACGUUAGCUGUACCACCUUUAGGAGAUUGACAACCUUUGAUCUUUGUAGCGGCCUAGAGACAUCGAAAACCACCUUAACCCUCACAUAAUCUUCUAUUUGAGACUAUGUAGUGUCAAAAGCAACUACACGCCCAAUCGGUUCACCCAAAGCCGUAAUCGCUUGCUCAGUGUAGUAAUUUAUUGGCAGGUUCCAAAUCCGAAUCCAAAUCGGUGUAAACUGCAGAUAAUCAUCGGGUGGAUUUUCAUACCAUCUAUCCACCACAGACCAUUCAUUGAAACUAUGAAUCCCUUUUUCUAGAACCUCUUCUAGAUCGUGCUCAGAAUUGAAAAAGAAUUGAAAUUUCUCCUUAGAGAGAGCAACUUCUCUAACCCUUCCCAACUUUUUCCAUUUACGGGGAAGAUUACGAACCAAAUUCUUCAUCGGUUGACAUUCAGGAUUUAGAGUCCGACCAACCAAGCUCAAAACGUUUUCUUUGCAGGAAGAAAAACUUGGCAAGUCAGGCAAAUUAAAUGGGACAUCCUCCUCUUCUAGAGAAAUCGCCAUCAGAGCUUUGUCCAUAGCUGAAGACAUAGCUACCAAGGAUAGGAAAAACCAGCAAACGAAAAACUGGGAGGUAAUAUAAACUUUAGGACCAACUUUUUGCCGCAAACGAGAAACAUAUCGAGAAAAUUGAGUCGACUCGGGAAGAAAACCGUGAACCAGAGUCACAAAGACACGAGCUUUUAGAAAACAAACCCAAUCAUCUGUAGAACCUUCAGGGAGACCGAGAGACAAAACCAGCACCUGAGAAUCUGAAAACUACACGGAGCUGCAGACCAAACAAAAGACGAAAACGAGCAACAGAUCUAGAGCUUGUCUGAACAGAGCACACGACGCAACCCGCUUCUCGGGAAGAAAUUGAGGACAGGAGAAUCGAAGACUCAAGCUUAUCGGGAAGAAACUCAACUCAAACACUAGAACCUUAAGAGAAACAAGACAUAAACGGCUACACAAGAGCAAAACAGGUUGAAAUCGUCGAAAGAGAUAAAGUUUUAAUCUGGUCAAAGCUCUUCUAACCUAAUGAAAGACACUGGUUCAGAAAGAGAGUCUUAAGCCCAAAAGAGGGGAGCAUUUUGUUUUUCUUCUUAUAGCCAAUCCCUUUCAUCUAUGGCAGGGUACAAAACUAAUAUAUAUUAUUUAUUUUAGGUUGCUUAGAUUUUUUUUUAAUAAGGUGUCAACUUCUAACAAUAGUACAACACCAAAAAGCUGAUGUGGCAGACUAUAAAGAUUUUGCUUUGUUUUUAUUGUAUUAACUAGAUUUUAACCCGCGGUACACCGCGGGAUGAUUUAAUUUUAAAGUUAGUAUAAAAAUAUUUUAUAAAUUGUAUAUCCUUAUAACAUAUUAUUUAUAUUAUAGUUUACAAUUGUUAUUAAGUAACGGUAUACCACGAAUCCACGAGACAAUUAUUAAAAAACUAAGGAUUUAAUCCGUAUUAAAGCGGUAUAUAAAUAUUGAUUCAAAUUCGUCUGCCAUAUAAAUCCUUUCCGCAAUAUAAUCCGUUCUGUAAUUUCUUAACCCGUCCCGUGAUUUGUUUUUAUUUUAAAAUUUAAUGAUUAUUUAUUAUAUAUAAAAGUUUACAAAUCAUAUCACCCUCUAAGACCACGGGACAUUGUACAACGGAACAAUUUUUGGUUUUAUACAAUCUUUUCUAAAUGAGACUGAUUUAAUAUUUCUAAUAUUUGUGGUAUUAAAAAAAAGGAUUUAAUCCGUAUUAAAGCGGCGGAUUAAUGAUAUUUUAAUCUUUUUAUUAUUGUUGAUUCAAAAACCCGUCCCGCCAAACCCGUAUGGCCAAAAAACUCAUUUAUUUUAUUAAUGUUCUUAUUUAUGAUAUGAUUCUGAAUCAUUGUCUAAAUAUUUUAAUCGAUGUUGAACGUUGAACACAUAUUUCCGUCAAUUAGAUAAUAUAUGUCCGUUUUUAAAAUUUCGAAUCACAGUAUAUGUAGAAAAAAAAUUGAUUUUUUUUUACUUUAUGUAUUAUAUGAUGAUUCAAAACAGUUAAAAACAAAUCAAACAAAGAUGAUAGGAGAAUCAUAAUUAUAAAUCUUAAUCAGAUCUUCUAAAUAUCUAAAUUAUUUAAUAUGGAAUAUCCGGUGUAUGAGUUGGGUUAAAUAUAACCCGACCCAACAAAUUUUUUGUGAAGGAAUUUUAAAAACAGGUCGGGUAUCCGAUAUACCCGAAAGCAUUUUUACCCACCCGUCACCAAAGUGUUGCAAAAAAUACUAGUAUAGAUUUAGAUGAUAAGUUUCAUUCGGUUAUGGCUAUGAUAAAUAACAAACUGAGAAAACUGAACCAUGAUUUUUAGUAUUCAGGUUAAUUUUGGUUCUCUCAACUGAACUGAUCAAUAAGCUUUAAUUUAGCAUCAGGUACCCGAUAAUUUUGGUAUUGUUCGGUAGACUAAUCGGUUUUUCAAGUAGUUGGUUUCUUUUUAACCGGAUUGUACCAAAAUUAGACCGAUUUUCACCAAUACCCAAACCAAACGGAAUAAAACAAAAUUACCGAAUCUAGCCAAAAAUAACCGAAUUAACAAGAAUUUUUAUUUAAAAAAAUUGGUUAUUUUCGAUUUCCAAAAAUUAACGAGAGUCUAACUGAACCAAAUUUAGUUUUGGUUAAUUUCGGUAUUUCUCUAAAAAAAAUUUCGGUUAACUGAACUAACCGAUCCGAACCGACUCGAAAAUCGAAUUCCUAGAGUUAAUUAAUAUUGUUGGGGGUUAACAGACUUCUCAGGUAGAACUUGAAGGCAUGUUGAGUCAUCACGAGCACAAUGGGAGAAACUGUACCCACUAAGUAUUGACCCUACGACUACCCUAACUGCACUCGAGUGUUUGAUAGUAGGAUUUUACUAUCUCUCAAUUACCCUAGAGUACUUAUCAUAUCAUUGUAGUACUUGAUAGUAGGAUUUUUUACUAGUUCUCAAUUCCUUAAAGCAUUAUCAUGUCAUUGCAGUAUUUAAGGUGUCAAUCCAAUCAGGUGUGAAGUUAACAAUCAAGAUGUGAUCAAAGGUCACUAAGUCAAGCCAAGCAGAAAUAGGUUUGGUUUUCUAACAGUCCUAAGAGGUCAUGCAGGAAGCAAAUAAACUGCUAAAAAUCAAGUAUGCUCGAUCGCCAAGAACUAGUGCUAGUGAGGAGUGUGCGAUCGAGUAUUCAAGGCAGAAAAGGAGAAAUAUCAAAACUUAACAGCGGAUAUCAGAGCAGGUAAAUAAGAAGAUAAGUAAACAGAGAAAUCAAAUAGAUAAGAAAUUCCUAAGGAUGGGGUAAUCGAAUAGAGUGGUCUCCUUAGCCUAUUCAGAUGGUUAACAAAACGCAAUCAAACUAUCCCUAGACAACAGGUUCAACAACAGAUCAAUUCACUACCGUUAUAGAAAUCCUUAGACAAAGCUAGUUCGAGACCGAAUUCCCAUUAGUAAAAUCUAACUAUGCAUGCAAUAAGAUUCAACCUAUUAAAGCCAAUACACGCUUUAAACAACCAAUCUCUUGGGAUAAAGACAAAUAUCUCUAGAAUUAGUGGAUCAUGCAUUCCCUCAAACACUUUUUGAGUGCGGGAAUGCCUGAGUUCGGAGUCCGGUUGAUCAGACAGAAAUAAGCAGUAAGCACAACUAAUCCAAAAGGGAUUCAAUCAAUUCUACACUUAACCAUCUAAAAGACUAAGGAUCCAACAAAUUUUGUAUUUCAUCCUCAAGAAUUCUAAUCACUACUCAAACAAUAUACUAAAAGACAUAAACUCGGAUUUCAUUGAAACUUGCAUAGCUUAAAGAACAGAGAAAGCGAAACAGAAAUGUAGAAGAAAUCGAAUGCAAAAUCUCAAUAACUUAGAAGAAAUUUGAAUUAGAAACUUGUAGAAAGAAAAAGUGUUUGCGGCUCAAACGUUGAUAAAAAGCUAGAUAAAAAAUCGAUGCCUCACGUAACACCCUUAGAGGUUUAUUUAUAGCAAAAACUAGGGAGCCCGAGAAUCAAAAAAGGGAAAGUGAUAAAAGAAGCGGUUUGUAAAUCCACUCGACCGGCCCAUCGAGUAAGUGGAUCGAGUAGAUGAUGUGCCAAAAUGGGCUCCACGAUUCAAUUUUGACUGUCGGUCAUACGCAAUUAAUUCAUAAAUCAUUAUAUAGAAUUAAUUAUUAUUAACUAAAAUUUAAAAAUAUAUAUAUAUAUAUAUAUAUAUAUAUAUAAUCAAACUUUUAAAUUGACUCAAAUUAUAUGCUAUUAAAUAAAAUAUUAUUAAAAAUAACAAAAUUUCACGGGACGGGGUUAUAACAAAAUUAUAUGUUUAAUUUCACGGGACGGGGUUAUAUAGUGGGACGAGUUUGGAUCGAUAUUAAUACGGGACGGUAUUAAUAUCAUAGAUGAAAUCUUAAAAUUAACAAUCAAAAUACAAUUAUACAAUCUUAAACACUUGACAAAAUAAACAAUAUUAAAAAUACAAUUUAAAAUUUAUUUUUUAGUUAAAAAAUCGACCCGCAGUGUACCGCGGGAUAAAAUCUAGUGUUAUUUAUUUUCCAAUGAUUCCCAAUUAAUAGUAUAGAUUAUUACUUUUAUAAUUUAUAAUAUAAUAUAAUAUUCAACAGUUUUUAUCUUAUUUCUCCAAUUUCUCUUAUACUAGAUUUUGUACCCGCGCAUUGCGCGGGAUUUUAAUUUUUAAAAUUUCUUUUACUAAUAGUAAAUUUGAGCAUAAAAUAAUGUGAAUAUACCCAGUUUUAUGAACAUUAUUUAGUGUAAAAUACAUCUAUAAUAUCAUGUUACUAGAACCGUUUGAGCAAAGCUUUUUUUACCCACUGAAGCAAGUGCAUGGUGCCAUAAGAGAAUUCUCGACUAAGUUAUCAAUGUGCCUAUUUUAUCUAACUUCUUAUGAUUACACGACCAAACGGUUAAUCCCAACUUUGAAUCUAAUAAUCUGUUUAAUAAUGUGUGUCAUGUAUUUUUUAAAAAACUCAUUCGUUUCACGCAAUGCAUGGGAUCUCAAAGAAUUUGACCUUAUUCAUGUGCAUUAUAUUUCUAAGCUUUAGAAAUUUAUUUUCAAACACUUUUAACUACCAAUUCUUUCGUCAUCUUCUAUGAUGCAAUUGUUGACUCUCGACAUAUACUUUCUUUUCACCUUCUAUUGACUCAUAUAUUAUAUAUAUUGGACUAUAAAUUAAUUUUCAAGACAGAUCAUUAACUAUUUUCUCCUUAAUUACUAUCUUUCAAUACUCAAAUUUUUGGGUUAAAAGCAUUUGAUUCAAUUGAUGAAAUAUCAAUCUUGUUUUUCUUUUUGAUCAUGUUGUAAAGUUGUAGUUGCACUUGAGAAUAUGCUAUACAAAUUACAUAUCACUUUUUUAAUGGCUUAUAUUUCAUUUUCUGUAUAGUUUGUGUAGAACUCAUGAAUAAUGUGAUUCAUAAAUUAGAGUUGAGUUUAGUAAUCUUUUAUUUUUCUUUAAGUAAAAAUUUAAUACUAAAUAAAAAUAUGUAGUAUAUUUAUUUAGAAACUAAUGGUUCACUUUAAAUUUUAUUUUCUUGUUUAAAAUCUUUUUUUUUUGUCAUCUGUUUAAAAUCUUACAUAUAGAAUUACAUAGAUUUUUUUUAUUCUACCAUGUAUUUAAAAUUUACUUCUAUUCUAAAACUCAUUAACACAUUUAAAGAUUUGAAGUAUGAUCAUUUGUAAUUUUUAUCUAUUAAAAGUGGAAGUAUAUUAUUACUACUAAUAAUAUUUUUGUAGUUUUUUUUAUUAUUUUAACAUCUCAUUUAUUUUACAUAAUUCGUUUUUUAUUUAUUUAUUUAUUUUUUAUUAAUUAUAAGGAACAUAAAUAUGCACUAAAUGAAUGUUUAAAGUGUAUUUUAAUGUAAAAUAAACAGUAUUGCUUAGGUGGAUGCUUAGGUGGAUAGGUUAGAUGGAGAGAUCUCCCAUUAUAUAUAUAUAUAUAUUUUUUUUCUCUAAGUCUUAUAUUAUUGCAUCACUUUCCAAAAAGGUACAACAGUGGAAACAUCCACCACAUAACUUAAGAGUUGCUGAAAUAUUACAAACUUUGGAUUAUCAAACGAAAAUUGAUAAUCUCUUAAGAAACUGCGAGAAUUUAAAAGCACAAACUAAGACAUUGAACUAAUUCAUAAGCAGAAGCUUAGAACAGCCAAAAUGCUUAGUUUGUCAAAAGUUAACAGUUGUAUUCUUGCACGUUAAGAGUUGUAUUCUUGCGCAAAGAUACUGCAAGAGCCAAAAAGCCUUUGCUUGAAACCUGCAAUAUAUUCAAAAAGUGUGACAGAAAUUGCAGAGUGUUUUAACGCUUCUUUGGAGGCAUCUGAUUCCCUCCUUUCUUAUAUUCUUGACCUUUGGAACUUUCUCCAACUUCGAAUUGCUUAGAGAUUGGUGAGAUGGCUUCAUUCACGGAGUGUGAAGAGCUGCUAGAUCCAUCUGAUGAGUAACGCCUUGAAGGAUACUGUGGAAUUGGCUUGUCCAAGUGUCUCACAUUUUGAAAACUUGAUGAUUGAAAAUGUGGACAAGCAGCUUCUAAUUCUUCAGUAUUCAGUGAUGGUCUAUUAACUCUUGGUGGUGGUGUAACAGCUCUUGGAUAUUGAGAGAUUGGAGCUGGAAUUUUGUGAUUGAGAGUUCAUAUCAGAUCUAUGAAACUCAUCAUUCAAACCAUCUCUGCAAUGACCAAUUCUUUCUGAUUCAGGAGCAUUAACCCUGUUCACUGGAAUUCUUGGAAGAAAAGGGCAAAACUCUCUAUGGUGAGUCAUUCUAAAACAGUUACUGCAAAGCCUUCUGAGUCUUUCAUAUUGAAAUCUGAUUAUUGCAGUUUCUCCUGAUCUAAAACUAAAACGACUAAAGAACCUAAGGCUGUCAGUGAUUUCAAACCUGAUCCUUACACGAAUGAAAGAUAUCUGAGUCGAUGUAGUUUCAUUAAACUCUGUUUCAACAAACUCACCUAGCACUUCUGCAAUAAGUCUAACGGUCAUAUUUGAGACAUAGGGUAAAGGGAUACCUCUAAACUGAACCCAUAGGUCUAUUGUUGUGAGAAAGUCAAUAUCUGGGAUAUCCUCCCACCUUUGCAUCGCAACAAACCAGUUGUUGAACACCCAUGGUUCCCUUCUUUGUAUGGAGAGUAAGUCAACUUCUGAUUGAAAGAGGAACUGAACAUAAGUUAGUAAGAGAGAAAGGAUUAAAGAAAACUAAAUUAUCUCAUCGUAAACACUAGCCAACAAAAAGAAGUUGAUUAGUUCAAUGAGAUAAAAGUAAAAACUUCAAGAAAAGGUAAGUCAAAGAAAUAAAAAAGAAAACUUUCACCAAAGGAAAUCAAAUUUCCAAAAACAACUGAUUAGUGGCAGCCCUCUCAGCGAUAAAUAAUGAUUCAAGCCACCUAGGAUGACUACUGGCAACGUAUGAUUGCAAUCUUGAACCUGUGAGCACACUAUUAGCUAUUUCAAAAGCAGGACGAUUAGCAGCAGGAUCUUCCAUUAGAGAAAACCAAUUCGGUUUGUCUUUUGUGAAACUUAAUAGUUCAGCAAUGUGUCCUGUAAUAGCUGGCCAAUCUUUGGGGUUGGUAAGAGCUUGAAUGAUUUCAAAAGAGGAAGCUCCAAAAGUGACAUGCUGCAGGUUAUGCCAUGACAUACUUUCUAAAGCCCAAUGCCAGCUUUUAACUUUGGCUUCAAAGAGGGAAUGUACCUGUGUGUAUGCCCUGCGACUAUGGAGCAAGACUAUACCAGAGGAAUCUCUCACCACCCAAGCUGCUCCAGAUAAAGCUCUUUUGCGAGAAAAAGCAUAACCAAUGUUGCAUUUUAACUCACCUGAUAUAGGAGGAUUCCAACUAUGAUUUGGAUUCGGUUUCUAAACUUCAUCCAAAUGUGAUUCAUUGUGAUGAGCUACCCACCAAUUAUUUCCAUCUUCAAAAGCUUUAGCCACAAUUUUAGUGGUCCAAUCACUUUGACCUUCAAACAUUGUUUUGUUCCUGUUUUUCCAUAAAAUCCAUAGAAUCCAAGGAUUGACAAAUCUUAUGUCUUGAGGAACAGUCUUGACUUGUGAGAACUGAACCAAAUGAUUGAUAUUGGUAAAGAUUGAGUUUCCAAAACCAUGCACCGGAAAUGGUAUAUUAGACAAAGCCCAAACUUGUCUAGCCAGUGGGCAUUGAAAUAAUAUGUGGUUUACUGUUUCAGUGUCUUCAUCACACAUCAAGCAACCAUCCUUUGCAAAUAUGCCUCUAGUUUUUAAUCUUUCCUCUACUGCCAGAGGUCCUUUUAAAGCUUUCCAGAUGAACACUUUGAUUUUCGGAGCUGUUUGAAUUUUCCAUACUUGCAUAAAGAGAGGACUUAAAGAUGGCUCUGUUUCAGCUUCUUUGAAAAGAUUAUGAUGCACUUUUCUGCUACUCAACUCAUAUCCUGAUUUCACUGUGUAUAGGCCAUGUCUGGUUUUUGACCAACAAAAAGAGUCUUUCUGAGAUACUGCAGGACGUUGACGAGAAAUGAUCUCAAUCUCAUCUAAAAGAAAUAACUCUUUAAGUCUAUCCCAAUUCCAAUUCCUAGUAUCUGAAUCUAUCAGAAUUUGAACUGUUAAGUUAAUAUUCAACAGAGAAUGAAGAGCAAGAGCUCUCCUUGGCUUUUCAUCAAAAAUCCAGUUAUCUAUCCAGACAUUAGUAUUUGCACCAUUGCCAAUAACUCUUUUCAAACCUUCUUUUAGUAAACUUCGACCAUGGAGAAUGCUUCUCCAAGCAUAUGACGGUCUAGUUCCAAAAGGAGCAUUUAGAAAAUCUGAAUUUUGAAAGUACCUGCUUUUGAAGACUUUAAAAAAACAGACUAUCCUUGUCAUGAAGCAAUCUCCAAGCCUGCUUAGCCAAUAAAGCCUGAUUAAAGCUUUGUAGAUCCCUGAAACCAAUUCCUCCAAGCAUUUUAGGCAUUGCCAACUUAACCAAUGGAUUUUCCUUGUAUCCUGAAGAUUGUUCCACCAGAAAUUCAUCAUAAUACUUGUUAAGCUUUUACAGAGACUAAUAGGUAGCUUGAAACAUGUCAUUGCGUAUACAGGUAAAGCCAUUGCUAUUGAUUUCAACAAGAUUUCUUUUCCACCUUGUGAUAGUGUUUUUGCAAACCAGCUUGACAUUCUAGUCUGAAGCCUGUCUUUAAUAAAGCCUAGAAGUUGUUGCUUGGAUCCACUCAAACAUUCUGGAAGGCCUAAAUAUUUUCAUCUGCCUCCUUCAGUCUUAAUACUAGAUCUCAUCUUGACCCAAUUCUUGAUUUCUGGAUUAACAUUGAUUCCAAAAGUGAUUGCUGACUUAUCCAAAUUUAUCAUUUGACCUGAUAAACGUUCAUAUUUAGAUAAGCAUAGCAAGAUCUCUUCACAUUCUUCUUUAUUAGCUUUACACAUUAAGAGUGUAUCAUCAGCAAAGAGAAUAUGAUUGAUAGAUGGACCUGCAUUAUUGAAUUGGAUUCCUUCAACUUUAUUUUCUCUUUUUGCUUGCUCAAGGAGAUGAAUCAAAGCUUCUGUACACAACACAAAGAGAAAGGGAGAUAGGGGAUCUCCUUGACGAAUGCCUCUUUCAGGUUUGAUAAAGCCAUAAGGAGUUCCAUUUAUCAAAACUGAGUAAGUGACUGAAGAUACACAACCCAUGAUCCAUGAAAUCCACUUUGAAUCAAAACCUUACGCAGUGAGAAUUCCUUUAAGAAAAGUCCAUUCUACUCUAUCAAAAGCCUUAGACAUAUCUGUUUUAAAGACCAUAAAAUCCGUAGACAUCUUCUCAUUAGUUCUCAAACUAUGCAUUAUUUCAUGAGCAAUCAGGAUGUUAUCAGAGACUAACCUCUUCUCCACGUAAGCUGAUUGUGUUGAUGAGACAAUGAAAGGGAGUUGGGUUUUGAGUCGGCUAGAAAGGAUUUUUGAGAUAAUUUUAUAUAGAAUAGAACAAAGGCUUAUUGGUCUAACCUCAGUCAUCUUCGUAGGAUUUGGAAUCUUUGGAAUGAGGCAAAUAUGAGUAUGAUUCCAUUCUUCAGGGAGCACACCUGUUUUGAAGAAACCCUGUAUUUCUGAAAUAACCUGAGUCUUCACCAGAGACCAAUAUUUCUGAAAAAAGAGAGCUGUAAAACCGUCUGGACCAGGAGCACUUUCACUGUUUAUUGAAAAAACUGCUCUGUAGAUCUCUUGCUCUGUGACUUCUUUUGUCAAUUCUGAAUUCAUUGAAAUUGAAACUCUAGGCUGCAAGUCUCCUAAGUAGUCAUUCACAUUGCAAGGAUUUGAUGACUGAAAGAGCUUUUCAAAGAAACUUGAGGCUAGCUGACCUUUCUCUCUAUUGAGAGAAUGUUCUAUUCCAUUGUCAUCCAUUAGAACAUUCAAGGCAUUUCUAAUUCUCUUGGAUUUAACAGUUGCGUGAAAGAAUUCUGUGUUUUUAUCUCCAUCCAGUAGCCAUUUUUCUGAACUUUUUUUGUCUCCAGAAACUUUCUUCUUCAUGAAAAGCAAUACCUAAUUGCUCCUUAAGCAUCCUUAUUCUCUCCCAACAAGGAAAUUGAAGACUCAUCUGAUAGUCUAAUUCUUUCCUUAAUCUCUGAAUUUUAUUUUUAGCAUUGUAUUCAGAGGACUGUUUCCAAUCAUGAAUAACUCUUCUACAUUGAGCUAUGCUAAAAAUAGAAGAAUGCUUACCUUUGGAAAUUUCACUGUUCCAGGAACUGUGAAUAGCAUUCCAGAGCAAAGGAUUAUCAGCCAUUCUUUUAUCAAAACGAAACUGUCCUCUAAAGAGCUCUUGAUCCUUAAUAAAUUUCACUAGAACAGGACGAUGAUCUGAUCCAAGCUUUUCGAGAAACCAUUGAUGAGAAUUGGGAAACAUUGAAAACCAAGCUGAGUUUCCAAAACUUCUAUCAAGCUUGCAUUGAAUCCAUUGAUAAUUUCUUUUCCCUCCCCAUGUAAAACUAUUUCCAGUACUGCCUAAUUCAUGCAUAUCACAAGUAUUCAACAUGUCUUUAAAAGGUCUAAAAGAAGAUAGCAAUCUCAAAGGACCACCUAACUUAUCUUUAUUAGACAGCAUAUCAUUGAAGUCUCCUAUCAUACACCAAGGCUCUUUUCUAUUCAUACCUAAAGCACUAAUUCUGUCCCAAAGUAGAGAACGAAGAUUCAACACUGGAUUCCCAUAGACACAAGAUACAAGGGACGAUUUGGUGAGAGUGAAAAAUGGGCAAAUAAAUAAGGUCAGAGAUAAUCUGUUUGUCUACCUAGGAAGGACGAUAUAAAUCAUCAAAAAUUAGGUCUGCAAAUCAAUCUAUUUACGGAAAAACCAUGAGGCGCGCGUAUGCAAAAAAGUUGACUUCCGAAGCUUCAGCAUUUAAUGCACCGCAGGUGAAAGGACACUUAUGCGGCGACAGAAGGAAUGAAUUGACGAUGAUGUGAUGACUGCGCACGCAUUUAAUACUCAUGUCGCCUGUUUGAAGUGAAGCAAACGGGCGGGAAUUUAAAAUUUUGAAGCCCUAACCUCGAAGCGUGGAUGUUCAAUAAAUAGGGGAACAACGCCGGGCUAUUUGGGUGUGCUACCGAGGAAAAAAAAAGCAAAAGAAAAAAAAGUGUAAGUCUCUACAUCGGCAAGAUAGAUCAAUAACAGAGAUAGAGGUAGUGCUUCUUCAUAAACAAUUAUAGAGUCAAAUAUUUUCCCAAGUUAGUAAGUCGGUUGUUAUUGGUAUAUACAGGUGAUUUACAAAUGGAGGUGACAGACGAAUCAUAUUCCGGUGAGGUUCGAGUUCAGCAAGGAUGGUGGAUGAAAGAUGGAGGCGGUGUGUGGAGGUUCGUGGAGUUCUCGGACAGGCCAUCCAAAUACGUGCGGUUAAGGGAGGGUGCUGGCGUGGAGGCAACCAAAACGAAGGUUAUGACGGAUCUCAGCAUUGACACGAUGAAGGAGAAGAUUGAGAUGACGUACCAGAUGCCGGAAUGGAUGGAUGUUGAUGGGAUGGUGAAGCCAGUUCCGAUACACAUCGUCAGCGACGAUGAUAUGGACAUGUUCUUGGCGAUCCGUGUGGAUAUCCAUGAUAUGACACUGCUAGCAGUUCCAAUGCCUCUAAACAUGAGCCUCGAGAUUGACGGCUUCAAAGUUGUUCCAGUUGUAACUGACCACAGCUUUGGGGAGGUGAUGAGCAAGGAUGAGGUAGCCAAGGAAAUGGAGCGUAGAGCUGCAAAAGAGGUGAUUGACGGCGUCAUCUGUAGCCACCUACCACGGAAUGACGGAGGAAGUAGCAGUGCACCCGGAUGGAUAGGGAGUACAUACCUAGCACGAGGGUUCCCAACACUAACCGCAGCAGCUAGGCAUUUCAGGUAUACUGGAAAUGAGCAAACCGUGAAUAGGUCUCCAGUGAGUGUCCUACACCCAUCUGAAAGUUCAGACGGUGAGGAGGCCAACCUCCGGGUGACGCGUUUGACUAGGAAUCUGUUCAAAGAAUUUGAAAAAGGUAAGCGAAUUUAAAUAUAGUGCUCUAUCAUUCUAAGUAAAUAUCUAUCUGUCCUAACAACCCAUAAAUUACCUAGAGGGCGAAGGAGACAGCUCAGAGCAGGCACAUGGAAGUGAAAACACGGGUUCUACACCGGUACCUGGGACGGAGAAUGUAUCGCAACAGAAAGGAGGUAUCGGGAACGGUUAUCCCAUGUAAAUUUUUGUGCAGCGGAUAUUAUUAAUAUGUAGAGCUAUAUAUUUUAAUGUUUUGCAUAAUCUAUAUUUGUAGGGGGUGAUGCGAUUUCUGAAACAUCAAACCGCCAAUCUGCAAGCAAUCCAACUGAAGGCUUGUUCCGAUAUCUAAACAUGCCAGAUACGACCUUCGCUAGGGACGCAGCACCAGUAAUCGAUGAUACAGACCCAGAAAGUAAGGGUUAAAUAAUUUUGUAGAGAUCUAUAAAAACAUGUAGGUUACGUGCAACACAACAUCUAGCAGACUAAAUAGAUAUUUAUAUGGAAUUUUUAUGUUACAUUUGCACUUAGGCGGGGAUAGAACGAGGAUGGUUGUGCUUGAUGGGGACUACGAAGGAGAUGAGCUCUUCAUCGGACGGGUAUUUAAGAACAGAGACGACUGCAGGGUGAAGAUAGCAAUCCAUGCGAUUAAUCGAAGGUUUAGCUUCCGUAAUGAUAGGACCACCAAUGACGUGGUCAUAGUCCGGUGUGUGUCUGACGCGUGUCGCUGGAGGGUUUACGUGGUCCGCCUGGACGACACAGACUAUUUCCAAAUCCGAACGGCUGAACUAGAAAAUACAUGCCCAAUUGAGGCAAGAAACAUGUUUCAAAGGCAAGCCACCACUUCAGUCAUAUCCGAAAUAAUGAGAUCAAGAUACAGUGGUGUUGGGGUUGGUCCAAGCCCCAUUGCACUCCGCCAGGCCUUGCGAGACGAGCAUAGUGUGAAUGUCUCGUAUUGGAAGGCGUGGAGGGCGAGGGAGCUAGCAAUGGAUAUGGCGAAGGGUUCGACAGCAGGGAGUUUCCGUCUACUUCCCACAUACUUCCACAUGCUAGAGCAAGCAAACACGGGGACUAUAACAGAGCUACAGACAGAGGUUGAUGUCAACGGGGAUGAGAGGUUCAAGUAUUGCUUUGUGGCGCUUGGGGCCAGUGUGAAGGGGUGGAGGUUCAUGAGAAAUGUACUGAUAAUAGAUGGGGCUCAUUUGCGAGGUUGUUAUGCGGGCUGCCUUCUUACGGCUAGUGCGCAAGACGGUAACUUCCAAAUUUUUCCCAUCGCGUUCGCAAUCGUGAACAGUGAAAAUGACAAGGCGUGGGAAUGGUUCUUAAGCUGCCUAAAAAAAUUCAUUCCGGACGAUGAAACCCUGACUUUUGUCUCUGACCGUCACUCAUCAAUUCAUAGCGGCAUCGACAAGGUAUGUCUACUUAAUGAAAUAACGCCCCAAAAAAAUACUUAUAUCCUUAUUUGCGUAUGUACUUGACUAUGUUUAAUAUCAGUAGUUACAAUAAUAAAUAAAAAUGUCUAAUUUCAAAAACAUCUACAGGUGUAUCCCGCGGCCUCUCAUGGUGCUUGUAUCGUACAUCUACAAAGAAACGUAGCGGCGAAGUUUAAGAUACGCGUCCUAGCAGCCCUGAUCUCAAAGGCAGCUAGAGCUUUCCGGAAAACUACAUUCCACGAAUACUUUGCGGAAAUAGAGCGUGUAUCUCCUGAAUGCGCUGAGUACUUGAUGUCAAUUGGAUUGCACCAGUGGACAAGGUCACACUGCGAUGGCGAUCGGUACAACAUAAUGACCUUCAACGUCGCGGAGUCACUCAAUACCGUGCUAAAGGAGGCGAGAGAGAUGCCUCUUGUGUCCAUUCUCGAGUACAUCAGAGGUACACUUACGUCAUGGUUUACAAAGAGGCGGGAUAAGGCAAUGCGUCAUGAUAGUGCCCUAACGCCGAAAGUGGAGGAGAUUGUUAACAAAAGUUACGUGAGAUCAACAGCGUAUGAAGUGCUACAAAUCAGCAAGGAUGUCUAUGAAGUGAAAACUCCAACAUGGUUAUCUUAUAUUGUGGACCUCCAAAAUAAAUCUUGCACAUGUGAAGAGUUCACUCUGCUCAAAAUACCUUGCAGCCACGCUAUAGCAGCUGCUGGACAGACAGACAUCAAAGUUGAGGAGCUGGCUGCUCCCCACUACGGUACGUUUUUCUGGAGCUUAGCCUACAAUGGCAGCAUAUAUCCGGUGCCCGACAUGAGCACUCUCCGCGACAUACCAAAUACAAUUGCGACAAGGACAGUUCACCCUCCCCUGACCAAAAGGCCACCAGGUAGGCCAAAGCGUUCUAGAUACCUAUCAAGUGGAGAGUUUAAGGUAGUUAGUUGGUAGUAAGACGUAUUAUAGCAAUGUACAAAUUAUGAUACAGUGCUACAAUUGACAGUUGUUGUGAAUUAAUAUGCAGCUGACGAGGAAGAAGGCGAAACGGAGCUGUACCCGUUGCCGUGGGCCUGGGCAUAACCGGGCGACUUGCAAGAUGCCAAUCUAAGGGUUCAAGAGGCCUAUGUAAGGUAAACCAUCCUAAGUUAACAAACAUACUAUUUGAAUACUAAUUAAUCAAAUAGCGAAUAAUAACCAAAUAUAAACGCUUAUGCAGAUAUAUGGAGCUGCAUAUUUUCAAUGUGUAAAGUAGCUAGACGGAUGUUUGCUUGAAGUAUCGGGGUUUAUGAGUCGGAAGCUUUUGUGUUUUGUUUAUAAGAUAGUGAAGUAGAUCCCCUCCGUUUAAGUUGUAUUAGUAUGGGUGCGAACAUGCCUUCCACCAUUGUCUUCAAAUUAUGUUGAACUUCUCCUAACAAGGUGUAAUGCGUCGAUCGUUUGAGUCCGCACGCCUUGUAAUGUAAUAUAUUUAUGAAUUCAGUUAUGAUUCUCGUUUAAAAACCGACUUCAUAUAUAACCUACCUACGGCAAACAUAAAUAUAACUGGAGACCUUAAGUAAUAGCAACGACGGCCUAUAUUUGAUAUCAGUGACAAUCCACCCAAUAAAAUACCAUUAUACAAAAUCGCAUACAAUUGUAUAUAUAUAUUUGGAGGGCUAUCCCAGUGGAAAGCAAACCUAAUUUCGGAAAUUAGGUUCGACAGACAACAACUAAUCCCCACUGUGUGGGCCACAUAAAGUCGAGGAGCCGCCAUAAAUACUAGCUACCCAACCAAGCCCCCAACCAAAAAUACACAAUCUAACCUAGAUCUAGAAAAAAUGAUUAGCGAAACUUCUGGAAAUUCUUCAAGCUUUACGAGAAUGACACAGACCACCAUGCCGCCGGACCAAGGGUUUCUCUGCGACUGCGGUAAACCAGCAACGAUCCGGCAAGCGUGGACCGAUGCAAACCCAGGGAGACGUUUCUACCGCUGCGGUGCCGCGUGGAGAAGCGUUUGCGACUUCUUCCAGUGGCGCGACCUCGAAAAACCACACGGCUGGCAGAAAACAGCUUUACUGGAGGCGCGGGAUGUGAUAAGAGGAAGAAGGAAACGAUAAAGCUUCUUCAAGAAGCCGCAAAAGAGGAACCGAAAACCGAGGCAGACAUUGCAAAAGAAGAGGGAGAAAGCUCGAUAGAGAAGUUGGAGAAGGAAAACAUAAUCCUUAGGAGUGAACUUCAGGCAAGCCACCAAGCUGAACAAACGCUCCGCCACUUUGUUCUAAUAUCGUGGGUUGGGUUUAUUUGUGUAGUGGCGACGGUCGUCCAUGGAUUAAGGUAAGACGAACAACAAACUCCGACAUAAAGGCGGGGCAGAUUGAUGUACUUAUGUCUAUAGCUAGCGAAAUUACUAAGUAGAGUUCUAUUUCGCUGUAUCUCCAUCAAGUACAAGUAUCGAUGUAUUUUAAUCUGUAGGUAGCAAACCUAUUGUGCAUUGGUCUGUUUCUUCGUAUCUACUUCAAGAACCAUCGCUAAUAUAAAUUAAUUAUCUGGCAUAUUUUGUAAAAAAAUGUUCUAAUUUUAGUGUAAUGUAUAAGAUAUCAUGUGCAAAUGGUUUUAUAAAUGCUACACAUAAAGCCGAACUUGUCUAUGCUGCGUAAAAAAGUAGAAGUGAAAACACAUAAUAGCAUUUGACCAAAAAAAAAAGAAAACACAUACCAGCAUAAGUGCCCGAAAACAGAAAAAACCUCUAAAAGAUAGUCACGCGAAUAGAGGGCAACCAAAAAAAUAGACAGUUAUAUAAUCUAAAAUAUAUGCCUACAAAAAAAAUUGCAUGUAUACAAGCAAACAUAGAUGGAUAAUAACAUACAUAAUGCUUUAAGAUUGACAAAUUAAAUGGAAGCAAUUAUAUAGUAAUUAAUAUGUAGCUUAGGGGGUAAAGAGUACAUGGAUAGCAUCCGCAACAUUGAAAACUAAUUAGCAGCAAAACCAAAAAACAUCGCGAAUAAGGGAAAUGUCCAAAAACACACAGCGUUGAUAGAGAACAUAGUUGAAGAUAAAAAGCAACAAAACAGACAGAAGAGUCGUCUACUUAUUCAACAACGAGCUCACCGCAGCAGUGCUCAUAAAGCUCAACCGCCAAGCUUUCAGCCCACGAACGGAUAGCAGACUCGUUGACCUUGUACACCUUCUCCAACCCACCGAAGGCAUGAGCCUCCAUAAACAGAAGAGAUAAGAUCCCAGUAUUGGAACGAACAGAAGCUUGGAAAACAGAGGUAUCGCGGUGGAAUGCCAACGGCUCCAAUGAAAAAGAUGACAUCAUGUCAUUGAGACCAACUUUACGCACAAAGUAGGGAAACAUCUCGCAGACGAAAUCGAGCUGGGGUUUCAAUCGGGAGCCACGGCAAGCAUCAGCAUUGGGAUCAAAGACUGUGAGCACAUGAUUACGCAAGUUGACCAUGACAGCAAUCCAUCGAUUCUUAUCGAUAUUAAACGGGAAGUACAAGAAAUCAAUGUCAGUGAUGCACUCCCGACCAUUAAACUUAGACCUGUCAAUGACCGCUGCCAGAACUUCAGGGUCAAAAUCAAACAAUUCUUUCCGAGAAGUCUUCUUAAACUUUGCAUAGAGAACAGCAAAGGAGCCAGGGAAGUUAGACCGCAUAAACUCGGCUCUAGGAUCAGAGGCAGGAUCAACAUUGUUGAAGAGAGAGUCUCUCAGGACAAGAACACAAGAAUCCAUGACCUACAGGUAGAGCAAAUAAGUAAUAAAGUAUGAAAAUAAUAAGGGAAGGAGAAACAGACAUUGGUGCAGACCUGGGGAGAGUCUGGUGGAAUAAUGAUGGGUAUGUUAAGAACAUCUUUGUCUUUAAGGACUAAACCCUCGCCAACCGAUAAUUCCCUACACAACAAAAUAUAUGAAAUCAUAACCAUUAACAAAUGAACAUACAUCCCCAUAUGCAGAGUUGAAUGUUGAAUUAGAAUAAUAGAUACCCAAAAAAGUGAACAUUUAAAACCAAGGAAAGGCAUACUUACAUAGUCGGAACCAGAUGCGUGAUUAGGAGUUUGAACUUAUCAGAAGAAGGGUCAACCUCAGUAGCAGAAUCGGGGAGUUGUUCAGAGAAUUGCACAACAGUAUCACCUCCGGAUGACUACAAAUAUAAUAGUUACAAAUCUAUGAAAUUUGGACUAAAUAUAAAGAACAUUAUAAGGGAAAGAAAACAAACCUUCUCCCCGCUUGCAGCCGCAGAGGAGCCAGUUUCACCUUGGAAAGUUGGAGUAGUAUCCUUGAAAAAUAGAAAGGAUUAAGAAAAGAAUGACAAGGAAGCAAUGGUGUAAUUAAAUAGCUUUAGGCAACAUCCAGCUAACCUUUGGAGAUGAGAGUUUAGCGGGUGCGUAAGGGUCAGAAAGCAGAGGAUCAGGUUGAACCGGGUCCUGGUUUAGGUGGGAAACAGGAUGGCCUCCUCCAGACCCAAGAGCGUCUACUACAGUGUUGAAAGUGUCUUUGGCAGCUAAGUAUUCAGCGACAACAGAGAAAAUGUUUUGUUUGAAACUUUGCUGGAGGCGCAACUCCAUCUCUUUGAUAUCAAUACAGAGGUUUGCGUAAAUAGCGGAUUGAGAUUCUUUCAGACCAGCCCGAAUUUGGGAAGAUACAGCAGCAAGCAACUUAGAAUUUGGGUCGACACUAUCAAACUUGGCACGCUGGGACCGCAUCUUCAGUUUCUUAAAUGAAGAAGCCUCACCAUUUGACAUCUCUUUAGGCAACAACUUGGCAUUACAUUUGCGUUUCCCUUUCUUGACAACACGAGAAGGGGGCUGCGCAGGAGCAGCGAGACCUCUAAAACCACCUAAAAACAUGUCACGCUUAAACACAACCCCUUCCUCCAACUGGUGAAGCAUGAAUUCAACACUGGGAUCGCCAACUUCAUCCGGCCAACUGCAAUCCGCAAGACCCUCAUCAACAACAUCACCUUCCUCAUUGGCAGGAAUAAUUGGAAGAACUUGGACCUAAGGGAAAUUAGAUGAAAAACAAGGUAAGAUUAGAUAUAAAUAUGACUAUAUGGAGUGCUAUAAUAUCAAUUAAAGGUGUAAAGAUAUAAAUAGAUAUGAACAGACCUCCCCUUGAGCAUCUAAAUCCCAGACCUUAUCCAGCUUCAACGAAAUAACAGGAAACACUUCUUCACCACCAGACUCAGGAUCUGUCGCAUCGCCAACAGCAUCUAGGACAUCUGGAACAGCCUCGACAAAAACAAGCUGUAGAGCAUGGAUAAAACCUUGGAUAGCGACUGUUGCCUGCACCAAUUGAUUAACCGCCCUGGACUUGAUGCAUUGCAUCGUCAUGUCAAAGCUGUAUCGACCCCAGGGAUAGUUCAAAAAAACAUCAAGGCUGCGAAUCAUCUCAACAUGUUCUUUAGGAAUUUUCAUGUUAAACGACCGGCGGCAUAAAAGACCAUCAACGAGCAGAAGACAUGCGUACUUAACCCUUAACUCACUGGUCAGCGCCCGCGGCCUCCGAAGCUUCGCCUGUAACAUCUCCGCGGUGACAAACUCUUCGCCUCCAAAUAGCGUGAACCAGUAAGGCGUAACACCAGGCGGACACUUGACCAGAGACUGAUUAAUCGGCGGAAGAGGCCUACAGUUUAGACCGGUUACAAUUCCGAACUCCCUCAGGGAAAACCUAAACGGUUUCCCAGCGAAAACAACCCAGAUCUCGUGCCGCUUGACCACAUCCAACUGCCGCGUAAGCAGAAAAUGAGUCAGUUUGCCAGAAAAGACGGGUUUAGCGUACAUCUCAAGCAGUUUCCCAAAAAACGGACGGAUUUGGUCAAGUUCUUCAGGCUGAAGAGCCCUCAGAACAACCCGAAUGGUAUUAAGCUUGAAAUACUGAUUGACCCUAUCACCAGCAGGUUCUUCCAAAUCAGCGAAUAUACGAGAUGGUAGGCCACGGUUUUCCAUAUCUGACAAGCAAAAAAGAUAGGGUUAGAUAUAUGUUUGAAAACGGAAACAAAUCUAUAUCAAAAAGAUCCAGCCGUAAGUUGUUUUGUAGAGUGCGAAUUGAAAAAAGGAUGUCUAAUAAUAAAUGUAGAUCUGGAAGAGAAACCCAAACCAAAACCAAAACCCAAAGAGAUAUGCAUGCGAGAAUGGAAAAUUUAGUGACAAUAAUUAACAAGAGAAAACCGAAAGAAAGAGGGCGAGUCGAAAACAAAAAAUUUAGAAACAAUUUCGGUAAAGAGAAGCAAUUCUGAUCUACCACCGACCGGACAAGACUGAGGACGGAUGCGAGGACUUCCGAUUAAAGCAAAGAAUCCGACUAAAACUAUUUUAACUGAUGUGCGAAAUUGAGAGCUACAGAGGAUUUAGAAAAAGAAGAAUGGAGAAUAAAGAAGAAGGUUUAUCGGUGCAAUGAAUAGUAUUGCCCAGACAGAUGACAGUAGAAAUAGGGUUAGGGUGCGAGAAGGCGGGAUAUCGAAGGGUUGGACAGAUAGACACCCAAACGUCCCGUCUCAAAAAUAAUAAAGUAACAAAAACAUAAUGCAAUGUUUGAAAAUAACACGCUAUUCGACUGGGAAUUUACGCAGCAUUAAUUCGUCUGACAUAAAUGAAGACUCAUUUCCGAAGGCGCGUGGGGGUAAAGUCGGAGAGUUUGGUGGCAAAAUAUAUAUGUUGUUUGGGCCUUUAAACGAUUAGCGAGAAAUUUAAUUUGGGCUUAGAAUUCUAUUUUACACCUAAUUAUCUCAAGAUACAAACCAUCUUUUUUUACCUUUGGUGAUUUGCAUAUCAAGAAGGUUUUUGUCAGCCACCAAAAAGUUUAUAUCCAGUUGAUCUUUCCAAAAGAUUGCCAAUCCUCCACUCAUACCUUCUGGUUCGAUCAUAUGAAAUUUAUCAUAGCCUAGCCAAGAAAAAACUUUUAAAACAAAAGCGUCAGAAUUUUUUGUCUCCAUGAGGAAUAGGAUGUCUGGGAAAUGAUCCUUUUUAUUCCCUUUAGAUUACGAAUUGUCCAGGGAUUCCUCAACCCUUGACAAUUCCAGCUUAAAAUGUCUUAUUGAUACAACGGUGGCUCAUCUGGAACCACCGUGGAGUUAUCUGUCUUGAGACUUUUUGAAGCUUGAGAUUCUUGUAUCUGAGUUUUUCUCUUGAAGACUUUAUUAAACUGCGGUUAUUUUUCAGACAUACUAACCUUCUUUGCUUCUGAUAAGACUGAUUUAGCUUGUUGAGUUUUUGAAAUUGGAGCUUUCUGUUUUCGAGGAUUCUUCUGUCUCAGACUUAAACCUGAGGAACCAGCAUCAGAAGAACCUUCCUUUAAACCUUUGAAGAAAUCAGAAUCUUGAAAACCCGAAAAGGAUUCAUCAUCAUUAAGUUUUAGAAGUAGAAGUUGUUUUUGGGAUGAAACUUCUUUCAUGGCAUCAGCUAAUAACUUGGGAGAAUUCUGAUUUGAAAUCGGAUUUGCACUAUCCGAAAGCAACAAACCUUUCUUCUUAUCUUUGUUUUCAGGUGUAGGAGAUGAUACUGAAACAUUAUCUGACUUUAAGAACGGACACAUAUUCUUUUCAUGUGUUAACCUUUGGCAAUGAAAACAACGUUUUCGAAUCCUCUCAUAAUCAAAACUGAUUAAGACUAUCUCCCAUGUAGGAAGCUGCAGUUCUUUAGAGUUCCUUAGAGGAUUGCGAACAUCCAGAAGAACAUUCACUCUCACAUAAUCUUGAGCUUGUGAUUUUUCAAGAUCAAAAAGGACUUGAAUUACCUCUCCGGCACACUUUGCAAUUUCUCUGAUAGUUUCCUCUGUGUAAUAGUUGACUGGAAUGUUUUGGAGACGAAUCCAGAUUGACAAAAACAUCAAGUAAUCAGGUGGAGGUCUUUCUAUCCAUCUUUCCAUUACUACACACCAAUCAUCUUGAGUCCAAACGCCUGUCUUUAAGAUUUCAAUUAAGUCACCUUCAGAUUUGAAAAUAAACUGAAACCUUUCUUGAGAUAAAGCCACCCCAUGAACCCUAUUAUUUAACCUCCAAAUUCUGGGCAUGUCUAAAAUCCAGUUAGACAUCCGUUGAUUGGUAGGAUUUAGAAAUCGACCCAUAAUACUGCAGUGAUUCUUCUCCGUAGAGCAGAACUUAGCUUGAUUUGGGAGAAUGAGAGGUUUAUCAUCUGAAAUUGACAUCUUUUGUAUAGCUAUGUUGAGAUCCAUGUCCAUACUCAAGAAGAGAACACAAAGAUACUUUGAUUCACAGUGAACCUGAAGCCCUUUGUAUAAUCCUGUAAGCAAUAAGAAGAGUACCAGACUUGACAGCAACUGAGCCGAAGAAAAACCAACUAGAUUAGAACUGGAGUCAAUUGCGAAAGGAGAGAACUUUGGAACAACACAAUGGUUUGCCAAUUGAAGAUUAAGCCAAUCUUCAAGAGAAAACCAACAUCAGAAUCCAGAAACUGUGAUGAUAUAUCCGAAUAGAAAAGCUAGCACCAGACUGAAAACGAGGAAAUCUCCGGUCUAAAGCUCCGCUCAGAAAGAGAUCUUACUGAGGAAGAAGUUCUUAUGCCUAAGUGGAUUCGGGACGGCAAGAAAAAACAACAGCGAUGAAAUCGUCAAAAAACACCUAGUAAGAGAGAGAAGAGAGCUUUCCUCAACGGCUAGGAAAGAGUAUUUUCAAUAUUUUUAUUUAUAUCUCCCAUUAUAUAUAUAUAGAUUUUAUGAACAAUUUUCAUCCCAAACAUGAUAUUUUCUCUAGUACAUAUUUGACCUCACUUGACCAAAUUGGGCCCAUGAUUGAAAGUGAAGCCCAUUUGUAAAAGAAAUGUCAGUCAUCACACAAAAACCCUAAAAAUCAUUUCUGUCUUCUCGAAGGUUUUUGAAAUUUCUCUCUUCCAUUUCCAUCUGAUGAAUCUCUGACUGACGAUGUCUUUGAGAACUCGAGCAUCGUCCUGGCCUCGUCUUCUACUUCGCCGGAACCCUAGAUCUUCAUUUUCCCGUCAAAUCUCUACUCUUGAUUCCUCAACAUCCACAUUUCCCAGAAGAAUCUCCGGUUACUCCUCCUCCUCCUUCCCCGUAAAUCAAACGCCAUGGAUCUCAUCUCAGAGGUACCGUUUCUUCUCCUCAUUCACAAUGUCACCAUCGGAAGCUGAUAGAGUAGUGAGAGAUCUUAUAGCGGAGGUUGAGAAAGAGAAGCAGCGUGAGAGAGAGGAGAGGCAAAGACAAGGACUUGAUUACAAAGACAUUGAUGCCGAAGACGAAGAGGAUUACUUAGGGAUUGAGCCGUUUAUCGAGAAGCUUAAGAAGCAGAAUUUGAAAGAUGAUGGUGAAUUAAACAGGCGUGAAGAGUCGUCUGAUUCUGAUAGUGAAUAUGAUGAGAUUGAUUUGGAUGAAGAAAGGAAGAAAGAAGAUAUCUUUAAUAAGAAGUUUCAGAGGCAUAAGGAGCUUCUUCAGACUCUUACCAAGUCAGGUAUAUGAACAUUUUUUAUGGCUUAGAAAUGGUUUUUGAUUGUUUGUGAUUUGUUCUAAGUUGUUGUAUGAUUGUUUUUGGCAGAGACACUUGAUGAGACGUUUAGGUGGAUGAACAAAUUAGACAAAUUUGAGGAGAAGCAUUUCAAGCUUAGACCUGAGUAUAGGGUUAUUGGUGAGCUGAUGAAUCGUUUGAAGGUAGCUGAAGGGAAAGAAAAGUUUGUUCUACAGCAGAAAUUGAAUAGAGCUAUGAGGUUGGUUGAGUGGAAAGAGGCUUUUGAUCCAAACAAUCCUGCUAAUUAUGGAGUUAUCGAACGUGAUAAUGUUCAAGGUGGUGGUGAGGAAAGAGAAGAGCGUCUUGUUGUUGAUGGGUCUAAGGAUGACAAUGAUGAUGAUGAUGAUGAAGAGGAGUUUGAUGAUAUGAAAGAAAGGGACGAUAUUCUUUUGGAGAAGCUGAAUGCAAUUGACAAGAAACUUGAGCUUAAGCUUUCUGAGCUUGAUCAUACAUUUGGAAAGAAGGGGAAACGGUUGGAAGAGGAGAUUAGAGAACUGGCUGAAGACAGAAAUGCUUUGACAGAGAAGAAAAGACAACCGUUAUACAGAAAAGUAAGUGGAUUCUCUAUUUAUUCACAUCUCUCAGUUGUGCUGUUUUUUUGCGGUGCAAAAACUAAAAACCCCAAAACAUAUUAAUGCAGUGAAAUUAGUUGACAUAAGUUUUGUCACGAUCUGUGUUACAUAGAUUAAAAGUGUCUAGAAGUUUGAAAUAAAGAUGCUAGAGGUACAGUGAACAAAUUUGCUUCUAACAUUUUGGAACAGGAAGCAGACUCAAUAGGUCAGACAUGCUAAGCAAUAGAGUUUGCUGGAGGCACCUUGAUUUAGAAAUUUUCAUGAAAACCAUUGUAGCUGUACUGCUGUACUGGCUCUUUCAAAGAAGUUCAUAGCCAAAAAAUUCAUGUUUUGUGUUGCUUUAAAAUGCUUUCUGUGCUAGUAACAAUGCGGCAUAUCUAUAUUAAAAUAUGUUUGCAUUUUUCCACGUUGUUACCUUAAAUUUCUAAUAAGUUUAACCAUACAUUCUAUUAGAUAAUAACAAUAAUUAAGAUAUGGGAUCAAUAUACUUUGAUGUUGUCAGUGUCAAAUACAUAUGAGUACUUAAGAAGGCCAGUAGUCUAAUAGCUACAUGCCUACAUGAGUUUUAGUUUGCUUAUACGUUAAGUUUUAUGAUACAUUUUGUUUGGUAUGUUCUGAAGUUUUCUUUUCUUUGACCAUGGUGGAUAUGGCCAUACAUCUUUUCUCUCAAUCCAUUACUAAAAUUAUUAGCCUAGUUUUCUUAUUAUUCGUAAUGCUGAUCAGGUUAUUUCUUAUUUUUUGCAGGGGUAUGAUGUGCAUGUGAUAGAUGUUAAAAAAGUUGCCAAGGUCACAAAGGUAUAGUUGUAUGACAUUCUCUCUUUUGUAUCUCUUAAGUCAAUUGCUCGGCUAUAAUAAAAAGACAUGUGUUUUUAGGGUGGCAGGGUUGAAAGGUACACUGCAUUGAUGGUUUGCGGAAAUUAUGAAGGUGUCAUUGGGUAUGCGAAAGCAAAAGCUGAGACUGGCCAAUCUGCAAUGCAGAAGGUAAUCUCACAUUACUAUUUGUCAUUUUGAUGGAAGAAACAAGUUUGGUGGUGUCUUAUAAAGAUGGAUACUACAGGUCUCGACACUACGUUCAUUUGUGACUAAUGGCAGGAUCUAAUUAUAGCAAAGAUAGGCAAAUAAGUGAUUCUGAUAGAAAGCUAAUUUGAUUUGUUUGUACUGCUAAGCGUUGGGGACAUGAGAUGUUCUAAAAGCUUGAGUUUAGGUCAACUGAAAUUUAAUUUACGACUACCGUAGGUCCCCUCAAAUUUCAGCUUUUAUUGGCAUAGAAAUCUUAAAAACAGCUUUUAGUAGGUAAGGACGAGAAUACAUAGUAUGCAUCUUUUUGUAAAAAUUUGAUGUUCUUUUGUGCAUAAAGGCUUUAAUUCAACUAGAUUGAUGCCGUUCCCCAAAUGCACCAAUGAAAAGCUUCUGUUCAACUUUAGGUUGUUUGACAAGAUUCUUUCCUAUUGGUUUGUGCAUGAAUGUCUACAUUUCUAUAUUGAUUUUGAUCUUUGAAAUGGUCAAAGGAGACAUAAAACAUAGAAUUUGUUGUAAACUAGCCUUGUUCUGUUAUGAUGCCUUUAUAUGCCUUUCUAUAACCUUCUUUAGUUAGUUCUCAUGGUCUCAUUUCUAACAACCUACAAAACAGGCGUAUGAGAAAUGCUUUCAGAAUCUUCAUUACGUAGAGCGGCAUGAGGAGCACACCAUUGCACACGCAAUACAGACUUCUUACAAGAAAACCAAGGUAUCUAUUUGAGUUUCCUUUUGACAGUAUGAUCUAUUGAUGCCACUUAUCUGUUUAGAUGUCUUUAAUAAACUUGAAUCUGCAACUAGUUAUAUCUAUGGCCUGCACCAACAACGACGGGAAUGAAAGCUGGGAGAGUUGUCAAAACAAUCUUGCUCCUGGCAGGGUUCAAAAACAUCAAAUCAAAGGUGCAUUAUUGCUUCCUACUGAUAUAACAUCGAUUCUUGUUUUUUGUUGGAGUUAAAGUAUGGUUGUGGUCCAAACUUUCAGGUGAUUGGUUCAAGGAACUCAUACAACACCGUUAAGGCAGUUUUGAAGGCUUUGAAUGCGGUGAGUGGUCUGAGCUGAUGAAAAAAAAGUCAAUAAAAGGGGAAUUUAGUGAAAACCUUACAAUCCCUUUUUUCUUUUGUCAGGUCGAAACGCCAAAGGAUGUUCAGGAGAAGUUUGGCCGGACAGUUGUUGAGAAAUAUCUGCUUUGAGAUCUGCAUUCACGCUAUUGGUAUGUAUUUGCUGAGUUUUGGAUGAAGUUUAAUUUUUGACUGUAGAUUAGUAGUGUAUUUCUUACUCUACAGUUGAAUCCAUCCUUUUAAGAUGUUGGGGAAAAAUAAAAUAGUUAAGAAUACACUAUCCUUUCACCAAUGCUAUUAGUUUUAGUUUUGGUUCUGGUUCCUCAUAUAUGUCGGUUCUUCGUAAUCUUGGUUGAUCUUUUUAGGAACUCUUAUUCAGUUUGGUUGUAUUGGUACUCAAAAUUUUAAAAUCCCUUGAAUCAAUUGAGCUUAAAUUCCGAAAGGUCUUGUAACAUCGGAACAAUAAGAUAUCCAUUAUUUGUUUUAGUCGGUCCUCUUUACUGUACAUUCUAUUGAUGAUCCUGUAUUCUAGAUCUUAAUACUAGAUCGUGUAGAUUCAGUUAGGUUGGUUCAUGUUCUAUAGUUUGGUUGGUUUGUCCAAGGUAAUGAGGAGACUUCGUCGAUAUUGUUGGGAUUAUUGAUUUAUUUGCCAGAUUUUUAAGGAAGGUCUCAAUUAAACCACUACACCAAAUUUGUAAACUAUAGACGGAUUAGACGAUGGAUGUCAUCGUCACAAGAUACUUUCAGUGCAUUAAACUAGCCUGUAGCGGCUGAUUGGUCCCGAGAUAUUUUGGAACCAUAUAAAUAAUACGUGAUAGUCUCGUAUCCAUUACUUUUUUCCAUACCGAAUUCGAAAAUUUAAAUUUCUAGCUACAAGUAAAAUAUCACCAAGAAAUUGACAAAAUAACUUUUGAUCACUUUCUUUGGUAAUCUUUGGGUAGGAUGAAAAAAAUACAAAAUUAAGAAAGUAAUGUAAUACGAGGUAGGGCCUGGGCAUCGAUUCCGUUUGGGUCAAAUCAGGUCUGUUCGAGCUGGUUGGGACAAAUGUUACCGAAUAAACCCAAAAAAAAAAUUAGUUCGGAUGUGCUAUGGCCUCUUUGUUUCAUCAUUUGACAUUUGCAUCCAAAUGAUCCACAUCUAAUAAAUGAUUCAUUUGGAUGAUGCAUUUCAAUGAUGUUUAUUUGAUCAGUUGGUAGUUUAUCUAAAUGAUGCAUUUAAAUGAAUUUUUGUUUGUUUGAUCAUUUUGUAGUUCAUCCACAUUCUCGUCUAGACAAAAAUGACAAAAAUAGUCAUGCUUUCAUUUUAACAAAUAUCAACAUCAUUACCAAAUAUCAAUACCAAACAAAUCUCGAACAUAUCAAUACCAAACAAAUAUCAAACAUAUCAUAUUUUUAAUGGGAAAAAUGUCGAAAAAUUCGCCAACUUUUAAAUUUGGGACGAUUAAAGCAUGAACUCUCGAAAUGUCUCUUUAAUCACAAAGUUUCUGUUGACCAGUCUAAAAAUAACAAAGUUUGAGUUGACCUGGCCAAAUUAGGCAUCACGUUAAGUCUCCGUUAGAACGAUUUUGACACUAUUAACAUGCCAUCUACGGUCUCCGUUUAACCAAAACGAUGACGUUUCUCUAAAACGAAAACGUCAUCGUUUUACUCAGAGAAUGAAAGUCAAAGGCCCCAAAUCGAAAACCCCCAAAUCGAUUUCAUUCAAUCCCUAACGCUAGAAAAAUUGAAAAUCAAAUUCUCUCUCGUGCUCUUGCCUAUUGAUUCCGAUGGCGAAGACUCGUGGAGGUAAUUGGAAUCCUCGUCGGUCGCGGAGGCUGCUGGCUACGGUAGAUGAAGAAGGUAGAGCAAACGAUCAAGAACCCGAGACGAUCGAGAUCCCAGAAGAAUCAGAGACAAUUCCAGACCCGUCGAAGAGUGAGGCUGCGUUGAUACCGUCGGAGAAGAGCACAGCUGAAGUCGCGAAGGAGACGGUUCCCCAACCUCAACAGAAACAAAAACAAAAGCGUGGAGAAAAUUGGAGCCCUCGUCGGUCGCGGAGGCUGCUGGCAAUGGUAGUGGAAGAAGGUAGAGCAAACGAUCAAGAACCUGAGACGAUCGAGAUCCCAGAAGAAUCAGAGACAAUUCCAGACCCGUCGGAGAGUGAGGCUGCGUCUAAACCGUCGGAGAAGAGCACAGCUGAAGUCGCGAAGGAGACGGUUCCCCAACCUCAACAGAAACAAAAACAAAAGCGUGGAGAAAAUUGGAGCCCUCGUCGGUCGCGGAGGCUGCUGGCAAUGGUAGAGGAAGAAGGUAGAGUAAACGAUCCAGAAGCUGAAAGGAUUGAGAUCCCAGAAGAGAGGGAUAUAAUUCGAGACCCGUCAGAGAAGAGCCCAGUAGAAGCAGUCAAUGAGACGGUUCCUCAACAGAAAGGGAAGAAAGGGAAAAAAAAAGAAGAAGCUAUAUUAAUUUAAUUAUUGCUCUAAAAUAUAUUUACAACUAAAUAAAUUAUUAUUUUAACAUAUAAAAACUAAUUUUUACGUUUUUGGCUGGCAAACAUGAAUUCGUGCGUUUGGCAGGAAAAACAUGAUUUUGCGGUUUUGGCGGAAUACAUGAAAUAAUUAAAUUUUUGGCCAAAAUCAGGAAUUUUAUAGUUUUGGCAAGAAAAUACGGUUUUGCGGUUUAGCAAAAAAAAACAAGUCCGCAAUUUCCCGCCAAAACCUUGUUUUAGAAUUUUGGCUGAAAAAUACGAUUUUACGGUUUUGGCGGAAAAACAAUUCUGCAAUUUCUCAGUUUUGGCGGGAAAGCAUAUUUCCCAAUAUUCUCUCCAAAAUCGUGAUUUUUAUAGUUUUGGCAGGAAAAAAUAUUUUCAGAAUUUUACGAUUUUACAGUUUUGGUGGAAUAGCGCAUUUCCACAGUUUCACCGUUUUGGCAGGAAAAAAAACUCAAUUCCACAAUUUUACGAUUUUGACAUAAAUAAUAAUCCAUGAUUUCAUGAUUUUUAGAGUUUGUUUUGGGUACGAAUAUGUAAUUUUAAAAAUAUUAAAUAAGAAAUCUAUAGAAAAUUAACAUUUUUAAGAUAUGUCUGUAAAAGCGGGUAUAUUUGUCAUUUGUUUUUUACUGAAACCAUCUCCAUACAAAUGGUCCAAUCAAGUUCAUUCAAAUGAGUUUGACAAUGGAGAAACAAUGAGGGCCUAAAUUUUGGUGCGGUUUAAGAGAAAAUAAUUGUUGCCGAAUUUGAACCGAAAUUUUAAAAUUUUUAGUUUGUUCGGGUUUGGGUUCUAAUUUAUUUGGGGUACAAGCCCACAAAAUUACAAUUUUAAUAAAUUUGAUUAUCUAUACUAGUAUUUUUUAAGUACAUUUUUAGCGGGUGGGGUAAAAUGCAUUUGAAUACAAUAGGUAUCCGACCGUUUACAAAUUUUGGUCAUAAAAAGUUUGUUGAGUCGGGUUAUAUUUAACCCAACUCAUACACCGGAUAUUCUAUAUUUAAUAUUUUAGAUAUUUAGAAGAUUUGAUUAAGAUUUAGAAUUAUGAUUCUCCUAUCAUCUUUGUUCAAUUUGUUUUUAACUGUUUUGAAUAAUCAUGUAAUACAUGAAAUAAACAAAAAUCAUUUUUUUUUCUGCAUAUAUUGUGAUUCAAAAUUUUAAAAACGGACAUAUAUUAUCUAAUUGACGAAAAAUAUGUUCAACGUACCACAUCGACUAAAAUAUUUAGACAAUGAUUCAGAAUCAUAUCAUAAACAAGAUUAAUAAAACAAAUGAGUUUUUUAGCGGGAGGGUUUGGCGGGACAAGUUUUUGAAUCAACAAUAAUUAAAAAAUUAAAAUAUCAUUAAUCCGCCGCUUCAAUACGGAUUAAAUCCUUAAUUUUUUUUAAAUACCACCAAUAUUAGACAUAUCAAAUCAAUCUUAUUUAGAAAAGAUUGUAUAAAACCAAAAAUUGUCUCGUGGUAUAAUGUUACUUAAUAACAAUGUAACUAUAAAAUAUAAAUGUCUUAGAGAAUAAUACAAUUUGCAAACUUUUAUAUAUAAUAAAUAAUCGUUAAAUUUUUAAAAUUACUACUUUUAUAAAACAAAUCACGGGCAGAGGUUAAGAAUUUACAGGACGGGUUAUAUUUUGGAACGGGGUUAUAUUGUGGACGAGUUUGAAUCAAUAUUUAUAAAAAUUUUAAAUAUCAUUAAUAUGCCGCUUUAAUACAGAUUAAAUCCUGAGUUUAUGAAAAUAUAAAUCCUGAGUUCAUCAAAAAAAAAAAUAUAUAAAUGUCUUAAGGAAUGAUACAAUUUGUAAACUUUUAUCUAUGUUAAAUAAUCAUUAAAUUUUAAAAUCACUACUUUUAGAAAACAAAUCACGGGACGGGUUAUGAAAUUACGGGACGAGUUAUAUAUAUUUCCGAACGAGUUUAUAUGAUGGACGGGUUUGAAUAAUAUUUAUAAAAUUUUAAAAUAUCAUUAAUAUGCCGCUUUAAUAAGGGUUAAAUCCACAGUUUAUUAACAAUUGUUCUGUGGACUCGUAGUAUACCGUUACUUAAUAACAAUUGUAAACUAUAAAAAAUAAAUCUAGUGAUGCCGUCUCAUGGUGGUUUCACCAUAAUCCGGUCCGAUCAUGUUUUAAUCGAUCUAUAAACGAUUAGGUAAUUGAAACUAAAAAUAAAGAUUUGGUAAUUCAAUACCAUAAAUUAUUUUUUCUUCCUUUUCGAUAAUUUUUUGCGAUGUUUUUAUCUUUCUACAGUUUAAUUAUUAUCGUUAUUGAACGAUUAUAUAUUUUCUAUUGGGAAAAAUGUCAUUUAAAUAAUCGGUUUACCAUUUUCGUUAGUUUAAAACAUGAACUCUAGACCUAGUGAUUUAAAUCCUUAAUUUUAUGUUGAUUUUUAUUUUAAUCAUAAAUUUUCGUUGACAAAGCUAAUUGAAGCAUUGUUAACUGGCUAAACGGAUCAAUAAGACGAUAUCAUCGCAUAACUUGCACCAUCGCAUAAUUUUUCUUUUACACCAAGGUUUCUAUCUUCCUCUUCAAAAACUAUGCGAUGACAUCGUCUGAUUGCUCCAUUUAGCCGAUUAACGAUUACCUCAAUUGGAUUAGUUAACGAGAAUUCGUGAUUAAAUUGAAAAUCAACAUAAAAUUGAGGAUUUAAAUCACCAAAUCCACAUAAAAUUGAAGAUUUAAAUCACUAGAUCCAUAAUUUAUGCUUUAAAUCAACAAAAAUGAUAAACUGAUGAUUUAAAUGAUAUUUUUCCCAUUUUUUAUUCAAUCCACUCGAUAAAACUAAAAUAAGGUUAGGCCAAUAAUAUUUCAAAUUAUUCUCGGCGUUAUAAGAUUCCAUCCAAUGUAUUCUCGAUGAUGUAAGAUUCCUAAUGUCAUCUAUAUUUAUUAUGUCAUUUGAUAUUUUUGUUAUCUAAAAUCUCUAUAGAAACUCCCUUAUCUUUUAAUGAUACUAGGUGAGUACCCGUUCUACGAGCGGGCUUUCGUCUUUACUGAUUUCUAAUUAUGUCUAUAAUUUAAGCAAUAUAAGUUUUGGUUUGAAAACGGGUUUGUCUUCACUAAUUUAAUUAUGUAUAUGAUUUAACUAUUUAAGCAAUAUAAGUUUUGGUUAGAAAGCGGGCUUUCGUCUUCACUAAUUUCUAAUUAUAUCUAUGAUUUAAGCAAUAUAAGUUUUGGUUAGAAAGAAGUUUACUUCAACUCGAACUUCUUUUUUUCCUAUUGGAACAUGUUACAUGUGGGGGAGAGAAACGAAAAGCCGACGGAAGGGUUGUCUUUUGACUUAGAUCACACCAACUCCACCUUCACAUGCACCUGCAUCCGCAUGCCCGCUCCAGCGAUCCAUUCAAUCUCUAGCUUUCUAAUGUGGUCAGGAUGUAGUUUUUUGGGGUUUAAAACUAAAAUAUAGGACACAUCAAUUGAGUAGACCUAAAGUUUAGAACAUACAACUGUUUAGAUUUUCUAUUGGCAAAACAGAAAAUCUAAGUUAUUUUUUUGAAAACGUAUUUUAUUGUCCUAAGGAAAAUCGAUCAUGGCCAAAAUUACAAUUAGAGAGUUUUGAUUGCCAUUAGUGACGAUGAUCACUUAGCAAAAUAGAUGAAAGCUGAGAAGAUUAGAUGGGUUUUUAUUAGACUUACAAUUACACAAUGGUAAAGAACUAAAAACUCAGUACACGUUAGAAUCAUUGCCAACUUCUGCUAUUCUUUAUUACGCUAUGAAAUUUCUCAAGUGCUAAAUUACUGAAAAAUCGCUUAACUAUAGACUAUUAGAAAGGAAAGAAACAACAUUUAAUCAAUAAAAGAAUUAAUGAAAAGAAAAAGAUCGGUAAAAAUAUAUAGCAUCAGAUGGCGUGACUUGUACAUAAACCUGCAAACAACGAAUAAGGCACACCAAGACAGUGACAACCACAACUUGAACAACAAUUUUAGGGUUAGAAGCUGAAAAACUGUCAAGUCUAUUUCUAAUCCAGUUUUAGCUUGAAAGUAGACACUGCUCAAACAAUAUCCUUUUUACCUUUUCAGCACUUGCCCGACAGAUUCACAAAAAGGAGAACUCCACAAAAAGCUUAACAGUUACGAUUUACGAAAGUAAGAGAUUCCUAAGAAGGUUACCCUAUGAAAUGCCAAAAUGUUCGAUGUUAUCAAUGUAGGUAGAAAAGCAUAAACUCUCAAAGCCAUCCUCUUAUGGAAGCGAUCACAAAGCCUCCGGCAGUUAAUAAAAGUUGUAUAGCUUUCCCACCUGCCAAAAAAUGUCAUCAUUUCAGCCAAGAAGAUUACUCUUAACAAUGUUUAAUUGUGUUAUAGAAUUUACCUUCUCUCCCAUGGCGUCUUGGUAACAUUAGAAGAGUGUCACCAGACAUUUUUGCAAAUACUGUGCCGGUAUUUGUAUCAACUUAAAGAAAUCGAUAAAAAUCUUACUAAUUUUUGAAGAUAUGAACUCCUAGUUCUUGCUGUUUUUCCUUGUAACUGCUCAGACAUUCAUAGACGACAUGAAGAACGUUAAGACAUUUGUUUUUAAAAAUCUUUACAAAGUUUAAAAAUUUAACAGAUCCAAUAACUUACAGAGAAAAACAGCCACAAAAAUAACUACUCCACGAGCCAUUCAAACUUCUGGGCUACAUGUGAGUGAGUUGAAAGAGUAUUGUUAACAAGUAAUCUAGGAAUUGAUCAUUAGAUUUCAUCUUCCCUAUUUGAUACUAUUUUCAUACACAGAUUGUUGGCUUCAAGUCCUCAAAAGCAGGUGUCACUAUGAAAUACAAAACCUAGCUGUAGCAUAACACAAAGCAAAACUACAUAAAGAAUUAGAAGGAGAUAUUUGUUGUGCACAAAUAAUAACAGGAGGCGGAAAUGUUUAACCCAAAUUCGCUUAUAUACAUUAGUCAAAACUUAAUUAUCAAACAAAACUGCUAUAUGUGAGCGUCCAAAAAACAUUAAUAGUAGCCAAAAUUUUGUAAAAUAACGUUGAGAUGUUUGAUAAAUUGCUUUUGAAGCUAAUAUUAGGAUAUACAAUAGCGGAAAAAAGUAGAAUGAGAAGAUAUAUAUUUUUUUAUAAAAUCAUUUGGGCGAAAACGGUUUGAACGUGGAACGAAGGUAAAUGAAACAGAGAGUCGCCGAAUCCGAUUGAGAUCGAGUACGAAUGUCAAGCAAAAAAGAAAACAAAUGCAGGAUUAAAUAUAGAAGAGAAGAGACGGUACUGAAAAUGCUUACGUUUCUAAACUUUGAAUAUGAUAGAGAAGACGAAGAGGGAGGGACGCUUCUGCUUAAAUUUUUUCACAUGGAUAAUCGGGCCGUGGGUUCGUUUCGAACAACAAUGUUAUCAUUUAACAGCCAGUAUACAAAUACAAGUAUAGAACCAUACCUCGAUAAUGCAUGUAAUAGAAUCCCCUUCUUCAGAAUUUCAUGGAUGCCGCUUCUGCAAAACAACCAAAAUAAUACGAACGCAAUCACUAAAGAACCCAAUAACACUGUUUUAAAUUGAGUAACAUUAUUGACAAAACCAAAAGGGGACAAAAAGAGAAGAACCAGGGCAGAGCGUAGGCUUGAGGCGUCAUAGUUUCACCCAAUUCACCUAAACCCACUGUUAGAAUCCUAAACUGAACAUAUUAUUUGAACAAUUAAAAACUGUAACAGAUUAAGUAUAAACAUUGUCGAAUUUUAUUGUUUUCUACCUUAUCGGCAAUCAAUGGCACCAUAUGUAACUAUGGAAGUGGUGAAGACGAAGGCGGCGAACAUACCUCGAUUAUUGAUCUUCGACCUUGAGAAAGAGAUUAAAGGAAGGGAGGACAAUUUUUCGUUUUUUUCUUUUAUUUUUUUUAUCAAGAAAAUUUUUAGUUUGGAAAUCUAGCAAAACGCUUACACGGAAAAUAAAGCGUCAUCGAGCAUCACCUAAUAAAUGAAGGAUUUUUUUUUUUGACACUUGUCAUUCACUCUGAUGCUGACGUGUCAUAUAGCUCUUGUUCAAAAAAUCGCUAGGCGUUAAUCGCUAGGCGUUAAUCGGUUAAUCGGAGAUUACACGGAAAUUAAUUGAAAUUAGUUUUAGGGUUUUUAUCGAGUUUUGUGGGUAUAUAUGAAUUAUUUGCUGAUAAAGAAUAUAAAGUCGGCUUGGUGUAGUGGUUUCAGCAGUCUAAAUGCCUUUGUACGCCUGAGUUCGAGUCCCCAGAUCUUGUUUUUUGCUCUCUUUUUAACCCUUCUUUUAAUGAAGGGUAAAACAGAUAUUUUAUCAUCGUCUUCUUCACAGACCUUGACGACUUUCUAAACCUAAUAAUGGCGGCUGCCCGUUUUUUUAUACAUUUGCAUCAUUUUUAACUCAUUUUUGUUCUUGUUUUUCUCCAAAUAUGAUAGAUCUGACAUGUAUCAUAGAAUAUUUAACCAUAAACUACAAAAAAUUGUUGUUCUCCGAUUAAUUCUCCGAUUUGGACAAAUCCCGGCGGUUACCUACCGCCGAGCGCUUAACCGGCGCUUAGGCGGCCGCGGAGGCCGCAUUUUCGAACAGGGCAUAUAGCUGGAGAGAGUUCAGCUACUUUUUUUUUUUUAUGAUUUCUUCAUAUUCUUAUUCAUAUAAAGUUUUUGGUGGUUCACUAACAUUCUCUUUUAUGAUUGAUCUUCCCACCCCAAAUCAAAAAACAAACUUUAUGUAAUUAGUUACGCACUUGUUGGGUAAAUUAUACAUUUUUGUACCAUUUUUGUAUCUGACAUCACAUCAUCUUUAGGCUUGGUAAUUAGAUGUAAUCUCCUAUGAUUCUCGCACACAUCUUGAUUGUUUCUGGAAAUGGAGAUUUCAAUGAUAUAUAUAGCAGAGCAUCUUAGAGUCAGAGGGCACAACGUCAUGGUGGUACUGAUUCUCAAGGGUAGUAACCUAGAUUUAAAGGUUUCAGCUUCCAAAGUUUGGGAGUAGAGUUCCUUAGUAACAUGAGUAAGACAAAUCAGCCAAGAAGAGAAGAAAAGAAUCAGAAAAAAGUAUGAUGAGGUGAGAGAGGAGCAUAGGAGAUCACUUACGAAGCCGACUAAAGAUGUGAUUUUAGGUAAUGCUCAUUUCAUUAAAUGUCAAAUCUGCUAUCAGUUUCUUCAAGUGCCAAGCGGCAGACAAAAAGUGAUUUGCGGCUCUUGCUCAUGUUGGACGGAUUUGACCUCAGCCAAGCCACUAUGGGAACAACAUCUGGAUUCAUCCGUCUGAGAAUUUAGCAGUUCAAGACUUUUACUUUUUCCUUAUUAGAAUUUUCUUAUGGUUUGCCCGACUCGUAAUUCUUCAGCUUUAUCUACUUAGUUUCUCUUGGUAGGCUUCCCGGUUGAUUGAAACAGGAAAAGUCAAAUUAUACAUUUUUUUACCCAUUUUUGUAUUUGACAUCACAUCAUCUUUAGGCUUGGUAAUUAGAUGUAAUCUCCUGUGAUUCUCGCAGAUCUAUAAACGGAGCAUAAAAAUUGGUUUAUUAUAGUGAUCGAUCGGAUUUUAAUUUCACGAAUCGAAUCGGUUUAAGUCAUAUACAUCUUGACUGCUUACGAUCUCAUAUAUUUUAAUUUAUAUAUAUGAUCUGUUUUUUACUGCUUACGAAAAUGUUGUGGUGGCCUGUUGGUAUCUUGUAAUGCCAUCUACCUUUUUAUUUUUAUUUUUCUUAUAGUGAUAUUUCUUCAUAUUCUUAUUCAUAUAAAGUUUUUGGUGGUUCGUUAACAUUUUCUUUUAUGUUUAAUCUUCCCACCCCAAAUCAAAAAACAAACUUUGUGUAAUUUAUAUUUUUUUUUAUCCAUACACCUAUAUCUACUAAAUCAAUAGUCACUUUCAAAUAAUUGCAGCUUUCUCUAUUUGCCGCAUGUUAUAGGUCUCAAAUUCUUUACUUUUAGUUGUUUACAUCAAUUUACUUAUUUAUUUUUAAAACAAAAUAUUAACUUUUUUCCAUGAUUUUCUCUUUUUUAUUUCUCAUAACUAAUUAAAUUCACUAAUAAUCAAAAGUAUACAAAUUUUAUUCAUUUUUUCUUCCACUUUCCAUUUACUUAUUUAUUUGAGAUUUUUUUUUUCUCCCACAAUUUUUUUUCUCUUAACUAAUUAAAUUCACUAUUAAUCAAAAGUAAAAAAAAAAAACAUUUCCAUUAUCUGAUUUGGGUCUAAAAUAAUGAUUGUGAUUUUAAUCAAACAAUGAAUUUUUUUAAAUCAAUAAAUCAAACAAUUAAAAAUUUGUUGGGCCUUAAUACUAGUAAUUCUAGAUCUAUACUUGUAUUUUUGAAGUACAUUUUUAGCAGGUGUGACAAAAUGCAUUUGGAUACAAUGGGUAUCCGACCCGUUUACAAAUUUUGUUCAUAAAAAGUUUGUUGGGUCGUGUUAUAUUUAACUCAACUCAUACACCGGAUAUUCCAUAUUUAAUAAUUUAGAUAUUUAGAAUAUUUGAUUAAGAUUUAAAAUUAUGAUUCUCCUAUCAUCUUUGUUUGAUUUGUUUUUAACUGGUUUGAAUCAUCAUAUAAUACAUACAAUAAAAUAAAAAAAUCAAUUUUUUUUGCAUAUACUGUGAUUCGAAAUUUUAAAAACGGACGUAUAUUAUCCAAUUGACAAAAAAUGUGUGUUCAACAUUCCACAUCGACUAAAAUAUUUAGACAAUGAUUCAGAAUCAUAUCAUAAAUAAAAUCAACAUUAAUAAAAUAAAUGGGUUUUUUGGCCGGACGGGUUUGGCGGGACAUGUUUUUGAAUCAACAAGAAUAAAAAAAUAUAUCAUUAAUCCGCCACUUCAAUACGGAUUAAAUCUUUUUUUUAAUACCACUAAUAUUAGACAUAUCAAAUCAGUCUCAUUUAGAAAAGAUAGUAUAAAACCAAAAAUUGUCUCGUGGUAUAAUGUUACUUAAUAACAAUUGUAACUAUAAAAUAUAAAUGUCUUAGAGAAUAAUACAAUUUGCAAACUUUUAUAUAUAAUAAAUAACCGUUAAAUUUUUAAAAGUACUACUUUUAUAAAACAAAUCACGGGAGGGGUUAAGAAUUUACAGGACUGAUUAUAUUUUGGAACGGGGUUAUAUGGUAGACGAGUUUGAAUCAAUAUUUAUAAAAUUUUAAAAUAUCAUUAACAUGCCGCUUUAAUACAGAUUAAAUCCUGAGUUUAUGAAAAUAUAAAUAUCUUAAAAAAUGAUACAAUUUAUAAACUUUUAUAUAUGUUAAAUAAUCAUUAAAUUUUAAAAUCACUACAUUUAGAAAACAAAUCACGGGACGGGUUAUGAAAUUACGGGACGAGUUAUAUUUCGGAACGGAUUUAUAUAGGGAUGGGUUUGAAUAAAUAUUUAUAAAAUUUUAAUAUCAUUAACAUGCUGCUUUAAUACGGAUGAAAUUUUUAGUUUAUUAACAAUUAUCUUGUAGACUCAUGGUAUACUAAUUGUAAACUAAAAAAUAUUUAUUUUUAAAAAAAUAAAUUAUUUCGUGGUGUAGGCGGGUGAAAAUCUAGUUAUGAAGUUAAAAUAAUAAUGGUCGUGGGUCGUGACUCGUGACUAAAGUCAACAAAUAGGAAAGUUCCAUAAAGUUGCAUCAGAAAAAUCGGAGAAAAUAUGUGAAAUUGCUACUCACCAGUCACCACUGGCCAGUUUCUCGUCUGGCUUUCUCUUUCUCGUCAGAUUCUGAGACACAAAGUCGUUCUUCUUCUAAAAUUACUUUCUUUCACUCUCUCUCAAUGGUUUAUACAUCUUCUUCUUCUUCGAGCUCCUCUCGCAAUUGGGUAUAUGAUAUCUUUCCCAGUUUCAGAGGCGAAGAUGUCCGCAAAAACUUCGUCUGUCACUUUAUAAAAGAGCUUGAUCGGAAAUUGAUUACUGCAUUCAAAGACAAUCAAAUCGAGAGAAGCCGAUCGCUCGAUCCUGAGCUUAAACAAGCGAUUAGGGAUUCACGAAUAGCGGUGGUCGUGUUCUCUAAAAACUACGCUUCUUCGAGCUGGUGUCUUGACGAGUUGCUGGAGAUCGUUAGAUGCAAGAAAGAGUACGGUCAAUUGGUGAUUCCAAUUUUUUACCGUUUGGAUCCUUCACAUGUGAGGAAACAGACCGGCGAAUUUGGGAAGAUCUUUGAGAAGACAUGUCAACACAAAACAAAGCAAGUGCAAAAUCGAUGGAGCCGAGCUUUGAGUCAUGUUUCCAAUAUCCUUGGUUAUCAUUCUGUGACCUGGUACGACAUUUUUGAAUCAGUUAUUUGCGACUAUUUGGAACUAUUGUUUGAUCUGUGAAAUCAUUUUUCUUGUUAGGGAAAAUGAAGCAAAAAUGAUUGAAGAAAUAACGAAUGAUGUUUUGGGUAAAUUGAAUAUAACUCCAUCAAAGGAUUUUGAUGACUUUGUUGGAAUGGAAGGUCAUAUAGCAGAGAUGAGUUCACGGUUGUGCUUAGAAUCCGAGGAAGUUAGGAUGGUAGGGAUAUGGGGUCCCUCUGGAAUUGGCAAGACUACCAUUGCGAGGGCUCUCUUUAAUAGACUCGCUCGUCACUUCCGAGGUAGCAUUUUCAUAGACAGGUCUUUCUUGUGUAAGAGUACGAAAAUUUAUAGUAAAGCCAACCCGGAUGACUAUAACAUGAGGUUGCAUUUGCAAAGCAAUUUCCUCCCUGAAAUUUUAGGCCAAAAGCACAUCAGAAUAGAUCACUUGGGUGCAGUGAGAGAGAGGCUAAAGCACCAGAAAGUUCUUAUUCUUCUUGAUGAUUUGGAUGAUCAAGUAGUGUUAGAUACCUUGGUUGGACAAACACAGUGGUUUGGACGUGGGAGCAGAAUUAUUGUGAUUACGAAAAAUAAGCAUCUCCUUAGGGCCCACGGGAUUUGUUCUUUUUACGAGGUAGGCCUACCAUCCGAUCAGCUAGCUCUAGAGAUGUUCAGCCGGUAUGCUUUCAGGCAAAACUGUCCUCUUCCUGGUUUUAUUGAGUUCUCAGUUGAAGUUGCAAAACUUGUGGGCAAUCUUCCUUUGGGUCUUAACAUCUUGGGUUCGUACUUGCGAGGGAGGAUCAAGGAAGAUUGGAUCCAUAGACUGCAUAGGCUGCGGAAAGGUCUGAACAAACAAAUUGAGGAAGCACUAAGAGUUGAAUACGAAGGGUUAGGUAGCAGGAAAGAUAAGGCGAUAUUCCGUCACAUCGCAUGUCUAUUCAAUGAAGUGGAAAUCAAUGACAUCAAACUGCUGCUCGAAGAUAGUGACUUAGAUGUUAUUACUGGUCUUCACAACCUACUUGAUAAUUCCCUAAUACACGAAAGACGGAAAACUGUGCAGAUGCACUGUUUGGUACAAGAAAUGGGGAAGGAAAUGGUACGUAUACAGUCAAAGAACCCUGCGAAACGGGAAUUCCUCGUGGACUCAAAGGAUAUUUACGAUGUACUUAAUGGUAACGCUGUAAGUGCUCCUUUUAAUCCUCUAUGAUGAAAGUCUUUGGUUUAUAAUUAACUUAUAGUCGCUUGUUCAGAUAAGAACUUUACAUCUUCAAUUUUAUUUUCAGAAUGCUGAAAAAGUUAAGGGUAUAUCAUGGAAUCUAGCAGAUCUAGAUGAGUUGCACAUCCAUAAGAGAGCUUUUGAAAGGAUGAAAAAUCUCGAUUUUAUAAGAAUCUACGAUGAUUCAUUGGCAUUGCAUAUACAAGAAAAAUUGCACUUCCCACAAGGGCUCGACUAUUUACCCCCUAAACUAAGAUUUCUUAGUUGGGACGGAUACCCAAUGAGAUGUUUACCUUCUAACUUUCUUCCUGAACAUUUGGUUGUGCUGAGAAUGCGGAACAGCAAGCUAGAGAAGCUGUGGAACGGAGUUCAUGUAAAAUUUGAUACUUAUUGUUUAUUAGUGGGAAAAUUAUGCAUGCUAUUAUUUUAGUUUUGGGAUGACAAUCCUUUCACGUGAUGUGUAACUUACUUUCUGUUUGUUCUGUGUUUCUUCUCUUCAGUUGCCUAGAUUACUCGAGGAUAUGGAUAUGGAGGGGUCUAGUAACCUGACAGAACUCCCAGAUCUAUCAUGGGCGCCCAAUCUGACGACACUGAAUCUCCGCAAUUGUCCAAGUUUGGCGGAGAUACCUUCAUCUAUCAUGAAUCUCCAUUGCCUGAAGACAUUGACUCUUGAAGAUUGCACGAGUUUGGUGUCUCUUCCAGUCAACAUCGACCUGAUAUCUCUCUAUCGACUUGAUCUCAGUGGAUGCUCACGGUUUAGUAGAUUUCCUGAUAUCUCGAGGAACAUCUCAUUUCUCAUUCUAAACCAAACAGCGAUCGAAGAAGUUCCUUGGUGGAUCAAUAAGUUUCCUAAGCUCAUAUGCAUUGAAAUGUGGGAAUGCACAAAGUUAAAAUAUAUAUCCGGAAACAUUUCUGAGCUGAAACUCCUUGAGAAAGCUGACUUUUCAAACUGCGAGGCACUUACCAAAGCUAGCUGGAUUGGCCGUACAACUGUGGUAGCAAUGGUGGCAGAAAAUAAUCACACUAAGUUACCAGUGCUCAAUUUCAUCAACUGCUUCAAGUUAGAUCAAGAAACUCUCAUUCAACAAUCAGUUUUCAAGCACCUGAUCUUGCCAGGUGAAAAAGUGCCUUCAUAUUUCACAAACCAAGCUACCGGAAACUCUCUAGUUAUCCAUUUACUUCAGAGCUCUUUCUCUCAAGAAUUCUUAAGAUUUAGAGUUUGUCUCGUGGUUGAUGCUGACAAACCUAACCGCUCUGAGAAUGGCUCUAUUGCGUCUACCUGGGUAAGUUGUCACUUUACAUGCAAAGAUGGAAACUGUUAUGGUUCGGCUGAUUCUCGAAUAGCCAUUGACUUGCCACGUCAGAUAGAUAAUCAUUUGAUUAUAUUCGACUGUCAUUUCCCACUAAGCAAAGACAAUGGUUCUCUAGUUAAUCUGAAUUACGAUCAGGUGGAUUUAGAGUUUCAUUUCGCCAGUGACCCUUUGUGCAAAAUAAAAGAAUGUGGUAUACGGCUUUCUGAGGUUUGUCCAUCCCCGGAGUACCGACCGUGUAAUCUAAAUGUUCGUGCACAUGUUUGGGAAGGCAAUGAGAACAAAGCUGAUAGUGAUCUAGACAAUGAGACUGAAAACGGUGAAGAGACAGAGAGAAGCAGGAAACGAAUCAAGGUAACUAACCAUUGGUAGCUGAACUUAGUAAAUUCUUGGUAUCUCUAUUCACUUAAUGUCUCAAGAUUGAAUCAAAACUGUUUUCCUACAAUAAGAUUACACUGGAUUGUUCUUUUUUUGUAGAUAACGUGAAGGAUUAAUCAAAAAAAGCCAAACUACAAGAAACGCAGGAUACCACGUUUAACCUUCUGCUGCAAGUUUUGAGAUUCCGUAAAGCCCUGGUGAGAUUUUCGCUUCAGAAUCCUCUGUCAACAUUAAAUGCAUACUCUAGGCCAUUUUAAGUUCACUUGUAAGUCAGAGCUUUUUGUCACUCUUAAGAUUGGCAGUCAUCUGUUAAUUUAUAACUGUCCUUUCGAUAUAAACAAAGACUAUGAUCACUUGGAUAUAGAGUUUAGUACUUGUGAGAGCUAAAUAAAACGAUGCGGUAUAUGUCCUCCCUUCUGAUAACUGAUGUUUGUAAUCAUAUAAUAUUUGCAAAUGUUUAUGAAGCGGAUUAAAGUAAUUUCUUUGGAAGCCAUACUGCCAUAUUGAUUAUAGUGACUGUCUCUCCACAGCCUGUCAAGAAGUUUUCAGGUAAUCGAAAAAUCUCGCAAACACAUCUCAUUAUUUUAUAAUAAAACAUCAAUUGUGAGAUUCUGCAUAUGAACAUAUGCUUAAAAGAAUCUCUAAAUGAAGUUUCCAGCACUAUUAUUAAUGCAGACUGCAGUUCCAAUAUGGUUCUUGGCCUCCUCUCAUUGUCCUCUUUUUCCUCUCUUGCUAUGCUAUUAUCUUAAUUAGGAUCUUUGAGCAGAUUGUUUUAAGUCUACUAUAUCACCAGUAGUUUUUGUUUGUUCAAUUUUUACUCUAUUAUAAUGUUCUUAAGUUAUUUGUCUUCUCUUCUCUUUCUUAACCUGUUACAUAUUUCUGAGAUUUUCACUAGAAGAAACGAUCUGUUAUUCUGAAAACGUUUUUGCCUUCACUAUUGAACCAGUUGGACAACAUACAGUCAGGUGGUUUUGUGCAUUUCUCAUUGCAGAUGUGGGGGCUGUAGAAACUAAGCAAACACACGAGAUCACUUCCAACUGAUCUGUGUUAGUUAAAAAUGUCCAAAAGCUUUAAAUAAAGAUGCUAGAGUUACAGUGAAAUUCCUGAAGAAGUCUCAAUAUGUCAGAUGAUUUCCAGGCUUUCUAAGCAAUAGAGUUUGCAGGAGGGACCUUGAUUUAUAAUUUUUUUCGUAAAAGCCAUUGUAGCUGUAAUGCCAUACCUGCUUUACUAAGAGAAGAGCAAAGACAAAAAGCUCAGGCUUGGUGUUGCUUUAAAACGCUUUUUGUGCUAGUACAAUGCAGCAUAUUACAUGAAGAGAUGUUUGCAUUUUCCCACGCUGUUACCUUAAUUUUUUUAGUAAGUUCAACAACACAUUCUAUAAAGAUUAUAACAAAAAAUAGGUGGUAUAUGGGUUCUUUAUGCUUUGAUGUUUUCAAAUACAUAUGAAUAUUUAAGAAGGCCAGUAGUCUUAUAGCUACAUGAGUUUUAUUCUGCUUAUAAGUCAAGCUUCAUGUUACAUUUUGUUUGGAAUGUUCUGAAGUUUUCUUUUCUUUUACCAUGGUGGAUAUAGCCAUACAUGGUUUUCUCUCAAUCUAUUACUGAAAUUAUUAGCAAAAAUUUCUUUUUAUUCUUAAUGCCGAUUAGGUUAUUUCUUACAUUUUUUGCAGAGAUAUGAUGUGCAUGUGAUUGAUCUAAACAAAGUUGCUAAGGUCAGAAAGGUAUAGUUGUCUGACAUUCCUCUCUUUUGUAUCUUUCAAUUCAAUUACUCGGCUAUUAAAUAAGACUUGUAUUUUUAGGGUGGCAUAGUAGAAAGGUACACUGCAUUGAUGGUAUCAUUAGGUAUGCAAAAGCAAAUGCUGUGACUGGCCAGUCUGCAAUGCAGAAGGUAAUCUCACAUUACCAUUUGACAUUAGGAUUUAAUGAAAGAGAUAUAUAUGUGGUGUCUUCAUAAUAUGGAUACUACCGGUCUCGACACUUUGUGCACUUGUACAUUUAUGAAAGCAUCUUGUUGUAGCAAAGAUAGUCAAUUAAGUGAUUUUAUACAAUGGGGAGCUAAUUUGAUUUGUAUAGUGCUAAGCGUUGAGGACAUGAGACGUUCGAAAGCUUCAGUUUUACGUGAACUGAAAAUUACUUUAUGAGUACCAUAGUUACACUAAAAAAAUCAGCUUUCAAAACAACGUUAUAUUAGGUAAACACUAGAGUGCAACAGUACACAUCUUCUAGUGAAGCAUUUUCUGUUGUUUUUUUUGUGUAUAAUGUCUUGAAUUCAACUACCUUGAUACCAAUCUCCAAAUUACGAUACCAAUGAAAGCUUCUCUUCAAACCUUAGGUUGGUUGACAAGACUCUUUGGUAUUGGUUUCUGUAUGAAUCUCUUUUCUUUAUAUCAGUUUUGAUUCUUGACCUGGUCAAAGAACAUGAAAUUUAAAACUUGUGGUAUUCCGGUCUUGUUCUGUUUCAAUGCCUUCAUAUGUCUUUCUAUAUCAGGCUUUAGUUAGUUCUCAUGAUCUCAUUUCUAACAACUGCAAAACAGGCGUACGGGAAAUGUUUUCAGAAUCUUCAUUAUGUAGAGCGUCAUGAAGAGCACACUAUUGCACACGCAAUACAGACUUCUUACAAGAAAAAAAAAAGGUAUUUGUUUGAGUUCCCUUCUGACAGUAUGAUCUAUUGAUGCCACUUAUCCGACCUUAAUAAACUUGAAUCUGCAACUAGUUAUAUACAUAUGGCAUGUACCAACAACAACGGGAAAGAAAGCUAAGAGAGUUGUCCAAACAAUCUUUUGCUCCUAGCUGAUUUCAAGAACAUCAAAUCAAAGGUGCAUUUUUUUGCUUUAUCCUGAUAGAACAUCGAUUUUUGUUUUCCGUUGGAGUAAAAGUAUGGUUGUGGUCCAAAAUUUGCAGGCGAUUGGUUCAAGGAAUUCAUACAAAACAGGUUAGGCAGUUUUGAAGUCCUUGAAUGGGGUGAGUGGUCUGAGCUGAUGACGAAAAGUCAAUAAAAAGAGGACUAUAGUUAAAACCUUAUGAUCUGAACCAAUCUCAUUCCCUCUUUGUCAGGUCGAAACCCCAACGGCUGGUCAAUAGAAGUCAAGAAAUAUCUGCUGUGAAAGCUGCUGCGUUCAUGCCUUAUGGUAUGUAGUGUUGAGUUUUGGAUGAAAAUCCAAUGUUUGGUUUUAGAUUAGUAGUGUGUUUCUUACAUCACAAUUCACAACCGAAUUCAUCCUUUACGGUCUUGGUGAAAAAUAAAGUAGUUAAGAAUACACUAUGGCUUCACCAAUUACACUUAGUUUUGGGUUAUGGUUCUCGUGCUCUUUUUUUUUUUUGGUGUGAAGUUCUCGUGCUCUUGUUAGAAACGUUAUUUGAUCUGAUUGUUUUUUUAUUCCCUCCAUUGAUCUGAUUGUAUUGGCACUCAAAAGUUCUAAAUUUCCUUGCAUCCAAUGAGAUCCUAAAAUUCCAAAACUUCUAUCUUUGAUGGUCAAUUGUAGAUCUCGAUACUAGAUUGUGUCGAUUCUUUUUUUUUUUUGCCAAUAUUGUGUCGAUUCUUUAGUGCCUUGUAAUGUUACUGUUUGAAACGAAACUUUAGGAGUGUCAAACAGAUCCAACCUAACCAGAAAUAAACCAGGUGGAUUAAAAUAUAUAUAUAUAUAAUGCUUUAUUACAAGACCAUUUGACGAAUUCUUACAAGAAUGUGUUAUUUAUUUUGUAUUUUGUCGGUGAUGAUGUCGCAGUGAAUACACGUACACACCAUCCUUGUCGACUUCGAGAUCUUUCCAAAAUAUCUUCCAGAAAUUUCCAAUUUAACUCCGUACGACCCAAAAAAAAGGAAACUGAACAAAGACAAUGAGCAGCAGCGAUGAUCAUGCCGGAGAAUCUCGCCAUCGCCGUAACCCGAUCCGGUGGCUACUCGGCUUUGGUUUCUUCGUACAAGGAAUUAGAGGAUUCCCAUGGCUCGGAGCCAAUUUCUUCCUCACAGAACAGCUCCGUGUAAAUCCUUCAGUGCUUCAGCUUCUUCAAAACUCAGCCAAUCUUCCAAUGGUCGCUAAACCAAUCUACGGCGUUGUUUCAGACUCUGUCUACUUCUUUGGCCAACAUCGAAUCCCUUACAUCGCUAUUGGAGGUAUCAGACCUAUUCUUGAUAUUCUCUACAUUGUUCCUUGUUUUCUCGAAAUUGAGAAAAUUUGUUUCUAUGAAAAUGGUUUAUUCUUGUGGCUGUGGAAUUGUGUGAAUCAGAGUUGAUUGAGAGAUGAUUUGUAAACUAAUUAAGUCUUGUUCGUCUUAAUCUUUGAUUAUCGUCUUGUGAAAUUGUGAGUUAGUGCUUCUUAUGGCAAUGGAAUUAUGUGAUUCUGAGUUUUUCUUACUACUUUAUUUAGUCGUCUCAUAGUGGAUUUGAUAUUUUAUGUUUCUUGGAUCAAUGAAUUCUCGUUUAGUGUUAAUCUUUGGUGUUUUUUUGAGUAUUAUUUAGAAAGAUUCUUCUAACUUUUAGAUUUUUUUUUUUGUUGCAGCCUUGUUACAAGCAAUCUCAUGGCUAGCAAUAGCUUUCUUGUCAAGAUCCAAUGUAUCAAUCUUAGCUUUGUCGAUAUAUCUUCUUCUUAGUAAUCUCGGUGCUUCUUUAGUAGAAGUAGCGAAUGAUGCUAUUGUUGCUGAGGCCGGAAAGCAAAAAACCUCAGAGACGCAAUCCGGUGAGCUACCUUCGUUUGUUUGGAUGGCUUCUUCUCUUGGUGGAAUCUUGGGAAACCUUUUAGGUGGUAUUGCUAUUAAGACGUUUUCUGCUCAGUCAACGUUCCUCGUUUUUGGGAUUUUGGCUCUUCUUCAGUUCUUGGUAACUAUAAACAUCCGAGAAAAGUCUCUUAAUCUUCCGGAAAAUCCAUCACCAGCUGGUAUUAGAAAACAUCUCUCUGACCUUUCGCACGUGUUGAGGAAGCCCGAGAUUUCUUUUUCCAUAGCCUGGAUCGCGUUAUCAACCGCUGUAGUUCCUGUUCUGACUGGGACAAUGUUCUUUUACCAAACAAAGUUUCUGAAAAUCGAUGCAUCACUUCUAGGGAUCUCCAAGGUGUUUGGUCAAAUUGCAAUGCUUUUAUGGGGUUUUGCAUACAAUCGUUGGCUAAAAUCUGUACAGCCGAGGAAAUUGAUGACAGCUAUUCAGGUAACAAUAGCUGUCUUUGUGAUAUCCGAUCUCUUAUUUGUGAGAGGCGUUUACCGGGAUUUGGGAGUGUCAGACUCUGUAUACGUACUCUUCUUUUCUGGAUUCUUGGAAACUCUCUUUUACUUCAAGAUUCUGCCGUUCACCGUCUUGAUGGCCCGUCUCUGUCCUCCUGGAUGUGAAGGGUCUCUCAUGGCAUUUGUCAUGUCAGCCAUUGCACUUGCAUUCAUAGUUAGCGGAUAUCUUGGAAUCAUUCUCGCAUCAUUUGUCGGUGUAACAGUGGAUGAUUUCUCGGGGUUUACUCGUGGACUCGCUAUAGAAGCGUUCUGCGUUGGGAUUCCGCUGAUCUUAACUUCGUGGAUAUAUGAUGAAGCGGAAACAAAGGAGAAAAGUAAAAAGAUAGAAUGAGUUCAUUCGGGUUAAAGUGUACUUUGUAUAUCUUUGUGACAUUCUUGUGGUUUUAAGGUUUCGUAGUCUCUCAUUGUCUCAUGGCCGAACUGUCGACUGUAUGGCUUUUUCUUUGAUUUUGCUUCACAUCGGCUAAAAUCUUUCCAUGGUAGAAAGUAUGCUUUGUAUAUCUCUCAUACUUUGUUUGGUGUAAUUAGUGAUUACUUGUUUAUGUUCAUUUCAUACAUUUCUUAACUGUUUUUUUUUUUUUUUUGCCGUCUAAUAAACUUUAUUGAAAUCAAAAGGAUAGUUCAACAAACCAAAGACAACAGAGCAUGUAACCACAAACCAAAACAGAGCAUCCCAAAAACAGAGUAUUAAAAUUAUGAAAGAUGCUCUAAUAAAUUCAUCUUCUCUUUUCCUCUUCGAUACGGGAAUGGAGCCACAGCGGUCCACCUCGAGCUAAAUAGGAUCGUGUGCGACCCUCCCUUAUGACACUCACGGCAAUAUCUCUGGCGACCGAAUUCGCUUUGGUAGAUGAAACUUUAAACACUAUAUGACCAAAGGAGGAGAUUAACCUGUGUACCUUGUCCAGAUAAGAAUGAUACCUUGGCCAGUUGGAUGGAUCAAUAAUGGCUUCAAUAGCAGCACUGCAGUCUGACCACAUUUCAAUGUUAUCCAAAUGUAAAUCUAAAAGACUCCUUAAAACCCAAAGCAUCCCUCGUAAUUCCGCUGCAAUACGAUUUGAAGCAGGAAGAAACAUUUCUCUCGCAUGAAAGACUGCAUCUCCCUGAUGAUUUCUAACUAUCCAUGCUCCACCACACAUAUGUGAAUCAUUUAACCAAGACAUAUGGAGGUUACACUUAAGAAAAUCAAUCGGGGGUUUGACCCAAUGACCUUCUCUUCGAAAGACCGGGACAUUACUCAUAGAAGUUUGCGGUUGUAACUCCUUAAUCUUGUUCCACUCUUCCGCUUCUUCUAUUGCGUGACUAACCAGAGCAUUCAACUCACCCUGUUUCCCAGCAUAUAAAAUUUCAUUUCGGUGCUUCCAAAUUCCCCACAAGAUCCAUGGAAUCGCCAUUCUAAUCCUGAGAGACACACUCUCCUGUUUCAUAACUUUUAACAAGAAUGAUAUAUUGUCAUGGAUAGAAUCUGUGAAACCAUGAGGAGGAAAAAUGAUGUUGACGAUCUCCCAGACUUCACGAGCCGGCCAACAAUUGAAUAAAACAUGACUGAUUGAUUCAAUAGCGUCCUGACACAUAGCACAUUGAGGAUCAGAGUUCAUGCCAUGGGCUUGUAGACACACCGAUACAGCUAGUGCACCGGACAAAGCUCGCCAUAAGAACAUUUUGAUUUUAGGAAUAGUUUUGACCUCCCAAAUCUUCGCUUUGAGUGCACGAGACUCUUGUUCAUGAUCAGAAAUUAGAGCAGGCACAUGUUUCAAGUGAGAUAUCAACCAGUUACCACUCUUCACCGUGUAGCAACCAGACCGAUUAUAAGACCAUACGUAACUGUCCGAUGAAGCUAAAUUAGGAGGAUACGACAUUAUUCUGACAACAUCCGGUGGAAAGAACAGCUCCGAUAAUAAAUGAUGGUUCCAAGAGCCUUGGGGGGUUAUAAGGUUUGAAACGCGUAAGUCUAAAUCGAAAAGAGACUGUUUAUUGAAGGGACGUCGCGGAGUAUUAUCAAAAAUCCAUUUGUCUAUCCAUACUCUCGUUGUUUGACCAUUACCUAUGUUCUUGAUGAGACCUUUUGCAAGCAAAUCACGACCGUGAAUAAUGCUACGCCAAGCAUAAGACGGUCUGGCACCGAUAGCAGCAUCCAUAAAAUCAUUCCGGUGAUAAUAUCUUGCUUUAUAAACUCGAGCCAAUAAGGAAUUUGGCUUUGUAAGAAGUCGCCAAGCCUGUUUUGCAAGUAAAGCUUGAUUAAAAUCACCAACAUCUCGAAAGCCUAAACCACCUUCUUUCCUUGUUUUACACAUCUUCUCCCAAGAGACCCAAUGCAUCUUCUUCUUUUCUUCACAUGAAUUCCACCAGAAGCUUGUCAUUGCACUUGUAAUUUGUUGACAUUGAUAUUUUGUAAGUCUAAAGCAAGACAUGGCGUACACUGGUAAAGCCAUAGCAACUGAUUUAAGGAGGACUUCCUUUCCUCCCAAAGAUAAAGUCUUUGCAUACCAUCCAGUCAACCGGGUUUUAAGCUUUUUAGUAAUGUAAGCCAGCAAAUCACACUUAGAACCGCUAAAACACUCCGGAAGACCAAGAUACAUACCAUCGCCACCCUCUUUAAAAAUUCCAGCAAAUGUCUCAUAAUCGGCUCCAUCUUGUGACCAAAGAUAAUCGAUGAUUUUUGAAGAUUAAUCUCCUGUCCGGAAGCAUCACCAUAAAGUUUCAAACAAUGAAGAAUUUCAGCUCCUUCUUUGAAAUUAGCCCGGCAUAGAAAAAGACUAUCGUCAGCAAAUAGUCUUAGCGUUAGUCAAAUUUAACUAAGUGCUAAGUUUUAUCAAUGUUGGAUCUAAUUCCCCCAAAUCAAAUUCAGCCAAAACUAUUAAUCUACGGAUUUUUAUAUUUCUUUUUUUACUACACUUGUUUUAUAGUGUUCAAGUAAUAAAAAAAUAGGUUAGUUAAAACCUUAUAUUUAUAUUUAUAACUUUUUUAUAACUUUAGUAUACCUUUUGUAGAUUUAACCUUGCCCAUGACAUAUGACAAACAUAAUACACAAAUUCUUUGUUAAGGUCGACUAAUUUUAAGAUUAAGUCAGUCAAAUCAAUGCAAAAUUGAAGAUUUACUUAGUCAACAAUUAAAUUAAAGAUUUUUUUUUUUUCACUGAAAGAUUAUAUAUAAUCAAAGAGUUUUACACAUAAGCCGGCAAGAAACAUAAUUCUUCAAGAGACAAAGAGCCGGCGAGUUUAACUAAAACCCCUAGAAACAAGAGCCGACGAGUUUAACUAAAACCCCCAGAAACAAGAGCCGGCGAGUUUAACUAAAACCCCCAGAGACAAGAGCCGGCGAGUUUGACUAAAACCCCCAGAAACAGAGCCCCACAAAAGGGAAAACAAACAGAGGAUUUAAAACAAAAUCCAGCAUACAGGAAAGCAACUGAAGAUUCCAUAGAAGCAACACUGAAACCUCUUGCACACAAAUGACCGAUAAGCAUUUCCAUAGAACCAGAUGAUGCCAAAGAAGAGCUACAAACAGGAGCCUUGAGCAGAACCCAUCAUUAGAUUGCCUCCAAAACUGAAAGCCCGAGAAGGGAACAAAAGCAAGCCCACACAGCCAUAACUAUGGCAGAAACGAAACAGGUGCAGCAAGGAGAAGAGAAAACAGAACCAAUCAAAACACCAACACCAAGGAACCAGAGGAAACGAACACGCAAAGGGUCCAAGGAAAACCUUGAAAUCCGAAUGGGGAAAACACCAAAGAGGAACCCUACUCCUUAACACGGACCUUCGUCGACCUAGACAGAAGCCAUGAUCUACAGACCAAAGACUAGUAACGCCACGCAAAGAAAAGGAGUAGAGAACGAACCCACCACAUCGUCUUGAAACUAAACCCAAGUCACAAAAACUCAGGAAGAGAUAGUAGAUGCCUUUGUAGAGAGAUACCUUCCGAAAGAUGAACCCACAAAGCGAAACCUUAGCCAAACGACAACCUUCAGAAACUCUAGACGGAGUAAAAGAAAGGUAGAACCAGGAAACAAAAUUGCAACCCAACAACAUAGAGUAAAGCUAAAAUCCUCAAAAGACCACACUAUUCUAACCACAUAUCAAACUCAACCCCAAACUAAGCACAUAAAACCUUAAAACAAAACCUGGACAAAACAAAGACCAAACGGCAGAAGCUGCUGCAACUCUUCAGAAGAAACAAACAACAAUAAUCUUCCAAUGGCAAAAAGGCGAAACUCGGAGGAGAGAAAAAGGAGAUCUGAGAAUCGAUUAAAAACUGAAGGCCAUUGAAGUCGGAUGGACCGUAACUCUUACCACACAGCAAACAGAUCCAAUCAUUUCAGAUCCGUCGGGACACGCUCUGCUCUCCACGCGCCGACACGAGCCUUCAAACCACGCUACCACAAACUUCCAACCCACACUGCCACAGAUCUCACACCAAAAGGAAAGAAGAAACUAUCCAGGCAAAACAAAAAGGAAGACACUACUCAAAGCUAAACAGACCCUUCACGGCAAAGACGGCAAGCCGCCGGUCACCGGAAGGGUUUCACAAAUUCACCCUUUUUUCUCUCUCGAAAGCUUUUUUUUUUUUUUUCCCACUCCCACUUUGGUAAAAAAAAAAAAAAAAAGACUAGUCGAGGUGUUCUAAAAUUUAUUCCAAAAAGGCAAAAACCAUUGGUUCAGUUUAAGGCUAAAGUCUUUAGAGCAACUUUAAUGGAGGUUUCUUAGGGCAUAUGCAAAUGUGCAUCUUUGAAGUUUGAUCUUAAGAGAGAAAAAAUAUUAAAAUAUGGUAAGAGCUUUAAUUAAGAUCUUUUGUAAAGUAAGUGAUUAUUGGUAGAACAUGUUUAGAUCAUAGGAAUUGAUUUGAAAUUGAAAUAAUGUAAGAUCAUUAAUUUACAAUUUUAAAAACUUUAAGAAAUAACUUUUAAAUUGCAAACUUAAAAAACUUAUACUAAAAUAGAUUUGAAAAUAAGAAGAAACACAAAAUAUAAUAUCAAAUUUUUAUGAAACAAAAAAGAACAUUAAAUAUAUAAAUAAAUAAAAACAAACAAACAAACAUAUUAUUUAAUUAAACCCUAGCAUAGAUUUCGGAUCGAAGGAUAAAUGAAAUGUUUUUUUCCUUUGCAAAAAUUCGUAGUCAAUGAUGAAGCGCCACGUCACGCUAAAACUGGGCCAAGAACAGUUCUACAACAAGAACAGAUCUACAACAGAUCUACAACUAUUCACAAUAUUUUCUAUUUUUAAAAGCCUAAGAACACCCUAAGUGUUCUCCCUUUAAAUAUGGUCUUACAAGAUACCUUAACAUUAAAAUAUUUUUAAAAAAUUGAAAAAGAGGAGAGAGAACAAGAGACAUACCUUAUAUAAGGAAUGUUUCUAAACAUUUUAGAAACAUUUUGUACAUUUGUCUUUUUUUUAGUGGUCUAUUUAUUUUUAUAUUAAAAUAUUAAUAUUUAAAAUAUAAGAAACUCAAAACUUAUUUCUAACCAUUGUGGUUGCUCUUAUCCCCUAAGAGAGAUCUUCAGCUUAUAAAUAAAUAUUAUAAAGAAAAAAUCACAACAUUCAGUAACAUACGCAAUCGAUGAUGUCACAGAAACCCGUGAUGGCUGUUGUUUAGUAACGUAAAGCUAAAAUAAGCUAAAAUAAAAAAAGAAAUUUUCACGUUUAACAUGAAAAAAAGAUUUGAUCUCACCCUUUGGCAAAGUGAGAUUCAAUUCUCAUGUUUUGACAGUUAUUCCAUUUUAUGACGAAAAUGCCCCUGACGAAAAACCAAAUGGCACAGUUACGUUACGGUUUAGUUUCAUAUCGCGGUUUAGUUACUUUUUGUUUUGAAUAAAAAAAAAAAAAAAAUUCAAGAAAACGAAGAAGAACAUUCAUCAUCUUCGUUCGACAUCUCCGAGAGAUUCGAGAGAGAAGUAGAAAUCAGUUCGGAAUUCAUUCAUCCAUCUUCGUUUUCGACAUCUCCGUUCGAAUUGUCUGCUACUUGAUUUGAGGCAUUGCAUUGAACUCAAAAAACCGGUGAAGAGAAAGUUCCAGUUUUUCCGGCGAAGGCGACCUGAGAAACAUCUGGCGAGAUACCAACCUUCGAGAUGGCUGGGAAUAAACCAAACGACGUAGUCUCUAGGAAGAAGCAUACGCAGGAAGGCCCCGAGAAGGACAAGGUGGAACUCAGAGUAUCCCCGAGGAGGAAACUCCCUCCGAGAAAUCCGCCGGAGGAAUUGGGUAAGUUCCGAUAUUAUUCCGUUUGUAGUUUCUUUGGGUGUAUCGGAAUCUUAAAGCUUGUUUGAUUAAAGGGAUAGAAGUUGCCGGAUUUUGCUAUAUCUGUAGUUUGAAAAUUUGAGAAGUUGAAUUGGAAAUCUCUGUUUCCGCCAAAAUUCAGAUGUUGAGUAUAUAAUGAUGAUAAUUACUGUGUACGUACACGAAUUCAUACAUCCGUACUUAAUUGUAUAUCACUUGUAAUUGCAGGCAGUACAAGCGUGGCUCCGACUGAAGAUCUUAUAGUUGAAGAGUUACCACCUAGACUCUUUGCCCUAGACCGGUACCCUGUCAAGACGAAGAUGAACGCGUACUCCAAACCGGAGUACCUUUCUGACAUAGCACAAGUUCUUAAGGGAAAAGAGGAGAUGAAGUUUCUUCUCGAGUCUCCAUUUGGGGACCUUUUUAGGAUACCUGCUAACAAGUCUUCUUUCUCAGGUAAACUUGUUCUUGGACUAAUAUGUCGUCAGUUAGUGACGAGUAAAGUGAAUGAGAUGUGGAUGGUCUUCGGCGGUCAUCCAAUAAAAUUCGGAUUAAGAGAAUUUAGUCUGGUAACUGGUCUAGAAUGUGGGACAUAUCCCAACAAGAAAGACGUGACGGAUGUGCUAAAGGUUAAAGCUGGUAGUCAAAGUGUCUGGAAAACUCUGUUUGAGGAGAAGUUUGGGGAGAAGCCGAAUCCAACAGUGCAUGAUUUGGUGGUCUGGCUGAAGGAGGAGGAAACCAUGGAUGGGUGGAAGCAGCUGGCCUUAUCUCUUAUAAUCUUGGUAGAUGGUGUGAUAGGGUGCCAUAAUAACCCCAUAAGGCCUUCUGAGUUCACUGUUGAGAUGACGAAGGACGUGCAAUUCUUCUGCAAAUACCCUUGGGGAAGGGUGUCUUUUACCCGUACUUUGGAGAGGAUAGCAAAAUUCCAAACCCCUUCAGAUGCUCAAAAACUGAUAAGGUGUGUAAAGGAUGGGUCUUAUGCACUACAUGGAUUCCCAUUAGCACUCCAGCUGUUUGCGUUCGAAACAAUCCCAUCCCUUGCUAAGCUAGUACCUGAUGAUGAACCUAACAGGACAUUUACUCAGAGGUCUAUCCAUCAUCUUGCCUCACUGCGGGCAAUCAGGACAUCCAGCAUCUUGGAGUGUGAGGCUGCUGAAGAGGUAUGUACAAUUGUUUAUGUACGUACAUUAUUUAAAAAGUAAGUGUACAUUCUCUAAGUGGUUAACAAACUUAUUGGUGUAGGUUGAGGUAACCUAUCUUGUGAAACCAAAGGACAAUAUUUGUCCUCCAUCCCUGUCAUGGGAUGAUGAAGUUGAGGAUCCAAGAGUUGCUUACAUUGAGCGACUGUUGUUAGCUGGUCAUGAGUGGAAGGAGGAAGAAUGGGUUGGAGGUAAUGCUGCAUUUCCAAAGCAGGAGCGCCCACCACAACUUGGAGAGAUACGUGAGUGUAAAUGUUGUUUUUAUACUUUCUGAUUAUUGUCCCUUGAAGACCAAUCAAUGAUUAAACUGGUCUAUCGUAGGUGUGAAGAAGAGGAAAAGAAAUGUACCAGCCCCGAAUGCACCUGCUUUGAAAAAACAGAAAUCUGUUGUGGAAGAAGAAAAUGAGGACACUGCUGAGGAUUGUUCUGAAGAUCCCCAGUUUGAGAAGUUUGUAGUUGAACUUAGGAGGUGUUUCAAGAGGCAGGAAGCACAAAAUAAAUAAAUGCAAGAAGAGUUGAAGAAAUUUGUCCGUAAGGAGAUUCGUGCUGCCUUAGAUCCAAAGGUCAAAAAGACAGAACCAACCAAAACUUCCCAUGCUUCACAGGGCCCAAAUAAAUCGGUGGUUAAGGCACCGAUGAGUGUGAUGAAGGCAUCUAAAAAGAUGUCUACAAAGAAAGUCUUCAAGUCUGGAACAAGAAAGUCUUCAAGGCUGAAGAAUAUAAUGACAUCAGUUGCUGAGAUUACUCAGCUUUCUGAUGGUAACUCUUCCUCUGAGGAAGAUGACCAGGUAUGGCAUGUACGUACAUUUAUAUAUAGUAUUUUAAAUGUACGUACAUGAAGAUUAAUAACUGUAACUUGUCUGCUAUGGUACAGGAUGAAGCCAACAAUGAAGGUGGUUUUUCUGUAAAUGAUGGAGGAGAUUUUUCGAACAGAGACGAAGGUAUGGUUGACACUGGAGUAGCUAACAUUUCAGUUGGUGGACCUACACCUUCCCAUCAGGUAUGUCGUGUACAAAUAUUUUUUUCAAUUAUUUCCAGUUGUGUACGUACACAUAGGCUUCAUAAGUGUAUGGUAUACUAUGUUUCAGGAUGAAGGAGCACGUGAUGGUGGUGAGUCUGUCCUUGUUGGUACACAGUCAGGGACCGAGGAAAAAGCUAGUGCUGACACAGAGAUGGAAGAAAUUCCAUCUCCUGUACCUUCAACCUCUGUACAGGUAUGUCUUGUGCUAAUAGUCACAUACUGUUUUCCAUAAGUGUACCAUUAUCAAUUAUUUUCAGUUCUCCACGUACAUAUAGCUUAAAAAGUGUAUGGUAUACUAUGUUUUAGGAUAAAGGACCAAUUGAUGGUGGUGAGCCUGUCGUAGUUGGUACACAGCGAGGGACAGAUGAAAAACCAACUGCUGACACAGAGAUGGUAGAAAAUCCAUCAUGUUUACCUGCAACAUCUGGACAGGUAUAUGGUCUGCUAAUAGUCAAAUGUAGUUUUCCAUAUGUGUACUCACAUAAAGCUUAAGACGUGUAUGGUAUAUUUGUUUCAGGGAGAAGAACAUGGUGCCGGUCUUGAGAGUGAAGCAAAUGUUGGGGAGCAACCAGAAAUUUCUGAGGAUAAUGAUAGAGAUACAUCUUCUCAGGCUGAACACACCGAGGAACCCGGUGUAAGUGUACGUACAUUUGUCUUUCUUAUUUCCCGUGUACGUAUAAGUAAUGAUUGUUUCAGACAUCACAAAAUAGAGUAUAUAGCCGAUGAAGUUGAUAACUACUGCCACAGGUUGAUGCGGGAGAUGUACCCAAUGUAGUUGCAGAGAGUAAAGUGGAUGACUCAGUACUUGAGGACACCCUAAGGGAUCCCCCUUCACCAUUUGCAGUAGUUAAGAAUGUAAGCUAACUAUAUUUUUAAAUAAAAUAGUGUAGGCUUGUUUAAAUUUAUAAUCUUCUAUUAUGAAGGUGUUACAGGAGUUGGCAACGAAAGCCUCCAUGGAUGUGGAUGCAGCUAAUGUAAAGGAGGUAAAAAUCUCGUGUUUGGUUUAAAAUUAUACAUAGUUAUUAACAUACGUACAUAGGAUUGUAUGCGUACAUUUAAAUAAUUCUGCACGUUAAUUUGAAAAGGGAGUGUUGGAGCAGCAGGGGAUUGUCGACGGGGUGGAAGAACAAGAGGAUUCAAACCCAGGGUUAGAUGAAGCAGACACGACAGUUGGUACACUAGAAAAUAUUGUGAGUAUCUUCCCAGUAAAUAUUAUCAUUACAUUUUGAAAUUGUUUAAUCAUGCUGUUUACAAUAAUACUUCUUUACAGGAUGAACCAAACAACGAUGCUGCAGUCAAAGCAAUAGCAGUUAAAAUUCCUACGCCGGUUGUACCCAAAAAAGUGAAGAAGCAAAUAAUUGUUGAGAUGGAUGAAGCCCUUCCGGAAGGUUUUAAGGAAACAACAGUCCUCGUGGAGGAUGUUCCUGGACGAGCUGAAGAUUCAGAGGUGGUUAUAGCGGCUGGAAAUGUCCCUUACAACCCCUUGGAGAAGGUUGAUGCUUCCAAAUUAGAGCUCUUAACCAAUGUCCUCCACGGUCCGAAUGUGUAAGUAUCGUGCAUUAUCAAAAUUAUCCCUUAAUUGAUACAUUGGUUUUCUAUAACAACCAGUCAUACUAUAAUAUUGGAUAUACAGGAAGCACACUCUUUUCGGGUAUCGCAAAGUGGACAACGAGUUUUUCUCCAUGCUUAUAGCACAAGGACAGUGGGUGGAUAAUAUGGUAAGUUGAAAUAGUACAUUUGUGUACAUUUUUUAAAUAUGCCUGAAUUGUACGUACACUGACUGCCUAUGCUAUUAUCAUUUCAGGUCUUGGAAAUGCUCGCAAUCUUGAUGUGGCACAAGAACGGUCAACAAAUGAUAGCAAACCGAUGCGUUGUUUUGGACUCCUUCCUGCUUUAUAAGCUUACUAAGCGUGCUGUCAGCUUCAGGAAUUGUAUAAAUAAGCUUGGGUUCAAAUGGGGCGACCGGCUAUACGACAUGGCCAAUGGAAUACACAUACACCGUGAACCUAGUCUUAGGUGGUUCAAGGAUGUCGACGUGGUAUAUGCUCCGAUGAACUGGAAAGGUGAUCAUUGGGUUGGGUUGGCAAUCCACCUCAGAGCCCGGAAUAUAGUUGUCUAUGACGCUCUCAUAGAACACACGCGGGAGUCUGUUGCAUGGUCAAAGAUGCAGCCUGUCUGCGAGAUGAUGCCGUACCUAGUGAGAGCGAUGUGCGCGGAUGUAUUGCCUGAGAAGUACUCAGUUGAACCUUUUGCCUAUGAGAGAAAUGUUAUGGUCGCUCAAAACCCAAGUACAGGAGAUUGCGGGCCUUACGCAAUGAAGUUCUUGGAGUUGCUGGCGUUUGGUAACCCAAUGUCAGACUUGGUGAAUAUUCAAGAAGCAGAUAUGGCCACCUACCGUCAGGUGUACGCAACAGAAAUCUACGAGCACGGCAAGCGCGAGUGUGGUAAUCGGCGUUUAUUGUAAUCAUCCCUGGAUGUUGAAUUAUUUUUAUUUCCUAGUACUUAUUUCCUUAUUUCAACAACCUAAUUAGAACAACGUAAUUAAUUAUGGAGAUCCUCAAAAUAUUUAUGUAAUCGUUAUAACUAUCUUCUCUAAACAAUCUGCACAUCGUACACUUAUUCAAAAACCAACAUGUGUACGUACAUCUUAUAUAACGUACGUCUUUUACACAAAGUCGAUUUUUCUCAUAAUAAGAUAUCUAUUUCUUUACUUACAUUGAUUUGACAACCCUCCCUCACUGCAUCAUCACUUACGUAAGAUUGCAUUAACUACAACCAUAACUUAACCAACUAACUUCAUUGUUCUUUAUUUAAGAGUAGGAAUUGCAUUGUUUUGAAACACCAAAUUCCAAGAAAUGUCUACACCAAAUCUACCUGAAGAUUUGCUAGCCAAGAUAGCCAAAAAAAUGGCUGACAAAUGUUGGUGGUACCUCGGACCUCUGUUAAGAUCAGGGCGUGGUGGAAGAAACAUUGUCUACAGGCCGGAUGUCUUGAAAGAUGCUAAUAUUUAUAGCAUGUGCAGUGAUCCCGAUGACUUCCAUGCGGCAGGCCAUGAUCCGAAUGACAUCAACGCUGAAGGUCGAUAUAGACCCUUUUUCAAAAGGUGUCUAGAGGCUGGUAACCCGAUUGCUAUUUACCAUGAAGGACUGCGUCUAGUUACCCAUGAGUCUGACAUUAAGGGCGCCAUUGUACUUUUACAGCGGAAUGUACCAAGGCACGCCGAUGCAACCCUGGCCUGCGCUAUUCUGUGCAUAUGCGACGGGAAUGCUCACAUGGGUGGUGUGUACCUACGCCUGUUCGCAAACAACCAUUACGCUUUGGAAUCAGAAGAAACACGUGACAUGUGUGAGGAACUCCUAGAAGAAAUAAAAAAUUAUGGAAUUAGGUUAAACAACACAUACGGCGCAACCUUUUCGUACCCUGAGGAACGUGGUAUUCAAACGCCUCCUUGCGCGAUGCUGUGUUACAUCAGAUCUGGACCCUUCAAGAAUGUGUGCAACGUAUGUUACCUCUAGUGGUGUGCGAGAAGAAUUAGUCAAAUUCUCUAGGGAUUUCUUACGUAAUAUUAUCUGAAUUUCUAAGUUUUUAUGUUAUAAUAUGUGGCCUUUGCAAUUGUACUUUGCUUAUCAGUAAUGAAUAUCUUUUUAUCUACAUCCUUGCUUGUUUCUCAUAUACUACUCAAUCUUAUGAAUGGUUACAAAUAAUUGUAAUAUUUUAUAUUAAAUUGAGAAACAAGUUUCUUAAUGUUAGAUAAUGGUGCCUUGUCUACACAGGCUAACGAAUUAUCAGUAAAUACAUACUGACCUGAUUUAGCCAUUGAUAAUGACCUCUAUCUUUUCAAAAAAAAAAAAAGAAACGCAAAUUAAUGUACAUAUAUACGUACACAUCCCUGUAAUUAAUGUACACUGUCUUUUGUCAGAUAAAACAAAAUUGCAAAAGAAAGAGAUUUGGUUUUUAAUGCGUUUCCCCCAGAUUUAGCCAUAUACAUGAACUCAAUCUUUUCCCCUAAUUCGGCGACAGACAUCAACUCAAACUUUUAGUCAGAGAACGUUAUAAUGGUAGACAUACGUACACGGGUAUACGUUACUGUGUACACGUAUUUUAGUUGGUUUGAAACUAGAAAUAUGAGAAGCGACUUUCGAGAUGGUAGUAAAUGAUGAUGCAAUGCUGAUUGAUUUUACCUGUAAUAACCCAUAUCUACAAGUUUUGGAGUGGUUAUUUAAUGCAUACUGUCAAGCUCUAUUCAUAGAAUGACCUCUAUCUUUUCGCAUAAAUCUCCUUACUUUACGUACACGGUUUGCAAUUAAUGUACACUUGCAUUUGUCAGAUAAGAGGAACUUUAAAAUAAUGACACUUUAUUAAUGCGUUCCCCCCCAAAUGUAGCCAUAUACAUGAACUCAAUAUUUAGGCCCUAUAUAAACGAUAUCACACACACUAAUUUAUUUGCUCACAUUAUUCUAAAACCUCCUUCUUUCAUCAACUGCAAGAUUAUUUCUAAACCUCCUUUGUUAACAACAUGGCUUUCCCCGCAACCCCUCCAACCGAGAUGUACCUUGCAAUACAAUUGCCAAACCCGAUUUCCGUCCUCAUCAACUACAUGCCCGUAUCCCAGACUCCCAUCGAGACCCUCCGCCACUUGGUCGAAGCAAGUGACGUAAACGCAAUAGUGAUGGACGACUUCAUCACAUGGCCUCACUUCGUGCAGCCGGAGUCUCCCUUCAGGGCCUACUUCAGUCUCUUGCUGGAAAGGGGUGCGAUCCCGGCUAUAUACCUCGAAGGUGUCCGCCAGGCAAGGAGCUUCCUAACGGUGGCCCACGGCAUUACACUACUCAACUCCGUCGCUCCAUCUAACCCUCUCGCCUGCUUCGCGACCGGCUUAUUCCUAACUUGUACUGGCAACCAUGUCGACUUUCUUCCAGUCAGCGAUAUGUUCUGGGUGAUGACACCCACAUUAACGGCAGCUCACGCAGUGGGGGAGAUGGUGAUGUAUCACAUAAGCCAGCUUCACACCGAAGGUCCUCGGCUCUGGCAACGUUCAUGGAUGUAUGUGCACACACCGGCAUGUGUUGGCCUUUGCACGUACAGUUCCGGCUGCAGAGGGUGUUUCUUUUACUGGUACGCGAGGGAGAUGUGUGUCUUCUAUUAGAUAUGACUUUGAUAAUGACGGAUGAGGCAUACAAUUUUCCGGCUCAUGUGUAUGCUUCGGGCUCUACUUUUUAGUUUAUUGCUUCCGCAUCUAAUAUAUAGUUUGUCUUUCUUGAAUGUAUGUCCUUCUUCGGGCACUUAAUUAUGAAUGAAUGAAGUUUUUGUUGUUUGAGGACAACAAUUAUGAUAUAUGUAUGUUUUCGUGUACGAACACGGGUUUCGUACAAUUUGCUGAUUGAAGAACCAAAAAGCUAGUAAAACGUACACUGGCAAAUUAAUUGUAAUUGUAGACACUGUACGUAUAAAAUGUACGUACAAUUACCCAAUAGUUUAUUAUACAAAUUCAAGUAAUUAGAAAACGACAACAAGUUUAUGUAGUUUUACAAUACUUAAUAUAAAUCUUGUCUUUAAUAAUAAGAAGACUGGGGAAAACAAAUCCCCCUAUCUAAAAAACGACCUGCUUGAUCUCUUCCACUUCCGGUGUGUCCGGAUCGGCAAAGACCUUUGACACAGGACCAUGACUCACAACCUUAGGAUUAGCUCUGUCGGUUAAACGCCAGAAGACGAGUGCGACAACAACAUUGCGCUGACCUAGACUCCGAAAGAAGGUUUGGAAUUCCAACGCCUGUUCAUUGUGUGCUUCGCAUUCCAAAACUUCGUUGCUACAUUAGAUUAAAAGAAGAAUCAAGUCAGCGUUUAGAUUAAAAAGUGUAAGUGAAUCAAAUGUGAAAAGAACAUUUACUAUCUAUCUUUGAUCUUAAAAGGAAGCUUGAGACCGUAGAAGUCUCCGGUCAAGUGGCCAACCUCCAACAACGCUCCAAUGACAUCUACAUCAAGGGCCAAAAAAUAGAAAUAAACUUCUAAUUUCAAAAAUGUGUAAAUAAAACGUAACUUAAAAAACAUCUCACCGACUAAAACUUUCUUAUCAACUGUUUUCUCCAAAAUGUAGUCGAAUUGAGUGAAAUCGUAAAACGAUAUUGGGUCCCUUCGUAAGGCGUUAGUAACGACGGUCCGAUCCAUAAACCAUAUGCCGUAGUCAUGAGAUGUUGCUCUCACUGGGUCAGCGACGUUACGGACCAAGAAAGUGGUCACAAUUUUCCACUCAUUUUCUUUGAUUCGGUCUAUGUAAAAAGGAGCAAGGCGACGAUCAAUGGUGGCCUCGAUACGGGAACGGGAUCCCUACAGAAUAUGAUAUAUAACAGAUUUAUAUAGAAUUGAACCUAACGUAUGAUAAAAAAACACAAACACGGCACAGGGAAACUACCGAAUUAUCUGCCAAGAUAAGGCCGAGUUCGAAGAUGUUGGGCGCAACAAACUUCUUAAACACUCUCACGACAAAUACACAAAUUGUCCACCCAGUGAUCUGAGGACACAAUUCGGAGAUGGUGUGAUAUCCGUCCAUCACACGGUUAGCAAGAACAAUCGAAAGACUUUGUGUUUGAUUGAUGUAACUGCCGAAUGUGAAAGGGUUUUCGUUUGAAGGAACGUGGAUAAAAUUAAGGAGGAGAUGUGGCUUAAAUAAGGAAAUUCCGUAACGGACGCGGUGGGUAGUGCGAAAGUGUUCCAACGGUUGAGAUACAAAUGUGUGUAACCGUUUGUAACCGUUUAUUGCAUGAAGAUUAUACGUACACAGACACAACAAACACGUACACUAACAAAAACGUACACUCAGAAAACGUACAUAGUUAUACGAUGGCAAACAUUAAACGUACGUACACCGUCACAACACUUUGGUACACACUGUCCACACAUAAACGUACACUGUCUUCGCGGAGACAUAAAGCUUAUGAGGAGAACUAAAUAGGAUUUUUGCAAGUCUUCUUGUUAUGACCUGCUUGUCUACAUCGUGUGCACUGAUUCGGAAUAAGUCUUUCUGUCUCUUUUUCUGAAAUGACAACAACAAUAAGUUAAUAAUCAACGUAUCUUAUACUCAAAACAUAAUGUUUGAAAAAUCUGUACACGUUUGAAUGAUAGCACUUACCCGGUUUUCACCUCUAGAUGGAAUCCUUUUGGUUGUUGGUCUUCCUGGUGGUCGUCUACAGUAUGGAGGAAUUAGUAUCAAAUCCGAUAUAUGUUGUGGGAUGACAACAUCCUUCGGAUCCGCGAUAGGUAGAAUCGGUUCUUGAAAAGAAUCGGAAAACGUUUGAAGGUCAUACCACCAUCCUACAACAACCUUCGGAUCUAUUCCAAACUCGAUUGCAGCUGCUAGACCGUGUUCACAUGGGAUUCUCAACUUUGUGUACCUAAGACACGUACACGUACACUCGUCCAGAACGACAUGAAAAUGCUCACCUGACUUGCUUGUAACUUGAUAACUCCACGGUCCAGACAUCUUCACCGCGAAUUUCCCUGACGCAGGCAAAUCUUGGAGAAAACGCUCAUCAACCUCAGGCGUCACUAAAGACUUACACCUAGCCACUUUUUGCCUCCUCGCUGCGAACCAUCGCAUUAGGACCUCUCGAAUGAACUCUAUCAUGUACACAAUCGGAUAUGAUUUGGCUCUUGUUAAGACAUUAUUCAUAGACUCCGAAUUGUUGCUAGACAUGAUAUUGUAGCGUUCCCCUUUACAGUAAGCUCUUGUCCAAUGCUCAAAUCCAAUUUCCUCUAAGUAAUUUGCGCAUGCAGCACUCUUAGCCCUUAACUGUUCGAAGUAUUUUUCAAAAUCUCUCACUCUGUAAGCUUUAGCAGCGCUGAAGAAUAAUCCAGAUACACCAUACUUACCAUAAUGGGUGGAGAUAUUUCGCUCAAGGUGUACUGCACAUGCACCAUGAUGAGCUUUCGGAUAAACCACACUGAGGCCUUUAUAUAUUGAAGAAUGUCUGUCCGAUACAAUCAUUAAAUCUUCACUAUCUGGAACAAUGUCAGCUAAUUUAUCAAAGAACCACACCCAUGAAGCGUCAGUCUCACCAUCCACAACACCAAACGCUAUUGGAAAUAUUUGGAAGUUCCCGUCUUGGGCACAUGCAAUGAGGAGACAUCCCUUGUAACGUCCUACUAGCUGCGUUCCAUCUACGACAAUUACCUUCCUCAUAUACUUCAGACCUUUUAUAGAAGCCCCGAGAGAUACAAAAACAUACUUAAAGCGCUGCGUACCAUCAGCUUCAGGUGUAGAGUGUAGGUGAGUUAUCGUACCCGGAUUAGCUAAUUUAAGAAGAUACAAAUAGGUAGGCAAAAACCUGUAACUUUUUAUAUCAUCCCCCCUUAGAUUUUCCACUGCAACCUCUUUAGCUCUCCAAGCGGUAGAAUAUGAAAUCCGAACAUUGAGAUCAAUUAGGAGCAACUGUGGUAAAUCGACAGCUCUCGGACCCCCUUGCGUAGAACUGUAUCUGCUCUUCACUACCUCUCCGAGAAGCUUAUAACUAGCAUGUUUAUUAUAAUUCUUACGAGUGUCGAUGUCACACGUAUGGGUGGUAUCAUACGAUGUGAUUUUGAAACAUUCUGAAUUCUUGACAACUUGAGCUGUCAAAUGCCAUGGACAAGUAUCAUCAACGCAGACCAUCUCCAAUCUUGUAGGACAUGACCUACGUUGCUUGUAGCAAAAGCAUUGUUUGAUUGCGAGAUAAGACAUUGUUUGUUGUAUGACUUUUCUGUUCUUAAAAACACUCCCGACAUACAAAGUCUCACCUGUCGUACUCAGUUCGACUUGUGUCUCAUCAUCUCGUAAAUUGGCUAAAUCAUCGAAUACCGGAGCAGCAUCAUUAUCGAGAAUCUCCAACUCGCCACCAUGUAAUGUAGAAAAGUCAUUAUACACUUUGUAAGCCUCAGCUGCGGUAACUAACCGAUUAUCAUUCAGUGUCCCACUUGCGGAAGCUCCAAUACCACGGUCGAUAGUGACUUCGUAUAUACCAUUAAUAUUGGUAUCCGUGUUACCUUCGCAGCCUGUAUCUUGUACACACUCUGUAGUGUACGUACAUUGGUACAAACCAUGUUGACACGUACGUCUUGGAGUCACCGUUGGUGUACGGUCACCCGAAUGAGAAAUGUUAUCUCCGCCAGGUGCAGUAACUAGCCGAUUAUCAUUCAGUGUCCCACUUGGGGAAUCUCCAAUACCACGGUCGAUAACAUCAUCCCCAGAGACAUCGUCUAUACCAUUAAUAUUGGUAUCGGUGUUACCUUCGCAGCCUGUAUCUUGUACACAUUCUGUUGUGUACGUACAUUGGUACAAACCAUGUUGACACGUACGUCUUGGAGUCACCGUUGGUGUACGGUCAACCGAGUUAUCUCCCCCACGUACACGAUGACUUGUGUACGUACACUCUGCCAAUAGACGACUGAAUUCCCCUGGAUGUUGAACCGUUUGUUGAGUGAGAAUGACGUCCUCCUCAACAUUCCCUAUUCCAUAUUCUUCAAUAAUUAAAUCGUUCCACUUGUUGUAAUCGUAAUCUUCGCCACUGCCUUCACUACCGUCUAUAGUAGGAUCGAGGGUACUUCCCCCCAUAGAUCCAUCAUCACCCUGAUAAUCAUCAUACCCAGCACCAUCUUCGUUGUCCUCCUCCUCUUCUUCAUCCUCAUCUGUUUUAUCGUCUUCAACGUCGUCUUGCUCAUCUACGGCCUCAUUAUUUCCAUCUACAUUUGAAGCCGCUACGAUGGGAUUUGGUGUCGUUGCACUCCCACACACACGGUAACUCUCACCAUCGGUCCUAGGGACAGUAUUCCCGAGUGCCUUGACGGUUGUAAUGAAAGAGACAAACAAGGUGACACUAGGAUCCCCACCACGAAUCAAAAAGAAUGUAUCCAGGCUCAUUUGAUUGUCAAUGUAUACAGGAGGGCGUUUACUUUCUAUCAUCACUGACAUCUUUCCCGGCAUCCAGUAACUAAUUAUUGGAUUGCAUUCGGUGCACUUCAAACUGAAAACCUCACAUAAUGUACGUACAAAUGCCGUGUACGUCAUGUUUUGCCUAACAUGUACACAACGACCAAACCAGCCUUCCCAUGGUUCAAAUUUCCAUUCUUCUUCUUUGCAUUUCCACUCACCCACCAUAGUAAAUACGGGAAUAUCCAUUACCAACCUGCAUCAUAAAUUCAGCAGAACCCCAUUAAAUGCAAAUGAAAGCAUGAUUAUAUCUACAAAAAACAAAAAGAAUUCCCAACUACACACUUAUAAACAUAAAUCUAUCCUCAUUUAGCAAUUUCAACUAAAAAAAGUGGAAAUAAAAAUAUUCUGGGUUUUUAUAUAAAAACAAUGUUGAUCUUAGCACACAAUCAAGACCCUAGUGUGUUAAAACAAAAAACUUCUUAACCAAUUUCAUUACUUACACGUUCAAUGCUUGUCUUGGCUCCAAACUUUGUAAAUCAAGAAGAUCAAACCGAUGCAGAAUCACAUUCGUUCAGAAAAAUUUGUUUGUUUGAUGGAUCAUGUUUGUCUCUUACAACUAUUCACACAUAUAAACUAAUAUUAGAAAAAGUAAUGAUGACUUUUGCAUUAAUUGUGACAUGAGUCAUGUCUAAACUUUUUGGGCAUUAAAUACUGAUGUCUCCUUGUGUUUUAAUGUUAUUAAUCCCAACUUGUCACUGUACUCCCGCACAAAUCAAUUAAGAACGAAAUAUAUUGCUUAACCGGAACAGUGUACGUAACUGAACCACUUAACUGAACCGUACAGUGAACAGUACAUCGGUCCGUUGGUAGGGGUAAAAUGGUCAGAUUUUGGCUAAAUUGUCAAAACUUGAAAGCCCAUUCUCACUUUGCCAAAACAUGAAAUUAAAACUUGGUCAACUGCCCUUCCAUGCAAUUUGCCCAAAUAAAAACUUAUGACUUUACUUUUUAUUGAUAAAAAAAAACUUAUGACCUUACUUUACUUACGACAAUACCGUCUCUAUCCUUAGUCUUUGCAAUAUCUCCGACUCGUGAAUACCACAAACACCGCACAAAAUUUUCUACCUGAUUUUUCCAAAAUUUGAAAUAUAUUUUAUUCCAGAAAAUUUGACCAUAUUAGAAAAAUAAUUUAUGCUUGAAUGGCACGCUUUAAAUUUUUCUUUUUACGGUACAUAGCUUCACAAUGUUACCAAAAGAGUUUGGCCACACGUCUAGAUAUAAGUACCAAUAGAAAGUAAAGUAAAAAGACGCAGAAUAGAACCAAAGAAUGGAGAUAUGGUUAUUCAUCUUGGCCUCUCUCUCCGUAUCUCUCCUUCUCCAUCUCCUCCUCCGCCGCCGUAACUCCUCCUCCCCUCCGCUACCUCCUGACCCCAACUUCUUACCUUUCCUCGGAACCCUCCAGUGGCUCCGGGAAGGCUUAGGUGGCCUCGAAUCUUAUCUCCGCUCCGUCCACCACCGUCUAGGACCCAUCGUUACCCUCCGCAUCACUUCACGCCCCGCCAUAUUUGUUGCCGACCGUUCCCUUACUCACGAGGCUCUCGUCCUGAACGGCGCCGUCUAUGCAGACCGUCCACCACCAGCUGUAGUCAGCAAGAUAGUUGACAAACACAACAUCAGCUCAGGGUCAUACGGAGCAACGUGGCGGCUUCUCCGUCGAAACAUCACCUCUGAGAUUCUUCACCCCUCGCGUGUGCGAUCUUACUCCAACGCCCGUCACUGGGUUCUUGAGAUCCUCUUUGACCGGUUCCGUAACCACGGAAGUGAAGAACCGAUCGUCCUCAUCCACCAUCUCCACUAUGCAAUGUUUGCGCUUCUUGUCCUCAUGUGUUUCGGAGACAAGCUCGAUGAGAAGCAAAUCAAACAAGUGGAAUUCAUUCAGAGACUACAGCUCCUAAGCUUGUCCAGAUUUAACAUCUUCAACAUUUGGCCUAAGUUCACCAAAUUGAUUCUACGAAAGAGAUGGCAAGAAUUUCUCCAGAUUCGGAGACAGCAGCGGGACGUUUUGCUUCCGCUGAUUCGUGCCCGGAUGAAGAUCGUGGAAGAGAGGCAGAGAUCGGAGGAAGAAGACAACAAAGACUAUGUGCAAUCAUAUGUUGAUACUCUUCUCGAUCUAGAGCUUCCAGAAGAGAAGAGGAAGCUCAACGAGGACGACAUCAUGAACUUGUGCUCAGAGUUUCUCACUGCCGGGACUGACACAACGGCCACCGCGCUGCAAUGGAUCAUGGCCAACCUCGUGAAAUAUCCAGAAAUACAGGAGAGACUACACGAGGAUAUCAGAAGCGUAGUGGGGGAAGAAGCAAAGGAGGUGGAGGAAGAAGAUGUGGAGAACAUGCCGUAUCUAAAGGCUGUGGUGUUGGAGGGACUACGGCGACACCCUCCCGGACACUUUUUGCUCCCGCAUAGUGUCACGGAGGAUACUGUAUUGGGAGGGUACAAGGUACCGAAGAAUGGGACGAUCAACUUCAUGGUUGCAGAAAUAGGGAGGGAUCCAGCGGAGUGGGAAGAACCAAUGGCGUUUAAGCCAGAGAGGUUUAUGGGAGAAGACGAAGCGGUGGACCUAACGGGAAGCAGAGGGAUAAAGAUGAUGCCGUUUGGAGCAGGAAGGAGGAUAUGUCCGGGUAUAGGGCUAGCUCUGUUGCAUCUCGAGUACUAUGUCGCCAAUAUGGUCAGCGAGUUCCAAUGGAAAGAGGUCGAAGGUUACGAAGUUGACUUGACGGAGAAGCUUGAGUUUACCGUCGUCAUGAAGCAUCCGCUUAAGGCUUUUGCUGUUCCUAGGAGAAGUCAGGACUAGUCGUCCUCUGUUUCUUUUCUUCGGGUUAAUAUUCAAAAUGUGUGAACUCUGUUUGGUGGAGACAACUAUGGAACUAGAUUUUUAGUAUAGUAUGUUGGAAUAAAUCAUGCUGACCGUUUGUAUUCAAGUUUAUGUUGGCCACCUUAAAGUAAAACUAAAAAAAAAAAGUAAAACAGAUAUUUCUAUUCUAAAAUGCAACUUGCUAAUGAUGUUACGUGCUCUAGCCAUAAAAUCACAUAUUUGGUUUAAUCUAUAUAGUAAUAACCUAAGCUCCAUGGAAUCGGAAGCGGGUACGCGGAAGCGGAAGCGUUUGGAAGCGUAGAAGCGAGUUUUUAAAAAUAUUUAGGAAUCGGGUACGUGUUGGAAGCGUAUACAUAUAUGUAUUAAUAUAUAUAUAUCAUAAAAUACCAAACAUAAAAUCAUUUAGAAUAAAUUAGAUUAUAAUCAUGAUAAUAAUCAUAUAAGAAUAAAUUAGUUAAAAACGAAAUUUCAAAACCUAAAAAAAUAGGCGUUAAAGCAAAGAAGAAAUUCUUUGAGUUUUUAUAAACUUAGCAUUAUAUAUAUAUAUAUAUAUAUAUAUAUAUAUAUAUGUCAAAUUUAAUUGUAUAGUGAAUAAUUCAAAAUUUCAUAGCUGAAAUUAUUCAUAAUAAAAUAUAGAUAAAGAGAUACGUAAAUACCAACAUCUAAACUCAACUAAAAUUUGUAAUUAUUUUUAAAUUCUUAGCAUUUAUUAAAAAAAAUUUAGAAACAUAUAUACACCAAAAUUGAAUUGUAGACCAAAUUAGAGAUACACUGUAUAUUCCCAUCAUUAUGUAGAUCGUAGAGUAUGGCAUAUACAGUAUCUCAUUAUUAAAUAUCGAUUAAACACUAUAUUUUUAAAAAUUAAAAGCCAUGUGUAAAUUUAGAAAACCUAAUUGAUCUUCUUCUUCGUUACUUUCCCUUGCACCGCCGUACAGUAGAGUUGCCUCUAUGUUUUUCAGAUUCAACCUCAAAACGCAUAGAUUUCCAUGGAAUAUACUCAGAUCUAAACUAUCUACACAGAUUCAUGUGAAAAAAAUUCAGACGCUUCCAGUUCAACUAUUUGUGUGCUCCCAAACCUGAACCGUACGCUUCUCCUACGCUUCCAAAUCCUGUUUUCUGGGAACCGCGAUUCCGUUGCGCUUCCGAGCGAUUUCGGGCGCUUUCGAUUCCGUUUCCGGUUCCGAAGCGGGAAUCGGAGCUCCGGUGAAGCUUCCGUGCAACGUAGGUAAUAACAAUCCUAUGAUUCGAACGAAUGCAUAAUUUUUCGUUUAGUACUUUUUAUAAUUUACAAAAAUAUGUUUUAAAAAAAUGCUUUUAGUAUAUCAUAACUAGGAUUCAGACCUCCACGAUGUUGCGGGGGAAAAUAUUUCAAAAAUCUUUAAAGAGAAACAUACCAAACGAAAAAUUGAAUUGAGAUAACUUAAAAAAAAAACAAAAAUUUAACAAAAAAUCAAGAUAUAUUUUACAAAAAAAUAUGAUAAAGAGACGAAACCCUCAUAAGCAAUUAUUAAGAUUUAUAUUAUUAUUGAAAAAUAUUAUGGUGAAACGAUGCAAUCAUAAACAAAAAAAUAUUAAACAAAGAGUUAUAAUGAGUAGACGUACUUUUUCAAUUUUUUAAACAAUUCUAAACAUAAUUAUAUAAAUAUAUAUUCAACAAAACAUUAUGAUAAAAUACGCAAUACUUUAAAUUGUGUUAUGUUAAAGAGAGACAAUCCUCGGAAAAAAUUAACUAAAUAAACACAAUUGAUAGUUAUUUAAAAAAUAUAUAUAUAUAUAACAAAAUAUAUACAUAUGAAUGCUAGAUAGCAAAAAAAUACAAAUUUAUAUGAAAAAGUAUCAAACAAAAAAUAAUAAUAAAUAUAUACAACUUUCUAAAAAAUAUAUAUAUAUAUUGAAUUAAAAAGACAUGAAAGUUUAAAUAGAAAAACUGUUCGUAAAAGACAUAAUUAUUGGAACUAAAAAUUUGUGAUGAGAAAACACGAAUAAAACAUAGUGACAUAAUACAAGUCCAAAUGAACAGAUUUAACUUUAAUUAAUGCUCUCAAAAAUCUUUUAUAAAGGAAAAAUGUUGCAAAUGUUCAUCAAAUAUUCCUAAAAUUGUAAUAAUUUAUCAAAUAAACUAAAUGUUGAUUAGAAAAAAAAAUUAUUAUGAUUACUCAAAAUAUUUUGGCUUAGAAAAUUGUUGGCAUCUUCAUUAAAAUUUUAUAUUUAAGGUUGAUUAAAGUUUCUAUAUUCUUAUAAUCAUUCCAAAAAAUUUUAGUUCGAUCAAGAAUUAGAGGAAUUUCUCUAAAUUUCAAAUGAUGUAUGUUUAGAAAUAGUUUGAAGAGUAAAGAAUUUUGAGUGGUUUUGCAGAUCAAAUUAUUUGGAUUCAUCAUGAAACAAAUAAUUUGAGUAAAAUAACAAUAAUUUUUGACAAAUAUUUCUAUUUCUAAAGAGGACCAAAUAUAUAGAGUUUAAAAGUCAUGAAUAUUUAAUAAAUACUAUAUUGGAACGAAAAAUUAUGACAAAUAAAUGAUGCAAUAUAAUGAAGAGACAUAACUUUAAAUGAAUAGAUGCAACUAUAAAGAUACAACCGUAAAAUAAAAGGUUUAUUUGAUGAACCGUUGUAACUUUUGAAUAGAUGCAACUUUCUAAAAACAAACCAUAAAGUUUAUAUUAUAUAAUUGAAAAUUGAACAGAUGCAACUUAAGAAAAAAACAACCAUAAAUUAUAUUUUAUAGUUAUUAAAAGAUAAACCGUUGCAACUUUUGAACAAAUGCAACUUUUGAACAAAUGUAACUUUCUAAAAAAAAGAAAACCAUAAAAUUUAUAUUGUAUAGUUAAAAAUUGAUCAUAUGCAAUUUUUCACAACCGUAAAAUGAAAAAGUUUAUUUGACGAACCGUAUCAACCUUUGAACAUAUGCAACUUUCUAAAAAAAAACCAUAAAUUUAUAUUUCAUAGCUAAAAAUUGAAUAGAUGCAGCUUUGUUUUAAAAAAACACAACCAUAAAUUGUAUUUUAUAGUUAUUAAAAAAGACACUUAACUAAAAGUUGCGACGAAAAGACACAACUGUUCAAAAAAUUUAUAGUUAAAAACUGAAUACAAGCAAAUUUUAUGAAAACACAACCACAAAUUAUAUUUUGUAGCUAUUAAGAAAAUUAACGAAAAGUUGCGACGAAAAGACACAACUGUUCAGAUUUUUUAUAGUUAAAAACUGAACAGAUACAAUUUUUUUUUAAAAUACAAUCAUAAAUUAUAUUUUAUAGUUAUUAAAAAAAUUAACGAAAAGUUGCGACAAAAAUACACAACUGUUCAGAUUUUGAAAAAGCAUUUCUUGAGAUUGUUAUUAUUAUUAGAUUUUAGUUUUGAGAUUUUGUACUAGGGAUUGGUACAUAGGACCUUCAAAACUCUUGAGACUUAUAGGAACCCUCUAAUCCUUUUACAAUAUUUUGUGUUCCAUACUUUUUUUGAAGAUUCGCUAUCCUAACACAAUGAUAUAUUUCUUAAUUAGUUAUUCAUUGAUAAAAUUCUACAAAUGACUAAUCGAGUAGCUUUAGAUGUCGAAUAAAUUUAACAAAUACUAAAUACAGUCAAAUCGGGAUAUCAUACCAUAAGGUUAGAAAAUUUGGAGACCAAUUUAUCUUUGAUAGGCCAAGACAUCAAACCGUUAAAAGCACAUUCUUGGCAAGUGCAAUAUCCACCUAAGAUACGUCAUUUCUUGUGGCAAAUCUUAAAGGGUUGUGUACCAGUUACGGAAAAUUUGCGGAGAAGGGGAAUUGAUUGUGACACAGGUUGUGCCAGAUGUGGCGAACCAGUGGAAACAAUCAAUCAUACACUCUUUCAGUACCACCCGGCACGACAGGUUUGGGCACUUUCCCAGAUUCCUACGGCAAUGAGAAUUUUUCCAACAGAAUCUAUUUUUGCGAAUUUGGACCACUUAUUUUGGAGAAUACCUUCGGAAUUUGAUUCUUCAGCCUUUCCAUGGAUUAUCUGGUAUAUUUGGAAAGCAAGGAAUGAAAAAAUCUCUGAAAAUAAUGAUAAAGAUCCGUUAGAGGUAUUACGAUUAGCGGAAAAAGAAGCACAAUUGUGGCAGUCAGCCCAAAUCGAGCUUCAUCAUGGAACUAAUGGUACUGUGGAAUUGGUAACUCGUUCUCGAGUGGGGGAUGCUUCACUUGAUUCGAAUUAUUCUGGAUGACGUUGCUUUGUGGAUGGAUCGUGGAAAGAAAGUGAUAAGUUCUCCGGUAUAAGAUGGUUCUGUACAUCAUCAAACAGAGAGCCGCCAACCAUGGGAGCUGCCAACCUCCGUAGAAGUCUAUCUCCAUUGCAUACAGAAUUCGAGGCUCUUCUCUGGGCGAUGAAGUGUAUGAUUGGUGCAGAUAAUCAAGAGGUAGCUUUCAUUACAGACUGUUCUGAUCUGGUGAAGAAGGUGUCUUCUCCAACCGAAUGGCCGGCGUUUUCAGUGUACUUGGAGGAAUUCCAGAGCGAUAAGGAAGAAUUCUCACCCUUCUCUUUAUCUUUAAUUUCUCAUAAUGCUAAUGUAAAAGCGGAUAAUCUGGCAUGAAAAAUUCGUACAGAACCGCUUCAUAUCACAUAUGUAAACAACAUUCCCCAGGAAUGGCUCUUUUGAGCUCUAAUUAAUUUCGGAUGACAAAAAAAUAAAAUAAGGGUUUUCAUACAUUUUAGAGAAUCACCAAAUUUUACGUGUCAAUUAUACAUUUCUGCCAGGUUGUGCCAUCCCCCCAUAUACAUGAACCUAAAAGAGGAAGGAUCUUGACUUAAAAAUAUUUUAAUCGUCAAUUGUGAAAAUAUAUAGAACCAUUUAUAAAUAAAUUGUGGAAUUUUCUUUAAAAUAUUUUCUUUUUUAUUUGGUUAAAAGAAAACUAAAAUUGUCAAGCAGAGUUAAGCUCAAAAAAUUUAACUGGCAGCAUAUAAAAUUUCCACUUUCUUUUUCUGUGUAAUUUCAAGGAGAGUACAGCUCCUUACUUUCUUUUCUUAUGGAAAAUUUUCCAAUGUUAAAAGGUGUAAAGGAAAACAUAUUGCUAAAGAGAUGAUGAAUUGAAAAGAAAAAAAAAAUUGAACAAAGCCAUCAUUACCAACUGCUUCGUGGUCUAGCCUAUUAUUGCCUUAUGUGAAACAGCAGCUACGUACUUCUUUGCAAGUGUAGUAUUUCAUUCAAGAUUUGUAUCGCUGACUAGAUUCUCCAAUGUGUCAACAAAUUUAUCGGUAUAACCGGUCAAUAAUCCAUCACUAACAAAAACCUCCUUCAAUUUGGAGUGGUUCCUCCUCACCAGAUUCCCGAUCUCGCUACCUUGGUCCAUCACAGAUGUGAUCGCAACACUCAAGCUCUCCUUCGAGAACCAUCCUGUUUCUUCUCUUUGCACUUCAACCGAAACCUCGAGUUCUUCGGUCAUCAAUCUUGUGUUGAGAACUUGAUCAGCCAAAAAUGGAAGCAAGACUAUUUGGCAAUCACCCAUUAGAGAUUCCCACAUUGACCCGAAUCCGCAAUGGCUCACAAAACAGCCUACUGAUGGAUGAGCCAAUAUUAAUGGUUGUUGCACCCAUUCUCCCCAAACCACUCCACGAUCUUUUACCCUCUCCUCGAACCCUUCUGGUAACGCUUCUUGAAUCGUCUUUGCGCCUUUUGGUGGAGUUACCGCUACAAGAAACGGUAAACCUGUAAGUUCUAUUCCUAAACAAAGUUCUUGGAAUUGGUCUUUCUCUAGAGAGAUUUGACUUCCCAAUGCACAGAACACUACGUAGCCUUGUCCAAACCCGUUCAGCCAAUGACUCCAUCGAUCUUCAAGUGGUUUACUUUUUUCUAGCACAGGAAGCAUUGGACCUGUCAAGAAAACCUUUUUAUGGUAUUGACGCUCAAUAUACUCGCAGAAUUUACCCUCGAUUUCUUUACAUGUCCGGAUUGAAAUGAAAUCACAAUUCAUAAGACCUGUGAUGAGCCUCUGAGAAAACCUCUUGUAGUAGACGGAGAAGGACAACAAGGCGUGAGCAUCGUGUCUGCGGUACAACAACUUUGAUGAUGGAUAACCAGGUGGAGGAACUCCUAGUUCACCGCCUGGGACAAAGUCAUGAGCUAUAGAUGUAGCUGAUAUGAUGUUGUACAACAUACUCUUGACUCUAUACUCUUUAGCCAUUUCUGGAACCCAUGAAGCAAGAUCGAACAAUAUCAGGUCCGGUCUCAAGGCAUGAACCGCGGCUUCUACCUGAUCGCGUGUGAGAUCUAUAGCUGGGGGCAAGAACUUCCACAACGGCAUAGGGAUAUCCGAGAAAGUCUCGGCUCCAGCCGGGAGACCAUCAACAUGAGGCAUAGUAAGAGGGUGAAAGACGAUGCUGUCUGGAAACAGAUUGAGAUGUUCAAGCUGCUUCUGAGCUUUCUUGGGGAGCAAGAAAGUGACUCUGUGACCUUUCUCAGCUAACUUGUUGGCUAAAUGCAAGUAUGGAGUCAUAUGACCAAAAGCGAACCAUGGGAACAUAAAGGCGUGAAACUUUUGGCCCAUCUUUCGUUCCCAAAAUAUUCGAAACAAGAUCAACACAAAAAUAUAAAGUGCCAAAAGAGGAAAUUUCUGUUCUAUUUCUAAUCAUGAGCAGUUUUGCUUAGAAGUAAUUUUACUAUGCUCUUCCCCUCCAAUGGACAUCCCUAUAUUUAGCUUGUGAAACUGUCUGAAGCGUACGCUUCGUGGAUUAAUUACUAAUAGUGGAUUAGUAUUUUAAGUUAAUAUUAGCUGUGAUAUGUGGGUUACGUUAAUUAUUCGUGGUGAUGGGGAAACUGCUGCGUUGCAUGUGCCAUGUUUGUUUAAUUUACACAUUAAUGUAAUGUUAUGUCUUGACUUGACAAAAUACAUUACAUUAAGCAUCUUUGUUUUUCUCAAAGCAUAAAGAACACAAAAAUUUAAGCUUCUUGAGCAAUAAGUGCACAACAAUAAGAAUAAAACUUUUGUUGUGUUUAAACUUUUAAGCAUCUAUGACUUUCUUCUUUUUGUUACUAGAAGUGUGUGAAGGGUGCUUUAGGUUAUAUAUUAAUUAGUGAGGGAUUAGUAUUUUGAGUGAAUUAUAAGUGGUUGAUUGGUGCUUCAAGUUAAUAUAGUUUAAGUUAAUGAUUGCAUGUGCCAUGUGACUUGCGCAAAGUUAUCUUUUGUCCUUUAUAAGAGAGUCUUGUUUUACAAUAAUACAAUUAAUGUAAAUUAAAGUAAUGUCUUGAGAAGAUACAAUGGUACAUAUCAUUGACUUAUUCGAAACACAGCCGUAACGUAAUCCUUUGUACGUAAGAUAUUUCAUUCAAGAUUUGUCUCGUUGACUAGAUUCGCCAAAGUGUCAACAAACUUAUCGGUGUAACCGGUUAAUAAUCCAGGACUACCCAAAGUUUCCUUCAAUUUGGAAUGGUUCCUUCUCACUUGGUUCCCUAUCUCGCUAUCUUUGUCCAUCAAAGACAUGAUUGCACCACUCAAGUUUUCUUUUGAGAACCAUCCUGUUUCUUCUCUUUGUACCUCAACGGAGACCUCGAGUUCUUCAGUCAAUAAUCUAGUGGUGAGAACUUGAUCAUUCAAAACUGGAAUAAAGACUAUUUGACAAUCACUCAUUAGAGAUUCCCACAUUGACCCGAAUCCGCAGUGGCUCACAAAGCAGCCUACUGAUGGAUGAGCCAAUAUCAAUGGUUGCCAGUAUGGUUGUUGCACCCAUUCUCCCCAAACCAUUCCACGACCGGUCACCCUUUCCUCGAACCCUUCUGGUAACGCUUCUUGAAUUGUCUUUGUGCCUUUUGGUGGCUUUACCGCGACAAGAAACGGUAAACCUGUAAGCUCUAUUCCUAAACAGAGUUCUUGGAAUUGGUUUUUCUCUAGAGUGGUUUGGCUUCCCAAUGCACAGAACAGUACAGAGCCUUGUCUAAACCCACUCAGCCAGUGACUCCAUUGAUCUUCAAGUGGUUUACUCUUGUCUGGCUCAGGAAGCAUUGGACCGGUUAAGAGAACCUUCUUCUCGUAUUGACGCUCGAUAUAGUCACAGAAUUUACCUUCGAUUUCUUUGCAUGUCCUAAUCGAAAUGAAAUCGCAAUUCAUAAGACCUGUGGUGAGCCGAUGAUAAAACCUCUUGUAGAAGCCGGAGAAGGUCAGCAAUGCGUGAGCAUCGUGUUUGUGGUACAACGCCUUUGAUGAAGGAUAACCAGGUGGAGGAACUCCUAGUUCACCUCCUGGGACAAGGUCGUGAGCAAUGGAGGUAGCUGACAUCACGUUGUACAACAUACUCUUGACUUUAUGAGCUUUAGCCAUUUCUGGAAUCCAUUGAGCUAAAUCGAACAAGAUCAGGUCUGGUCUCAAGGCAAGAAUCGCGGCUUCAACCUGAUCGCGUGUAAGAUCCAUGGCUAUAGACAAAAACUUCACCAAAGAGAUGGGGAUAUCCGAGGCUGUCUCGGCACCAGCAGGGAGGCCAUCAACAUGAGGUAUAGUAAGAGGAUGAAAGACAAUACCAUGUGGGAACAGAUUCUGAUGUCCCAAUUGUUUCUGAGCUUUCUUAGGUAGCAAGAAAGUAACCCUAUGACCUUUCUGUUGUGUAUCGACGUUGUAUCUCCGGGACGUAACGAACGUGAACUUGGAUAGAGAUUGAAUCGCGCACGAGAGCACUUUCCUUAAAGAGUAUUUCGACCCUUCUCGAGCCUUGGGUUACACGAAAUCCCUUCUAGGAUAAGACAAUCAAAGUUCUCUCUUGUUCUAGGCUAAGACACAAGAGAAACAAAUAGAGCUUUUUGUGUUUUGUUUUUGUGUUUUGCACUAAAGAUUAAGACAAUCUUUAGUCUCGUGAAUCUCUCUUUUCUCCUCUUCUUCUCUUUCUUUGACACAAGAGAAACAAAGUUUAUAUAUGGUUCAAAAGUUGUGACGUACGUUUGCAACCGUACGUUUAAAUAAUAACCAUAAAUUGAAUAGUUGCAAUGGUUAAUUUAAUAACCGUCGGUUUACACUUAAAUUUAUAACAUUCCUCCCCCAUUUAAGUGUAAUCUUUGAUUCACAAAAUUAACAACACAUAAACCAAACUCAUGCAUAAAUGUAAAUAUCGUAACGAUUGAAUUUACAUCUUAGUAAUAUUACACAUUCCAAAUGCUCGAGAAUCAAGAUGUCCUACGGAUUGAAUCCUUCAACUCAUUUUGAGCACAUGAAGAUAAUACACACACGAAUUCACUCACUACUCUAAGUGUUUAUCCUUGACACUAUUAUAAGCCAUGUGUCCUUAUCCUUUCAUGAGUGUGUACAAAGCCAAGUCCGAGCUUCUUGAAGCGGCUACACUUCACACCCAUAUAGGUAGAUCUUUUAAUCUUGCACCUGCAAAAUGCAAUUUUUCAAAAGAUCUAUUAAGAAGAAAACUUCAACCUAACCUUUUCUUGCAGAUCUAAGCACUUACUUUGGGAUGAUUUAAACUAGUGCUUCAAUCUCUAAGUGUGGGCUUUCCGCAUUGAAUUCAGCCUCUAACGUUGUAUUAGAGGGGAAUUGGGUAUCCCACCAUUAGAGAUUUCAAAUGGACUUUAAUCCCAUCCCUUUAGCCGACUUGAUCACCAAGUCUCUAGCUAGUCCUUUUGUCAAGUGAUCCGCUAGAUUUUGCUCAGACCGAAUAAAUCCUAUAGUAAUCACCCCAUGAGUGAUCAGCUCACGUAUCCCGCUAUGUCUCAAGCCUAGGUGUCGCGACUUACCGUUAUACACUUGGCUAUAAGCUUUAGCCAAAGUAGCUUUACUAUCGCAAUGGAUAGAAAUGGGUGACACCGGUUUCGGCCACAAUGGAAUCUCGGAGACUAAGUUUCUUAACCAUUCCGCCUCUCUCCCUGCAGCCGCUAACGCUACAAAUUCCGAUUCCAUAGUAGAAUUUGUAAUACAAGUUUGUUUCUUUGAUGCCCAUGAAAUGGCACCUCCCCCAAGUAGGAACACCCAACCACUUGUAGAAGAAUGAUUUUCCUCGUUGGUGUUCCAACUUGCAUCCGAAUAUCCUUCUAAGACCGAAGGAAAUCCAAAAUAUGACAAACCAUAAUUUAUGGUUCCUUUCAAGUACUUGAGCACCCGCCUUACAGCUUGCCAAUGAUGAGUACUAGGAUUACUAGUAUAUCUACUCAACUUUCCUACCGCAUAAGCUAUAUCCGGUCUAGUGCUAGUCAUGGCAUACAUUAAGCAACCAAUUACUCGUGAAUACUCGAGUUGUGAUACCGCUUGUCCCGUAUUAGGCAUAAGCUUCACGCUCGCAUCCAUGGGAGUGCUCACGGGAGAACAAUUUUCAUAAUUGAACUUUUUAAGCACUUUCUCAAUGUAAUGUGAUUGAGUUAAAGAUAUUCCUUUGUUCUCACGCUUGAUUCGAAUUCCAAGAAUCACCUCCGCCUCCCCCAUGUCUUUCAUGGCAAAAUUUGAUGAUAAGAACUCCUUUGUAAGUUCUACUUGUCUAAGGUUGGUACCAAAGAUCAACAUGUCAUCAACAUAUAAACAAAUGAUCACUCCAUUACCGGAAUCAUCAAAUUUGCUAUACAAACACUUGUCCGACUGAUUUAAUUUAAACCCAUUUGACAAGACAGCCUCAUCAAACCUUUGAUGCCACUGUUUAGGUGCUUGCUUUAGACCAUAUAAUGACUUUACCAACUUACACACCUUAUGUUCAUUACCAAGCAUAACAAACCCUUCGGGUUGUUUCAUAUACACCUCUUCUUCCAAGACGCCAUUUAAGAAUGCCGUCUUGACAUCCAUUUGGUGGAUCACAAGGUUAUGAAUGGAUGCCAAACCAAUUAAUAACCUUAUAUAGGAGAUCCUAACAACCGGAGCAUAUGUAUCAAAAUAAUCAAUGCCUUCCUUUUGUCUAAAACCUUGAACAACCAACCGAGCCUUAAAUUUGUCGAUCGUUCCAUCGACUUUCAUCUUCUUCUUGAAGAUCCAUUUGCAUCCUAAAGGCUUGCAACCGGGUGGAAGAUCCGUUAAGAACCACGUAUUAUUUCCCAUGAUGGAAUCCAUUUCAUCAUUUACGGCUUCUUUCCAAAAAAUAACGUCAUUAGACGUCAUAGCCUCACUAAAAGUUCUAGGUUCAUCAUCAAUAUGAUAACAAUAUGAGUAUUGAAAACCAAUCUCAUCUCUUGACCCUUCAACUAAGUAAAGUUGAAAAUCGGGACCGAAAGAUUUUUCGAUUCUCCCUCGUUUACUCUUACGAAGCGUAGGUGACUCGUUAGGAGGAACGAACAUGUCGUCUCUUUUCUUUGUUCCACUUGAACUAGGAACUAAAUCCUUUGGUCUAGGUAUCGAUGAAAAACGAUUCUCAUCAAAUAUUGCAUCUCUUGACUCAAUUACGGUGUGAACCGCUAUAGAAUCAUUAGGUUCUAUGACAUAAAACCUAUAUGCCUUGGAAUGCAAGGCAUAACCAAUGAAGAUGCAAUCAAUACCUCUUUCUCCCAAAGUCUUAAUCUUUGGUUGGGGUAAUCUAACGAUCGCCCUACAGCCCCAAACUCGCAGAUAGUUCAAGUUUGGUUUCUUUUUAUACCAAAGUUCAUAUGGAGUAACUUUGUUCCUUUUGUUGGGAACUCUAUUUAAUAAAUAACAAGCCGUUAACAUGGCUUCACCCCAAAAUCCGUCACUUAAUCCCGAGUAAGAUAACAUGGAAUUAACCAUUUCUUUUAGAACUCUAUUUUUCCUCUCGGAUAUACCAUUUUGUUGUGGCGUAUACGGAGCCGUAGUCUCAUGUAUUAUGCCCACAGACUGAAAAUACGUAGGAUCAUAAUACUCCCCACCUUUAUCCGUGCGUAACUUCUUAACCAAGUCACUAUGUUGUAAUUCAACCUCGGUUUUAUAAACCUUGAAUUUAUCUAAGGCCUCAUCUUUAGCAUGUAAUAAAUAUACAUAACAAAAACGAGAAUAAUCAUCUAUGAACGUGAUGAAAUAUUUCUUGUUUCCUAAAGAUGGUGUAGCAUGUAAGUCACAUAAGUCACUAUGAAUAAGUUCAAGCACCUUUGAAUUUCUUUCAAUGCUUUUAAAAGGUUGUCUAAUUAUCUUAGUCAACAUGCAUGUUCUACACUUCUCUAUAUUCACGUCAAAAGUAGGAAUUAACCCUUCUUUAGACAUAUCAAUCAUUCUUUUAUAAUGCACGUGGCCUAAUCUUGCAUGCCAUAAAGAAGUAUCAUUUUUGCUAGAACAUGCCAUGUAAAUAGAAUUGACAACUUUAUUAAUAUUAAGCAUAAACAUGCCAUUACAAAAGUAUCCAAAUCCAACAAAGAUACCACACUUAGAUAAGACAUACUUAUCUGACUCAUACACUUGUUUAAAUCCACACUUAUUUAAAACACUACCGGAGACUAAGUUUUUCCUAAUUCCGGGUACAUGAAUUACAUCAUUAAGAUCAAGAGUUUUCCCGGAACUAAACUUUAACACCACUUUUCCACGACCUAGGAUAGGAGCGGUUGACUCGUUGCCCAUAUAAAGUACAGAUCCAUCUUGAACCGGCUCGUACGUCUUGAACCAGCCACGAUCCUUGCAAACAUGUAUUGUUGCACCCGAGUCAAUCCACCAUGCCACCUCAUCAUCCUGCACAUAGAAUGCCUCAGCUAUUUUUGAUACAUAAUACACUUUUGAGUAUGAAUCAAAAACAAAAUUCUGACCUUGAUGAGAGGAUGGGCCUUGAUCCUUAGACCCUUGCCCAAAACGGUUUUGUUGCGUUUUAUUCUUAUCCUUUGCUGCCCGACAAUCACGUUUGAAGUGACCCGGCUUGUUACAAAUCCAACAAACGCUCUUGAAUUGUUUGUUAGAUCCAUCAUUGGUGUUGUUAGUAAAGGGGCGCUUCUUCCCCUUGUUCUUUAUUUUAGAACUCCCACUCUCCUCCAUCAUAUUGAUUGAAGAAGUUUCAGCCUCCUUAUCUUUGGGUUUUCCACCCUCUUGCACCCUUAGAGAUUCCUCUAUGCGCAAAUGGCUACCAAGUUGUACAAGAGACAACUCUUCCUUUUUGUGUUUUAACAUGCGCCUAAAAUCUUUCCACGAAGGCGGCAACUUGUCGAUGAUACACGACACCGAGAUGGAUUCAUCCAUCUUCAUGUUGUGUUGAGCGAAUUGGCCUAGGAUGCGAAGUAAUUCAUUGUAUUGCUCCAUUACCGGCCUUGAAUCGGACAUCUUGUAAUUAUUAAAAUCACUCACAAGGAACUUCUUACUAGAAGCAUCCUCGGCCAUGUACUUCGAUUCCAACGCAUCCCAUAGUUCCUUUGCGGAUUCGACAUUUUGAUAGACAUCAAAGAGAGAAUCAGACAUACCGUUGAGAAUGUGGCCACGACAUAUGUAGUCAUCGUUUUCCCACUUAAGUUGCUUCCUUGUCUCCUCCACGGACUCGUUCUCACCAUUCUCCGACACGGUGGGCAUUGGCACACUUAGAACGUGAACCACAUUGAGCGUUGUGAGGAGAAAGUGCAUCUUCUUUUGCCAUCUUCUAAAAUCAACUCCUUCAAACUUAUCCAAUUUGCCAAACUUUGACGUCAUCUCACGCACAGAAACAUUAGCCAUUGUUCACCGUAAAUACUCUUUAAGAUUGUUGUGUAUCGACGUUGUAUCUCCGGGACGUAACGAACGUGAACUUGGAUAGAGAUUGAAUCGCGCACGAGAGCACUUUCCUUAAAGAGUAUUUCGACCCUUCUCGAGCCUUGGGUUACACGAAAUCCCUUCUAGGAUAAGACAAUCAAAGUUCUCUCUUGUUCUAGGCUAAGACACAAGAGAAACAAAUAGAGCUUUUUGUGUUUUGUUUUUGUGUUUUGCACUAAAGAUUAAGACAAUCUUUAGUCUCGUGAAUCUCUCUUUUCUCCUCUUCUUCUCUUUCUUUGACACAAGAGAAACAAAGUUUAUAUAUGGUUCAAAAGUUGUGACGUACGUUUGCAACCGUACGUUUAAAUAAUAACCAUAAAUUGAAUAGUUGCAAUGGUUAAUUUAAUAACCGUCGGUUUACACUUAAAUUUAUAACACUUUCUCUGCUAACCUGUUGGCUAGAUGCAAGUACGGAGUCAUAUGACCAAAAGCAAACCACGGGAACAUAAAAGCGUGAAUCUUUUGGCCCAUUUUUUUCUUCAGUUUUCGAAACAAGCAGAAUACAAAAAGAAAAGUAAUCAAAGAGAGCCAAAAGAAGUAAUUGUUGUUGUUUUUCAAAUCAUAAUCAUUUUUGCUUUAUUCUUUACUUGUGUAGCGAUUGAGAUGCUCUUCUACUCCAAGGACAUCCGUAUAUGAAUAGACAAAUAUAACUUGGAGAAUGUGCUUGUGAAAGUGUGUGAAGGCGUUUUAGGUUAAUUAUUAGUGAGGGAUUAGUAUAUUUGACUUGAGUUUACUAUUAGCGGUUGAUUGGUUCUUUCGAUUGGUUAGUGAGCAAGUCGUGGAUUUGCAUGUGCCAUGUACCAUGCAUCAUCUUUUUUUGUCCUUUUAUAAAAGUUGUUUGAUUUUACACAUUAAUGUAAUGCACAAAUACAAUGGUGCGUGACAAAAGGUCGGAAGAAAUCGAUUUUAUAUUUACUAGGUUUGAGUUUAUAUUCACUCGGUUUUUGUUUGAUUCGAAUCAAUUUUAAUUUGUUCGUUUCUCACUCUCUCUUGUAAGCGGAAGGACCCUCUCGAAUCCGAACAUUCAAAGUGUUGAGCUGAAUUACCAGACCAGUCAGGCCAUAAUACUGCCCAAUCAUCAAAUUAAGAUUCACAAAAAAAAAAAAUCAUAAAAUUAAUUUGUGCUUGAAUAACACGUUAGCUCUGAUAAUAAAUUGUUACACGAAUUUAGCCACACACGUACUAGUAUAAAAAGGAGGAAGAAGCAAAGAAAAACCAGUAAAGAGAACAAAAAGAAAAUGGAGAUAUGGUUACUUAUCUUGGGCUCUCUCUUCCUCUCUCUCCUUCUCAAUCUCCUCCUCUUUCGCCGCCGUGACUCCUCCUCUCUUCCGUUACCACCUGACCCUAACUUCUUCCCUUUCCUUGGAUCCCUUCAAUGGCUCCGGAAAGGUUUAGAUGGUUUCAACAACUAUGUCCGCUCCGUCCAUCAACGUCUCGGUCCUAUCAUCACCCUCCGCAUCACUUCCCGCCCCGCCAUCUUCGUCGCCGAUGGUUCCCUUGCUCACCAGGCUCUCGUCUUGAACGGUGCCGUUUUCGCCGAUCGUCCACCGGCGGCUCCAAUAAGCAAGAUUGUUUCGAGUAACCAACAUACCAUCAGCUCUUGUUUAUAUGGAGCUACGUGGCGGCUUCUUCGCCGGAAUCUCACUUCUGAGAUUCUUCACCCUUCGCGGGUGAGAUCUUAUUCUCACGCGCGGCGUUGGGUUCUUGAGAUCCUUUUUGAUCGAUUUCGUAAGAACGGAAGUGAAGAACCGACCCUUGUUCUUGAUCAUCUCUACUAUGCGAUGUUUGCGCUUCUUGUUCUCAUGUGUUUUGGAGAUAAGCUUGAUGAGAAGCAAAUCAAAGAGGUGAAAUAUGUUCAGACACUACAGCGUCUUGGCUUUACGAGAUUUAACAUCCUCAAUCUCUGGCCUAAGUUCACCAAAUUGAUUUUGCGAAAGAGAUGGGAAGAGUUUUUCCAGAUGCGGAGAGAGCUGCAGGACGUUUUGCUUCCGCUGAUUCGUUCUCGGAGAAAGAUCGUGGAAGAGAGGAAAAAGAGAUCAUUAGAGGAAGAAGACAACAAAGAGUAUGUACAAUCAUAUGUUGAUACUCUGCUCGAUGUGGAACUUCCAGAUGAGAAUAGGAAGCUGAACGAGGAUGAAAUUGUGAGUUUGUGCUCUGAGUUUCUAACUGGUGGGACUGAUACAACGGCCACCGCGUUGCAAUGGAUCAUGGCGAACCUUGUGAAGAAUCAAGAACUCCAGGAGAGAUUAUACGAGGAGAUCACAAGUGUAGUCGGGGAAGAAGCAAAGGAAGUGGAGGAAGAAGACGCGCAGAAGAUGCCGUAUCUAAAGGCAGUAGUGUUGGAGGGUCUCCGACGACACCCUCCGGGAAACACUGUGCUCCCGCACAGUGUCACGGAGGACACUGUCUUGGGAGGGUAUAAAGUACCGAAGAAGGGGACGAUUAACUUCUUGGUAGCAGAGAUAGGGAGGGAUCCAAAGGUGUGGGAGGAACCAAUGGCGUUUAAGCCGGAGAGGUUUAUGGGAGAAGAAGCGGUGGACCUAACCGGAAGUAGAGGGAUAAAGAUGAUGCCGUUUGGAGCAGGAAGGAGGAUAUGUCCGGGGAUAGGUCUAGCAAUAUUGCACCUUGAGUACUACGUCGCCAACAUGGUCAGAGAGUUCCAAUGGAAAGAGGUUGAAGGUCAUGAAGUUGACUUGACGGAGAAGCUAGAGUUUACCGUAGUAAUGAAGCAUCCGCUUAGGGUUGUUGUUGUUCCUAGGCGAAGUCACUAGUGAAGCUGCAUGUCUAUUUACCGUAGUAAUGAAGCAUCCGACUUUUCUCCACCGAUUUCGUAUAUUUCACUACUUCUUUUCUUCGGUUUAUUAUUCAAAAUGUGUGCAAUUGGUCAACUAUUGAACUAUACGUCGGAAUAAAUCGUACAAAACUUGUUAACCAGAUGUAUUAAACUGUCUGUUGGCCACCUUAAUAUACAAAAGUGUUCAAACCCAUUGGGUUAAAAGAUUGCUUUUUUUUUUGUAAUGAUUUUGUAAUAGAGAUUGUUACAUAGGAACUUCUAAACUCUUAAGACUUAGGAACCCUCUAAUCCUUUUUCUAAUAAUUUGGUGUUCCGUACAUUUUCGAAGAUUCGCUAUCCUAACACAAUGGUAUAUUUCUUAAUCAGUACUUCAUUGAUAAAAUUCUUCAUAUGACUAAUCCAAUAAAUUUGGAUUUCGAAUAAAUUUAACAAAUACUAAAUUCAAUAAAUUAGGAUUUUUAUACAUUUUAGAGAAUCACCGAUGUUCAUUUUUUGCCAUAGUGUGCCAUCCCAUAUACAUGAAACAAAAAAAAAAAAGAUGUUGACAUGAACUAUUUUAAGCACCAAUAAUGAAAAUAUAAUAAACUGUUUUACGUUUAUACGAAUUUUAGUAUUGAUGCAAUAGAGAACAAAAAACAGAAGUAAUUUGUGAAUUUUUUAAAAAAACUUUUUCUUCUUUUGAUAUAAAAAAGACAAAAAAAAGUACCAAGCAUUUAAGCUCAAAAUGUAAUUCGCAGCUUAUAAAAUUUUCACUUUUUUUUUCUGAUGAGAGCCAAAAGAAGAAAUUGUUGUUGUGUUUCAAAGUAUAAUCAUCUUUGCUUUUUGUUUCCUAAUUUAAAAAAAGAGAAACAAAUCGAGAUGAUCAUCUCCUGCCAAGGACAUCCAUACAUGUAUAAAUAAAUAUAACUUGGAGAAUGUACUUGUGAUAGUGUGUGAAGGUGUUUUAGGUUAAUUAUUAGUGAGGAAUUAAUUAGUAUUAUAAGUUAAUUAUUAGCGGUUGAUCGGUUCUUUAGAUUGGUUAGUGAGCAAGUAGUGGAUUUGCAUGUCCCACGUGUCAUGAAUUGUUUUUUUUUUGUUCUUAUUAGAAAAGUUAAUUAUGAUUUGACAACUUCAGAAGACAUCGAGUUUUUAUAUAGUAGGUAUGAGUUUAUAUUCACCCGGUUUUUAUUUGAUUCAAAUCAAUUUUAAUUUGUUUGUUUCUCCCUCUCUUUUGUAAACGAAACGACCCUCUCGAAUCCCAAUAUUCAAAGUGUUGAUCUGAAUUACCAGGCCAGUUUGGCCAUAUAUAGUUGGUUUAAGCCCGAGCAUCUUUAAAAAUGUCAAUGAAACAUGACAUGAGGAAAAGCAUCGACGCAAAUUAAUUAGUUUGUACGUGUAUAGUCAAGUUUCGUGAAUGGUAAUCAUAGACUCAUAGCUCCUAUUUUCUUUAUUAUUCAAGAUUUGUAGAGAAAUCUUAUUUAAGGUUAAACUUGAUGUUGGAUCCUGAAUUUGAUCUUGUAGUAUUGUUCCCGUGCAUUUGGAAAUUGUGAGAAAAUGUAACACAUCAAAAUUUAUACCAAACCUCCAAAUAGUUUGAAUAUAGUUUAAGAAAAUUUAACACAUCAAUAUGUAUACUUUUGAUAUAAAAUUUUCCAAAUACUUUGUACAUAUUGUAGUUUCUGAAAUUUUAAGCUGACAGUCUCUAAUGUGUUUGUGUUAACGUGAGUAGCAGUGUUCGAUUUUUUCUUCUUGUGUAUACUUAAGGUUUUAAUAAAAAUGAGGUAGCAUACGAGUUCAAUCGGGAAACCUUGUUAAUGAAUUUAAUGUCAAAGGGAUAAAGAGAAAAAAAGAAUGUUGUGUCUUAUUCAUAUCAAAGAAAGAAUAUAUAUACAUGUUACAAGAAAUCCUAAACAUACUUAAAGAUAUUAACAUAAACUCUGGAAAUUAUACUAUAUUUACAUAUAACUCCUUAAUACUCCCCCUCAAGUUGGAGCAUGAAGAUUAUACAUGCCCAACUUGCGCCGUAAAUAAGCAAAUUGUUGAGAACCCAAAGCCUUAGUAAAGAUAUCCGCUGGUUGUUCUGUAGUGGUCAGAUGUGUAGUAACCAGUGAACCAUCCUGAAUUUUAUCUCGGAUAAAGUGACAAUCCCUCUCAAUAUGCUUCGUCCGCUCAUGAAAAACUGGAUUGGCAGCAAUAUGUAAGGCUGUCUUAUUGUCACAAAACAAACGCAUCGCUUGCGGAUGAGACACACCAAAACAUCCUAAAAGCUCACGAUCCAUUUCAACUCUCGAGUAGUAAAACUCAUCGCACGAUAUUCAGCCUCUGCUGAAGAAAACGACACCACAUCUUGUUUCUUUAUCUUCCAAACAACCGGAGAAUCACUCAACAUAACAACAAAGCCUAUAACCGAUCUCCCAGAUAAGAAACAUGUAGAAAAAUCUGAAUCACAAUAAGCUGUCAAUUGUAAAUCAGAAUCAACACUCAACACAAUACCUUGACCCGGAAAACCUUUAAAAUAUCUGACAACCCGUAUAACUGCAGCCCAAUGUUUGGCACGAGGUUGUUGCAUAAAUUGAGCCAACAUAUGCACAUUAUAUAAAAAUUCUGGUCGGGUGAAAGUAAGAUAUACCAAACGCCCAACAAGCCUCCUAUACCUCUCGAUAUCCUCAUGAAACUCUCCUUCAUCAUCGGACAACUUAUGGUUCUGCUCAAGCGGAGUAGACACUGGUUGACAUCCCAACAACCCACAUUCAGUUACAAUAUCCAAAAGCAUACUUCCUUUGUGACAAGUAAAAGCUAUCAGGAGACAGAGAUACUUCAAUGCCCAAAAUAUAUUUCAUAGUCCCCAAGUCCUUCAUAUGGAAGCAUUCACUAAGGUAUCCCUUAAACUCCUGAAUACCUUUAACAUCAUUUCCCCCAAUCAACAAAUCAUCAACAUAUACCAACAAAAAGACUUACAUAGAACCACGCACCAAGGUAAACAGAAAGUAAUCCGCUACUUGCUGUUCAAAUCUAUAGCCUUUGAGUGCUUUCGUAAGCUUAGCAAACCAACAUCGUGGGGCUUGACGCAUGCCAUAUAGAGAUUUCUUCAGCGGACAAACUUUUGAUUUAUCUUGAGAAACGAAUCCUGCAGGUAAUCUCAUAUAAACCUCCUCCUCAAGAUCCCCAUGUAGAAACGCAUUAUGAACAUCCAUCUGAUGCCUCCCAUCCUUUGACAGCUGUAAUUUUAAGAAAUUCUCGGAUAGUUGUAGUCUUCACGACCGGAGCAAAUGUCUCAUCAAAAUCUAAACCUUCAACUUGUUUCUUACCCAUGGCCACCAGACGAGCCUUGUAACGCUCAAUUUCCCCAUUCGACUUACUUGAUAGUAAAUAUCCAAUGACUGCCAAUAGCUUUCUUUCCUGGUGGAAGAUCAGUAAUAUCCCAAGUAUCAUUUGCUUCCAAAGCAUUCACCUAUCCAGACAUCGCAUUGCACCAUUUCUUAUCUUUAACGGCUUCCGAAUAUGACUUAGGAACCGAAAUAGCAGUAAUAUCCGCAAGAAAAGCUUUUUGUGAAACAGAAAAUCGGUCACAACUCACAUAAUUAGCAAUUGGAUAGAGAACCGUACUUGGAGAAGAGGACGCUGAUUGAGUGGGUGCCGGUGAGAGUGUGGGUUGUUCAACGGAGCAACGUGUAGUAUGUAGUACAUAAUCACUUAGAUGAGCCGGAGGUUUUCUUUUCCGUUCGCUUUGUCUAACUUUAAUCCCUCUACCAGUCAAAUUAUCUUCCCCUAAUUGACUCUCCCUUUCCUCCAAAGCAGUAUCUGAAGUCUUUUAAUUACCUUUGGACCCCGUAAUAUGAACACCGGACGAGCUAGAUGCUGGAUCGAUCGAUCCCGGUGCCGGGAUCGACCGUUAGUGGCUGAUGUCUCUAUAAUUUUCUCCGGAUCAAUCGAUCUGGGCUUGAGAUCGAUCGAUCGCUCCUUCACUGGUUGCAGCUCGUCACAUGUCAGUAGCCUGGGAUCGAUCGAUCCACCUGCCGGAUUAAGCAUAUAUAUAUGAAAAGAGAAAACUAAAGAGUAUGUGAAGGAUACUCGAGGAGGCUGGAUUGUAAUGGACCGACGGGUUCAUAUACAAGUCAUUAACCGCUGACGAGCAAUAAGGGGAAGGAUCGAGCUACAGACUGUGGUCUUCCAUAAGUAGGCUUGAGUAGACAUGAUUUAAAAGAGGCUCGAGUAUCCACAAGUUAAAGCUACUUAAAACUAAAAAUGAAAGUAAAAUAUCUGAGCAAGACGAACGUAUGUUUGUUUGAUUGAUAGACCUUCUGAAUCUAUGCUAAGUAAUGGUUGUUGUUUAUGUUUGGAACGUGAAUACUGUAUGUCCAGUGGACAGAGUUGAUCUUUUUCGAGGUUAGUAAGUUUCAUGAGUUGCGGUUGAAGUUUGUUCUUUGGUAAAUUUUAGAGAAAAAAAAACGUUUUGGCAUAACCGGAUGAAUAACAUACCGUCCCAUCCUUUGUGGCGGGACGGAUGUCACAUUUUUUUCCUAGGGUUCCGAUUUGGGUUUCUUUAUUUUAUAACCCAUGUGAUUUUGUUGGUCCAUUAGCCAAAGAAUUCGUUCUGUGAUUGAAUAUUAUGAGAAAAAAAAAAUUAAAUAAAAAAAAUUAACAAUACUAACAUGUAGAGUGUGUUCUAGGCUUCUACCUAGACGCAUAUUAUUAUUUUAUUUUUAAAUGACAUUAUUGAUUUAAAUAUGAAAAGUCAAAACGAUAUUUAUAUAAUUAACGUUACCAACGAACAGUUACCAAAGUUUCUCAAUUGCGAUAGCCCAACGAACAGUUACCAAAGUUUCUCAAUCGGAUUUUUGCCUUUCCGGCGGCUCCGCCGGAUCUUCUUGUUUCCUUUGUCAAUUUCUUUCCACAUUAACUAAAUUUUCCCUCGAUGUCUCCUUUGCCAUCAAUUUCGUUUUUAGUGAAAAAUUCCAUAGAUGUUUCCUUCCGUCAAUCAGCCGCUUCUCUCAUAAUUAUCAGAUCCUGUCACUGGUGAUUUCAUUAAGUUUCACCGAACAAUUGGGUAGAAAGAUAAAGAGGUUAUUUCGGCUUGUUCACGGUGUCUUCUCUCUUACGGAGUAAAUUUUUCCAGCAAAAGCACGUCGAUAUUGGCGUCGUCAUGUUGUUGGUGUCUGUCCGGUGCAGUCCAUGCCCGGUGUUUGUCUUCCAUCGGUAAAUUCCAGCGGUGGUUGUGUUUUGCUAUUUUCUCGUCGGGAAAAAUGUCGAUUUAAACCGAAUUGGCCAUGGAAUAGGGGUCUGAUAGUGAUGCUAUCUUUUUUUCUCCUAUGAAAGUGCCAUACGGUUCGUAAACACACAAUGGUGGCUCAUGUUGUCUAAUAAAGAAAAAAAUGCAAGAAUAAGAUUGAAGUGGAAUUCCUAUGGAGAAACAAAUGCAAUCAAAGGUCCAUAUUUUGAGGUAUCCUCUAUUUUUUUGAGGUAUCCUCUGUAUUUUUCUCUGUGGAUGAAAGAAGGUGGCCAUAUCUUUAUUGGAAUGUUCGGAAGGAGAAUUGGAAAUGCUGAUUUUGUGGGGAAGAGGAAGAUAGUGUUGAUUGUUUAUAUUGAAGUCAGGUUAAGGUUUAUGAUAUUUUUAAAGACACUGAUGCGGACUAAUUGGCAUCAGAUAGUCGUACUUCCAAGACUAGUAUCAAGUGUAAUGGGUUUUACUUAUACGAUUCAGAAUCUGCCUCAAGAAAAAGAAAGGCAAACGAAUCGUACAAGAGCAAAAGGGUCGAAUAAAUAUUACGAAUAUGUGUUUUCGUUAGCGAGUAAGGCGUUUUCGACCAGAACGCAUCGUGAAUCUUAUUUUUUGUACUUUUUCCAGAAGAUGGCGCACAUAGUUGUUUGUGUAAUAACUUAGGUUAUGUAGUCUUGUAUGACUCUAACAUCAUAACUUCGAUAUAAUGGAAUGAAUUUAGUUGGAAAAAAAAAAUAGAGGUGUUUAAUUUCAUUUAGGUUUAGUUCUGAUUCUAUAGUGCUUUCACUAUUAAUUAAUUUGGAAUUAAGUCGUGUUACAUGCUUGACAAAAGUCAUUGAAAACCCUAUCUUUUAAAGGCCAAAUACCCUUAAGGCCUAAAUACCCUAUCUAUCUAAAAUUUUAAGAAGCACUUAAAGCUCUGGCAAAACAAUCAACGACGUAAAAUCCAAAGAAAAAAAAUAAAUAUUAAUUUAAAAUAUACUAUAUGGUAGUAGAUCACUGUUUUUUAUUUUCCACUAUUUUGCACUUUCAUGUGUGUCCAUUGUAGUGCCUAUAUAAUUUUUUAAAGCUUGGAAAAUAUUUUGGUAAAAUCUGUUAGUCAUUACUAUUUUUUAUUUGUUGCUGAUAAAAUUAGGCAUUUAUUAAGUAAUGGACGAAAACUUAAGAAGUGAACCCCUUCUUCAACAACGCAUUACACCGGACUCUCGGAGGAUAUGAUCCGGAGCUUGUAAUCAUGCAGGCACAAUCGCAUUGACUAUACUCUUCAUUCGGUAAUGAUUUCAAGCCAUGGAUACCAUAUUUGGUGUGAAGGAAUGGUCGUAGACUCUUAUUUCCAUGUCGUUGCAUUCAAAGAAGCCUAGAAAGAGAGCUUUAUUUCAAGAAAACUAAGUCAUGAAUACCUCAAGAAUUUUUUAUAUAUAGCACAAAACAUAGUGGUUGUUUUUCAAAAUGACAGUUUAACCGAGUGUCAAUAGCUUAAUUGGAAUAAUAUCCAAGAAAAAAACAUAUUAAAUACUCUUGUUUCUGGUCUGAGUGGAUGUACGGACCUACGUCCAGAACCUUUGUCAUUAAAAAAAAAAGUAUUAAAAAUGACAAUUUUAAAAAAACUUGAUUAACUGGUUAUAAACGAACAAAAAAAAUUAAAGACCACAAUACCAUAUUUGGUGUGAAAGGAAUGGUCGUACACAUCAACUGGAUCAUUACUCUUAUUUCCAUCUCAUCCAUAUCAUUGAUAAGCCGAUUCAUGCAAGUAUGAUCUUGACUUAGAGCUCGGCCUCGGAGGCCUGUUACAACACUUGACUAAUUUUAAUCAUAGAAAUCAUCUUAAUGAAUCUAAUAUCAAUUUCCAACAAACUAUAAAUCUAGUUAUACACAUACCAAACUAUAAUACUUUCCAAAUAUCAAUUAUUACCAAACUAUAAUAUUUUCAGUGCGUUUACCUGGCCUCUUUAAAGAAGGUACAGUAGUUUAGUCAUAUCAUCAUCCUCUUCAAGCUGAGUAGGUUUUACCCAAAACCAAAUACCAAAUGAUGAAGCGGAAGCUUCUAGGGAUAGAACUAGAUCCGUUGAUUCUGAGAAUACCCAGAAACUAGGGUUUGAGAAUCCUCCUCUCAGGGCUUUCGUACUCUCUUCCAUGUUUUGGAAACAAGAGAAAUGCCUGCUUGUGCUAAGGCUUAUGUUGUGGUCAUAACUUCUUCCAAGAUUUUUAAUAAGCUCGACUAUUAUAUUCGUUUGUUAAUAUUUCGAAAUCUAUGCUAUAUGGGUUUAUUAAUAUUGCAUAGAUUAAGUAAAGUUUGGGUUUAAUUUUAAUUUUAGUUACAAAGAUUCCAUAUGUUUUUUUUAAGAUUACAUUUCUUUUAUUUCGAUAUAUCUUGUUUUCUUUUUUCUUUAUUAUAAUAUUUUAAUAUAGAAAGUAAUUAUGUAUAUUUACAUUUUUCUUGUGAUUAUAUAUAUAUCAUAUUUCUUGCUACCCAUGAGAAUAAAUCUGCCAUUGCUUUUGGUAAAGGGCUGGGAUCUACAGAAAAACACCGAAUUACUCAGAUUCUGGGAAUUCAUAAGACAGAAGGUUUUUGGAAGAUAUUUAGGCUUGCCUGAAUUUGUGGGAAGGAAUAAAACUUAUGCUUUCUCAUAUCUUGCUCAAAGGAUUGAUCUGAAAGUGGAUAGUUGGUAUAACAAAUUUCUAUCACCUGCAGGGAAGGAAGUGCUACUCAAGUCAAUCCUUACAGCCAUUCCUACGUACAGUAUGUCAUGUUUCUUGCUACCCAUGAGAAUAAUUAAUCAAAUUACAAGUGCGAUAAGAAGAUUUUGGUGGUCAAGUUCCAAAGACAAACAUAAGAUUCCAUGGGUUGCUUGGAGGAAACUAAAUGACCCUAAGAAAUUAGGAGGUCUGGCCAUAAGGGAUUUAAAAGAUUUCAACGUGGCUCUAUUAGCAAAGUAGAGCUGGAGAAUGCUAAAUCCGCCUCAUUCACUAAUGGCUAGGGUUUUCAAGUCCAAGUACUAUCCUAUGCAUACGCUUUUUGAGGCAAGAGUUAAGAAACAAUCUAGCUACGCCUGGAAAAGUAUCACACAAGGUACUAAACUUCUCUCAUAUGGAUUUAGAUAUAUGGUUGGGAAUGGUAAAAAUAUUAAUGUCUGGCAUGAUCAUUGGUUAUCUUUAGACCCACCUAGACCAGCUUCUGGUCCUGGAAUGUGUAUCUAUCUUCAUAUGAGAGUUAGUGAUUGGUUAAUCUAGGGUAAUUGGAAUGUUAGUCUUCUUGAGCAACUUAUUGACCCUCAAGAUAUUUCUCAUAUAAAGCAUCUCAGACCUUCUAUUACAAGGGCAAAAGACACUAUCAAUUGGCUGCAUACCAAAGAUGGAAUGUACUCUAUCAAAUCAGAGUACAAUUUACUGCGUAAGUUAUCUCAAAGUUCUCUAAAUUUUCCAUCUAUUAAUUCAGCCACCCCUCAGCAUAUCUUUGCAAGUAUACGGAAGCAAAAUGUCCCAACAAAAAUUAAACAUUUCUGGUGGAGAUCAGCUCACAAUGGAAACAAUGGCUAGAAAGCCACUAUGUGAGAAAAUAAAACCUAGAAUGCCACCUAUCUAAUUUUAAUUUCGUGAAAAAAUUAAUUUAAAUCAAAUAAAUAUGAAAAGACAAAAAACCCUUACCCUAAUCUAAUUAUUACGUAUACUUACCCUUACUUUUAUCAAUCCAAUAACAUAACUACUCUUCUUCUUCUUCUUCUUUCACGCCUCCUCUUAUUUUUCUUCUCCUUCUUUACUUUUUCUGGGUUUUUUAGAUCUUUCAUUCUCUUUUUCUCCAUCAUCAUCAUCAAUAAAACUCUAGAUCUUUUCUUCUUCAUGGAUCUCUCUUCGCACUUCUUUAUAGAUCGGAUCUCUCUUCAUGCUUCUUCUCCAUGGAUUUCUGAGAUUUAAAAAUCAUGGAUCUCUCUUCAAGAUUCUUCUCCAUGGAUUUCUCUUCGUGCUUUCGUCAUUUGUAGUGCACAAUCGUUUGGUGAGAGAAGACGGUCCACAAACUUCGACGAGGAAGGGUGAUGGUGAUAAUCGGCGACAACGAUAGUGAACAAAGCAAGAAGAGACAAAUUAUUGAGUGUGACGGCGCUAGAGUUUAGAAUUAGGGUUUAGAAUUACAAAUUGCUUUGUUUCAGUAGAACCAUUUGUACCAGUUGUCCAUAACUAUUUGUACCAGUUGUACCGAUUUAUAGUUAUACCAUUUGUACCAAUUAUACUAUUAUCUUUCAUUUGUACCAUUUGUACCAGUUCUCCUAUUAUCUCUCAGUUAUACUAUCUGUACCAGUUGUACUAUUAUCUCUUAGUUGUACUAUCAUCUCUUAGUUGUACCAAUCGUCUGAUAUUUCAUUAAGGGUAAUUUGGGAAUAUCACAUUUACAGUGGCAUUCAGAUUACAAAAUGGCAUGCCGGAUUCAUUUUCUCCAUUGAGUGGCAUACUAGCCUGGGACUCCUCACAAUGCCUUGCCAACUGCAGAAAAAUUUGAAGAAGAAAAGACUCCUUAAUUAGUGAUGAUACAUGUCAAAGAUGUGGGGAGCAUCCUGAAACAUUGAAUCACCUUCUUUUCCAAUGUAGAAUCAGUAAGGAGAUUUGGGAGCAUGCUCCAAUUCCAUUAUACUCAGGUGCAUUUCUUAUUACAAACUCUUUUACUCAGAACAUGGGUGUGUUAAAUAGCCUAAAUAAAAACUAACAAAAGGAUGUGAGUUUAUUCCCUUUUAUUGGUUGGCGUAUCUGGAAAAUGAGAAAUGAGUUGGUAUUUAACAGUAAGAAAUGGUCUAUUCCAGAUACCAUAAAUAAGGCUAUCUUAGACCAACAACAAUGAAAAGAAAGCUUAAAGCUAAAAGUGGAGAAGCCACGAGUAGAUUCAGUUCAUAGCCAUCACAUUGUUAAAGAAAGUUUAAAGCCAUGCUCUGUUUUUAGAAAUGUCAUCAACAUGGCUUGUGAUUAUUGUUGCUUCGUGGAUGGUUCAUGGAUCUCUCUGGCUAACCGUACAGGUAUUGGAUGGGUACUCUACAACAAAAAUGCAAAAUUUGUUCUUAGAGGUAUGGCAUCUAUUAGCCCGUUGGGUACUCCUAUUGAAGUUGAAGCUGAAGCGUUAAGAAUGGCCAUGGUACAUCUGAAGAGGUUAGGGUAUCAUCGUGUUACGUUCUGUGGCGAUAAUUCAGUCCUUUUCCAAAACAUUAACGUCCUAUCAGAUACUCAACAACAACAGUGCUGGGAGUACUCCUCUAUUUCGACACAUCUCCAAGAUAUCCAGUACUUAGCACAAUCUUAUAAUCAAGUUAGUUUCUUUAAAGUUCCUCGUGUUGUAAACAAUGUUGCAGAUCGGUUAGCUAAGUUUGCUAGGUUAAACAAUUUGGGCCUUGUAAUAUCAUGGAACGAUGUAUCUUAAGUUUGUUAUAAUGAAAAGUUGAAAAUAUAUAUAUAUAUAUAUAUAUAUAUAUAUAUAUAUAUAUGUAUAUGUGUAUAUAUAUAUAUAUAUCAUUUUUAACUAAUUAAAAAUUAAAUACAAGAUCGAAAAUCAAGAAACUAGUGGCUAAGUUUAGGGUUCAACAACAUAGUAGUUAAGAUACUAGCCAUCGAAGAUAUUUACAACACUUGCUGAUCACGCAACUUACGCACAGUGAGGGGAUGAAAUUCUGAACACGCAGCAUUUAGGGAAAUGACCCAUGUGGAUCCUGGCCAUUUCCCUGAUGAAGGCUUUGGGAAAAUCAGCUAUUUUUGCAACUUGGAGGUUAUUGAUAACAACAACAGUCUCCAGUCAAUCCCAAUCCAAAAGUUGGACAGAAGAACAACCAAUCCUCAGUGCUACCACUUACAACAUCAAGGAUGUGAAUAUAGAAGAUUGGAAGACCUAUUUCUUCUAGUACUGGUGACCAUGGUUUAGGCUCACUCGUUGAGAAGCGGUUCCCAUGGCACUUGGCUUACCUUCUCUCUUUUUUAUUUGUAGCUUUUUGUAUUAUCAUUUAUUUACUGUAUAAAUUUUUGUUGUAAAAAGAUGGUUUAUGAUGAAUGAAUGGCUUUUACAUAAUCAAUUAUAGUAUCUCAUUAGUUUGCAAUCGACAAAUCCGAUUUGUUAAAUAGUUACUAAGAAUAAAAACAAUCUAUUAAACCCAAAACCAAUCACAAUCACCUAUUUUUAUAAGGUAAAAGUAACAUGUUUAUUGUCCUGACACUAUCUAGAGGGAAACAGUCUAUCAAACAUCCACUAGAAACAAUUUGGACCAAUUAAUUAAUCCACCAACGUUUCUUGAUUAAUUAAUAACUUAAUUUUCCAAACAUCCAUUCAUUCCUAACUUAACAUAACUUGUUUGUUUGGCUUAUUAAUGCCAUUUUUAAUUAGAUUAUUGAACCGGAACAACAAAAUGGCGAACUAAAAUUAAGUAAUCGUAAACAUAAAUUUUCUUCUUGAUAUAUACACACACUUAAAUAUAUAUAUAUAUAUAUAUAUAUAUAUAUAUAUAUAUAUAUAUAUAUAUAUAUAUAUAUAUAUAUAUAUAUAGUGUGUGUUUUUUCUUAUAUAUGCCACACAUAUAUAUGUUAUUUCUUAUAUUUGCUUAUAUUUUGCUUUUAAUUUACUUAUAUUUUGCCUAUUUAUCAUUACAUUGUUUUCUUUUUUCUUUUCUUCAAGUUUUAAUGACUAUAACAUAUUAAUAGACUUGUAUUCAAAAAUAAUUUAUCAUUAAAUGACUUUUAAAACUAUUAGGGCGGUAAAUGAUAAACUAUAAUUUGAGGAAUACUUGUAGAAUGGGUAGAAUUUUGGUGUAAUAGAAAUGAUGUUACAUCAUUUGAACAUGAGGAAUUGGUGGAAUAAUAAUUUAAGAAUUGCUGGAAUAGUAAUUUUAGGAAUUCGUUGCAUUUUAAAAUGUACUAGAUCAUAACCCGUGCUAUAGUACGGAUGUGAAAUUUUUUUUAUAAAAUUAAAAUAUAAAUUUUGUAUUAAAAAGCAAAUAACAGAAUAAAGUCAAAUUUAUAAAAUUUAUUUCAUAGCAUGAUUAAUUUUAUUUCUAAAUAGUAUUAAAUGUUGUAUUAUAUUACUUAGUUGGGAAAAAUGUUUUCAUAAUAUAAGAGGAGAUAAUAUUUUAGUGUAUAUAGAAAUGUUGAGAGUCUAAAUAAAAUUGUAUGGUUUGUUUGUAUGUUUAAAUAAUUUACUUAGAAAAUUUAAUAAUUAACUUAUGCAACAUUUAUUUAUUUUUAUUGUAUUAUUAGUUUGUGAGAGUUUAUUUUUUGGGCCAAUUUGGGUUGAAUUUUAACAAUAGGCCCAAUCUUUAAUUAAGUUGCUUUGGUUUGAUUUUUAAUAAUAGCAUAAAUAAUUUAAAGGAAACAGAAAAUAAUGUCUAAAAAAAACAAUCUGUCGACGAUGUCUUAAAAAAAACCAUAAUCAAGAAUAUGCUUCUGCUUCGAUUUCGAUUGCUGACAAUGGAGGAGAAAUCGGAAUUAUUAUAAUAAACAUCACCCGACGAUUUCUCUGUCAAUUCUUCUUACUUCAGAUGAAAGAAUGAUAAAUCAUGCAAUUUCAUUAGUCUCAAACAAUUUCGGAAUUGAAGAAGGAAUUCAAUUAGUUCAUCGAUUGUGUUCCGGAGCAGUGGAAUUGGAAAUUCGACUUAAAGGUACACCAAAUUCUCAAAUUUAAUCGGAUAUCUUAUACAAAUCGAUGAAUUUAGUUCUUCAAUUGAUUAGUGAUUGAAUCGUUAUGUUGUAAGAAAUUCAACAAAUUAUACAGACAAUUUUGAAAUCGUCCAAUGAAAUAAUGAAUGGCUCUGCCAAAUCUUUGUUUGAUCUAAUCUUAUGACUGUAUAUUUGCAUUGUUUUAGAUAUAGAUUAUAAACUAUAUGAUUUGCAAUCUUAAACUUUUAUCAGAUUCCGAAACUGAUAUCAAAUUAGGAUCAAGCUUUAUAAAGUACAUCUAUAAUCUGAAUAUAAAAUGAUCUGCAGGUUUUUGGUACAGACAUGUAUAUGGAGUAAGAGUAAAUCAAUCUAAUGAAGACAAUCUAACCAAGAAUUAUCAGACGGCAUGCAAUUACCUCUGUUGAAACAUGACUAUAAAGGUUAGUACCCGAUACAUAACUCAUUAAGCUUUUCAAAACAUAACUCAUUAAGCUUUUCAAAACAUGUUGAUUUGAUGCAUUUGAUUAAUAAUAAAAUAAAUGUUCAAUGAAUUUAAAAAUUAAGCAGAUUUAUAGAAAAGUUUAUAUAAUAUAAAAGUUUCUAUCGAACUCUAAAGAAUUAAACAAAUUUGCAAUGAGUUUGUUUCCAACUCUUAUUCAUGAAACUAUUAAUGACUUUUCUUCUGUGUUAUCGUUUAAGCACUGCUAUGAUGUUCAAAACCUGCAUAUGAUAGAAAUAAUAAAAUUUAAUUCCUAAAUGCAUAAUUAGUUAGUUUUGAACUGCACAAAAUCAUUAGAAUAUCUAAAAUACAAAAAGAAGUUAUAAUUAGUGGUGAAAGUUACCUGAAUGAAAAGCUAUCAAAUCUUCUCUUUUCCAGUACUGGCCUACUAUAGUAAAUGUCGAGUUUAGAGUAUUAUCUUUAUGUUAAUAAAUGAAAUUCAAUCCGUACUGUAGUACCAAAUUCAAUUAGAUUUUGUAAUAAAUGAAAUUCAAUCCGUACUGUAAUACCAAAUUCAAUUAGAGAUUUGUUUGAGCUAAUUACGGAAUUUACCAAUUAUUCACAUAAUCAAAUAUGUUAUGAACAUAUAUUUGGUAUAUAAUAAUACCAAAUUCAAUCUGUGUGUGGAGUCUAUAUUUUCAUUUUACAAUCUCUAUGAAAAUAUUGCGGCACAAUCUAUUAUUUAUUAUUUUCAAAAUGCUUGCAGAAUCAAAUUUUUAAAUAUUUAGAAGUGUCAAACCUUAUUUAACUCAUCUCAUCAUAAAUCUUAAAAUGCUGUCUGUUAUAAGGAUCAUAACUUUCUACCAUAUAAUACAUUACAUUUAACCCGCCGCCUACUAUAAAUAUUUUAAACAUAUCUUUUUAGAAAAUCAAAUUAUUGUAUUUAUAAUUUUUUUUUAUCUUUUUAAUCUAUUAAAUAUUUAUGAUAUUCCUUAAUAUAUUAAAUUAAACUUUUUUAAAAUAUUCCAAAUUAAAAUCUUUAAAACCAUUUUAUCGUAGUAUGUAAAAUUAUGAAUUUUAAAAAAAAUGAUAUGAAAUUAAAUAUAAAUAUUCAAAUAGUUAUAAGGAUCAUAACUCAUUUCAGCAUAUAAUAUAUUAUAUUCAACCCGCCGCCUAUUAUAAAUAUUUGUUUCAAAAAAUCAAAUUAGAGUAUUUAUACUUCAUAAAUUUUUGAUCUAUUAAGUUUGAUGAUAUUAAAAAAAAAAGAAUAUAUUACUCAAAUAUGAAUUUUUGACCCGUUAAAUUUUGUUCUUUCAUACAUUGAAUAAUUUAUAUUCGUUUUUAAAAAUUCAAAUCUUGGUAUAUGCGGAAAAAAAUUUACUUUUUGUUUAUUAUAUAGAUGAUAUACUGAUUUAUUUAUUUAUAGAAAUAAAAUCAUUUAAAGAUGAGAUGUGGAGUAUAAUGAUUAAUAACAAAUUAAUAUGGUAAGUUAGAUAUCAAAUCUUAUAUGUUCAUUUCGAUUGGUCAUUUUUUAAAAGAAAUUAAUAAUAGAUUUUCGUUUUUAUAAUUAAAUUAAAUUAAUUAAAUUGUAUAAAAUAGUAUUUGACUUUUUUAUCCUUAAUGAGUUGAAUUAAUUUACUCUAUAAAAUUUUAUUACUAAUGGCAUUCUUAAGUAAUUUUUUACAAAAGAGAAGGUUAGUUAAGGGUAUCUUAUAAAGUGUACUCCCCAAAUAAUAGUAUAGGAUUCAUUUGAGUGCUUGUUUUUUCUUAUACAGGCAAGUUAUAAAUUAUGUCAAAGGAAAACAUGUAAACUCUUAAUUGGGCUUCAAUUGGAAAAUAUUGAUUAUGAUUCAAUAUUGAGAGAGUGAUGUUCAGAUCUCAUUAUUGGGAUACUUGUUGCUUGAUGGAAUAGAGUUUUCAGUGUAAAUGGCCUUAACACAGACAUUUUUGGUUGUUAACAUUAACAUAUGUUGUAAAAGCAUUCAAUUAGCUGGAAGUGUCUUCGGUGUUUUUGUGAAAGUUAUAAAAGCCAUAAAGUUUGUCAUGUUUUUUUUUUCUGUAAAAUCAUGAUAAUUUUGAGAGUUUGUUUCUCAUUUUCAAAAAGUCUACUAGCGAAUUAUGGCUUAUCAAUUUCGGUACUUAUGGAUUAGGACUUUGAGAUUACACGUGAGCGUGUGUUAAAAAAUUGGCGGGAUAGUUUCAACAUGUAUAUGUGACUGUACUUAUAUUUCGGGUAUAUUCAAGUACUUGUUCGGAUUUAGCUUCGGGUCAUGUUGAGUUUGAAUUUUUGGGGUUUAAAGUUUAUGACCCGUGAUAACAUGGGAUUUUCGCCCAUAUUUGUUAUUGUUUAUUUGUUUUGUUUUCUUAUGUUUUAGGAAGUGUUUGGUGUGAUUUCAAGGCUAAAUAGGAGAUCAAGUGUUUAUGAAGUCAAGAAGGUUUUAGGAGUUUACAAGCAAAACGGACCAAAAGACAAGCAAAACCCGUUUCAGGACAGGUUCGAAGAUCCAGAAGUUAGGCGUCCGUUGGAGACCUUCCCAUGAAAAAAAAUUGGAGAUCUUAGACUCUAUGGAAAGCUGGAAGAGUCAAGAUUACAAUGGAGGAAGAAUCAACUCAAUCCCAGCUGCAAAACAGAAGGUACAACCGAUUGAAGUCAGCCUGUUAGAGACCAGUCGCAAAGCGUGCGAUCGGUGGUGGAACCCUUGUUGCCACCGGUCACAAUACCACGUGACCGGGCUGAGGCCUCUUGUGGAGCACGGUUAUGGAUCCUCGUGAUCGGGCUAAGCCUCCUCGUCCCUGCACUUAUCGAAACUAGGUAGUUUUGCCGAUAAAACACUAAACCGACUUGUUACUUCCCGAGGCCUAUAAAUACAAGUUAUUAACCCUAAUUAGGGUGUGUCUUCGACCCUAUCACCAGAAGCCUCCUAGAGAAACGACCAGAGAAGCCGUCGAAGCUCCCUCACCACCAUUUGCCUCCAUUGCCGCCGUUGAUGCCGCCGAUCAUCACCAACCUUUCUCUUCAUCUCUUUUCUCUGUUCUCUACUUGUUCAAGGAAGAAGAAUCCUAAACUGGAUUUCCAGAGAAGCUUUCUAAACCCUUUUUCUAUACUCAUACUCUUUUAUACAAUUUCUUAUUCAUAUGAUGUUGUGUUCUUUGAGUAUGUGUGAGUAGUUUACUUGUUGGGUAUAAGGGUUUCAAAGGGGAUUCAUGGAUCUGUUUUCUAGGGUUUCUUAGAUAUAUAUUUAGGUCAUCUUUGUUCUUCGUUCUAGGUUUGUUCUUAAUGCAUAUUGCUUGAAUAGCUAACUUGCAAUUGAUCUUAGGUACACUACAAGAAAAAUGAGCAUCGGUAACACACGAAAACUGCUACUAAAAGGAUUUCGUAGCGAAACUACAAACGCUGUAUAAUGAGGAGCUACGGUAGACCCCCCCUACCGUAGCAGUUUUUACGCGCUAUUGUAAAUUGACCUAUUAUAGCGCUAUUACUCAGCUAUUUAAUAUUCUUAACUAGCGCUUUAUUUUUGCUAUUAUGUUAUUUUUAAUAACAAAUAUUUCGUGCUGUGUAACUUGUAAUGAUAACACACUAUAUGUGCUGGUGGAUAUUAUUAACUAGCGCUUCACUCGUGCUAUUAUGUUUGUUUUUAUAGCAAACAUUUUGUGAUGUCUAACUUGUAAUGAUAACACAUUAUAUGUGCCGGUGGAUAUUGUUUCGUGACAUUUUGUUAAUGCUUGUUAAUGCUGCUGUAAUGUAUAUUAUUAUGUGCUAUAUUUCAAUUAUUUGAAACCUAUAUUGCACAAAACAUAGAUUGCAAAUUGAUUCAUAAAUAAAAUUAAUAUUAUAUAAAACAUACAUUUUACAAAGAAUCAUUCUAUCAAAUACCCAAAAGAUACAAAGAAGGCUUGAAUCACCAACCAAGUCAUAAAGAAAAAAACACAAGUACAUUUCUUCACCAAACCAAGUCAUAAAGAAACCGAGGCAGCUCUAGUAGAUCUCCAACUCAUACCAUUUAACAGCCAACGCCAUUCCUUGUCUUCUUUUACAGUUGCUUCAAGCUAUAAUUAGUCAACUUAAAAAGUUGAGUGCAUAACUUGCAGAUUAAACAGUGCGAUCAUUCUAGACUAAGUGCAUAACUUGCAGAUUAAAAUAUAGAGUGUGCACAUACCACAAAGAUCGUUGAUCUUCUUGGCGAGCUCUUUGAUUUCUUUCUUCACUUUCUUUUACAGGUGCAGUAAGGCCCUUGAACACCGUGCAAUGUAUGAUAUGAUCCAUUAACAAGCUUUUUUCUCACUGUGAUAAAAUACAUGGGAUGCACUAUAAUAACCUGAGAAUAAGGAAGCUGCAAAAUAUACAAACCUAAGAGAUAUCAAAUAAGACAACUUUAAACUCCAAUACCCACUCAGAGCUAUCACUGUAGGGAAUCAACCAUUACCUCUUCAUAAUCAACAAGUUCAACACACACAUCAUAGAUGUCUUUCCUGUUUGAAAAUUUUCAAAUAAGAUAAGCUAAGCAAUGUGGUCACGCAAUCAAAUCAUACAAUAGAAAACAACAGAAAAGGAUUACUAGUUAUGUAGUUCUGAAGUUUGUCAAGGAUCAAAAUGAGUUUAAAUUCUCAUUGAAUCAUAGACAAAAAACCAGAUUGAUGUAAAUGCUUAAUAUAUCUGAACAACAAUCCUAAAAUAUCUUCCAUAUGCUCUGUUUUAAAACAGCUUCAAGACAAUAAACCCAUUGAGGCAUUUAAUCGAACAGGUGGUGGGCGAUUGACUAUAACAUGAAACUCAAUUAGUGACAUAAUUACUAGAGGAAUAGCAAACACAAAACAAAUAAAAAAUACUCGAAGAAGCAAAACAUUACCAGAAUAAAGUUUACUCACAAAAUUUAACUCUUAACACAAGCAGAUCCGUUUCAUGCUCUUAGAAGCUAAAACUUGUGAUUCAAAUUUCAAUGUAAACCCUAAAAAUCCAGAAUUAACUCACCUGAGAACCAACAUCAAAAGAGGCUCGCCAAGGUGGUGGUGAAACGUCUUCGAUGUAUCGCUGGUGGAGAAGAAGAAGUCGACUAGGUAAUGAGAGAAAACCAUUGCGUUGACAAAUUGAGAGACUAAUGUUAAACUCAGAAGAAACGAAACUUACAGUGGAGUGAGAAGCUAAAGCAGAGAGAUUCUCGUAAAUCGUAAUGGAGGAGAGGAAAAAAGAAUUGAGAAUUGAGAAUAUGUGAUGAAAACAAGAAGAAGAGAAGAAGUAUGUGCUGAAAGGUGAUGACCUAAUCUGAAUUAAUUUUUUCCUGAGAUCAGCCAAGAGAAGACCUAAUCUGAAUUAAUUUUGUUCUGAAUUUUGUUCUCAGUCGAGGCGAUGAAAAGAUGAAAGGAUGAAGAGAGCAGACGCCAAAGCCUUUGUUGGGCGAUGAACGGAUGAGAUUUCAUUAAACAACAGCCGCCAAAGCCUUAUGAAAGGAUGAGAUUUCGCCACGUCAUGUAUCCGAGUAUUACUUAUUGAUUGGUUUAGGUAAAUUGAUCAUGUAUUAGAUCCGAUGAAUGGCUGAGAUCUCGCCACAUCAGCAAUCUGAGUGAAACAUGAUGAUUGGCUAAUUUUGUUUAUAGACAUAAAAAUGUGUUUUAACUAUUUAUAUAAUUUUUUAAAAAUUAUAUAUUGAAGAAUUAAUAUGUUUAUGAGUUAUUUACAUGAUUAUAUAAUUUUUUCACAAUUAAAAAAAAUAUAUUUUGCAACGUUUUUAGAAAUUUGAAGGUAACACAUAUGAUUGCCUUAGAAUACAUGUACACUAAUCUUCUUAUUGUGUAAAUCAUAUUGUUGAAACACAUUAAUGAUGUUAUAAUUAAUAAAAUGAAAGAAUUCAUUUAUGUUAUAAUAGUAUACUUUAUAUCAUUAAUAUUAGCUACUAUUUAAAACCCUAAAACUAAACCCUAAACCCUAAAUCCUAAACCCUAAACCCUAAACUAUUUUUAAAAAUGAAUUUUAUUUAUGUUAUUAUUUGUUAUAAUUAAAUAUUAUUACUAUUUCAAACAAAUAUAAUCCAAAAACCUAAACCAUACAUUUCAUACCCUAAACCUUAUACCCUAAACCCUAAACCCUAUACCCUAAACGCUUUGAAAUUAUAAUUUUGUUAUUAUUUAUAUAAUUAUUAAUAUUAUAAUUAAAUAUUUAUGUUUUUUUGAGAUAUUUGGUUAUAUUUGUUUAUAUUUCAUUUUUUUAUAACUUUUUUUUUCCAAAAUUCGAAAAUCAUUUAAAAAAUCUUAAAAAUCUUAAAAAUCAUUUAACUUGAAACCUAAAGUACAUGCCUUAAAAUAAUUAAUUCAAUUUUUUCCAAUUAAAAUGUUUUAAGUAUGUGUUUUUGUGUUUAAUAUAUUUUUGCCAAGAGAUAACAUAUAAUUAUUAACAUGAGAAAACAAAGUCAAGUGCACGUAAUAAAAGAAAACACAAAGUGUUCAUUUAUAAAUCCGUAUUUUUUUUAUAAAUACGUUAUUUUUUAUAAAUACAGUAUAUUUUUAUAAAUAAAAUAAACUCUAAAUCGAAAAUAAAAAUCUAUAAUGAAAAUAGAAAUUAUUUUAAUUACCAACAAAAUAGUCUUACACAUGAAAAUAAACAAAAAAAUUGUCUUAAAGUUUCUAAACAUAAUAAACCUAAUUGUGAUACAUAGGUCUCUGGUGGUGUCUUUGCCUUUGUCUGUGCAUGUGAUGAUUUUGAAACGAUUUUGGAACUAGCUGUCAAAGAAUCAUCAAUCACUGUCCUCUGUCAACUACAACCACAAAAAUAAAUCAUCAAGAUCAGAGAACAGAUCAGUGUUUUGAAAUCAUGACCAAUAUGUGAUUUAAGAACUAUAGUACAGUACCUAAGAGAAGAUGUUCAAUUAAAUAUGGACAGUACUGUCAUGUAUAAUGUGAGAUGACCCUAAUCAAAUUAGAUUUAGCAACUCUUACUGGCCACUGUAUACAAGGCAAGAAAAGUAAAACUCAAGUCGAUAAGCAACAAGUUCAAUGUGGAACCAUGAGUAUCAGUCUUUAUAGCAUACUUAAGGCUGCUAAAAAGUCCACUCCUUUCAAUUGUUUUUAGAAGCUAUUAGCACCAAUGUUACAUCGACUAGAGCUAUGGACUGGUAACUUACGGGGACAUGAGAGUCACAGGCGUUUCUCUUGGCGUCAGUUGCUGAGAAGACUGUGUAUACAAGGACGAAUGUGCCAAUGAUCUCAGCUCCAAGACCACUUCACUUGUUGCUUUAUCUUCUUUAUCUCUCUUGAAUCAUAUACAAAUGGAAUGAGUUCACGCAAAGAAGCUAAAACUAAUCUCAAUUUUGUCAAAGAUUAUAUAGCUUUAUGGUCUCAUCUCUCCACCUGAUUGCAGUAAAAAAGGCAUAUACAUAUGUACUCUUAUCAUUUGCAUAUGUGAUUUGUCAGACCGUUCUGCAUAAUAACCAAAAUGAGAUGAAACAAGGAUGAAACUAGACUAAAUGAGACAAGGAUGAAACUAGACUAAAUGAGAUGUAAAUACAUGGUAAAAACUAGUGAAAUAUAGACAUAUCAAUACUCAAUGAGAUUCUUAUCUUGGAAGCCUAACACAUGCUUUGUCAAUAUUACACCAAUACGACCAUAGCUCCACACCACCAAUUAUACAAUUUGUGAUAAUAAGUUCAAAGGAUCACACUCAAAUAACUCACAUGCAUCAACACACUAGAAAGAAAGUAAAGAAACAAAGAGUAGUAACAACAAGAGAGGUAUCAAUUAAUUGGCCAUUGGUCAAAGUUGUUUAUAAGAGAGAUGUCAUAUUACUUAUUUACUUACAUCUGAGCACAAGAAAAGCUUCACAAAGUUCUGUGCAAGUUGCCAGAGAGUUUCUCCUUCUUGUGGUCUUAAAACAGCAAAAAAAAGGUUAGACUAGUUUAGCUUCCAGCUAUUAUCACCAACACAAAUCCUAUCCUGGAAAAUGUUAAUAAGUAGAGCAUUCUUAGGCAAGAAUCACUUGCAAGGACCUGUUCUCAUUUGUAUCGAAUACUCACAUCAGACACAAAAUGUAUAACAAAAAGUAAAGAAAUAAUAUCUUACACAAGUAAAAGAACAAGGUAGGAACGGACAAGAAGUUAAGGAAUCAAGAUUCUGCAAACAAAAGAACGACAUGGAUUAUCAGAAUCAUUACAACAUAACUCAUCUUUAAUUGAACAGCUACAAAGCCGUAAAUACCUUGUAGUUCUUGUACUGAACAGCUACAGAGCGGCAACUACAGAUCCACAAAUCCAACUACACAUCAGAAAAAGAAACAUGAGACAUCAAUAAUCAUGAGAGCAGUGGCAGCGACCGGUAAGGACUAGAGACAAGAGCUAGGAAACCAAAUUAGCAUAUACGAGAGCAAUAAACUUUUUCACACUAAGCAUUAUCUCAAGAUACAGAAAAAAUAGAGUCUAAACUCAGACAAAAAAAUCAAUCGAAAACACUGAUUGAAAGUCAAACACCCAAGCUCACAUAAGAAAGAAACACGAUUCAAAUCAACAAACAAAAAUCCAAAACCCAAUUACUUCAACGGAGUCGAAGAGAGAUAGAGACGGAGAGAGACGGCAGCGGCGGAGAGAUAUGGCGACGGAGGAGAGAGACGGUGGCGGAUCUGAGAAACAACAGCAGAGAAAGAAGGAGAAAGACAGAGACGGAUAGUGGAGAAUCGAUGGAGAUUGUGGUGUUGAUAAUCGAGACUUCUUCAAUAGGAAUCGAGAGUUCAUGCAAUGGGUAUUCAGAUUUCACAAUGGAAUCAAACACUUUGAGAUUGAAUUGAAAUUUUGGAGAAAGCUUUUUUUUUUUUUGGAGCUAAGUGUAAAAGAUAAGACUUUUACACUUGAGAAAUCGAGACUUUUUUGGUUUGGAGUGGGGAACCCAAUUGUUUUGCCUCCAAAAUUAUACAUUUCCCCGCUAUAAUACUGAGUUAAGUUCCCGUUUAAUGAAAACUAUAUCCUAGCAUUAAUAUAGUGCUGCGAAAUACUUGUCAUCCGAUUUUGGAACUUUUAGUAGCAGUUCGUAAAUUAGCGCUACAAAGGACUGCUACGGAAGCUCAUAUUUCUUGUAGUGGUAGGUUUAUGCAUCACAAGUGUAUAGAUCCGCGUUCACUAGCCUAAAUGUGAGUAUAGUGUUAGCACACACCACUUAGUUAUAGGGCCUUACGAACUAAAAUCGAACUCGUUAAUCAUGCUGGCUAAAUCUCGUCGUUGCAUGCGUUAGUUUAGUAACGGAGUUGUUAGACUUAGAUAGUCGUUUGAUCAUAAGCCAAACGGUUUUACAUAAGUGUUUCGUAGUUCAUGAACCGUUUAAUAAGCAUAGGUUUACUUUUGUUUAAAACCCUAGAAUAACCCGAUCCGUGAUACCUUGAAACCCAACUUCUCGUUUAUUGACAUCUUUCAUCGUUUAAUUAGCUUUUAUUUUCUGUUUAGUUCCGUGACAACCACCCGUAAACCAAACCCCUCUCUUUUGUUUGUCUUAGACAUAUUCUUUUCCAUGAAUUUGUACCGUACUUAUAAGUCUCUGUGGGAUCGAUCCUUAAAUACUACAUCUGAUUAACUGUGCACUUGCAGUAUUUCGUGUAGUCUCUAAGGGAAAACUUUGAGACAAAAUAAAACACGCUUCAACCCGUUCGGGUAUUUUAAAAUUCUGGGUUCGGGUUCGGGUCGGAGUUUUUGAGUCGGGUUCGGGUCGGUUCCUCCGGUUUGGAUAUUAUGCCCAUACCUAAUUUUUGCUAAGGCUUGUGUUGUGGUCAUAACCUCUUCCAAGUUUUGGAAACCAGAGAAAUAAAAACUUAUGCUAUUGGAAUAUACAAAAAUAAUUGAUCUAGUUUCAUGAAAUAUGUUAAUAUUCCAUCUCAAUAGUAAUAGCCAUCUCAUUAACUUAUUUUUAAAUUUUAUUAAUUUAUGAUAAAAAUUUAGACUAAAAAAUUUGUUGAAAUAUAAAAAAUAAUUCAUAUUAGUGUCAAUUAAUUUGUUCAUUGAUAAAGCCAUAAAGGUCCCAAUCAAAGCAUAAAUUGAUAAAUAAGAACAUACAAACCAACACAAACCUUUUCUUUGGCAUUUAAAAAAAAACAUGUGGACGAGAAAAUAUCAAACUGAAAAUAAUUUUUGAGAACUUGAAAGAUAUUUAGAUCAACUAAUUUACAAUUUUUAAAUAGACAUAAUGAUAUGUAAAUUUGAGUCGAAAGUGUUAACAAAUAUUCAUGUGAAAAAACUACUUUGCAGAAUCUCGAAACCGUCUUGUCGAAGUAAAAUGUAGAAUAUUUAAUUGAUAUCACAUAUUUAUUUACUUAUGGGAUUAUUAUUGAAUUGGGCAUUUAUUGGGUCAAAAAUUUCAGAUAUAGGAUUAUUUGCCUGGACUUCAGUUUUAGGUAUUUUUGAGAUGCACGAAAUUAUGCAUUUACCCUUGUCUUCUACAUCUCUUCUUCCUCCUCUCCCCAAGCACAACCCACGUUUCUUUCCCCAAACCACAACCUUUUUUUCUGACGACAACCAUCAUCUCUUUCCCCAACCAUAACCCUCUUUUCAAUUAAUCAAGUGUUGAAUAAAGAAAAUUAAACCCUAGAUAGUAUAGACUAAACCCAAGGGUUCUAAUCUUAGAUAUUGAUUAUAUCAAGUAAAAACUUCAAUUUUCCUUCAAACGAAUUAGCUCAAAUUUUUGAUGCUUUCAAAUCGAAUAAAUCUUCAGUUCAUCUCCAAUUAUUUUCCUAGUCAAAGGAAAAUUGAAAACGACGACGACGGCAAAGAACGGCCAAGUAGGUAGAUGAUCGAUUUGUCUCCUUCUUCUCCAACUACGCUAUUUUUUUCAAGAACGUAAAAAAAAAAUUAAUAAUGCCAGGAAAAAUCAAAACCAGAGGAAAAAAAACAAAAAAAUUAGAAAAAAGCAUUUGUUUAGAGGAAAAGUGGAGAGAUAGAGAUUGGCACCUGCAAAGCUUGGGCAAUCGUCUUUCUGAACCAGAGCUCGAAGAUCUCUCCGGUCUUUAGAAUCAUGCUUAUGAAGCACCCCUCGUAACCGUCGGGUAGAGGUUUUCAUGGCCGGAAAUGCUAUUUCUCCAUUCAUCUUCAAUUCUAGCAAUUCAUCUUCAUCUCCAUCUUCUAUAUUCUUUGGAGAUCAUUCUCUUUUGCCUAAUUGAGUUGAAAUUGAUUUAAUUUAUAGUUUAGAUUUUUGUUUUUUUGAGUUAGGUUGCUGCAGUUUUGAAGGGUAAAAUCGUCCUUCCAUGAUAAAAGUAAUGCCUAAAACGUGAGUCCCGACGAUCUGUCCCAAAUCUAUAAUUUCUGCUGGAAUAAAGCCCAAUCCGGUAAUUGACUCUUUAAUUAUACAUAAUAAUUAGAGGUGUCAAAAUUGUUAACCCAACUCAACUUAACUCAUUAUCCAAUGAGUUUAGAGUUAAAUGGGUUCAUGGGUUGAGUUGAGUCAACCCAUGAACUCAUUUUAUUUGAUGGGUUAGAAGGUUAAAUGGGUUGACCCAUUAACCUAAUAAUGUAAUAAAUAAAUUAAUAAUUAAAAUAUAAUAAUAAUAAUAAUCAUCAACAAUACUAUUAUUUGGCAGAAAAAUCACGGAUUUACGUUUUUGGCGGGAAAAUUACAGAUUUACGUUUUUGGCGGAAGAUUUUUACAUUCUCAUUUUUGGUUAAAAAUUAUAAAAGAAUUUGGCGGAAAAUCACGGAUUUACGUUUUUGGCGGGAAAAUCACGGAUUUACGUUUUUGGCGGGAAAAUCACGAAUUUAUAUAUUGAUGGAAAAAUUGUGUAUUCACAUAUUUGGCGGGAAAAUUAAGGACUAUAUUCAAUCGGUUUAGACGUUUUGGUUAGACUCAAAUUGAAAUCGGUUUAGAGAUUUGAAUUGGUUUGAUUCAAUUUAACAAAAAUUGAUGGGUUAAAUGAGUAAACCAUUGAAACCAUUGACCCAUUACAACCCAACUCAUUUGAUCCAGCAACCCAUUUGACUCAAUAACUCAUUAGAUCCAUCAACUCAUUUGAGUUAAAAUUUUCAACUCAUUAGAGUCCAUGGAUUGAUUUGGAUUGACCCAUGAAUCUUGACCCAUUUUGACACUCCUAGUGAUAAUAAUAAAACUUAUAAGAAAUUUUCAAUAAUAGUUUAAUAAAGAAAACUAUCAAAGAUCUUUUUGGGAUGAAGUAUGUUUGAAUUGAAAAAAGGGUGAACAAAAUAUUAAACCAUAGAAGAUUAGAUAUUACAAGAUUUGGGAACGGAAACAACAUAAUUAAUUAUCUCUCUCUUCUGACACACAGAAUUUUGACGAAAACGCCCCUACAACUGACACAAUCUCUGUCGCAAGAUAACAUGUUUAAACGACAAGAGUUCAGAGCAUUAAAUGCUCGAAAAUCUCUGUGGCAAGAUCAGGAAAGAUUGCGCCGGCGUUAUGGGGAAGAGAAAGAUUUUGAGAAAAGAAAAUGAUUACGGAGAUACUUCUCGGUUUGUGGAAGUAGCAAGCAUAUGGGUUCAUGUAUUUAUUACCGAACUAGCGCCGUUGCCAAGACCAGAACACAAAAGCACCAUAAAAGUUCAGAUAACAAGUUAAUGUAACGAAGAACAGAGGAGAGAUUGGAAGAUUCCGGGAAGCAUUAAAUAGCAUCAUUAAAUACGAUAAGGUAUAAAACUGUCGUCUACUAACAAAUCUCAUUCCUCAUCGUAAUUGUUAAUGUGGUAAAAAUCAUGAUACUCGGUGCUAACAAGGUUAUUACUCCUUUUCCGUAGGUAAGUUAUGGCUAUGGUGGUGCGGUUGGUUAGAGGAGAAUGGAGAAAAGACGAUGAAGGCUGUUACGAACAUGUAUCCGCUUUGGAAGGUUUUACGAUGGCGGUUUGGCUGAGGGAGACAUAUGGGUAUAAUAAAGUUGUUAAUGCGGUAAAGGAAAUAUUGGCGCUUCGCGAUACAGACGAAAUCGAGCUAAGUUAUCAUUGGCCGCAGUGGAUGAUGGGUCCCGACUGGAAACGAGCAGACCUGAUACACAUCCUUAAUGAUGAAGAUAUGAUGCAGUUCAUGGCGAUAAGGGCUGAUCUUGAAGAGGUGCAUCUGCGAGUUAAGGUGAUAAGGGGAGGGCUGGAGACGAAUGUUAAUUCUUUCAAAAGCCAUUUAGAUCUGGGAGGAUUGACAUCAGAGGAGAUAUCUGAUAAGUACUGGAAUUCCGCGGAAACUAGGUCAGUUUGGGAUAGUGCGUUGACCCGGUUGUUAACGCGACAUGCAGGCGUGGACAAGCGUAGUACCAGCGAACUCCAGCAACAAGGAAACGAAACGAUUGAAGGACCAAGAAGAAUAAACCCGACUAGGGGGUAAGGAUACAGGAGCCGUUAAACGCAACACCUAUAAGAACAGCAGUACCCAGGCAGGCCGAUAGCAGAGAGAAACGAAAAGCAACAGCAAGCGAGAAAGGCAAAGGACAUGUUACCGAUGCAGCAGAGUUACAAAAAACUCACGCUAAUGGAUUAGCAUGUAAAGAAAUGUUUGAGGCAGCUCAAACCUCUACAGAAACGGAUUUUGAGGCUUUUAGAAGAAACUAUGUCCCAGAAAUGUGGCGGGAUGUGUGUGCUACAGAGAUGACUCUAGGAGGACAGCAAGGUGGGACAGUUAUGGCCAACGAGGUAACCAAGACAGCGAGAGAAUUGAAUUUCGGGGUAACAUUGUCACAACAAACCCCUGCUGAAGAAGAAAGCCUACGACUCACCCUUUCUGGCGCAUCCAUGGCAACAAACCAACGAACAAUCUUAAUGUUGUCGUCAUCAGACUCGUCAUUCGGCACACCGACUUCCCCUUCAACCAGUAUUUCGUUCUCAACCGAGGAGCCAAUGGAUGCAGAGAUAGGAAACGUAUCUCCUACCGGCGUAAUAGGUUAGUUAUCUGAAAACUAGUAUUGAAUAUGGAUAAGAUUCAAAUGAAGAGAUGGUGAUUAUAUGCUAUCAUUUGCCAGGUCCACCAGCAAUGGAGGACUAUUACACAGAACCGGAUGGACCAUUGUGUUUGACUCCAAGAGUUCCCAUAGCUGGGGGGAUAACAGUAGGUACGCCGGUAAUGGAAAAGGGAUCUGGUUCAACUCAAGGGAAAGAGGUUCCGUAGGGAGACAGACAAAUGGUGGUAAGAGAGACGCCAGUCCCGAAAGUGUUGUAUGAUCGGGAUGCACCUCCGUAUUUUGAUGACCCGGGAGAAGAAGGUAAACAAGCGAUAAUAAUAUUGUUAUUGGGCUAAUAUUUAUAUAUCGUGAUAAGUUUUUUUAUAACACGCUAAUGAUGGUGUGUGGAUAACAUUGACAGAUUACCUUCAACGAGCGCUUAAAGAUGCUGAUUAUGAAGGGGAUGACAUUUUCAUGGGAAGGUUGUUCAAAAACAAGGAUGACUGCUGCACAAAACUAGCUAUUCAUGCAAUCCGACAAAAGUUCCACUUUAUACAUGCUAAAUCUUGUCCAACAAUGGUGAUAGCUGUUUGCGUCGGGACCACAUACCCGUGGCGGGUUUAUGCGACAAAAUUAGAAGACAGUGAGCGGUUUGAAGUGAGGACGGCAAUACUGCAGCACACCUGCAGCGUGGACGCCAGAGGCGACUUCCACAAGCAAGCAUCAACAGCAGUUAUAGGGAAGCUGAUGAGGACACGGUACGUUGGGGUUGGAAGAGGACCUAGGCCUAAUGAGUUGCGGAGAAUGUUGAGGCAAGAAUUCAGUCUCAAUGUUUCUUACUGGAAAGCGUGGAGAGCAAGAGGGAUUGCAAUGGACAAUGCUCUGGGCUCGGCUAUGGGGAGUUUUGCAUUAAUCCAACCAUACUUCAAACUUCUGAUGGCAACAAAUCCAAACUCUAUUACUGCGCUAGAAACCGAGACAAAUAACUUGGGAGUUACCAGGUUUAAGUAUCUAUUCUUUGCUCUACACGCAUCAAUCAAGGGGUAUGCUUACAUGAGAAAAGUUAUUGUCAUCGAUGGAACUCACUUGAGAGGCAGGUAUGGAGGUUAUCUAGUAGCUUCAAGCGCCCAAGAUGCGAAUUUCCAAGUUUUUCCACUCGCAUUUGGAAUUGUUAAUAGUGAAAACGACGAGGCGUGGACCUGGUUCAUGACGAAGCUAACUGAAGUUGUCCCAGACGAACCAGACCUAGUGUUCGUCUCAGACAGGCACGCUUCCAUCUAUGCAAGUAUUAGGAAGGUAAACAUUGGUAGAUAACAUAUUAUUUACCACAAUAUCAGUCUCUUUAACGUAUAAGAACUUUGUUUAUAUUUAAUGAAUAAUUGUGAAAAUGAAAUGUUGAAACAAAUACAGUAAAGGAAAUAUAAAUGGAUAUGGGUUAUCUGAUAAUAACAUUUUUAUUUAAUAUAUGGGGGGUUACCAAAUAAGAGAAAAUAAAAAAAUAAGAGAUAACUAAAUACAUAAGUUUUUAAUGCAAACUAGAAAUGAGAUAUGCUAAUGUUAUCAUGGCCCGUUAAAUAUGUUGCAGGUGUAUCCAAUGGCAUCCCACGCGGCUUCUGUGGUUCAUUUGAAAAGAAAUAUAAUCGCAAUCUUCAAAAACGAAGCCCUAGGAAGUAUAGUGUCGAGCGCAGCCAGGGCCUACCGCCUAUGUGAUUUCAACAAAAUCUUUGCGGAGAUUCGAGCAAUGAACGGGCCAUGUGCUGACUACCUCACCGGAAUAGGGUUUAAGCAUUGGACCCGAUCUCAUUUUGUUGGGGAAAAAUAUAACGUGAUGACAAGCAACAUCGCAGUAUCGUUAAACAAUGUGUUGACAAUGGCAAGAGACUAUCCGGUGAUCUCAAUCCUCGAAUCUUGGAGAACAACUUUGGUUACGUGGUUUGCUCUACGGAGGGAAGCAGCUCGUAUGGAAGAAAACAUAUUGCCUCCAAAGGUAAAUGAUAUGGUCAUAGAGAACUUUGAAAAGGGGGCAGGAUUUGGAGUGUUGAAAAUAGGGGAUGGGCUAUAUGAGGUGAGAGAUAUUGUGGACUGCGGGUACACCGUAAAUCUUUGGGAUCGAACAUGCACCUGCAGACAGUUUCAGCUUCUUACUAUACCAUGUUCCCAUGCAAUAGCUGCCGCAAUCAGAGAAGGGAUAAGAGUUGACACCAUGGUUGGAGUCCACCACACAAUUCCACAACUACGGUCAGCAUACAAAGAAAUGAUUAUGCAUGUCCCAGAUAUGGCAACACUAGCACCAUCACCAAAUGAUAUCGGAGGAGGGAAGCUAGCACCACCAUAUGUUAGACGGCCACCAGGGCGGCCAAGAAAAAGGAGACUCUUUUCUCGGGGAGAAUUCAAGGUAACUUAAUAUUUAUUUGCUAUUUAAAUAAUGGUAAAUAUUUUGUUAUCGGGAUAUCUAAUAUUUUCCUGAUGAGUUAUGUUUCAGAGGACGUCGGGUAAGCGCUGCACACGCUGCCGUUCACUGGGCCACAAUCGAGCAACGUGCAGGGGACCAAUGACGGUAACAAAUUUAAAUUAUAUUUUUAAACUAAAAAAACAUAAGAAAACCUUGUUACCGAAAAUUGUGAUAACACACAUGAGCCGUAGAAAGCAGGGGAAGCUAGUUUUUUGGGAAAGAAGAACGGAUGGAAGACGUUGGGCAAACUAAAAUAGCUCGACGGAAUGUUAAAUAAAUAAAGCUGAUGAUGCCAGUAGAAUGAUUUUGAUGUAUAUAAUGCGGAUUCUAGUGGCCUAAUAUGUAUAAUUAUUGAAGAAAAUACCAAUCCGUCGGUUACUGUUUAAUUAUUUAAUGAAGGCCAGUUAAUGUUUAAUUAUCUAAUAAAUCUGUUGGCAUUGUAUGGGAAGUUGGGACUACGCGUAAGAAGAAUGUUAUCGAGCUAUCAUUGAUAAAAUGAUAACAUAUUCAUUACGAAUUUGGUAUAAAGAAAAAUAUAUGGGAAUCUAAAAAAACAACUUACAUACGAAACAGAUUAAUGCGAUAAGAGUUUGUUUAGACCAUAGCCAACUGAUUUAGAGGAUAGGAAACAAAUUAAUGCAAGAUCUAUGGAUUUUUGAGGGAAUAGGUGGGUACAGAUUCUCACCAUCAAUCAAGAUAACACAUUGGUUAUAUAACUUUGUGAGAUACCCUUAUAUGAAGUCUAAAACAAAUGAUAUUGUUAAUAUUACUGAGUUAACAAAAUGUAUAAACAGAUAGACUACUAAUAAUAAAUAAUACAAAUAAUCUUUUAAAAUAAUGAACAAAGUAAGUUAGUUGUUAAGAAAGAAGUUAUGUAGUAAACAUAUAACUAAUUUGGAUGUUUCUUUAGAGGUACAGAAAUCGAAUUUAACCUCUCUUGUUGAAACCGAGGGUUCCAUUUCACCUCUCGUUAUUAAAAUCGAUUUGGGGAAACUAACAAAAUUAGGGUUACCUACCUCUCUCCAAGGACACUUCACAGUCUCUUCUUUUCUCACUAUUGUUCAGCUUCCUCUCCGGUUCUUCUUCACUCGCUUCUGCUUCGUUUUGUUUCUCUCUGAAACAAUCAAGUUAUGAGUCAAUUUUCUACUUCUGGUUCAUCUCAACUCACUUCGAGAACUACUCGCAGAGGUGUUCCGAGUAGAUGCUGGUGUGGUGACGAGAUAACUACCUUCACUUCGAAGACAGAUGAAAACCCGUAUCAAAGAUUCUACAGAUGCGUUAGGGGCGUUCUGGUAAUGAAUUGGUUUUUUAAAUUUAUGAAAAAAAAUUUUGCUCAGUAAUUUAAGCUUUCGAUUUGGGGCUUUUUUUAAGAUAAAAAGGAAAAACACCUAUUCAUUUGGGUUGAUGAUGCUCUUCUAGAGGAGAUUAGAAUGGUUGAAAGCAAGCACAACCAACUCUUAGAAGACGUCAAUGAUUUAAAGAAGAUGAUCAUGGAGAAUGUAGAGCUUCAAAGUAAGAUGGUGAAGGAGAUGGAAAUAGAGAUGAACAAGAUGAAGAAUGAGAUAAUUGAGCAAAAGCUGAAGGUACCAAAGGAGAGUACGGAGAAGGCGAGCAUGAAAUCAGUUUGUGUACUCGUGGUUGUGGUAGUUUCAAUGGCGUGGCUUUGUCGAAAGGUUCUGUGAUCUGUUUUGUAUGUGGAUGUGUCUUGUUAAGUUAAGAUUUAGACGCUAAAAGAAUGAACAAUCUAAAGUUAUCGGUUAAUCAGGAAGUUACUUGGAUGUGCCUUGUUAAGAUUUAGAACUUUUAAAGAAUGAACAAAUAUAAAGUUAGUGUCUAAGCAAGAAGUUACGUGGGGAACAUAUUACAUAUUUAGAUGUUUCUUUAGAAGUACAAGAAUCGAAUGAAACACAGAUAAGAAUGUUUUAAAGCAAUCUGACUAACAUGUUAGUUAACUAUCAUUAGUAAUUUUAUAGAACCUAUAAUUUGUUCUGUAAUUAAACUAACAUAUAUACGUAAUUAAUUAGGUAUUUCAAAACUUCUUAAAUAACAGAACGAAUCACUUGUUCUGACUUCAUCUCUUAUUCAUAUAAAUAUAAGUAACAAAUGGUUUACUCCGAUAAAACAUUCCUUUCUGUUAAAUGUUAUUUUUCGGAAUAAACAAACACAUAUAUGUAAUUAAUAGGUUAUGUCUGUAACUAAUACAUUAACUAUAUUAGUUUAUCGUUGUUGAUAACAAAAAGGGCAAAUUUAAUAGAAUUAAAGGGAUAAUAAUAAUGAUCCGAAACGAAGUAAGUUCAAUAUAAAGGACAAUAGAGAGUACUAACAAAUAUGGAAUAGAACAUGGGAAAUAUUAUAUGAAAAGAACAUAGUACAUACUAAAACAAAACAAGGGGAGAACUACGGGACACCAGCGAGAAUGAUAGCAGAGACAAGUUUUUUGGUUUCAGCUUCGAUGAAUUCGGGAAGAAAUUCAGCACAAUCAUCCAUACCACCGGCAGCAUGCGCAUGAAUGAGAAAGAUAGUCAUCAAGCCGGCAUCAACAUGAGAGGUAACCUGCGGGAUGCAAAGAGACCUUUCAACUGAAAAUGGAGUAGGUAAGAGCUGGCUCAUUAUUGGAUUAGAUGCCGCCUGUCUGAAGAGAAUAGGAAGCAUUUUGGAGAGAGGCUCGAUAUCCGCCUUGAUGCUAGCAUCCGUACGCAAAUGAACAUUAGAAUCGAGAACAGUAAUCUUGGCGCAAUUAAGAUCAACAAAUAAGGCAACCCAAUGUUUUUUGUCAAAGUUGAAUGGCAGAUAAAGGUAGUCAACUUCAGUAAACAGCUCAGCACGGUCCAGCUCCCCAACACCAGAAACAGCAUCAACCAAGGCUGUAGGAAACUAGAAAUCUUGAGGAACAGGGGCUUUGGUGAACUUCGGAUAUAGGCGGCACAAUUGAGAGAUAAACUUGGUAUCAAGCACAUCAACACAAAGUUUUCCGCAAUCCACCUCGUGUGUACGGAGAAUGUGCUUGCUGAAUUUUAACAGGGCGUCCAUGACCUACAAUAAAGGAAUCCAUUAAAAUGAUUAUCGGAUAACUACUCAAGUUAACCCGUAACUCAAGGACAUCCUUGCUGCUAAUAGAAACAUCGGGGCCUAAAGAAAUAGAGCUACAAAAUCGGUACCAAAUUAUUAACAAAUAAAGAAAUUAUCUAUCUAACAUAACAAAUGCCAGUAAGAAAAAAAAAGAUAAGAAAAACCUUAUCGCUUUUAGUUUUUUCAAGGAACCGUUAAAACGCUCUUCAGGAUCUAAACAUCCACUAGUAUUGGCGAUGGGAGAAGGGUGUCCUACCAAAAGCUUCGUUUUCUUAUCAAACUGAAACCGACCAUCUAACUUGGUAGAUCUCGUUCUAAGCCUUUUACUCCUUCCUCCAUUGUUACCAACAACACUAGUCUGAGAUGGAACAUCUCCCUGCAUAAGAUAACAAAAUGAAACUGCCAUUUUGAAAAUAAUGCAUGAUUGGAAAUGCAAUAAAAGGAACAAACCUUCUCUGGGACCAAAACUUUGUUUGACUCACAAACAGAAAUUGGGGCAACCACAAGAACAGGGGGAUCCUGAAAAGCAAAAAGGAAUCAAAAUGCUAAUGAUGUAACCCUACUAAAGAUAAUGACUAAGAAAUAGAAAAUGAGGAAGAGAUUUUUCAAACCUGAAGAGGGUCAAUUGCCAUCUCUGGAGCAGUUUCAUUUCGGAUACCCUAUUAACCGAUAACUGAUAGAUUAGAAAAAAAUGACUUUUAAAAAUGGGGUAUAUAUGUCAUUAGGAAAAAAGGGGACAUUUAACCUGAGUAGGUUCACAAUCCUUGGGUGCAAUAUAUUUACUCCCUCCCACCUGCAGCAGAUAACAAAAAUAUUAGUUAAAUAAUAUUCACAAACUCCAGGACAGGAUAUAGUUGAAUAUUUAGACAGACCUCAUAAUGACAUCCUAUUAACCGAUAAAUAAUUGAUUAGUAAACUAAAAAUAUGUUUAUGUAAUAGAUAAUUAUAUAACAAGGUAAGAAUAGUUAGAGGAUUUUUAACAGACCUCUUCAUCUCCUUCAUUAUCGCCUUCAGUUUGAGAAUCCUAUUAACAGAUAAUUAAUUGAUUAGUUUCCUAAUAAAAGGUUAACUGGGUAAGAUAUGAGAGUCGAAAAUGAGAGAGACAUUAUACCUCAAUAGAUUCCCUGUCUUUUAGAAGAGCAUCUCCACUUGAUUGUUUCUAUACCCGAUAAGAAUAAAGUUAUGAAAUAAGUAAUUAUGUAACAAUAGAAAAUACUUACAGAGAUUUUCAACAAACCUCUUCAUCCCCUUUAGCUUCGGUUUGCGAGUCCCAUUGACAGAUAACUAAUUGAUUCGUUAACUAAUCUAAUGAUUAAUGGGUAAGAUGUGAGAGUCGAAAAAUAGUCAUUAUACCUGAAUAAGUUCCCUGUCUUUUGGGAAGCAUCUAAACAUUGUAAUUCCUAUAACCGAUAACAAUAAGGUUAUGUGCUAAAUAAUAAUAUAGCAUGGUCAAAUAGUAAGAGAUUUUUAUUACAGACCUCCUCCCCUUUAUCUUCAAUUAGGGAAUCCUAUUGAUAGAUAACUAGUUGGUUAGAAAACUAAUAAAAGGUUUACUAGAUAAGGUAUGAUAUUUCAUUUCUUAAUAAAAGGAUAUUGUACCUGAAUAGGUUUCCCGUGUUUUGGGGAAGCAUCUCGACUUGAUAAUUCCUGUAACAGAUAACAUCAAAGUUAUGUGCAAAAUAAUUUUAUAACAUGGUAAAAUAGUUAUGGAUAUUUAUUACAGACCUCGUCACCUAUAGCUUCAAUUUGGGAAUCCUAUUGACAGAUAACUAGUUGAUUAGUAAAUUAACUAAAGGAUUGAGGGAUAAGAUAUGAUAUGUCGUUUUAAAAAAGCAGGGAUAUUGUACCUGAAUAAGUUCACUAUCCUUGGGGGCAAUAUCUUCAAUUGCUAACUCCUGUCCAGAUAACAAUAAAGUUAUGGUUUUUGUAAUCAUAUUACCUCCGAAAGAAGAUUGGGGAAUAUUUUUAAAGACCUCUUCAUCAUCUCCUUCAGUGUGUGCUGCUUCCUUAUCGGCAACAUCUCCCAUUUCCGUGUCCUGUAACAGGUAAUUAUUAGGUUAUGAAAAUAUUAUUAAAGUUACCUAGUAAACUUACUAGAGUGGAAAAUUCGAAAACAUCUUCAUCGACUCUAGAAGAGUCGGAAUUGACGCUAACACCGGACUAACAAUGAAACCCAGCAACAAUAAAAGUAAGAGAACUAAGCAAUAAUGAUUAAAAAAAAUUGAAAAUUCUUCAAACCUCAGAAGAAACAACAGUGGCAGACUGACUGUCGACCUCCUGGAUUGCCUGAAAGAAAUAUAUAAAUUAACUCGAAUGACCUCACAACGUUAACAAUAACAUCUCAAUGUUAACGGCUAACCUGUUGGUUUCCGACUGAUGCGGUAAUCUCUUCCAGUGCCUAAACCAAAGGAAAAAAAUAUAACGAAAUUAUGGUCACAAUUUGAGUACUAACAACUAAUAAAUUGCCAAAAAAUUUAAAACAAAAACAAAAAAUAAUAUAUAAAAAAAAAAAUUUAAACGUUAACGUCUAACCCGCACAUUAUCCACCGGAUCUCCGAUCUCAUGAUCACCCUGCAACAGAUAGGUAUAUGUUAUAAAACAUUAUAUCUAAUAUAUAUUGGCAUUAUAUCCAGAAAAAAUAUAAAUUACAUACGGUAACAAUAAUAUUAGAGACGUGAAGAUGGCUAUAUUAAAAGACACUAACCUCCAAGUUAUCAUCAUUGUUGUUUACCGCGGUAUUACCAUUGUUACCAUCUUUGGUGGACACUUUGCUACCUUCCUUUAAUGACUGCAGGGAGAAUAAUUUCGAUAAUAGUUAGGGGAUAACAUAGAAAUUAACAUUUUCGAAUGAUAUAGGAAAACUACUAACCGGAUUAGAAAAUAAAAUGUAAAGUCAGAUCAUAUAUAGGCAACAUGGUAGGACAAAUACGUUAUUAGAGAUACGAGGCAAAACAGAUAACAAUUAAUUUAGCUACUAACCUGACAAUUAACCAAACCGUUUUCUUCAACAUCAACAUGACUCGCUAGACCAUCCGCUGACCUUGACCCACUGCAAUCGCCAGAUAAAAAGCGGUUAUAAUAAGAAGCUAUCCCUUCAACAGAAUUGUUGAGUCCCAAUCCCUCGUCGGGCACUUGGGGGACGCGAUGGGCAGCUUUGCCAAUGCGAGAAGAACGACGACUCGGCGGAUGGAAGGGAAAGAGAGUGUCAAAAUCAUCGUCUCCAUCGGAAAUGUGGAGAGGAUUAGACUGGGGAACAGGAACCUUUUUUCCUUUCCUCUUCUCCACAGAAACUUCUUUACCAUUCUCAGCAGGAACAUCUUCCCCAUUCUCCGCAGAAAUCAAAGUAUUUGCAAUAAACCAAUCAGAAACACCUUUAAUGAUCUUUUUGUACUGCGCAUUCAAUUUAGCAUCUAACAUCCGAGAUAACGCGUUCAUAUCAACCAAACCAACAAAUUCUUCCUCAUUAUGCACAGAUUGUUGAGUCCUUCGAAUCCCGGUUGGAUUUUUUUGGAUUCUGCCCUGCUUUGAAGAUUUCCUGACACGACCACCUUUCAAACUUGCAGUUCUUUUUUGUUUUUUGGGGGCUACAACAACUUCAGAUGGGAUGCACCCACCAGGAAACAUAUCAUUAUUGAACUUGAAUCCUUCCUCCACCAACUUUACCAAAGUGUCUACCUGCGGAUCUACUUCGUCAUCUGACCACGAAACAUCUUCUGCAGGAUCAAGAAGAACUCCGGGAUGGAUGAUAGGAUCAACGUGAGUCUGAAAAGUAAACAAAAUCCUUAAACAAUUAUGAAGGGAAAACCGCAGUUAACAGAUAAAACGAUAAAAUUAUUUGAGUAUCAGGUAAGAAAGAAUUUAUCAGGUAUUAAAACGAUUAUCACCUGGCACUUCGUGUCUAAAACUUGGCGUCCCACGGGACUACCUGGCGAGGAGUCAGUUCAAUAGUAUCUUUAUCAGACUCAGACCCGACUGUCUCCUCUGACAUAGGACCUUCUUGAAUAGCAGGAGCGGCUUGAAGAACAACAAGAUGUAGGGCGUAUAAUAGGCCUUGCACAGCGACAGAAGUAGUUGCAAGCUUUUCAAGUUCUCUUUCUUUAAUCGAAUUCAUCAUCAUCUCAAAAGUCAAUCGACCCCACAGAUAAGUGAGAAAAGAAGUCAGGUUUUCCGACAUCUCAGCGUGCUCUUUAAUAAUUUUGGGAUGAUGGGAUGUUGGCAGGAGAUAUCCAUCAACAAGCGCAAGAACAGCAUAACGAAUACACAAUGACGGAUCAUCAGUAACACGUUCCACAGUAACAUCGGACUCCAGCCCAAAUAAUGUGCUAUAAAACGGAAUCUCUUUGCCAGCAGUCCCCUUCCUUUUUUUCUUCGGAACAUCAGGAUAUCGCCCACAAGCAAGUCCGGUUACUAGAUGAAACUCACGAAGAGAAAAUCGAACUGGGGUACCAGCAUAAACAACCCAGAUCUCGUUGGUAAUGGCUAUGUCCAACUGGCGACCAAGCAGAUAAAGACCGAAACUGGCCGACCAAGCUGGUUUGUUUGGGAAAUCCAACAACCCGCCGAGUGGAGAAUCUCGGAUGAGAUUGAUUUCAGUAGCAUCAAGCGAGUCGAUAAUACCAUUAAGAAUUUUCAUCUUAUUAUACACAUUAACCCUCUCCCCAAGCGGUUCUUCACCAGCGGCGAUUAGACGGUGCGGGAGGUCAAGGUCCUCCAUCUACAAAACCCAGAAAAUUUUAGAAUUUGAUAAGAAAAAAAUAUGGAAGGGUCCAUAAGAAAUGAACAAAAUCUCAUUUUAAUGAGAUACUUACUUGGACGAAUUAAUCGAAAAUGAAGCGCUUCAAUCGGAAAAUCGAUUUGACUAUCGGAGAGAAAAAAAAGUAAACCGCAUAGAGAACAGAGGGAACGAACACUAAGAAUACUAAGAGGCAAAAAAAUGCAGUAGAAAUAGACACACACAAACGCAACUCUUCGAACAAUUUGAACCGUUCUCAUGAUUAUUAAUGCAACUGUUCCCAAAAGAAAUCUCGGAAAUCACAUUUUUUCAAGAGAUAUGAUAUCUCUCUAUUCUGACACACGCCUACUCGUUCCUCAUGUCUCUCUCUUACAAUCUGAUAGGCGGGUAGGGGUUAACAGGUCAUUAUUUUGCUACAGAACCUUCCCAAACAGUGUAAAAUUGUGUCAGUUAAAUACGGAGUCGUCUAUGGUCAUCGAUUGUAGAUUCCCUUGAAAAAAAAAAACAAAAGUAAUUAUUAGUGGAUAUUUAAACUCCAAAAAAAAAAAAACAAUAGUCCACCAAAUCUUUUAAAAUUUCUUGAGAGGAGUCACUAUUACCAUGUUGAGGAGAUAUAGGUUUUAGAACACCAAGAAAAAUGUCCUCGAACAUUAAGAUGUCCGUUUGAUAUCGUGGAAGUCCUUGAACCCUACGACUAGUCUAUGAUGAAUUUGUUUGUAGGGAGAUACGCUUUUGACUCAACUCGAGUCCAAUUGUGAUAGAAAGAGUUCAACCCCUCUUAAUUUGAAGAUGAAAAAUUUAGUAUGAGUUAUGAAAAAUAUUCUUUCGAGAAGGAUAUAUUAUCAUGUAUUAUCAUGUUUUUGAAACAUAUUGUGCAAAAUCAGUUUUUAUGCUGAAUUUUUCUAGAAAAUGGCUUGUUUUCUCUAAUCUUUAUUGAGCUCUGCUCCAAAUUUUCUUUCCUAAUUUAUCGCUUUGUAGUAUUUUUCGUUUUUCGUGUGAAAGUCAUAAGAUCUUUUCUAUGAAAUUUCAUUUGUAAACAUAUGAAAAUGGUUGUUUAGUAAUAUUCGGAUAAAAAUCAUGUAAAUUUUUAGAGAAAAGUACUUAUCCACUAAGUAGUCGACAUCUAUCCAAAUUUUAGACAAUUUCUCAAUUUCAAAAUUUCCACAAAAACAAUGGUUCAGUUUUGGGUCAACGUCUUCAUGUUUCUUUCAAGGAAAGAUCUUGAACUCAUCAAAAGAAAAUACAAAACAAAAUUAAUAAUGAUGAAAAGAAUCCUAAAUAUCAGUAACAUACGUAAUUGAUGAUGUCACAAAAAUCUAUGGUAGCUGUUGUUCACUUGUUUGUACUCUAGUAAUCUAAAGCUUAAAAGAAGCUAAAAGAUCUUAUGACUUUCACACGUAGAGCCCAAAACCCGUCCGAGCUAAGUAAUGUCGUGACGUGUGAGAUGCAACAAACAUCGCACAAAAUUGUUUUACCUGAUUUUCACGAAUUUCAAAAUAGAGUUUUUUUUUUUUUUUUUUUUUUUUUUUUGACAGCCAAAAUAGAGUUUUAUUCCAAAAAUUUAAAAUAGAUAUGGACUGAUUAAAUCCUCUAAUCAUAGGGAUAUCCAGAUUCAAAUCUGGAAUUGGAGCUGUAAAAGGCAAAAAAUAAUAAUAUAUUAGAAACAAAAUCAAAUAUUAUGGUAAAAUCAAAUUUUAUUAUAAUAUUCUUAAAUGAAAAUCUGAUAUACUAUCUUAAUAAUAUUUAAAAUUAAAUUUCAUAUAUCUUUCCUAUGUAUCACAUGUUAUUUAAAAAAUUUAUGGACAAAUUACAUAUUUUAUAAAAAAUCAGAAUAGAUUUCGGAUUGGAUCCCCCAAAUAAUAAUUCUACCUCUAGAAAAUAAUAAUACUGCCUAAUUAUAAAAUUAAUUUAUGCUUGACUAACACUCUCUGAUAAUAAAUUGUUACACAUAGGUUGACUAACAAAAUCCUGUUACACGAAUUUAGCCACACACGUGUAUAUAAUAAACACGAAUAAACGGAAGAAGAAGCAAUGAAAACAGAACAAAAAAAAAAAUGGAGAUAUGGUUACUUAUCUUGGGCUCUCUCUUCCUCUCUCUCCUUCUCAAUCUCCUCCUCUUUCGCCGCCGUGACUCCUCCUCUCUUCCCUUACCACCUGACCCUAACUUCUUCCCUUUCCUUGGAACUCUCCAAUGGCUCCGGCAAGGUUUAGGUGGUCUCAACAACUAUCUCCGCACCGUCCACCACCGUCUCGGUCCCAUCAUCACCCUCCGUAUCACUUCCCGCCCCGCAAUCUUCGUGGCCGAUCGUUCCCUUGCUUAUCAGGCUCUAGUCUUGAACGGCGCUGUUUUCGCCGAUCGUCCACCCGCGGCUCCGAUCAGCAAGAUUGUUUCAAGUAACCAACAUAACAUCAGCUCUUCAUCAUAUGGAGCCACGUGGCGGCUUCUUCGCCGGAAUCUCACUUCUGAGAUUCUUCACCCUUCGCGCGUGAGAUCUUAUUCUCACGCGCGGGGUUGGGUUCUUGGGAUACUCUUUGAUCGUUUUCGUAAGAACGGAGGUGAAGAACCGAUCGUUGUGGUUGAUCAUCUUCACUAUGCAAUGUUUGCGCUUCUUGUUCUCAUGUGUUUUGGAGAUAAGCUUGAUGAGAAGCAAAUCAAACAGGUGGAAUAUGUUCAGAGACGACAGCUUCUUGGCUUCUCGAGAUUUAACAUCCUCAAUCUUUGGCCUAAGUUAACCAAAUUUAUUUUUCGAAAGAGAUGGGAAGAGUUUUUCCAGAUGCGGAGAGAGCAGCAUGAUGUUUUGCUUCCGCUGAUUCGUGCUCGGAGAAAGAUUGUCGAAGAGAGGAAGAAUAGAUCAUCGAAGGAGGCAGAAGACAACAAAGAGUAUGUACAAUCAUAUGUUGAUACUUUGCUCGAUCUGGAGCUUCCAGAUGAGAAGAGGAAGUUGAAUGAAGAUGAGAUUGUGAGUUUAUGCUCUGAGUUUCUCAACGGCGGGACUGAUACAACGGCCACCGCGUUGCAAUGGAUCAUGGCGAACCUUGUGAAAAACCCGGAGAUCCAGAGGAGGUUAUACGAGGAGAUCAAAAGCGUAGUUGGGGAAGAAGCAAAGGAAGUGGAGGAAGAAGACGCGCAGAAGAUGCCGUAUCUAAAGGCAGUGGUGAUGGAGGGUCUUCGGAGGCAUCCUCCGGGACACUUUGUGCUCCCGCAUAGUGUCACGGAGGACACUGUCUUGGGAGGGUACAAAGUACCGAAGAAGGGGACGAUUAACUUCAUGGUGGCAGAGAUAGGGAGGGAUCCAAAGGUGUGGGAGGAACCAAUGGCGUUUAAGCCAGAGAGGUUUAUGGGAGAAGAAGAACCGGUGGACAUUACCGGAAGUAGGGGGAUAACGAUGAUGCCGUUUGGAGCGGGAAGAAGGAUAUGUCCGGGGAUUGGGCUAGCGAUGCUGCAUCUCGAGUACUAUGUGGCGAAUAUGGUGAGGGAGUUUGAGUGGAAGGAGGUCGAAGGUCAUGAAGUUGACUUGACAGAGAAGCUCGAGUUCACCACCGUCAUGAAACAUCCGCUUAAGGCUCUUGCUGUUCCUAGGAGAAGUCACUAGUCUUCUACUUCUUUUCUUCGGUUUAGUAUUCACCAAAUACUAGGUUGUGUUUGAAGUUAUGUGCAUUUUGUUUGGUGAAGUCAACUAUGGAACCAGAAUUUUAGUAAGGGUAAAUUGCAUGUUAUGGCAGUUGACCAAGUUUUAAUUUCAAGUUUUGGCAAAGUGAGAAUGGGCUUUCAAGUUUUGACAUUUUGGCCAAAAUCUGACCAUUUUACCCCUACCGAUGUACUGUUCACUGUACGGUUCAGUUAAGCGUACGGUUCAGUUAAGCGUACGGUUCAGUUAAGCGGUUCACUGUACGGUUCAGUUAAGCGGUUCAGUUACGUACACUGUUCCGGUUACGCAAUAUAUUUCGUUCUUAAUUGAUUUGUGCGGGAGUACAGUGACAAGUUGGGAUUAAUAACAUUAAAACACAAUGAGACAUCAGUAUUUAAUGCCCAAAAAGUUUAGACAUGACUCAUGUCACAAUUAAUGCAAAAGUCAUCAUUACUUUUUCUAAUAUUAGUUUAUAUGUGUGAAUAGUUGUAAGAGACAAACAUGAUCCAUCAAACAAACAAAUUUUUCUGAACGAAUGUGAUUCUGCAUCGGUUUGAUCUUCUUGAUUUACAAAGUUUGGAGCCAAGACAAGCAUUGAACGUGUAAGUAAUGAAAUUGGUUAAGAAGUUUUUUGUUUUAACACACUAGGGUCUUGAUUGUGUGCUAAGAUCAACAUUGUUUUUAUAUAAAACCCCAGAAUAUUUUUAUUUCCACUUUUUUUAGUUGAAAUUGCUAAAUGAGGAUAGAUUUAUGUUUAUAAGUGUGUAGUUGGGAAUUCUUUUUGUUUUUUGUAGAUAUAAUCAUGCUUUCAUUUGCAUUUAAUGGGGUUCUGCUGAAUUUAUGAUGCAGGUUGGUAAUGGAUAUUCCCGUAUUUACUAUGGUGGGUGAGUGGAAAUGCAAAGAAGAAGAAUGGAAAUUUGAACCAUGGGAAGGCUGGUUUGGUCGUUGUGUACGUGUUAGGCAAAACAUGACGUACACGGCAUUUGUACGUACAUUAUGCGAGGUUUUCAGUUUGAAGUGCACCGAAUGCAAUCUAAUAAUUAGUUACUGGAUGCCGGGAAAGAUGUCAGUGAUGAUAGAAAGUAAACGCCCUCCUGUAUACAUUGACAAUCAAAUGAACCUGGAUACAUUCUUUUUGAUUCGUGGUGGGGAUCCUAGUGUCACCUUGUUUGUCUCUUUCAUUACAACCGUCAAGGCACUCGGGAAUACUGUCCCUAGGACCGAUGGUGAGAGUUACCGUGUUUGUGGGAGUGCAACGACACCAAAUCCCAUCGUAGCGGCUUCAUAAUGAGGCCGUAGAUGAGCAAGACGACGUUGAAGACGAUAAAACAGAUGAGGAUGAAGAAGAGGAGGAGGACAACGAAGAUGGUGCUGGGUAUGAUGAUUAUCAGGGUGAUGAUGGAUCUAUGGGGGGAAGUACCCUCGAUCCUACUAUAGACGGUAGUGAAGGCAGUUGCGAAGAUUACGAUUACAACAAGUGGAACGAUUUAAUUAUUGAAGAAUAUGGAAUAGGGAAUGUUGAGGAGGACGUCAUUCUCACUCAACAAACGGUUCAACAUCCAGGGGAAUUCAGUCGUCUAUUGGCAGAGUGUACGUACACAAGUCAUCGUGUACGUGGGGGAGAUAACUCGGUUGACCGUACACCAACGGUGACUCCAAGACGUACGUGUCAACAUGGUUUGUACCAAUGUACGUACACAACAGAAUGUGUACAAGAUACAAGCUGCGAAGGUAACACCGAUCCCAAUAUUAAUGGUAUAGACGAUGUCUCUGGGGAUGAUGUUAUCGACCGUGGUAUUGGAGAUUCCCCAAGUGGGACACUGAAUGAUAAUCGGCUAGUUACUGUACCUGGCGGAGAUAACAUUUCUCAUUCGGGUGACCGUACACCAACGGUGACUCCAAGACGUACGUGUCAACAUGGUUUGUACCAAUGUACGUACACAACAGAAUGUGUACAAGAUACAGGCUGCGAAGGUAACACCGAUACCAAUAUUAAUGGUAUAGACGAUGUCUCUGGGGAUGAUGUUAUCGACCGUGGUAUUGGAGAUUCCCCAAGUGGGACACUGAAUGAUAAUCGGCUAGUUACUGCACCUGGCGGAGAUAACAUUUCUCAUUCGGGUGACCGUACACCAACGGUGACUCCAAGACGUACGUGUCAACAUGGUUUGUACCAAUUUACGUACACUACAGAGUGUGUACAAGAUACAGGCUGCGAAGGUAACACGGAUACCAAUAUUAAUGGUAUAUACGAAGUCACUAUCGACCGUGGUAUUGGAGCUUCCGCAAAUGGGACACUGAAUGAUAAUCGGUUAGUUACCGCAGCUGAGGCUUACAAAGUGUAUAAUGACUUUUCUACAUUACAUGGUGGCGAGUUGGAGAUUCUCGAUAAUGAUGCUGCUCCGGUAUUCGAUGAUUUAGCCAAUUUACGAGAUGAUGAGACACAAGUCGAACUGAGUACGACAGGUGAGACUUUGUAUGUCGGGAGUGUUUUUAAGAACAGAAAAGUCAUACAACAAACAAUGUCUUAUCUCGCAAUCAAACAAUGCUUUUGCUACAAGCAACGUAGGUCAUGUCCUACAAGAUUGGAGAUGGUCUGCGUUGAUGAUACUUGUCCAUGGCAUUUGACAGCUCAAGUUGUCAAGAAUUCAGAAUGUUUCAAAAUCACAUCGUAUGAUACCACCCAUACGUGUGACAUCGACACUCGUAAGAAUUAUAAUAAACAUGCUAGUUAUAAGCUUCUCGGAGAGGUAGUGAAGAGCAGAUACAGUUCUACGCAAGGGGGUCCGAGAGCUGUCGAUUUACCACAGUUGCUCCUAAAUGAUCUCAAUGUUCGGAUUUCAUAUUCUACCGCUUGGAGAGCUAAAGAGGUUGCAGUGGAAAAUGUAAGGGGGGAUGAUAUAAAAAGUUACAGGUUUUUGCCUACCUAUUUGUAUCUUCUUAAAUUAGCUAAUCCGGGUACGAUAACUCACCUACACUCUACACCUGAAGUUGAUGGUACGCAGCGCUUUAAGUAUGUUUUUGUAUCUCUCGGGGCUUCUAUAAAAGGUCUGAAGUAUAUGAGGAAGGUAAUUGUCGUAGAUGGAACGCAGCUAGUAGGACGUUACAAGGGAUGUCUCCUCAUUGCAUGUGCCCAAGACGGGAACUUCCAAAUAUUUCCAAUAGCGUUUGGUGUUGUGGAUGGUGAGACUGACGCUUCAUGGGUGUGGUUCUUUGAUAAAUUAGCUGACAUUGUUCCAUACAGUGAAGAUUUAAUGAUUGUAUCGGACAGACAUUCUUCAAUAUAUAAAGGCCUCAGUGUGGUUUAUCCGAAAGCUCAUCAUGGUGCAUGUGCAGUACACCUUGAGCGAAAUAUCUCCACCCAUUAUGGUAAGUAUGGUGUAUCUGGAUUAUUCUUCAGCGCUGCUAAAGCUUACAGAGUGAGAGAUUUUGAAAAAUACUUCGAACAGUUAAGGGCUAAGAGUGCUGCAUGCGCAAAUUACUUAGAGGAAAUUGGAUUUGAGCAUUGGACAAGAGCUCACUGUAAAGGGGAACGCUACAAUAUCAUGUCUAGCAACAAUUCGGAGUCUAUGAAUAAUGUCUUAACAAGAGCCAAAUCAUAUCCGAUUGUGUACAUGAUAGAGUUCAUUCGAGAGGUCCUAAUGCGAUGGUUCGCAGCGAGGAGGCAAAAAGUGGCUAGGUGUAAGUCUUUAGUGACGCCUGAGGUUGAUGAGCGUUUUCUCCAAGAUUUGCCUGCGUUAGGGAAAUUCGCGGUUAAGAUGUCUGGACCGUGGAGUUAUCAAGUUACAAGCAAGUCAGGUGAGCAUUUUCAUGUCGUUCUGGACGAGUGUACAUGUACGUGUCUUAGGUACACAAAGUUGAGAAUCCCAUGUGAACACGGUCUAGCAGCUGCAAUCGAGUUUGGAAUAGAUCCGAAGGUUGUUGUAGGAUGGUGGUAUGGACUUCAAACGUUUUCCGAUUCUUUUCAAGAACCGAUUCUACCUAUCGCGGAUCCGAAGGAUGUUGUCAUCCCACAACAUAUAUCGGAUUUGAUACUAAUUCCUCCAUACUGUAGACGACCACCAGGAAGACCAACAACCAAAAGGAUUCCAUCUAGAGGUGAAAACCGGGUAAGUGCUAUCAUUCAAACGUGUACAGAUUUUUCAAACAUUAUGUUUUGAGUAUAAGAUACGUAGAUUAUUAACUUAUUGUUGUUGUCAUUUCAGAAAAAGAGACAGAAAAGACUUAUUCCGAAUCAGUGCACACGAUGUAGACAAGCAGGUCAUAACAAGAAGACUUGCAAAAAUCCUAUUUAGUUCUCCUCAUAAGCUUUAUGUCUCCGCGAAGACAGUGUACGUUUAUGUGUGGACAGUGUGUACCAAAGUGUUGUGACGGUGUACGUACGUUUAAUGUUUGCCAUCGUAUAACUAUGUACGUUUUCUGAGUGUACGUUUUUGUUAGUGUACGUGUUUGUUGUGUAUGUGUACGUAUAAUCUUCAUGCAAUAAACGGUUACAAACGGUUACACACAUUUGUAUCUCAACCGUUGGAACACUUUCGCACUACCCACCGCGUCCGUUACGGAAUUUCCUUAUUUAAGCCACAUCUCCUCCUCAAUUUUAUCCACGUUCCUUCAAACGAAAACCCUUUCACAUUCGGCAGUUACAUCAAUCAAACACAAAGUCUUUCGAUUGUUCUUGCUAACCGUGUGAUGGACGGGUAUCACACCAUCUCCGAAUUGUGUCCUCAGAUCACUGGGUGGACAAUUUGUGUAUUUGUCGUGAGAGUGUUUAAGAAGUUUGUUGCGCCCAACAUCUUCGAACUCGGCCUUAUCUUGGCAGAUAAUUCGGUAGUUUCCCUGUGCCGUGUUUGUGUUUUUUUAUCAUACGUUAGGUUCAAUUCUAUAUAAAUCUGUUAUAUAUCAUAUUCUGUAGGGAUCCCGUUCCCGUAUCGAGGCCACCAUUGAUCGUCGCCUUGCUCCUUUUUACAUAGACCGAAUCAAAGAAAAUGAGUGGAAAAUUGUGACCACUUUCUUGGUCCGUAACGUCGCUGACCCAGUGAGAGCAACAUCUCAUGACUACGGCAUAUGGUUUAUGGAUCGGACCGUCGUUACUAACGCCUUACGAAGGGACCCAAUAUCGUUUUACGAUUUCACUCAAUUCGACUACAUUUUGGAGAAAACAGUUGAUAAGAAAGUUUUAGUCGGUGAGAUGUUUUUUAAGUUAUGUUUUAUUUACACAUUUUUGAAAUUAGAAGUUUGUUUCUAUUUUUUGGCCCUUGAUGUAGAUGUCAUUGGAGCGUUGUUGGAGGUUGGCCACUUGACCGGAGACUUCUACGGUCUCAAGCUUCCUUUCAAGAUCAAAGAUAGAUAGUAAAUGUUCUUUUCACAUUUGAUUCACUUACACUUUUUUAAUCUAAACGCUGACUUGAUUCUUAUUUUAAUCUAAUGUAGCAACGAAGUUUUGGAAUGCGAAGCACACAAUGAACAGGCGUUGGAAUUCCAAACCUUCUUUCGGAGUCUAGGUCAGCGCAAUGUUGUUGUCGCACUCGUCUUCUGGCGUUUAACCGACAGAGCUAAUCCUAAGGUUGUGAGUCAUGGUCCUGUGUCAAAGGUCUUUGCCGAUCCGGACACACCGGAAGUGGAAGAGAUCAAGCAGGUCGUUUUUUAGAUAGGGGGAUUUGUUUUCCCCAGUCUUCUUAUUAUUAAAGACCAGAUUUAUAUUAAGUAUUGUAAAACUACAUAAACUUGUUGUCGUUUUCUAAUUACUUGAAUUUGUAUAAUAAACUAUUGGGUAAUUGUACGUACAUUUUAUACGUACAAUGUCUACAAUUACAAUUAAUGUGCCAGUGUACGUUUUACUAGCUUAUUGGUUCUUCAAUCAGCAAAUUGUACGAAACCCGUGUUCGUACACGAAAACAUACAUAUAUCAUAAUUGUUGUCCUCAAACAACAAAAACUUCAUUCAUUCAUAAUUAAGUGCCCGAAGAAGGACAUACAUUCAAGAAAGACAAACUAUAUAUUAGAUGCGGAAGCAAUAAACUAAAAAGUAGAGCCCAAAGCAUACACAUGAGCCGGAAAAUUGUAUGCCUCAUCCGUCAUAAUCAAAGUCAUAUCUAAUAGAAGACACACAUCUCCCUCGCGUACCAGUAAAAGAAACACCCUCCGCAGCCGGAACUGUACGUGCAAAGGCCAACACAUGCCGGUGUGUGCACAUACCUCCAUGAACGUUGCCAGAGCCGAGGACCUUCGGUGUGAAGCUGGCUUAUGUGAUACAUCACCAUCUCCCCCACUGCGUGAGCUGCCGCUAAUGUGGGUGUCAUCGCCCAGAACAUAUCGCUGACUGGAAGAAAGUCGACAUGGUUGCCAGUACAAGUUAGGAAUAAGCCGGUCGCGAAGCAGGCGAGAGGGUUGGAUGGAGCGACGGAGUUGAGUAGUGUAAUGCCGUGGGCCACCGUUAGGAAGCUGCUUGCCUGGCGGACACCUUCGAGGUAUAUAGCCGGGAUCGCACCCCUUUCCAGCAAGAGGCUGAAGUAGGCCCUGAAGGGAGACUCCGGCUGCACGAAGUGAGGCCAUGUGAUGAAGUCGUCCAUCACUAUUGCGUUUACGUCACUUGCUUCGACCAAUUGGCGGAGGGUCUCGAUGGGAGUCUGGGAUACGGGCAGGUAGUUGAUGAGGACGGAAAUCGGGUUUGGCAAUUGUAUUGCAAGGUACAUCUCGGUUGGAGGGGUUGCGGGGAAAGCCAUGUUGUUAACAAAGGAGGUUUAGAAAUAAUCUUGCAGUUGAUGAAUGAAGGAGGUUUUAGAAUAAUGUGAGCAAAUAAAUUAGUGUGUGUGAUAUCGUUUAUAUAGGGACUAAAUAUUGAGUUCAUGUAUAUGGCUACAUUUGGGGGGGAACGCAUUAAUAAAGUGUCAUUAUUUUUAAAGUUCCUCUUAUCUGACAAAUGCAAGUGUACAUUAAUUGCAAACCGUGUACGUAAAGUAAGGAGAUUUAUGCGAAAAGAUAGAGGUCAUUCUAUGAAUAGAGCUUGACAGUAUGCAUUAAAUAACUACUCCAAAACUUGUAGAUAUGGGUUAUUACAGGUCAAAUCAAUCAGCAUUGCAUCAUCAUUUACUACCAUCUCGAAAGUCGCUUCUCAUAUUUCUAGUUUUAAACCAACUAAAAUACGUGUACACAGUAACGUAUACCCGUGUACGUAUGUCUACCCUUAUUACGUUCUCUGACUAAAAGUUUGAGUUGAUGUCUGUCGCCGAAUUAGGGGAAAAGAUUGAGUUCAUGUAUAUGGCUAAAUCUGGGGGAAACGCAUUAAAAACCAAAUCUCUUUCUUUUGCAAUUUCGUUUUAUCUGACAAAAGACAGUGUACAUUAAUUACAUGGAUGUGUACGUAUAUAUGUACAUAAAUUUGCGUUUUUUUUUUUUUUUUUGAAAAGAUAGAGGUCAUUAUCAAUGGCUAAAUCAGGUCAGUAUGUAUUUACUGAUAAUUUGUAAGCCUCUGUAGACAAGGCACCAUUAUCUAACAUUAAGAAACUUGUUUCUCAAUUUAAUAUAAAAUAUUACAAUUAUUUGUAACCAUUCAUAAGAUUGAGUAGUAUAUGAGAAACAAGCAAGAAUGUAGAUAAAAAGAUAUUCAUUACUGAUAAGCAAAGUACAAUUGCAAAGGCCACAUAUUAUAACAUAAAAACUUAGAAAUUCAGAUAAUAUUACGUAAGAAAUCCCUAGAGAAUUUGACUAAUUCUUCUCGCACACCACCAGAGGUAACAUACGUUGCACACAUUCUUGAAGGGUCCAGAUCUGAUGUAACACAGCAUCGCGCAAGGAGGCGUUUGAAUACCACGUUCCUCAGGGUACGAAAAUGUUGCGCCGUAUGUGUUGUUUAACCUAAUUCCAUAAUUUUUUAUUUCUUCUAGGAGUUCCUCACACAUGUCACGUGUUUCUUCUGAUUCCAAAGGGUAAUGGUUGUUUGCGAACAGGCGUAGGUACACACCACCCAUGUGAGCAUUCCCGUCGCAUAUGCACAGAAUAGCGCAGGCCAGGGUUGCAUCGGCGUGCCUUGGUACAUUCCGCUGUAAAAGUACAAUGGCGCCCUUAAUGUCAGACUCAUGGGUAACUCGACGCAGUCCUUCAUGGUAAAUAGCAAUCGGGUUACCAGCCUCUAGACACCUUUUGAAAAAGGGUCUAUAUCGACCUUCAGCGUUGAUGUCAUUCGGAUCAUGGCCUGCCGCAUGGAAGUCAUCGGGAUCACUGCACAUGCUAUAAAUAUUAGCAUCUUUCAAGACAUCCGGCCUGUAGACAAUGUUUCUUCCACCACGCCCUGAUCUUAACAGAGGUCCGAGGUACCACCAACAUUUGUCAGCCAUUUUUUUGGCUAUCUUGGCUAGCAAAUCUUCAGGUAGAUUUGGUGUAGACAUUUCUUGGAAUUUGGUGUUUCAAAACAAUGCAAUUCCUACUCUUAAAUAAAGAACAAUGAAGUUAGUUGGUUAAGUUAUGGUUGUAGUUAAUGCAAUCUUACGUAAGUGAUGAUGCAGUGAGGGAGGGUUGUCAAAUCAAUGUAAGUAAAGAAAUAUAUAUCUUAUUAUGAGAAAAAUCGACUUUGUGUAAAAGACGUACGUUAUAUAAGAUGUACGUACACAUGUUGGUUUCUGAAUAAGUGUACGAUGUGCAGAUUGUUUAAAGAAGAUAGUUAUAACGAUUACAUAAAUAUUUUGAGGAUCUCCAUAAUUAAUUACGUUGUUCUAAUUAGGUUGUUGAAAUAAGGAAAUAUGUAUUAGGAAAUAAAAAUAAUUCAACAUCCAGGGAUGAUUACAAUAAACGCCGAUUACCACACUCGCGCUUGCCGUGCUCGUAGAUUUCUGUUGCGUACACCUGACGGUAGUCGGCCAUAUCUGCUUCUUGAAUAUUCACCAAGUCUGACAUUGGGUUACCAAACGCCAGCAACUCCAAGAACUUCAUUGCGUAAGGUCCGCAAUCUCCUGUACUUGGGUUUUGAGCAACCAUAACAUUUCUCUCAUAGGCAAAAGGUUCAACUGAGUACUUCUCAGGCAAUACAUCCGCGCACAUCGCUCUCACUAGGUACGGCAUCAUCUCGCAGAUAGGCUGCAUCUUUGACCAUGCAACAGACUCCCGCGUGUGUUCUAUGAGAGCGUCAUAGACAACUAUAUUCCGGGCUCUGAGGUGGAUUGCCAACCCAACCCAAUGAUCACCUUUCCAGUUCAUCGGAGCAUAUACCACGUCGACAUCCUUGAACCACCUAAGACUAGGUUCACGGUGUAUGUGUAUUCCAUUGGCCAUGUCGUAUAGCCGGUCGCCCCAUUUGAACCCAAGCUUAUUUAUACAAUUCCUGAAGCUGACAGCACGCUUAGUAAGCUCAUAAAGCAGGAAGGAGUCCAAAACAACGCAUCGGUUUGCUAUCAUUUGUUGACCGUUCUUGUGCCACAUCAAGAUUGCGAGCAUUUCCAAGACCUGAAAUGAUAAUAGCAUAGGCAGUCAGUGUACGUACAAUUCAGGAAUAUUUAAAAAAUGUACACAAAUGUACUAUUUCAACUUACCAUAUUAUCCACCCACUGUCCUUGUGCUAUAAGCAUGGAGAAAAACUCGUUGUCCACUUUGCGAUACCCGAAAAGAGUGUGCUUCCUGUAUAUCCAAUAUUAUAGUAUGACUGGUUGUUAUAGAAAACCAAUGUAUCAAUUAAGGGAUAAUUUUGAUAAUGCACGAUACUUACACAUUCGGACCGCGGAGGACAUUGGUUAAGAGCUCUAAUUUGGAAGCAUCAACCUUCUCCAAGGGGUUGUUAGGGACAUUUCCAGCCGCUAUAACCACCUCUGAAUCUUCAGCUCGUCCAGGAACAUCCUCCACGAGGACUGUUGUUUCCUUAAAACCUUCCGGAAGGGCUUCAUCCAUCUCAACAAUUAUUUGCUUCUUCACUUUUUUGGGUACAACCGGCGUAGGAAUUUUAAAUGCUAUUGCUUCGACUGCAGCAUCGUUGUUUGGUUGAUCCUGUAAAGAAGUAUUAUUGUAAACAGCAUGAUUAAACAAUUUCAAAAUGUAAUGAUAAUAUUUACUGAGAAGAUACUCACAAUAUUUUCUAGUGUACCAACUGUCGUGUCUGCUUCAUCUAACCCUGGGUUUGAAUCCUCUUGUUCUUCCACCCCGUCGACAAUCCCCUGCUGCUCCAACACUCCCUUUUCAAAUUAACGUGCAGAAUUAUUUAAAUGUACGCAUACAAUCCUAUGUACGUAUGUUAAUAACUGUGUAUAAUUUUAAACCAAACACGAGAUUUUUACCUCCUUUACAUUAGCUGCAUCCACAUCCAUGGAGGCUUUCGUUGCCAACUCCUGUAACACCUGCAUAAUAGAAGAUUAUAAAUUUAAACAAGCCUACACUAUUUUAUUUAAAAAUAUAGUUAGCUUACUUUCUUAACUACUGCAAAUGGUGAAGGGGGAUCCCCUAGGGUGCCCUCAAGUACUGAGUCAUCCACUUUACUCUCUACAACUACAUUGGGUACAUCUCCCGCAUCAACCUGUGGCAGUAGUUAUCAACUUCAUCGGCUAUAUACUCUAUUUUGUGAUGUCUGAAACAAUCAUUACUUAUACGUACACGGGAAAUAAGAAAGACAAAUGUACGUACACUUACACCGGGUUCCUCGGUGUGUUCAGCCUGAGAAGAUGUAUCUCUAUCAUUAUCCUCAGAAAAUUUCUGGUUGCUCCCCAACAUUUGCUUCACUCUCAAGACCGGCACCAUGUUCUUCUCCCUGAAACAAAUAUACCAUACACGUCUUAAGCUUUAUGUGAGUACACAUAUGGAAAACUACAUUUGACUAUUAGCAGACCAUAUACCUGUCCAGAUGUUGCAGGUAAACCUGAUGGAUUUUCUUCCAUCUCUGUGUCAGCAGUUGUCCCUCGCUGUGUACCAACUACGACAGGCUCACCACCAUCAAUUGGUCCUUUAUCCUAAAACAUAGUAUACCAUACACUUCUUAAGCUAUAUGUACGUGGAGAACUGAAAAUAAUUGAUACGCGUACACUUAUGGAAAACAGUAUGUGACUAUUAGCACAAGACAUACCUGUACAGAGGUUGAAGGUAUAGGAGAUGGAAGAAAUUCCAUCUCUGUGUCAGCACUAGCUUUUUCCUCGGUCCCUGACUGUGUACCAACAAGGAGAGACUCACCACCAUCACGUGCUCCUUCAUCCUGAAACAUAGUAUACCAUACACUUCUGAAGCCUAUGUGUACGUACACAACUGGAAAUAAUUGAAAAAAAUAUUUGUACACGACAUACCUGAUGGGAAGGUGUAGGUCCACCAACUAAAAUGUUAGCUACUCCAGUGUCAACCAUAUCUUCAUCUCUGUUCGAAAAAUCUCCUCCAUCAUUUGUAGUAAAACCAACUUCAUUGUUGGCUUCAUCCUGUACCAUAGCAGACAAGUUACAGUUAUUAAUCUUAAUGUACGUACAUUUAAAAUACUAUAUAUAAAUGUACGUACAUGCCAUACCUGGUCAUCUUCCUGAGAGGAAGAGUUACCAUCAGAAAGCUGAGGAAUCUCCGCAACUGACGUCAUUAUAUUCUUCAGCCUUGAAGACUUUCUUGUUCCAGACUUGAAUACUUUCUUUGUAGACAUCCUUUUAGAUGCCUUCUUCACACUCAUCGGUGCCUUAACCACCGAUUUAUUUGGGCCCUGUGAAGCAUGGGAAGUUUUGGUUGGUUCUGUCUUUUUGACCUUUGGAUCUAAGGCAGCACGUAUCUCCUUACGGACAAAUUUCUUCAAGUCUUCUUGCAUUUAUUUAUUUUGUGCUUCCUGCCUCUUGAAACACCUCCUAAGUUCAACUACAAACUUCUCAAACUGGGGAUCUUCAGAACAAUCGUCAGCAGUGUCCUCAUUUUCUUCUUCCACAACAGAUUUCUGUUUUUUCAAAGCAGGUGCAUUCGGGGCUGGUACAUUUCUUUUCCUCUUCUUCACACCUACGAUAGACCAGUUUAAUCAUUGAUUGGUCUUCAAGGGACAAUAAUCAGAAAGUAUAAAAACAACAUUUACACUCACGUAUCUCUCCAAGUUGUGGUGGGCGCUCCUGCUUUGGAAAUGCAGCAUUACCUCCAACCCAUUCUUCCUCCUUCCACUCAUGACCAGCUAACAACAGUCGCUCAAUGUAAGCAACUCUUGGAUCCUCAACUUCAUCAUCCCAUGACAGGGAUGGAGGACAAAUAUUGUCCUCUGGUUUCACAAGAUAGGUUACCUCAACCUACACCAAUAAGUUUGUUAACCACUUAGAGAAUGUACACUUACUUUUUAAAUAAUGUACGUACAUAAACAAUUGUACAUACCUCUUCAGCAGCCUCACACUCCAAGAUGUUGGAUGUCCUGAUUGCCCGCAGUGAGGCAAGAUGAUGGAUAGACCUCUGAGUAAAUGUCCUGUUAGCUUCAUCAUCAGGUACUAGCUUAGCAAGGGACGGGAUUGUUUCGAACGCAAACAGCUGGAGUGCUAAUGGGAAUCCAUGUAGUGCAUAAGACCCAUCCUUUACACACCUUAUCAGUUUUUGAGCAUCUGAAGGGGUUUGGAAUUUUGCUAUCCUCUCCAAAGUACGGGUAAAAGAUACCCUUCCCCAAGGGUAUUUGCAGAAGAAUUGCACGUCCUUCGUCAUCUCAACAGUGAACUCAGAAGGCCUUAUGGGGUUAUUAUGGCACCCUAUCACACCAUCUACCAAGAUUAUAAGAGAUAAGGCCAGCUGCUUCCACCCAUCCAUGGUUUCCUCCUCCUUCAGCCAGACCACCAAAUCAUGCACUGUUGGAUUCGGCUUCUCCCCAAACUUCUCCUCAAACAGAGUUUUCCAGACACUUUGACUCCCAGCUUUGACCUUUAGCACAUCCGUCACGUCUUUCUUGUUGGGAUAUGUCCCACAUUCUAGACCAGUUACCAGACUAAAUUCUCUUAAUCCGAAUUUUAUUGGAUGACCGCCGAAGACCAUCCACAUCUCAUUCACUUUACUCGUCACUAACUGACGACAUAUUAGUCCAAGAACAAGUUUACCUGAGAAGGAAGACUUGUUAGCAGGUAUCCUAAAAAGGUCCCCAAAUGGAGACUCGAGAAGAAACUUCAUCUCCUCUUUUCCCUUAAGAACUUGUGCUAUGUCAGAAAGGUAUUCCGGUUUGGAGUACGCGUUCAUCUUCGUCUUGACAGGGUACCGGUCUAGGGCAAAGAGUCUAGGUGGUAACUCUUCAACUAUAAGAUCUUCAGUCGGAGCCACGCUUGUACUGCCUGCAAUUACAAGUGAUAUACAAUUAAGUACGGAUGUAUGAAUUCGUGUACGUACACAGUAAUUAUCAUCAUUAUAUACUCAACAUCUGAAUUUUGGCGGAAACAGAGAUUUCCAAUUCAACUUCUCAAAUUUUCAAACUACAGAUAUAGCAAAAUCCGGCAACUUCUAUCCCUUUAAUCAAACAAGCUUUAAGAUUCCGAUACACCCAAAGAAACUACAAACGGAAUAAUAUCGGAACUUAGCCAAUUCCUCCGGCGGAUUUCUCGGAGGGAGUUUCCUCCUCGGGGAUACUCUGAGUUCCACCUUGUCCUUCUCGGGGCCUUCCUGCGUAUGCUUCUUCCUAGAGACUACGUCGUUUGGUUUAUUCCCAGCCAUCUCGAAGGUUGGUAUCUCGCCGGAUGUUUCUCAGGUCGCCUUCGCCGGAAAAACUGGAACUUUCUCUUCGCCGGUUUUUCGAGUUCAAUGCAAUGCCUCAAAUCAAGUAGCAGACAAUUCGAACGGAGAUGUCGAAAACGAAGAUGGAUGAUUGAAUUCCGAACUGAUUUCUACUUCUCUCUCGAUUCUCUCGGAGAUGUCGAACGAAGAUGAUGAAUGUUCUUCUUCGUUUUCUUGAAAUUUUUUUUUUUUUUUUCAAAACAAAAAGUAACUAAACCGCUAGAAACUAAACCGUAACGUAACUGUGCCGUUUGGUUUUUCGUCAAGGGCAUUUUCGUCAUAAAACGGAAUAAUUGCCAAAACAUGAGAAAUGAAUCUCACUUUGCCAAAAGGUGAGAUCAAAUCUUUUUUUUAUGUCAAACGUGAAAAUUUCUUUUUUAGUAAAGUACAUUUUGUACCAUGGAAUAAAUGAUAGAAACAACAAUGCUUUUAUAUUCCUCUUUAUAUUAAAAGGAAUCUUUUUAUGCCGACUGUUUUUGUAAGGUGGAUCUAGAAAAGUGGGAUUUCUAGUGUAUAGUGUGACUAGAUGGUCAGUAUGUGACUAGGUAGUCAGUAUGUGAUUUUUUCUUUUUCUUUUUGAUGAUGGGCGUACAUUUGUUGAGAGAAAUUGAAAGAGUAAAAGCAUUUGUGAUACAACAUAAAGCAAUCAUCAACAAAACAAGAUUAAUCGAAUGCAUGCUCUAAAGCAAGGAAUGGACAUUGGAACCAUAGUUUAAGAAGAUUAGAGAGCCCGAGAUUAGCUGGCCGAAAUGAAGAAGCUUUGUUACAGAAUUGCCGGUCUACAUAACGGAGAAUGACUUGAAAUAGAGUGGAGGACUGAUUGUGAAAUAAUGUUCCUUUCCUUCCAUACCUCAUAGAGUAAUUUCACCAAUCAUUUGUAUAACCAAAAGAGAAAUGGUCUCAUAUAGCCCUAAAUGAAGUUUUUGUGACAAAAAUAGUAUCUCCAAGUUUAUUUGACAAAAAUAGCACUUUUUAACCUUAUUUUUGAUUUUUAAGAAUUAAUUAAAUUAAUUAAGAUAAGAAACAUAAAAUAGCACUGAAAUUAAACACACCGACGGAGAGUUUACAAUUGUGAUUUCUGGUGAAGCUUCCGAUCUCGGAUUUUCAAUUCCGGUGAAGAUUAUGAUCAUCUCCGAUAUUCAACCCCAAUGAAGCUUCCGAUCUCAUAGCUUCAAUCAUGUCCUAAAUCGAUUACCAUUUCUCUAAUUUCUUCUUCUUCUUCUUCACAAAUCGUGUUGAAUGUGGAAUCUGAAUGUACCUCUAGGAAUCGUGAUGGACUAUGUGGUUUGUGAGUGUAGCUCUAGAUUCGUGAGUGUAGCUCUCGAUUUUGUUGGUGUGGAUAUAGUUUGGUCCUCGAUUUGAUUAGCUUCUCUAAGAUUUCAAUUAAAGAAGAAGAGAUUAAGCUUUCACGUGAUGUAGCAGACGAGAAUAUUGGAGUUUGAGGUCCGGUGAAGAGACGGAGACCUAGAGAAUGGAUGGUUCCAUCAACACCUACGGCAAGAGCUUAUGGGUAAAACAAUCACUCGUUACUUAUUAGGUUAGAUAGAAUCUAUGAAGCAUUGAUAUGUUGCUUAAUUGGGUUAGAUAGAUUCUUUUGUUGAAACAAUUUUAACAAGUUGAAUUUUGUGAAGUGUGAAGGUUUUUCAAUUUUAGGAGCUGCUCUUGCUUGGAGAGCUGUUAAAGAAUCUACCUAUAGGAUGGUAAAUGAGACACCAAUGACACAAGACAAUCAACCUGCAUUAUCAUCUUUCAUGUCUAAAGAAAAUGUAGAAAGAUUAGCUCUUGGAUUGUGUGAAAUGCGUGGAACUGCUCUUAAAGUUGUGAAAAUGUUGAGUAUACAUGAUGAGAGUUGUUCCUGCUCUGAUAAAUAUCAAAUCCAAACCAUUAUCGUUUUGUGGAAGCUGAAGCUAUGUGGAAAUAGUUUUGAGAUCAAAGAGAUUGGUGAGAAGAUAUUUGUUAAGAGUAAGAGAAGUUCGUCUUCGUCAUAGAUUUCAAUCGUCGGUUUCUUCGGCUUGUAGUUUGCAGGUUUUCUACAGGUAGAAUCUGCAGCUAAUGCUUUGUCAAAAGUUUGCUACAAUUUUCCAUCGUCAUGCAACUUACAAAUCCAAAGUUGGCUACAUAGAUGCUGAUUUCAGAAAUUUAGUUAGACCUUCCUAAACUUCAAGAACGUCUUCCUAAACAUUAUGAAAUCUUUCCUAAAUUUUUUAAAAUGUGUUGUUGAGUCUCUUUAUUUAUGUGUUGUAAUGUAUCAAAGAUUACUCCAUCAGUGAGGGGUAAUGUACAUACAACUUACAAAUCCGAAGUUGGCCACAUAGAGGUUGUUUUCAGAAAUUUAGGUAGACCUUCAUAAACUUUAAUGACGGCUUCCUAAACAUUAUGAAAUCCUUCCUAAAUUAUUAAAAAUGUGUUUUUGAACUUUUUAUUUAUGUUUUGUCAAAAUGUAUCACAUAUUACUCCAUUAGUGAUGGGUCAUGUAUCACAAACUCAUCAAUGUCCCAAGUUUAGGAAGGCCUACCGAAAUCUCAAAGAGUUCUUCCUAAAUUAUUUCAUGUUCAUAUACAUUUAUUUCUAUGCUAUCUUCAAAUGAAUAGCUUGGCUUAUCGGUUACCUGCUCUAGUACAAAACCCAAUGUCUUGGGUUCAAUUCCAUGUUAGGGUGUGUGUAUACUUUUUCUGAUGAAGGCCUUCCUGAAAUUCGAGAAAUCCUUCCUAAAUAUCUAGAGAAAGUAUUUGAUAAGCGUUUAUAUUUUUUUCUCUAUCUUUGAUAGGCGUUUAUUCAGGAAGACCAUCAUGAAUUACUAUAAUUCCUUCCCGAAUUAGUCUAAAUAAGUUUUUAGGGAAGUCUUCAUGAAUUUCCAAUAGUUAUAUCACCAAUAUCAUAUUUAGGAAGACCUUCCCGAAUUACUAUAAGUCCUUCCCGAAUCAGGAAGACCUUCCCAAAUUACUAAAUCCUUCCCAAAUUACUAUAAAUCCUUAGUGAGCAAUGAAACCAAUAUCACAUUGUGAGAAUCAAUGAAACAAAUCAAUACAAAACACCAAAGUCAAAACCAUAAAACUAAAAAGAAAUCAACAAAGACGUAUAUCUCCAUUCUAGAAUGCAAACUAAAACAACUCUAUCAAGCAAAGAGAACAGAAAAUGACAACACAGAAACAAGUAAAAAAUGUUUAUUCAUAUCUUCAUAUCACAAACUUACAUAUAUAGCAAACACAAAUCCAACAAAAGCAUGCCUAAACAACUUCGUUAAGCAAAUAAAAUGAUAUACAAAGCCAGCCACUUUAAGAACAUGAAAGGGAUUCAUCUUUAAAAGCUAACAACUUUCAAAAACCCGAUUGAAUGAGACUAGUGAUUUGCAAUAUGCAUCAUAAUGUUCCGGUUUUGGAUGAGACUAAUGAUUUGUUCCGCAGGUUUAUGCAGAAGAAACGAGAUGCGUUGUUCGAUAGCAAGAAGAUUGAGAUCUAUGAGGAGUUUGACACGGUUGCAUAUUGGAAACAGAAGGCGUUGAAUCUGGAGAAAAUGCUUGAGGCAAGUACUGAGAGAGAAAGGAGACUAAUCGAGAAUAGCUGAGUGAGGGUUGAGGAAGGGGAAACGUGAUUGUGUUGAGUCGACGAGAUUAGGUCGACUGGGUUGAGUCGAGGAAUCAUGGAGGCAGUGGUUCGAGAUACCGGAGGAGAUCGAAUUUUCCGACGAUCGGAGGCAGCUAUGGAGAAUCGGAGGCAAACGAGAAUCGUCGGGUGAAAGAGAUGAGAAUUAGGUUUUUUGUAUUUUCUAUUUUUCAAUUAAUGGUUAUUAAAAAGUAUUGGGUGCUAUUUCUGGAAAUUAUGAAAUAUGAAGCUAUUUUUGGAAGAGAAAACUUUUCUGGGGGCAUUUGUAUAAAUUGCCCUAACCAAAAUAUACCGAGGUUUAUUAACUGCGAAAAUACGACGACGUCUUGUCUGUCACAAGUAGCAGCAAGGCCCAGCAAUAGUAAGAGCCUCUUUAGGUUUACCAAAUUCAAACAAUUUCAUUCUCCCUCUUUACCGUUCCAAACUAACUUGAAAUCAAAUCCUCAAAAUUGACACUGAGAAUCUGAAAUUUCAAAAAAAAAAAAAAAAAUGGAGAAAAGGCUCCGGUCAUCUCUCAAGACAUCCGCCGAAGAAUUCCUCUCCUCCGCCGUCAAAUUAACCCUAAAAUCCUCUAAACCCUCACUAAAAACCAUCAUCUACGCCGUCAAACCCUCCUCAGACCUCUCAUCUUCUCUCCCACUCGCUCUUCUCAAUUCCAUCCUCCAAAACACAGAGUCCUUCCAAAAACUCGUCGAAGAAGAUGAUAACAAUCCCUAUGUCCCUUCUCCCUCCAAUUCGCCUCCAACGAAACGCCACCGCGGUACCGGAACUUUACCCGAUUCGGAUUUGGAUCAGCGUAAGCUUCAGAUCCUUGCUUCUCUUCAGAUUCUCUCUCAUGUUGUUCAUUUAUGUCUUUUAAGUCCGAAGAAAGCGUUUUCUACUUCCGAUUUACUUCCCGCUGCUCAAGUUUUGCAUAAUCAUCUUAGACUUUUCGAGUCGGAUUCGGUUUUGUGUCUUGAGAUCGCUGGGAUUUGUGAGUGUUGGUGGAAGGAAGGUUUAGUGGAAAGAGAAUCUUUGAUUUCUCAGUCGUUACCGUUUUUGCUUUCGAGGUCAUUGACAUUGAAGAAGAAAGUAGAUGUUCAUAGAGUUUAUAUGUUGAGAGAAGCUUUUACAUUGUUUGAUUUUGAGGAUGAGAGUAUUGAAGAUUUGAGGAUGUUGUUGAUGCGAUGUGUGGUUUCCCCGUUGUAUGUGAAGACCGAAGAUGGUCAGAGAUUUGUUUCUUUCGCUUUCGGGCUUAGUCGACAGUUGAUGAAAGCUGGCCUUGCUGUUGUUAAGGCUCAGAUUCCUUUGGGGAGGAAAUCUGUGCUUGAAGGCUUUGGUGGGAUUUUGUUUAGAGCUUGGAAAGAAGUGGAGCAAGAUUUGAAAGGUGAGAUUGAAGAUGGGUUUUUGCAGGGGAUUAUCGAUAGUGCUAUUCACGCCAGUUCGUGCGCCUUUGCUGCCUCGUUAAGGAGGGUUUUGGGAGGUUUUAUCAGCCAGCGGACCACUCAAGGAGUUGAGAAGCUUCUCUUUAGCCUUGCUGAGCCUAUGAUAUUUCGCUCAUUGCAGGUUUGUUUCUUUACUGCUUUGCCUUCUUCUCAAAGAUGAAACAUAGGGAUGAUAAGCUAAGCCAUUACCUACACAUCUUUAGUUUUCUAUCUGAAACUGUUUGCUUGGCUAUUUUAGUCGACAUUAUUUGGACAUUUGGUAGGAAGUAAUUUCCCUGCUCUUAUUUUCUUUCAGGUUGCAAAUUCAAAUGUUCGUUUAAAUGCUUUACAUUUGCUUCUGGAUCUUUUCCCCAUGGAGGAUCCCGAUGCAACAAAAGAAGCAAAAGAUACCCUGCUUGACAAACAGUUCUACUUGUUGGAAAAAUUGAUGAGUGAUGAAUGCCCAGAUGUGAGGUCUGUUGCUGUGGAAGGUCUCUGUCGAGUUUUCUAUCUUUUCUGGGAAGUGAUCCCAUCAACAACAAUUACCAAGGUCCUCACAAAAAUUUUCGAUGAUAUGUCACAUGAAUCGUGCAGUGAGGUUAGACUUUCAACGGUUAAUGGUAUAACUUAUCUCCUCGCGAACCCACAAUCCCAUGGAAUUCUUAAAGUGGUUCUGCCAAGACUGGGGCAUUUGAUGCUAGAUAGUGUUACUUCAAUACGUGUUGCAAUGGUAGAUCUACUGCUUCUUUUACGAGAUGUUCGCGCUUUCCAGUUCAACACGGUAGGAGGAGUAGGCCUUCCAUUUCCGGUUCUGAUCCUCGAUAUUGUGUAUUCACUUUUGUUGAGUUACUGGUUAAAUAGUUUCCUUGUUAUACGCAGGUAGUGAGCUUGGAUGUGUUAUUAUCUGUGCUUGCCUCUGAUCAGACUCAUGUUGCUAAGGGAAUCGCUCGACUGCUAAUACCAUCAUACUUUCCAUCAAGAAAGAGAGCUGAGGAGGCAUGCCAGCGAUGUAGAACACUCAUAAACAGAAACCCAAUGGCUGGUGCAAGGUUUUCCGAAUUUUUGGUAUCUUUAGGAGCAACCGUUCAAUCUGUACUGCACCUCGUUGGGUUCUUCUUGAAUUCAGUCUUGUCAGGUGAUAAGCUAGACGAGAAUCAGACUGAAGGCUUGCUUCGUGCUGCGUACCAUCUCUGUAAAGAUUUGGUUGCUGAUUCUGGGUGUAUGGCCUCCCUGAAAGAGUUGUUACCUGGAGAAAAAAUGAAAAGCUUGCUUGCUUUUGCACCCACUGCACAGGCUGUGUCAGCUGUCUUUGAUAUUAUUGCUAUGGUCUCCCCUGAUAUUGUCUCUGAAGUCCUAGAAGAUUGCAUGAAUUUAGCUGUAAAUUGUGGUGGUUUACCUGGGGAUGCAGGACGACAGACCGAGUUGAGAUCUGUACACAAGUUACUCCUGUCUUCUAAUGCCUUUUGUGACCUCAUUGGAACUUUUACCAGUAUCAUGCGGAAGACUGCGUACCGUUGUCAAAUCAAUUUUGGCUACGAAGUAGAAAGAAAGAAUGUGCAUUCCAUGAAGAGGAAAAAAUCAAAGUCCUCUGGAAAAUCUUCCGCAAGGUGGAAACAUGUUAGCGGAAAAAAUGCAAUCAGUUUCGAGGAAGAUUAUUCGGUUUCUGUAGGAAUAGCAUGGCAGAUAAAGGAUUUACUCACUAUCGAAGCUGCACGUAAAGCUAUACUGGAGUCUGACAUUGAAGAGCUACUCCUUGCCUUAAAAGUCGUCUCCCAGACUAGCAUUCUGCAAGCCACUUGUUGCGAAUACAUGGACGUGUACCCAGUAUUGGCAUAUACUUCUCUUGCUUUGCACAUGGCCCUUCAGAAUCUUAAUACGGAUACUCAGAAGAAUGAAAUGAGAAUCGCUGAGGCAAGGACUUUUUGUUUUCCCUUUUGACUCCUUCUUUCUUCACACAGUCAGAUUACUAAUUAUCAGGUUUCUCCAUUUUCUAGCAGGAUAUCAUGGACCGAACAAUGGAUCACAUCCUAGGCUGUACAGAUGAACUAUUUCAGACAGGAGACAGUGGAACGUCAGGCAUCACAUCUCCAGAGGCUAACCUUAGCCAAAAACCCACUACAAGUAACGGCAGCCAACCAAAAAGAAGACAUUCCAUUGCUGGUGAUGAUGGUGAGUGGAGAGGCUGAUCUCAUUACACAUGUCACCAACAUAAUGAAGUCUUCAUACGUAGCUCUGCUUGUGGUAUGUAACUUCCUGAUAUUCAAGUUUUCUGACAUCGUUUUCAUGCUUCAUGCAGCUUCUGAGGGAUCAAAGGAAGGAGGUGUGCUGAACAAUGUCAAAAUGCUAACUGUGAUUCUCAAGUUUUUUGUUGAGUCUACAGAUAUGGGUCUAGCUUCCCACUUCCAAGCAAGGAUGUUGAAGUUCACAUCUGCAUAUCUAAAGUAUGCCAUCUCGAUUUUCAAUGACCAUUCAACCGGUAAGUUACAAUUUGAGGAUGCAGAUAUGAAGGACAUGAUUCUGUGUACAAAAAGCUCCACCAGUUAUGCUGGAAAAUUCAUAAACCUCGUGCUGAGACAUGCAACCGAAGCUUCUCAUCCUUUGUUUGAAGCUUUUGACCUUGCAAAUGACCUGCUUGAUCUCUUCACCAUGGUUGAGAUAUCUCUAGGCUCAGCUUAUGCAUCAAGACUUGUGACCGCUUUAAACCCCUGGAUACCAGAUUUGGUUCUUGCACUAGGACCCUGUUUCAUCAACAACGACAACUUGGACGAAGAAAGUUCAUACACCAGCUCAUUCAACCACAUCAAACUCUGCGUUCCAUCAUGGCUUCUUACAUGUGCGAAGAUCGAACUACAUGAAAUUAACAAAGAAGAUGAGACUGAGACCCCGGAUUUCCCGGCAUUAAAAAGACUGAGAAACACCAUAUUUACGUUGGUGAAAGGUAACACCAAGGUGAUAGAUGGAAUUGGUUAUGUUCUUUUGAUGUGUUUGGCAGUGUGUAUAGAGAAGAGGGAUUACAGUACGGCUCUCGGGUUGCUACACUUUGUAUGUGUGAAGUUGGUAGGUAGUGAAGAUAGAGAGUGGAAAGAGCUGGACACAAUGUUGGUCUCACUUCCAAGAAUAUACCCGAUAAUAGAGCAAGAGAUUGGUGAAGAAAGAGAUGAAGAUGAAGUGAAGAAGCUGGAGGCUGCAAGAGAAUUGCUUCAACCUGUGUGGAUGUACCAUGUCUACGAAACCGGAAGGUUCCACAUGAUGGAUGAAGAAGAAGAAUAGAUAAGAAAGUAAACCGGAAGGCUUAAUGCGUUGUAACAUUAUUCGAGAGCAGUACCGUAUGAGUUACGUCUAAAAGAUGUAAAUAUGAGCUAAAUUUGUAUGAAUUAUUGGUGGAUUAGUGGCAUAAUAAUCCGUGACAAUCACUUUUGAGAAUUUACCAGAUAAUAUGAGCUAAUUCAUGGUAUUUAUUGUUUUAAGAAACUACCUUAGACAAGAGUGAAAUUAUACUUAUCUAAAACAAAUAACGAAGCAUAGGCGUAACAUUGACGUUUUUAAGGAAUCUCAUGCAUUUACAUGAGACUCUUAUUCAAUCUCCGAGUAUAGCUUAAGACUUAGAGGGGCUUCUGGCAAGUGAUGAUGCCAAACUUAAUGACACCUUUCUUGUAACCUUCGAUCAUCAAUGGCAUUGUCAACGCUCCUUUUAUACUCUUCAUACCACUACGAAGCAGAGACACAAGACCAUUCCAUGUUAAUGCAGUCCGUAUAACGGCAGGCCAGAAAGGAGCUACGUUCUCUGACCAGUCUGCACACUUAAUAUCCUACAAACACAUAUUUCAGACACUAGUUAAGUAAAAAACUCUAAUUAAAUUGUGUUUUUGGCUGUAAAGGGUAGGAAAUAUAGUAACCUGGAGAGAAUGGGAUUGCAGCAAUUUGACAUAAUCAUCGGUGGAGCACCACGCCGGGAGAUAAAAUGUCUUACAGAUUUUGUCCAAGAUGUUUUGCUCCCAUGGCUGCAAAGCUUUCUCCCCGGUGGAUAGGUUUCUGUGGCACCAUGUCACUAUUAUUAUCCUUCCUCCUGGAGCCCCCACACGCACCAACUCUUUCACGAACUUGGCCUUGUCAGGCAUAUGCUCACCACUCUCCAUCGACCACACCAGAUCGAAUUUUCCAUCUUCGAAUGGCUGAUCCAACGCAUCCGCAACUUGAAAAGAUACCUAUAGGUCCAAUGUUGAUGAGUUAGACAAAAAAAAACGGUUGAUUUUAUCCCAAGCUAGAAGAAAUUACCUUAUGAGAGAGUGAUUGAGCAGCCGCGAGGUCAGUGGCUCUCUUGGCCUGAACAGGGCUUAGAGUAAUGCCAAUGCAUUCGGCUCCAAAUUUAGAAGCAAGAUACCUUGAGCUUCCUCCAAUCCCACACCCAACAUCCACUACUUUCUUUAUCUUUUUCUCCUCUUCUUCAUCUUUUUCAAUCAAAAUCAUUUAAAUGGUAUCAACUCAACUUCAUAUGUAUAAUAAAAAGGUAAUAAUAACACAGCAGAAAUAAAAAAGUAUAUAUUUCUAAACUAUAUACUUUUGAGUUUAGAAAUAUGUAUUCAUUAAGCUUACAAUCAUCUCUUGAUUCAAAUGUAAAAAAAUUAUGGUUCAUAAAAAUAAAAUUAAUGUUAGAGAUGGCUUGCUGCUUCUGGAUGGAACGUGGCUAAUAAACCACCUUUCAUGGGGUAACAGAUUAUCAUCAUUUCUGUAGACAAUAAAUAUAAGAUUAUUUGUGGUUUAAAAUUUGUUGUAUUAUUUAUUCGUUAACCAUUAUAUAAUUAUAACAAACAGAGUAUCUAACUCAAUAAUUCGGAUCAGAGCAAAAGAUUGAAGAAACGAACCAGUAACACCGGCGAAACGGAGAGACUCUUCAAUCAUUCGGAUCUGAGCCUCCCGGUGACCAGAAUCAGAGAGUUGCACAGAAGAAUCAGGAUCGUAAAAGCCAUGAUGCAUAUGAUCUCCCCAAAUAUCUUCCCACAAACCCGAAGUUUCAUUGUAGAAUUCCGCUAUUCCUUUUCUUAGCGCCUCGGUGGAUGUCGCAGCAGCGGCCACAGCCACGUUCCCUCGCGCCGUUGUUGUUGUCAUAGAGACUGAAGAUAAUGGAGACCGAAAGAGAAGCGACGGUGAACCGAAAGAAGCGUUGGUUCGAAAAGGGAGGCUUGUGAGAGAAGAGGGUGAGGCUAGAGUCGCUUCCAUUUAUGGACGUUUGGAGAAACAAAGAAACGUGACUAAGUCAGAAAUUAUUGAUUCUUGGUACUGUCUGAGUUCAGAUCUUUGAUAUAUACAUUGGACCAUUUUUCUUAGUUUUAGAGCCACAAAACUUUCUGGUGCCACAGGUCUUGGGGAGAGGCCCAAUCGUGUACAUACGCUUUGUGGAAGUCGAAACUAACACAAUCAAGAUUUAUCUAGGGUUUUAUUUUAGGGAUACGAUAAUCGUGAAUUCUCAAAGAACAACAGAAACGAUUGAUACCAAAGAUGGUGUUCUUGAUAUUAUUAAUGAAAAGAUGAUUUUGAUCGUACAAGAGUUUGAUCGUAAAAGAAAAAGGUGUUUGUGCUGUGAGAGCUUUGCGUAGUGUAAAUUCUAGAGCGAUAUUGCUUCCCCUUUCGUUUGAGCCUUGAGUCUCUUUAUAUAGGGAUGAUAAACCGCCUCCAGCGAUAUUCUUGGAAGAUUUCCAUUUAUCUUGAAGUCGGCCAGAAUAUCGCGGAUUAGGACAAUUUCCUUAUUCUUCGGAGUUUUCGGAAGAUUUCCUGAUUUAAGUUGAUCCUUCGUGAUUCUCCUUUAUCAUUUCCGGGUUUAUCGGAAAUGACCCUUCGGAAAUGAUGCCUUGUUUGGAAAUGAUACUUUGAAGAUGAAUAUUUAUCAAGUCUUUGCCUCGGGUGAUGAUGAAGACUUCGCCUCGGGUCACUCUGAAGACUUUGCCUCGGGUGACACUAAAGACUUCGCCUCGGGUGACUUUGCAGACUUCGCCUCGGGAACAAUACACAUUUCACCUCGGGUAGCACUGAGACUUUGCCUCGGGAACAAUACACAUUUCACCUCGGGUAGCACUGAGACUUUGCCUCGGGUAGCACUGAGCCUCGGGUAGCACUGAGACUUUGCCUCGGGGUAACUGCAGUAUAAGGCUCGGCAGUGUACCCCGAGCUGACUGUGUACCCCAAGCUGACUGGCAGACUGACUGGCAAGGUACCCGAGCUGACUGGCAGACUGACUGGCAGACUGACUGGCAGGGUACCCGAGCUGACUGGCAGACUGACUGGCAGGGUACCCGAGCUGACUGGCAGACUGACUGGCAGGGUACCCGAGCUGACUGGCAGACUGACUGGCAGGGUACCCGAGCUGACUGGCAGACUGACUGGCAGGGUACCCGAGCUGACUGGCAGACUGUCUGGCAGGGUACCCGAGCUGACUGGCAGACUGACUGGCAGGGUACCCGAGCUGACUGGCAGACUGACUGGCAGGGUACCCGAGCUGACUGGCAGACUGACUGGCAGGGUACCCGAGCUGACUGGCAGACUGACUGGCAGGAUACCCGAGCUGACUGGCAGACUGACUGGCAGGGUACCCGAGCUGACUAGCAGGAUAACCCGAGGUGUUGAAGUUUGGCUCGGUCUCAAAGGAUGGGUGAAAUCCGACCCCAACAGUUAGCCCCCCAGCUCGUUGACUUGGGAGCAAGUGUGACGAGCUUCAUGAAUGAGUCGACCGAGCUGUUAACUUCUGCUUCGAGUCGCCAGUGAACCUGAGGCGGCACUCUUAGAACCGUCCUUUUUCUUCCUUUUUGGUUGUAGUGUAAGAUUGUGCAUGGAUGACUUUGUCGUUGUAUUUUUGCAAAGUAAAUACAAACGCUAUUUUCAAAGAUCCUUGUCUUCGAAGAGAAUACAAUGAUUUUGAAUAGUUUCCGUAUCAAAACAUCUUUUUGUCCUAAGUAAAAAAGAAUUUAUGUAGCCGGAGCGAAAGAUAGAUACCAGUGUUAAGAUAAACUGGGUUUUAGUAGCCGGAGCGAAAGAUAGGUACCAGUGUUAAGAUAAACUGGGUUUUAGCAGCCGGAGCGAAAGAUGGGUACCAGUGUUGAGAUAAACUGGGUUUUAGCAGAAAGAUUUGAACGUUCACGGUCGCGACCCGAUUCGAUUCAAUCGAUAACCAGUGCUUAGAAGCGAACUGGGGCACCAGUGUUAAGAUUUUACUGGGGUUUCUGAAGACAAUUUCAUCUUUGGUCGGAUAUCUUCGACCAGAUUGUCUCGAAUGCUUAUAUAGCGCGCUGUAACCGUGGAGGUGUAGAUGAAUUUAGUUCGCGGGCGUGGCCAUCGCCCAAACGAACAGAACGGAGUUUAGACCGUGUUGAUUUCCCGAGGCGAGUUUCGGGGUAAAGACCGAGGUAGGUUUAGUAAAACCCGAAGUGUAUACUUAGAAAUAUAGUUUGAUAAAAUUUGAAUAGGAGUAUAGGAAACAUAUAAUUGAUAAAGUUUGAGUGGGAGUAUGGAUAUACGGACCCCACUCUCCCCCCCCCUUUUUGAUAAGGGGAGGUAGCUGAACUCGUCCGAGGACGAGCUGCCUACGUACCCUUUUCGGGGAUCAAGCCACCCCGUAGUUCAAGCUUAUGCGUACCUUAAGUUUUUAGCGGUAGUAUUUCCUGAGGUGUUUCCACAACUGGGAUAGUCUCGGCCUCCUCGGAACCAAUUGUGACGGCAAUGGGGUUAGGAUUCGUCAUCUCCACCUCAGGCUCAUCGGUCGCUUUGGCUCGUCUCUGAUAGGCUUUGAUCGCGGCUACGGUGUCGGGGCAAAACGCUGAUCCUCCCAUUAUCAUGUAGAUUCUUUGUCGUGUUCCGUCACGCUCCUCGUCGGGUGUUCCCCGGACUCUCUUCGGAGCCUCUGGCUCCCUUGGCUCGGGGACCCCUUGCUGUGUCCACCUGUUCGGGCUGAACUUGUUCUGGCUGUAGGUCUUUGAGGGUUAUGUUCGUCCCAAGCUCUCCGGCUAGAAAUUUGGCCGCUAAUAUUGCUCCGAGGCUCCUGCAUCUGGAAGUGUGAUGCCCGAUGGUCUUGUGAUGCUCGCAGUAUUCUUUUUCGUCACCUGGGGGUUGACAUCUUUUCCAAGUGAAUGAAUCUCUUCCUUGCCCACGGCCUACGUCGACUUGAUAGUUGUGGGCUCCUGAGAAAUCGUGCCCCUCGUGGUGCGUGUACGUUUCACUCUGAUCCGGCUUCUUCUGGCUCUGCAGUCCUGUUUGGGCUUUCUCGGUUCGGGAUGCUUGCUUUGUCGGCUCGUGUCUCUUCGCUAGUAGCUCCAUUUCUUCUUCGUAGGCGACGAAAUCUGAGGCUCGGUGCAGCGCGUCGCGAAUUGUAGUAGGUUUGGAUAGGUUCAGCUCUUUUCUGAAUUCUGACUUGUACCAGAGAGCUUUCUUCAAAGCCGAAAGAGCGGCUACAUCUGUAAUUCCUUCGACCUUGGCUAGCGUCGAUUUGAAGGUUGUGAGGAAAUCUCUCAACGGUUCGGUGGGCUGUUGAGAUAGGGACCACAGAUCCGCGUCGGAGGUUCCGGGGUCGAUGAGGACGGAGUAUUGUUUGAGGAAUAGUGUCGACAGCUCGUCGAAACUGUCAAUCGAGUUUCGUUCCAAUUUAGAAAACCACUCUAAUGCGGGUCCUUUGAGGUGUUCCACGAACAGCAAGCAUAGACCUGCAUCCUUCUCCCCGGGCUUGAACCUGGCUCGGGCUACGGAUAUCACGAAAGAUUUAAUGUGACACUUCGGGUCGGUUGAUCCGUUGUAGGAAUCGAUUUUGAACUUCCCCAGAUUGGACAUCGUCGUUUCGGAAAUUCUUUUGGUGAAGGGCGUAUUCCGAGAUUCUUCUAAAAUUCGGUCGAUGUUUGGUGCAGAGGAUGAAACGCUAUGUAUCUGGGUUUUGACGAGCUUCAUAUCAGCUUCCGCCUUGGCUAGGGAGGCUCGGAUCUUGCUGAGCUCGUCCUCCCUUUCGGAUUCUUCGGCCCAUCUUACGUUCUCCUCAGUUUCUUCAUCGUCAGUGAGAUCUGUUCGCUCGGCGGAGUUAGCUCCGGCUCGGGUACGCUCAUCUUGCAGAUCAUCUGGCUCGUCCGUCAAGUCCACUGCGUCUGGCUCGGUGGGAUCAUCUUGGUUCUCGCAUCUGGCAGGGUCGGCUCGGGUUGCGACUCCGGUGUUGCCGGUUGGUGUCGCGAACGUGAGUCUCGUUGGGUUGAUGCCAAGCAAGUCCCUCCGAGCUCAUGGCGGCCGAGUCUGGAAACGCGUGGUUUUUUGUUGCCCACGUGUUGCGAUUUCGUCGACUCGCUGCGCCAAGGUUUUGUUAGCUUUCUCUUGAUCGUCAGCUUUCUUCUGGAAUUUAACCAUCAUAUCCUUCAGUUCGGCUAGGGCUGCUAAGAUUGUCGGAUCGGCUUGAGGAUUCUGAGGGUUCAGAGCAUUAGGGUUCCCUCCUCCGGCUGGCGGUAUCUGACGAUCGUCUUCGUUUACCAUCCUCUCUGGUAUUCGAGUCUCGCGUUCUUAGGGUAAGAGAAUUCUAAAGUAAUCCCCACAGACGGCGCCAAACUGUGGAAGUCGAAACUAACACAAUCAAGAUUUGUCUAGGGUUUUAUUUUAGGGAUACGAUAAUCGUGAAUUCUCAAAGAACAACAGAAACGAUUGAUACCAAAGAUGGUGUUCUUGAUAUUAUUAAUGAAAAGAUGAUUUUGAUCGUACAAGAGUUUGAUCGUAAAAGAAAAAGGUGUUUGUGCUGUGAGAGCUUUGCGUAGUGUAAAUUCUAGAGCGAUAUUGCUUCCCCUUUCGUUUGAGCCUUGAGUCUCUUUAUAUAGGGAUGAUAAACCGCCUCCAGCGAUAUUCUUGGAAGAUUUCCAUUUAUCUUGAAGUCGGCCAGAAUAUCGCGGAUUAGGACAAUUUCCUUAUUCUUCGGAGUUUUCGGAAGAUUUCCUGAUUUAAGUUGAUCCUUCGUGAUUCUCCUUUAUCAUUUCCGGGUUUAUCGGAAAUGACCCUUCGGAAAUGAUGCCUUGUUUGGAAAUGAUACUUUGAAGAUGAAUAUUUAUCAAGUCUUUGCCUCGGGUGAUGAUGAAGACUUCGCCUCGGGUCACUCUGAAGACUUUGCCUCGGGUGACACUAAAGACUUCGCCUCGGGUGACUUUGCAGACUUCGCCUCGGGAACAAUACACAUUUCACCUCGGGUAGCACUGAGACUUUGCCUCGGGAACAAUACACAUUUCACCUCGGGUAGCACUGAGACUUUGCCUCGGGUAGCACUGAGCCUCGGGUAGCACUGAGACUUUGCCUCGGGGUAACUGCAGUAUAAGGCUCGGCAGUGUACCCCGAGCUGACUGUGUACCCCGAGCUGACUGGCAGACUGACUGGCAAGGUACCCGAGCUGACUGGCAGACUGACUGGCAGACUGACUGGCAGGGUACCCGAGCUGACUGGCAGACUGACUGGCAGGGUACCCGAGCUGACUGGCAGACUGACUGGCAGGGUACCCGAGCUGACUGGCAGACUGACUGGCAGGGUACCCGAGCUGACUGGCAGACUGACUGGCAGGGUACCCGAGCUGACUGGCAGACUGUCUGGCAGGGUACCCGAGCUGACUGGCAGACUGACUGGCAGGGUACCCGAGCUGACUGGCAGACUGACUGGCAGGGUACCCGAGCUGACUGGCAGACUGACUGGCAGGGUACCCGAGCUGACUGGCAGACUGACUGGCAGGGUACCCGAGCUGACUGGCAGACUGACUGGCAAGGUACCCGAGCUGACUGGCAGACUGACUGGCAGGGUACCCGAGCUGACUGGCAGACUGACUGGCAGGGUACCCUAGCUGACUGGCAGACUGACUGGCAGGGUACCCGAGCUGACUGGCAGACUGACUGGCAGGGUACCCGAGCUGACUGGCAGACUGACUGGCAGGGUACCCGAGCUGACUGGCAGACUGACUGGCAGGAUACCCGAGCUGACUGGCAGACUGACUGGCAGGGUACCCGAGCUGACUAGCAGGAUAACCCGAGGUGUUGAAGUUUGGCUCGGUCUCAAAGGAUGGGUGAAAUCCGACCCCAACACGCUUAUCAUUUUGAUUUUCUUUUCGUUUUUUUUUUUUUGGUAAGCGAUUUUCUUUUCGUUUUUAUUUAACUUUCUUUAUGCUUCCCUAAUUUUACUUUUGUAAUUUAGUGAAAAGUCAGUAGCAAACAAAUAUUGUUAGAAGGGUUGGAGUAAGCAAAGAGAGCUUAAAAAGGUAACUGUGACAACUAUCACAUGCUUGUAGGACUAUGAGCCUCGUGGACACCGUUAUAUUAGGGAACUAGAUAACAACCCGCACGAUGUGCGGGAUAAAGUGAUUCAAGUAAAAUUAUUAUGAUUAAAAUUAUUAUCCGGGAUCCAAGGUCCGUUUGUGUAAAACGAAACAUGUUACAAUUUUUUUUUUGUUUUAUUCAAAUUUGGGACUAUUUCAUAUAAGAAUAGGUUUUACCCGUAAAAUAUUUGAACCUUAAAUAAAGCUUCAACAUGAUAAAAAAAUAUUGACGAAAUGUUACCAUUUAUGGCAAUAUGUCUUAAGAUUUUUUUUUUUUUUAAUGUGUAAGAAAUCCAAAAUUUAGCAAAGAUGAGAUUUGAUAUUUUCCAAGCUAAGAUUUUGUAGUGUUCCAAAUCUAAGAUUCUUAGAUUAUGAAUGGAUUAUUUACGAAAUAGUUAUAAUGUGGCCAAAUUUUGGUUUAUAUACAAAUGUGGUUAUAAUGUUUUUCUUCGAAAUGUUAGAACUCUUCCAAAAAAUAGGAUUUUAAGUAUUCGUAACAUAUAUAGAAAGGAGAUUAUCUUAUUUAUUUAAGUAAAAAAUUUAUGAAAGAUGUAAAGAUUUUGUAGUUUUGAAUUCGAAAUUCUUGAACCAAAUGUAUAUAUUUUAUUAUUUAAAUAUAAACAUAAAUAUAAAUAUAAAUAAAAAGAUUGUUUAUCCAUCCGCUAAAGAAAAUUUAUAUAAAUGUAUAUAAAGAAAAAUAUAAAUAUAAAAAUAUAGUAAUAUAAGAUAAACAAAAAGUGUAUGUUUUUAAUUAUUAAUGGGAUAUAUGGAUGUAUAAGACUAAUGGCAAAUUCUGUAAAUAGUCUAAUAAAUCUUGGGUAAUUAUCUAAAUAUAAGCCAAAUCAUUGUGAAAGCAACACAUCAGCGUGACAAUCUUGUUAAUAACACAUGAUGGUAAGAUUUUUUUUUUUUAAAUGUUUCUCUAUUAAUAUAUAGGGGAUGAGUUAGGUCUCACCAUUGAGUAGAUUAGAGGAAGAUUAAAAAAGUAAGUACAAAAAUUACUCUGACUACCCUACUCUUUGUCCGGUCAAAAAUGGAAAAGUCAGAAAAAAAGAAAGUUUUUUUCUGGAAACAAUGUUUUAUUUUUGGUUUUCAUUAAUAUGGAGAUAUUUUUCUCUUCUUCUAACCAUGCUCACCAAUUAAAUCCAACAAAAUGAAGAAAAUAUUUUCUUUCAUUAUUAACUUUUCUUCCCCUUUUUUCAUUCUACGUUACUUAAAACCAGUCGAACUUUUAAAGUCAUAAUUCUUGAAAGAAAAAAAAGGAUAUUGUGGACUAGCAUUUUACACACAUCGAUGUCAAAUGGUGGAAUCCAUUUAGGGAAAAGACUACUUUUAUAAAAAUUAUAAGUUUUAAGAAAAUAAAGAUAAAACAUAUAUUACCAACGUUGUGUUGGCCCAAUGGUAAAUCUUCUAGGUUGAGGUACUGGAUUCGACGACUGUUGGGAGGGAUCUCUUUCUUUUCUCCAAAAAGAUAAAUUUAAUUUGGUGUGGGUCCCGCUUCUGAGAAAUGUAGGCUUUUGGGUUUGAACUUCUAGAUAUUUAAAAAAAAAAAAGAUAACGAUGAAAGAAGAACAUGAGAUAUAGCAAUGAUGUAGAUGAUUUUUUAUUUCACUUGUAGUUGUGCAUUACAAACAAACAAAAGAGGAUUCGACAACAUUUACUAUGAGUUAAUUAAUAUGAUGCAUAGUCAUGGUGGGUGUGAAUAUAAAAGUCUGUAACAAUGUAUUUUUUUAAUCAGAACGGGUAACAAUUUGGGGUUAAGAUCUUCGCCGGAUGGAGAGUAACAAAUCAAAAUGAGAAAAGAAGAUGUCAAAAUGAAUAAUGUCAAAAGAACAUGUCAAAAAGAACAUGUCAAAAAGAACAAGUGAAAGGUAAAGUAUUUUGAGUGUUUAUAAGUGUUUUUUCUCUUUCUAUAGAGUGAUGUGGUGGUGGAUUCAAACGAGAUUUGUAACAAGAGUCCCGAUGAAUGAUGCUCCGAUAUGUACAUAUAAGAAAGUACCUUACAUGGUUUCGAAUACUAGAUACUAAAAAAAUAUGUGGUGGUGGUUUACAUGUCAACUUCUUGUAGGAGCAACGUUGGAGUAGGAUCAAUAUGCUAGACUUUCAUUAGACACCACCACAUUUGGGUGCUACUUUUGCCAACUGUAUACACGCAAGAUGUGCGUUUGUUGAGUUGCACGUUUCUCCCAAUGAACUAAUGCGGGAGAGACCAUCUUUUAACGCUGAUGCAGAAAACAUUUUCUUCAGGUGCUCUCUAGUGUAACUCGCUUGCCAUGUGUCCGCUUUUUGGGAUAAAGGAGUUGAUGGUUGCAGAAAUUGUUAGCAUAGUAUGCUUGUGAAUGUGUUUGUACUGUAGUAUGAUGUGUUUGAAAUUGCAAUCCUGCAAAGAGAGCUUGAAAGUUUUCUCCCUAUGAGAAGAAGUCUUGAACCACACCUGGUGGUAACGAGAACGGGAUCCUCUAUAAAGUGAGAGGGAACCGUUGACCAAUAGUCACACUAAGAAGUGUACAUUUAAAGGACGGACUUGAUAGAUAGAAAUUUAGAAAUUUUAUCCCUAACAUGUUUUGUUAAAUACUGAUUUAAAAAUUUAAAUAAUUUCCUAAAGUUAGAACUAUUUUUCUUCUUAAUCCGCCCUCUUUGAUUAAUUAGAAAAUGAGGAUGCCUCAGACAGAUUAUAACGUGGCAAAUAUAUGUAAAGUGGGGGAUGGGCAUUAAUGACUAGCAAUGAGUCCGUUUGAUUAGCUUGUUCAUCCGUAAGUACAUGUACAAGACGCAUUACAUUGGUAGUUACACGUCCACGAAGGUGAGUCUACCUCGAUCCCCCGGAAGGUUCCUAGCUAAUGAUCAUCUUCAUCCAUCUAUUAUAUAUAUAUAUAUAUGUUGAGCUAGUGCUCAUUAUAGAUCAAUUAAAAAGAAGUGCUACAUAAAGUCACAUAUCAAAUAAGUUGCUUAAUUUGAGAGCAAUUAUACAAAUAAAAUACCAUUAAAAGGUACAAACACAACAAACAAACGAAUAGGGUUAUUAUACCAUAUGACCUUAAUAUUGGUAUUAGUGUUGCAAAUGAUUUAACGAAUUCAAUGAAAUCAAACUUCAUAGCCCUCCACAAGACUAAUGUUCCGUGGCUCUACAAAGCCAAAACUAUAUGUAAUCCAUGUAACGAAAUCUUUAGGGAAGUGCACUACUCGUGUUGGUAAGUAACAACAUACCUCUUCUUCUUCUUCUUACUUCUUUCUUUCUACUUCUUCGCAUUAUCGGCUUCUUUCUUGCUCUCUUUGUUGUACUCUUCCAUCUCAUUAAGCCAGAGAUCCGCAAACUCGCAAUCCUUCCAAGCAUCAAACCAAGGCCCUCCUCGAGUAUAAUGCACCGCUUUAGGCUGCGUGGUGGGAUCCUUCUCAACAACCCUAUUGUGCCCUUCAAGAAAGUUCCAAACAAAGGGAAUAGACCCAAUCUCUUCGUCCUCAAGCCACUGGAACCUAUGGAGAAACGCACCAGUCUGAGUAUUAACAAUCUCAGGGCUCAAGGUCUUGUUCUUAGGAUGUCCACAAUUGUAAAGCACCAUAGAAGACCAGUUCUUCCUCGGGUACACGGUUUGAACCGCACCAUCCAUCUUAGUAGUCUCCUUAGGAGUAUAAUCAUGUUGAACACACAUGAUCGCGUACUUAUCAUCGAUCAAAUCAGUAAGUUCCUUGAUAUCAGCAAGGUAGAGGAAAUCGCAGUCGACGAACAUAGCCCAACCUUGGUAAUCGGACAAAUGAGGAGUCAAGAAACGAGAGAAAGAGAACUCAGUGCUCUCUAACUGACCUCUUUCUCUCCAAUACAGACCUUUCUUUCGAAGAUCUGAUUGAACAAUCGGUAUGAUCUCUACAGGGAUUGAAGAUCUUUUGGUGACUGAAUGACGACAGACUUGGUAAGCAAGAUCUUCGCGUGGAUCGUAACCAACAAAGAUCCUGAAAGGUUUCUUCUCAGAAGAACCAUUGUUGCAGGUAUCAGAUUUGACAUCUCCGUUGCUAAUUGUCAUUGUUGUUGCAGAAUUCGGAUCUGCCAUUAAUUUCAUUGCAAAAGUUAAGAUCUCAUUUCGCUAAGCAUUUUCUUAACAAUCACAGAAUCGUUACGAAGCAAAACCAAAUCAAAAGGCGAAUCUUCAGAUGAAUGAAGAAGCCAUGGAUUUCAAACUAAAACAGAGAAAUUCGAGAACGAAAUUGUUAUGAGAAAGUAUUUAGAUCUAUAUCAUCCCAUUACGCUAAGCAAUUUUGCAGAAUCGUGAUAAAGCGAAACCAUGAAAAAUGCGAAUCUAGUAAGAUAACAACGGGAAUUGAGGCAUUGAUUAGAGUAAAAACAGAGAAAUCGAGAACGAAUCGGCAGGGAAUGAGGAAGAACAGAGCGUACCUGGAGAAAAUGAUGAGAGCUUGGAUCUUGACAAAAAGCUUGGAGCACCGACAGAAAUGGAGAUUUGUGGACUAAAAUGUGGAAAAAAGGAGAAAGAGAUUUGGAGCGAGAAAGGAGGAGAGGAGACUGACGACUCUCUUAAUUUUAGAAAUUAACUAUUUUUAUUAGAGGCUCGAGUUGACUCACGUGUUGACUCAGCGUCGGCGUGAGUUUUAUGCGUUGCUUCUUUCCCUGCCCAUGUGCUCGGGCCUCCUCUUCACGCUCUGUUUUUGCUUUUAUUCGUUUUAUUUUUCUUCGUUAAAAUAGUAUUCUUUUUACAAAAUUCUUUCAGGUUUCAGUGAAAUCACACAACAAAAAAUUAUUACCCCAUCUUUUUAAUAGUAUUUUUGUGAUUCUGUUUCUCUGUACAAAGCUUAAAAGAAGUAUUUUAGAGGUAAAAAAAAACGAAUACUCUAAUUAUUCUAAAAAUAUAUGAGUUAUUCUAGUUACUAAUCUUUAUUUUUAGAUUAUGAUAAUAUUUAUGUUAUAAGAAAAAUUAAUUAAUAUUUUUCCCUAUUAUAUGGUUUUAUAGACCCUGUUCUAAAAAUCGGCCGCCUAGCCGCCUAGGCGGCCGCCUAGGCGGCCGCCUAGGCGCUGAUCGGAGGAGCACCGCGGCGAUUUUGUCCAAAUCGGUGAGAAAAAUCGGAGAUCCGAUUUUUUGUCCGCCUAGACCGCCUAGGCGGCCGCCUAGCCCGCCUAGACGGCGCCUAGCCCAAUUUUUUUUUUUUUACUUUUUUUUCAUCUAAAAUUCAAAACGUCCUACUUAUGUUCGUAAUUUGUAUAAAAAUCAUAAAUUUGAAAUUAAAAUCUUGUUUUCAUGUGUUUAAUACAAUUUUAAAAACAAUAUUAUAUAAAUUUCUUAAUUAUAAUAGAUUAAUAUGUUUUUAAAAUAUUAAAUAGCCCUAAAACUAAUCCCCGAUUAAUCCCCGUGUAAUCCCCGAUUUUCUUGCUAGGCGCUAGGCGCACCCUCACCGCCCGACUAGCGCCUAGCGAUUUUUUGAACAUGGCUUAUAGAUAUGGACCCGUGCGUUGCACGGGUUACCAGUCGAAAUUAUCAUUCUUAAUUUUUUUUAUUUUUUUUUUGUAAGGUUAACUAAAAUUGUAUAAACAUAUAUGUUUAAAUUUUAUAAAAUACAGCAUUUUAAUUAUUUUUAAAUAUAAAUCCCAUAUUUCUUCGUCUAACAGAGUCAAAGAUGAGAAAAAAUGGAGAUGCUAUUCACACGAAAGCUUGACAAGAAAUUUGAAAUGUAUUAAGAAUUAAUUCUUUAGUAUGAUUCAAAUUAUGCUUGGGUAACAUAAGUAAUUUUAACAUAAAUAAUCUAAGGUUCUUGAAGUAGAUGUAUAAUAGUCGCUCAAAAAAUAUUUACAUAUCAGAAUAUAAAAAAAUCUAACACUUGUAAGAAGUUAAACAUAACUACAAACAUAAAAUAAAACAAAAAAAUACAAAAAUUGACGAUGCGAUAUAUUUCUUCUGUAAAAGUAAAUAUAAAGUUAUUUAUCAAUGUAUGAAUAUAUAAAAUAAUAAAAUAAAAACAACUAAAAUAUGAGCAAAAGUAAAAUACAAAAUCUGAAAAAACAUUUAAAUUUCUACAAUAAAUACUUAUAUUAAAACAAAAUUAAUUUACAAAAACUACUUGCGGCUUAAACCAUUUGUUAAAUUCACCUUCUGCAUGUUGUUCUCUAAAACUUACUUGAUGUCAAACAACUACUUCAAAAUAAUUUUUUUUUGUAAAACCCCGUAGCGUAGCGCGGAUUUCGAUCUAGUUAGAAAUAAAAGAAUUAAUUCUUAAUACAUUUCUAAUUUGAUGGACGUAGAUACUCUUUGGUGCCACUGGCGACGAGAUGAUUUGAGAAAGGAAAGAUCUGGAAUUUAUGAGCCAAGAUCUGGAAUUUCUGAGCAUAGAUCCGACUUAGGGCUUGACUGAUUCAAAUGCAGCAGUUGUGGAAGUUUGCGGAAGCAUACGAUUGCGGUAUCAAGUAUUGUUUAGCGUUUUGACCGACUAGUUUAUCCGUUGAAAACAUGUGCGUUUGCGGAAGAUUUACGACUGAUUGAUCAGCGGGUACGAUAGCGGUUAAACCCAAAUUUACCAAAAUAAAAACACCAAAAACUAUAUUUCUGAAAAAGUAUAAAUUUUAAACAUAAUUAAUAAUGAAAAACCAUAAAUAAUUACUAACUAAUUAUUCAAAUAUUAAAAAAAAUAAAGUUUAUAGUGAAACACAAAUAAUUAAUAAUAUUGGAACAUUAAAGUUAGAUAAUGAUUUGAAAAUAUAAUAAAGAGAAAUUGUUAAAAAAUGCCCUUUUUUCAAUACCUCUUUUCAAAAAUGCCCCUUUUGAGAGUUCAUUUUUAAGUUUGUCCUAUUUUAAUUUUUAAUGACCAUUUUACCCUUAUUUGAAACAAAAUUAGGUCUACAAAAUAAAAAAAAAUUUUUGGCGGGAAAAGUGAUCCCGCAAUUUUCCCGCCAAAACACUUAUAAAAACCUUUAAAAUACCUUGUAAAAUUUUCUCGUAAAAUUUUUUCCCGCCAAAAAUAUUUUUUUGCGGGAAAAGUGAUUCCGCAAUUGUUUUGGCCGGAAAAAUUUACAAGGUAUUUUAAAGGUUUUACGGAGUAUUUACAAGUGUUUUGUAAGGUUUUACAAUGUAUUUUAAAAGGUUUUACAAGGUACUUAUAAGGUUUUAUAAAGUAUUUAUAACUUGUAAAACCUUAUAAAAAACUUGAAAAACCUUAUAACUUGUAAAACCUUAUAACUUGUAAAACCUUAUAAAAUAGCUUGUAAAAUCUUAUAAUAUCUUAUAAAUAAGUUAUAAAUACGUUGUAAAACCUUUUAAAAUACAUUGUAAAACCUUAUAAAUACCCUGUAAAAAACCUUUAAAAUACCUUGUAAAUUUUUCCCGCCAAAAAUUUUCCCGCCAAAAGUUUAACGCCAAAAAAAUUGCGGAAUCACUUUUCCCGCAAAAAAAAAUUUUUCGCGGGAAAAUUUUUUGGGGGGAAAAAAUUUUACAAGGUAUUUUAAAGGAUUUACAAGUUUUUACAAGUGUUUUGGCGGGAAAAAUUGCGGGAUCACCUUUUCCGCCAAAAAAUAUUUUGUAUUUUGUAGACCUAAUUUUGUUAUAUUUCCUUAUAUAUUUGUGAUAUCUUUUAUUAAAAUAAGGGUAAUUUAGUCAUUUGUACAUAAAAGGGGUAUUUUUAAAAAUUGACAGCCAAAGAGGGCAUUUUUGAAAAAGAGUAUUGAAAAAGGGGCAUUUUUGUGAGUCUCCAAUUUUACUUUGCUGAUUUUCUUUUUUAGUUUCUUUUUUUUUAAAAACCAACCGCAACUGUAAACAUUUGCGGAAAUGUGCUUUUGAAAUCCAGCUAUUUUGAGUGGUCUGAAGCGCUAUGGAACAAUUUUUACGAUUGGUACCAACCGCAACCGACCAUUAACAACUGCUAGGCGGGUGAUAACGGGAGAGGGAGAACCAGUCAAUAGUUUUUUGGUUUUAAGUUUUUUAGUUUUUAAUUUUUGGUGUAGUAUUUAGUUUAUGCAAAAUCUUGAAUUGGUUAACUGGUUUAAUUUUUGGUUUUUAUUUAAAAUUUUUGUAUAAAAGUUUUUUUUAAAAAAAUUUUAGUUAUCGCUUUGUUUUUAAAAUUUAUUAAAAAAUUAUAAUUUAUAAUACAAAAAAUUUAAAAAAAUUAAAAAAAUUUCAAAAGCUCGAAAUAAGUGUCUCAUAUUUUUUUUUGGAGAAACCCAGAAAAUUUGGUUUUUGGAUUAUGUGUACAAAAUAUGUUAAAAAAAAAGAUUAUGUGUACAUAUUGCAAAAAAUCUAUUAAAAUUCAGAUUCCUUAUUUGUUAGGAAAACCAUUUGUAUCAUAAUCGUAUAUGGGCAUAAAUUAGUUUUUGUAAAAUCAAAAUCUCAAAACCACUUCAGAAUCUGCAGCCAUUCAAGGUCAUAGAGUUCAAAUGAAAAAUUAUUUUUUGAUUAGUUUUGUUUCGGAACUUAUAAACUUGUCAGACAAAAGAAAAACUUACGAGACUAAUGGUAUUACUUAUCUUUGUAAUAAAAAACCAAAUUUACAAGAAAAAUACAUAAAAAGAUUGACAAUAGAAUCAAUCCAUCUUUUAUUUCUCUAAGUCACACAUUUUGUUUAUUUUUGUGUAUACAUCUAUCGUGUAUCCGACGAAGUACACUUGUCGUGUAUCCGCCAUAAUAAUGUAUUUAUGGGAUACUACGAAGUAUAUCUGGCAUAAUACUGUACUCCAUGAGAUACAUAAUGGUGUACUUCAAUGUAAUAAUAUAUUCUAUAGAGUACACGAUGGUGUAUUUGGCAUAAUACUAUACUCCUUGAGAUACACAAUGGUGUACUUCGAUGCAACAAUAUAUUCUACAGAAUACACGAUGAUGUAUUUCGAUGUAACAUUGUACUUUGCAGAGUACAUAAUGGUAUACCCCAACUUAACAUUGAACUCCGUGGAGUACACGUUGGUGUACCCCGACAUAAGUAUAUGUUCGUGUACCCCGACAUAAGUAUAUGAUGGUGUACCCUAACUAUUACAUGAUAGUGUAUCCGACGUAACCCAAAAGCUACAACCGGGCCACAUCAACAUUUUUGUUUAAUCUUGUAAACAGAUUGUAUAUAUCCAUAUAAAUAUGUGGUUAAAAUUUAACACCGUUAAAUGAUUUCGUAACGUCUGUUAACGGUUGUUAAGCAACGAAUUCGAAUCAAUCAAUAACUCAAAAAUAGGUAUUGUUUGACCAACCAAAAUUAUUUAAGACAUUUUUACCCCAUAUACCCUCAUAUAUGUAUCAUCUCAUGUACCUUUUCCUCUGUACCUUAUUUAUGAACCAUUUCAUGUAUCCCAUAUAUGUACCAUUUCAUGUAUUCUUUCCUCUAUAUCCCGUAUAUGAACCAUUUCAUGUACUUCUUCAUCCGUACCCCAGGUAUAUACCAUCUUAUGUAUCAUAUAUAUGUACCUAGGCCUGGGCAAAAAAUCCGGAUCCGAUACCCGAACCGAUACCUGGACCGAAAAAUCGGGUUGGAGCGGGUUAGGGUAUUAGAAAAUUACCUCAUUGGGUAGAGUAUUAGAUUACCCAUGGGUAUCGGGUCGGGUCGGGGAUUACCCGUUACCCAUUUAGGGUACCCACAAACCCGAAAAAAUACACAUGUUUAUAUAUAUAUAUAUAGAUAAUUAGAUAUAUAGUCUUAUAUAGUUAUAUACUUAUAUGCAUGUCCUAGGUUUUAGGUUUUGUGACUUUUGACAUUUGAGUUUAUAUAUGUAUGUAGAUAAUUAGAUAUAUAGUCUUAUAUAGUUAUAUACUUCUAUAUAUACUUAUAUAUAUGCAAUACACAUAUGUUUAUAUAUGUAUAUAGAUAAUUAGAAUCUACUCUUAACACUUAAGAGUGAAAUAGUCAUCUUUGUUAUUUUGGAUUGGAUUUAGUAUUUAAAUGUCAUGUUUGAUGUUCUAUUCUCUUUAUUUGAUCAUUUGAGUAUGUAAAGUGAUUUUAAACUUCGGGUAUUACCCAAACCGACCCAAACCCGACAAUACCAGAACCGGACCGGAACCGAAACCAUAUGAAUACCCGAAUGGACCAUAAAUUCAUUACCCAUUCAACCCGAACCCGAACGGGUUUUACCCGAACCCGAACGGGUUACCCAUAUGCCCAGGCCUAUAUGUACCAUUUCAUGUACCCCUUCCUCUGUAACCCCAUAUUAUUACCAUCUGAUGUACACCUUCCUCUGUACUCCCAGAUAUGUAUCAUCUUAUGUACUUGGUUCACGUACCUCCACUACCCUAUACGUUAUACACCAUACAUCAUCUCAUGUAUCUAUGGUUCAUGUACCCCAACUACUGUGUACGCUAUACACCAUCGUCUAUACCCUAAUGAAUGUAUUCCAAUGAUUGUACCCCAUCUAUUAUCCAUGAACACUCAUGCCCAACAUAACGAACACAUAAAUGACAUAACUAGUCACUAAAUAUGCAUUUAUUUCAUAUUUAUAUUGUUGUUUUAUGUUUUAUUAGAUGGACUCUUUGCAUCAUCCAUCUAUGAUGUAUCUACUUCAAAAAAAAACUAAAAACUACCAACCAAAUAAAAUACCAACAUGCUGUUAAAAGAAUAUAUAUAUAUAUAUAUAUAUAUACAAAAAUACCAACCAUUUAUAUAGUUUCUAGUAUAUCACUAAUGCAUUGUCAACCUUAAGUUUAUUAAGUAUAUAUUAUGCAUUUAAAUUUGAUUAGUCAAAUAUAUCGGACCAAAAAUUCAUACCAACAUUCUCAUUAACAUUCAUAGUUUCAUGGCGAACCAAGAGCAAUAAUUUAGAUAUUAAUCCUUAUUUAUAGGUUAUUAUUUCUAGGUUAUGAUAAUAUUUUAUGUCAUCUUUUAUAUUUUCUCUUCUCUUAAAAAGAUUUAACUAUAUAAAAUUUUACAUUUACCAUAAAUUCGUAGGGUUUUCUUACCAUCAAAAAUUUAAUACAGAUGAAAAAUUAUACUCCCUCUGUCCCAAUAUAUAAGAUGUUUUAUACCUUUUCAUUUGUUCCAUUAUAUAAGAUUUUCUCUAAUUUCAAUGCAUGAUUUAUAUUAGUUUAAUACUUUUUAAUUAUUUUAAUUAUACAGUAUCUUCUUCUAUUGGUUGAAUUUUCAUAAAUGAGAAUACAUUUAUUGUUUCUUAAUCUAUGUGCUUUUAGUCCAAACAUCUAAUAAAAUGGGACAGAGGGAGUUCUUAAUAAAUCUAAAAAAUUAAUGUAGACAAAAUCUUUAACUUUUAUUGUCUCUUAUUAAUAUUAAAUGUACUAUAAAAAUAAUUCUGAUUUAUAUCAUGAUAGUAGUUGUGUUUACAAAAUAAUCAAUAUUGCCUCAAAUUGUAAUUUUAUUUGAUAAUAAUAUCAAACACUAAAUAUUUCAAAAAAAAAAAUGCAGAAGUCAACCUUUCACAUUUCAAAGAAUUUUAAAAAUGGUUGUUUAAUUUGAUGUUGUGGACACCUUAAGAAAAGAGUAAACUCUCUCAUUAACUAGGUGAUCACCCGCGCUACGCCGCAAGUUUUUUCCGGUUUGCUUUAUUUAAUGUUAUGUUUUGAUAAAAAUAAUUUUUAAUUAUUUAAUCAUUCACUUAUCUAAUCAACAACCACUCUUAGCAUUCUCAACAAUGCAUCACUCACACAAUCCUUAAACAAUUUUCGUGCUAAACUAAUUUUAUGAAUGGUAAUAUUGAGAUUAUAGAAAUCUAAAAACUUUGAUAUUCAUCCUCUGUGAUACAUUAUAUAGUAAAAAAUAAGAGAAUAACCGACUCAAGCAAUUAGCUAAGCCACUAUACCUUUUUUUUUUCAACAAUCCACUAUACUAUUAUUUACUUAUAGAUUGAGUCAAAUUAUAAAAAUUAGCAAAAAACUCAAAAAAACCCCAGAGUAUGGGAAAACCAAUAAAAUAAUAAAAUUAGUAUUGAUAUAAUUAAAUAUGAAAAAUUUAAUAAUAUGUACAAUUAAAUAAUAAAUGUACCAUUAAUCAUUUACGUACAUGAAUUAUUUAGUGAACAUAUGAAAAAUGCUAAAAAAGAUGAUGUGUCACUCAUAUGGAGAGAGUUGACCAACUUUCAUAUAUAUCAUUCUUUUUUUACAAAAUUCGUUCAGGUUUCAGUGAAAUCAUAGAACAAAAAAUUAUUGCAGAUAAGCUACUUUUUCAUUCUAUUCAAAAGAGAUGAGAAAGUAGCUUAUGUAGACCUUUGAAUAGAAUGAAUAGAAUGAAAAAGUAGCUUAUAUCUCUUUUGAAUAGAAUGAAAAAGUAGCUUAUGUAGACCUUUUCGUAAACAUGAACUUAAUCUGGUUGUCUUCUUUAGAAUAAGAACUUAGUGUCUUUGUGAUUCUCUUGUUAUAUUUUCGGAUAUAGUUACUUUUUCAAAUCGGAUCAUUGGUACCAUCAUUUGUUUUCUCUCAAUGUUUUUUUUCUCAAUCCAAGGUUUGUUUUAAACUUGGAGAAACAAGAAUCACGUUCAAGCUAAUAAAAGAUAAGUAAUAUUGUCACAGCUAGCUCAUGGAAUAAACCUAUUGCAGAUUAAGGAAGCUUAUCUAUAGGUUGAUGAACAAAAGAAGCGCUAGAGGAAAGCUGCAAUGGAGCAGUAUUUUUAUUGUAAUAAUAAUUAAGAAAGCUGACUGCAUUCUCGUUUUUUUAGGAAGCUACAUGAUCCUGUUAGCCUAAGCAGCCCAUAUAUAUUUAAACGAGUGGAGAGAUGUAAAGCUGUAAAGCACACAAGCUUGAAACUUGUUAUCUAUUUAUGAUACUAAGACUUUCAACCUAAUAGACAUCAAAUCCAUUAAGGUAGUAGAUUGGUGGUGGGUGAAGAAGGUUCGUUAAUACUAGUUCCAUUUACUCUUGGUUCCAUUUGGUCUGUAUUCUUUUGUAUUUGGGGAGUCUGCAUAUUCUUAACCUUGCAUGAUCUAUGAAGAAACCAGACGAAUAUGUUAUAGAGAAGACUGCCCUGCUUGAACUUAUUAGAGGUAAUAUACUUUUGCUUCUCGAUUUCUUUUUUUUUGUGUCUAGUCAUGCUUUAUUUAUUGAUCAACUAUAUUAUUUGAUUAUCUUCUUUUGUAGAUAUAAAAUCAAGUACAGCAAAAAAGUAAUACCCCGGUUUCAAGAAUAUGGUGGUGCAUGUGGAGAGGUUUAAAAGAAUUAAUUUGGCCACCUAUGUCAGCAAAGUGCAUUUAUCUUUUCGGUCAACUGUCCUGAGAGAACUCCAGGGUUGAACGUGCUUGAGCUGGAAAAGUUUCAGGAUGGGUGACCUUCCGGAAAGUGAUUGACGGAACUGUGUGAGUGAGGACAAAACAUUUGAUAAUGAUAUACAAGAAUUGAAAAUGUGUAAAUAAAUAGAUUAUUAAAUACCUAAUUUUCUUUAAAGCUUCUUAUUAGUUAUCACUAUAAAAUAAAUAUAUUAUGUUUUUGUUUCACGUGUCAUGAUCUCAAUGUUACUUAUUUUGGAAAAGCAUUGCCAUGAAUUUUGAAACUAUUUCGAGUUAUGAAUAAAACAAAAUAGCUCAAGAAUUUGGUUUUCUAUUUCUCUUCGCUUUCCAUUCAUUUUACUUUUUGGAAAAAAAAAAACCUUUGUGACUAAUCAAAGUGAAUCACUUAAACAUCAAUGUUGUAAUCUGGCUAUUCAAAUUCUUUAUGCAUAUCUUAGGAAACAAUUUUUUUUAUAAAAUAAUACAUGUGUUAAGAUCAAAUUUUACUAUUGAAAAUGUUUUUAAAUAAAUGGAUUUUGUUAGAAGCUGUACAAAUUCUCACCGAUUUGAAUCUCCACAUUAAAAAAGCUUACAUUACUUCUGAUGGCAGAUUGAACCACUGGCGGAGCUAGAAAAUUUUGUUACAGGGGUCAAAAUUUUUAAUAUAAAUUAUAUAAAAUUUAUUAUUAAUUUUACCCAUAAAGAAUCUACAUUUAAGAAAAAAAUAUCUGAAAAUCAACCAAAUUAAUAUUUACAAUUUUUUGUUAUGGUCCACAAACAUUAACAAAGGCAAAAAAAUUGUGGGAUUUUCUUAUAAAUAAAGGAGACUCACAAAAAUGCCCCCUUUUCAAUACCCCUUUUCAAAAAUGCCCCAUUUGGCUGUCCAUUUUUAAAAAUACCCGUUUUUAUGUAUAAAAUGACUAAAUUACCUUUCUUUUAAUAAAAGAUAUCACAAAUAUAUAAUGAAAACAUGAGAAUGUGCACACAUCAAAAUUACAAAUUUGAUUUUGUAAAAACUUGUAAAACAAAAAUACCUUGUAAAAUUUUCCCGUCAAAAUUUUUUCCGCCAAAAAUUUUUUUUGCGGGAAAAGUGAUUCCGCAAUUUUUUUGGCGGGAAAAAUUUACAAGGUAUUUUAAAGGUUUUUACAGGGUAUUUAUAAGGUUUUACAAUUUAUUUUAAAAGGUUUUACAACGUAUUUAUAAGGUAUUUAUAAGAUAUUAUAAGAUUUUACAAGCUAUUUUAUAAGGUUUUACAAGUUAUAAGGUUUUACAAGUUUUUUAUAAGGUUUUACAAGUUAUAAAUACCUUAUAAAACCUUAUAAGUACCUUGUAAAACCUUUUAAAAUACAUUGUAAAACCUUACAGAACACUUGUAAAUACUCUGUAAAACCUUUAAAAUACCUUGUAAAUUUUUCCCUCCAAAAAUUUUCCCGCCAAAAAAAUUUCGCCAAAAAAUUGCGGAAUCACUUUUCCCGAAAAAAACAAUUUUGGCGGUAAAAUUGCGGGAUCACGUUUCCCGCCAAAAAUUUGCGGGAUCAUUUUUCCCGCCAAAAAAUAUUUUGUAUUUUGUGGACCUAAUUUUGUUUCAAAUAAGGGUAAAAUGGUCAUUAAAAAUUAAAAGAGGGCAAACUUAAAAAUGGACUCUUAAAGGGGGCAUUUUGAAAAGGGGUAUUGAAAAAGGGGCAAUUUUUCGACAAAAAAAAAAAGAAAAAAAAAAGAAAAAGGGGCAUUUUUAACAAUUUCUCUAUAAAUAAUUAUAAUAUUAGAUCAUUAGUUGAACAUUUUUUAAAUAAGUCAAGAAUUUUUUAUUUUAUUACAUUAAAAUUUGGUUCAAAAAUUCUAAUGAAACCAACUUAUUUGGCUUUUUUUUUUUGUUUUAAUGACAAUUUUUUAUCUCAUAUAGUUGAAUUACUUUUAUAUGGGGGUCAAAAACUAUAAUGCAUUGGGGUCCCUAUAAUUACUCUUAAUAAAAUGUAGUAAAAUUUUGAAAAUUUAUAGGGGUCAACUGACCCCCCUAAUAUCACACUGCCUCCGCCCAUGGAUUGAACAUGGAUGGUAAUCAUACAUAUAAAAGUAAGGUUUCACUCUCCCUUUAUUGGUCCACUUGGCAUUUCUCUUUAAAAAACAUUAAAAAUAAUAAUAUUUACAUCCAGUUAUAUUAAAAAUACAACAUAUUCAAUCAUAUACAUUAAUAUACUUUUAAAUACUAAAUUGUAACUGAAAUGAUUUAAAUUAUGUAUUAAAUAUUUUUCUACACUCAAUGAUUCAAAUUAUGUAUUAAAUUACAACAACACUAUUAAUUGUAAUUGUAACCUCCUAAUUUAAUUAUUUUCUAAAUGUAACUUCCAUCAUCUCUAAUCCUAUAAAUAAUCAUUCUCUCAUCCUCAUCUACCAUAUCUUAAAUCAUAAAUAUUUUUCUUCUUUCUUUCUUUUUCUUUCUUAUGUUGUUGCAUUGGUUGAAAAAUCAAUUGAGACAUCAUUAUAAGAGUUUGCUUCUAAAUUUUAUGUCUAGAUAUGGUAUGUAUCUUAUAUUUUUUCUUAUUUUGUUGUAAUUCUAAUGCGUUACUAGAAUAUUCUUUAAUUUUCAUAUUUUUAAUUCAAAAUUAUUAUAUAAAAUUUUUUAUAACAAAAAAUUCAUAUUUAUCGAUGGAGAUUCAAAAAGAGCAAUUCAAUCAAUAGCACAACAAAGUGGUCAAGUAGAAAAAAUCUAUCUCCAAGAUCUACAUUAGACAUUGAGUUUUUUUUUUACAUAUUCAUGUGUCUUUAGACUGAAAUAAAUUAUUGUAAUAUAUUUAUCAAAGAAAUUGUACCUACUUUUUUGUUAUUUUUAUCUCAAUAAAUGUUUUGUAAUAUUUUCAAUAUACUCAUCAUCAUUAUGUUUAAUUUUUAUUUAUCCAAUAGACAAUUAUAUAAAGAGAAAUUGUUAAAAAUGCCCCUUUUUCAAUACCCCUUUUCAAAAAUGCCCCCUUUGAGAAUCUAUUUUUAAGUUAGCCCUCUUUUAAUUUUUAAUGACCAUUUUACCCUUAUUUAAAACAAAAUUUGGUCCACAAAAUACAAAAUAUUUUUUGGCGGGAAAAGUGAUCCCGCAAUUUUCCCGCCAAAAUACUCUGUAAAACCUUUAAAAUACCUUGUAAAAUUUUCCCGCCAAAAAUUUUUUUUUGCGGGAAAAGUGAUUCCGCAAUUUUUUUAGCGAAAUUUUUUUGGCGGAAAAAUUUACAAGGUAUUUUAAAGGUUUUACAGAGUAUUUACAAGUGUUUUGUAAGGUUUUACAAUGUAUUUUAAAAGGUUUUACAAGGUACUUAUAGGUUUUUAUAAGGUAUUUAUAACUUGUAAAACCUUAUUAAAAACUUGUAAAACCUUAUAACUUGUAAAACCUUAUAAAAUAGCUUGUAAAAUCUUAUUAAUACCUUAUAAAUACGUUGUAAAACCUUUUAAAAUACAUUGUAAAACCUUAUAAAUACCUUGUAAAAAACCUUUAAAAUACCUUGUAAAUUUUUCCCGCCAAAAAAAUUUUUUUUGCGGGAAAAGUAAACAAGGUAUUUUAAAGGUUUUACAAGUUUUUACAAGUGUUUUGGCGGGAAAAAUUGCGGGAUCACUUUUCCCGCCAAAAAAUAUUUUGUAUUUCGUGGACCUAAUUUUGUUAUAUUUCCUUAUAUAUUUGUGAUAUCUUUUAUUAAAAGAAGAGUAAUUUAGUCAUUUUGUAAAUAAAAGGGGUAUUUUUAAAAAUGGACAGCCAAAGGGGGCAUUUUUGAAAAGGGGUAUUGAAAAAUGGGCAUUUUUGUGAGUCUCCCUUAUAUAAAAUAUCAUUAUAAUAUUUAUUUUAUUCAAUUUUUGUGUGCUUUAAUUUCUUUACUUCUUUAAUUACUUUUUCGUAUCUCAAAAUUGUUUUGGCAGUAUUUUUAAUAUACUAUCAUUACAUUUAGUUUUUGUGAUCCAAUAGAUAUAAUACUUAUGUAGUUUUUGUGGUUUAAAGUUUUUUUUCUUCUACAACUACUCAUUCUUAUCUCAAAUAUAUUUUUACAAUAUUUUUAAUAUACUCACCAUUACAUUUUUUUUUUAUCCAAUAGAUAAUUAUACAAAGAUCAUUAUGCUUAUUUUAUUCAAGUUCCGUGGUUUUAAGUUUUUUUUUCUAAAACAAAUCAAGUAAUUAAACUAAUUUGAUAAUCACACUUAUCAAUGUAAAUCCUAAAAAAAUGUAAUCAUUAUAAUGAAACCUAGCAUUAUAAUUUAAAUUGAGUGAAAUAUAAAAAAGAUUUUUUUAAAUGGGAGUAUCCUUGGGUUUAAUCCAAAAUAAUGUAAAAUUUUAUUAUCGUUAAUAUAAUAUUUUUUGCGUUUCUUUUUUCUUUCUCUUUUACAAUACAACAAUAUAUGAAAGAAAUUUUUUUUAUAAAAUUAGAAAAAUAAUUAAUUAAAUAUUCAAGAUAUUAGUUAAUUAUAUGAAAGAUAUGUAUGUUCAUAUUUAAUAAAAUUAUAUAUAUAUCUUAAUAUUGUAUAAUUUGGAUAUAUUAAAGUGUAAGAAUUUUUUUGUAUAUCUACAAAAUAUAUUAUUUUCUCACUUUCAAUCUCUUCUUCUUAAUAUUUUCUAAAAAUACUAUACUAUAAUAUUUAUCUAUAAUUAACUUAUAUUUAAAUUCAUGUGUGGCUCUUAUAUUAAAUUUAAAAUCAAUGUUAAUAACUCAUACUAAAUAAAUAUAAGACAUCACUCAACCCCACUAAAAUACAUUUAGUAUUUGAUUAAACUCACAUUGACAAUAAUUAUAAUUUGAAUGGUUUUCCUACUAAUUCUACAAAUAGUAUAACUCUUUAAAUGCAUUUAUUUUCUAAAUGUAACUUCCACCAUUCAUCAUUGUAUAAAUAAAUAUUUUUUUAUUUUUCUCCACCAUAUCUAAAAAUAUUAAUAUAUACAUAAUAAUUUUACAUGUUAAAGAAUAAAAAUAUGCAACAUGCGUGGCUACUUACAUUUAGUAAAAUAUUAAAUCGAAAGUUUAGAUGAUCCAUGCUAGCGUGGCUACUUACAUGUAAAAUAUUAAAUGGAAAGUUUAGAUAAUCCAUGCGUUUAAACAUUGGUUUGGUUUACUUGAAUAUUGGUUUGGUUUAAUUGAAGAUUGGUUUGGUUUAAUUGACACUCUCCAAACGGUCAUAAAUCGUGGACGUCAAACCGUUUCAGCUUUCAGCUUUCAGCUUUCAAUUACGACGAUCUUUCGACCGUUUGGUCUCUAAAACCGAGAAGAACUCAGCACCGACUUAGAGAGAAAAUCCUCAAUAAUAAGAAGUCGCUUCUCUGCCUUAAGACUCAACGGUCCAAUUUCGUUUCUCUAAAUUCAAACAAAAAAAUUUCUGAUUUUUGUGUUUCUCUCUACAGCGAUAGAUCGUGGAUGAAGCAAAAGACGGAGGAUGAAGAACUCGAAACGCCUUAAGGUGGAGUCAAAUCGUGAAGGAAUUGAAGGCUAUCAUGUUCGUAAGUUGAAAUUCAAACAAGACUGUUUCUGAUUAUUAUGCUUUUCUUCUGGAACUAAUCAUGUAGACGAUGACGAACUCUUCGUCGAUGGAAGGAUUUCAUGUUCGUAAGUGUUACUUAGGGUCUUUGUGAUUCUUUAUUUUGUUAUAUUUCUGGGAGAUUGUUACUGCUUAUAUCGGACUACAUCUUUGGUUGAUCAUUGGUAAAAUCGUUUCUUUGUUUGUCAAGGUUUUCUGAUUAAAUUCAAAGUUUGAUGAAGAAAUUCGUGAAGAAUUUCAAACCUAACAUGUGUUGUUUUUACAUGUGAAAUAUUUGUAUGGGUGAAUAGAAUUACUGCCAAGGGAGAGGUACUUGAUAAGGUUCUCUAUGUUUACUUCAUGUAUUCUCUGAUUUUGGCUCAUCUUUGUUUUUGGGGCUACUUCAGCUCUUCUCUUCUUAGUUCUUAGGUUCUUAUUUCAGCUCUUGCGCAAAUUUCUUUGUAUAAUUUGUGAGUUCACGAUGUUGACUCCGCUGCAAAAGAACUUGUGUUUCGAUGAAUUCAGUGAUGUAUAUCCAGUUCCGGUAUUUCUUUCUAUAUUCCGAUUAGGACUCUUUCAUUUACAUUGGUGAGUUCAUGAUUGUUUUCUAUUCGGUUCAGUCUUCCCUUCUAAUUUCAAUUAGUUGUGUGGAUAACUUGGUCGGUUUAUCUUCAAGGCAUUUGUGUCGGUUCCGUAUAUGCAUCCAGGAGAUAUAAAUGAAAUGGAACUAUAUUGAGCUAUGUCACUUUGAGCUAUGUCAGUCACUAACAACAACACAUGUUUCUUGCAGAUAAGAAAGAGAUGACAAAGACAAAGAAGAAGAACCAAACCCAAAAAGCCUUUUUUCUCCAUUCUUUCUAUUCUGGUCUUAAAUCUUUUCUAAAUCUGUUUUGUAUUCAAUUUUAUAGGGAAAACGCAAGAAAGAUUUGUCGAGAAGAGCAUCCCGAGAUCAACAUCUCAACUCUUACCAACGACAUUUCAUUGAAAUGGAAAGUAAAUAAACACUAUUUUAUUCAUUGUUACUUGUGAAAUUGAAUUCCUGGUUUUGAGAAAAAUCUUAUGGAUUUGGUUGUUUUGGGAACAAUCUAAUUGUAGGAACUGGGUGAGAAGUGAGCCCAAUUUAUAUUGGAAGGGCUGCAAGUUAGUGAAACAAUAAGCCAAGACAGAACAGAGAAGAUUUUGGGACGAUUCAGGUACACUAAUACACUCCCUUCUAUUUAUUUUUAUUUAUCAUAGAUGGGCUAACUGUAGCAAUGUAGCGUAGACGUCUAUAGAAACACCAAUUUCUUUACUAAAUCCAAUGAUGCAUGUGAGGCAGUGAAGGACAAUACAUGUGACAGUUCUCUUGCCUCAAACCUUAAACAUCUAACAGAGAGAGCAUGCCCUCCCUGAAGAUGAUGGAAAUAAAUAUACCCAAACAGUUAUUAGAAGCAAAUAAAAAGCAGGAGUAUAUGAUCCUUAGGGCAUUUGAGUGAAAGCAACCUCUCUUCUAAGAAAGUUAAGACCUCUCUUCUAAGCCUUAAGUUAUAUAUCAAGUCCGAUUUCUUUGUGAAAUUAAAAGAAGCCUUUUUUUCAAUUUUGUGUUGGAAUGGAUCUUCUUCUUCUAUGUAGAACGAUCUGGAACUCUUUGUUGAGGAGCAACACACUUAAUGUGGAGAAUAUGAAGAUCAAGAGAGAAUACAUGAUUUAUUGAGCUUGGAGGAACUCGAAAAGCUUAAGGUGGAGCAAAAAAUACUGCUAAUGAGGAAGGAAUUCCAGCCUAACAUCGUACAAUUUCUAGAAUUUGCCCUGGUUCUCCACUUAUUUAAGGCUUAUUGAAAUCUAGUUAAUCAUAUGCGUUAUGGUCUUAUGGAGUUUGUUGGCUUGCUUUGAACUAAUAAGCGUCGGCUUAGCUUUCUGCACAUUUCAUGCUGCCAAGGUUCAAGGUUCUCACCAAGAAUGAAGACUGAGUAAGUUUAUUUACAAUGUAUGGGAAUUCUCAACGUAAGUUUGUUAACUCUAGGAACUAUGAUCCAUAAGCUAACGUAAGCACUAACAUAGGGUUUACACUUGUUACCAGAUCCCCAACAUGAGUGCUCAAAUUUACAUCUUUACGACAAAGAGGAGGAACUUGAGAUGCUUAAGGUGGAGCACAAAAAACUACAAUAAAUGGAGUAAUUCAAGCCGAACAUGGUAUAGUUUCUAAAUCUAUCUCUGGUUCUCCACUUAAUUUACAGUAUAUGUUAUGUGGAAAUGAUUCAUAAUUAUUUUUAGAAUUUGGCUAGUCAUAUGUGACUAAGAUUUAGGGAGCUUGUUGAUGGUAGGCUCGCUUUAAACUAAUUGUUUGAUGGAAGUUUCUGCUUAGAUUUGAGACUAGCUCCAUCCACUCUUGGUCGUUUUCUUUCUACUAUGUGUUUUAUCUUUCGCGAAGUCAUUAGGAACAUCAAUUGGUGCGGACAGAAACGAUGAUUCUGACUUUGGUACCUUUUUCCUAAAAUCAUCAUGCUAGGCUUGUGACUAUAGCAGGUAUGAGGUUGCGAAGAUGGCAAUGGAGUGAACCAAUGAAAAGUUCAACAAUAUUUUCUAACUUGUGUGCAGAUUCUUGAACUUUUUAAUAGGGGGAAAAUAGGAACAAGAGAUCUACAUGAAAUGGAAUGAUGAAAAUAACAAAUCAAAUACAAAGAAUACACGUUUUGAGCUAAGUCAGUCACUAACAAUAACACAUGUUUCUUGCAGAUAAGAAAGAGACGAUAAAGACAAAGAAGAAGGACGAGAAUCUUGACCGUAACAAACCCGAAAAGCUUUGUUUCUUCAUUCAUUAUAUUCUGGUACUUCAAUAUUUGAAUACUCAAAUAUUUUCUAACUAUCUGUUUUGUAUACAGUUUGAUUGCAAAAAGUUGAACAAAGAGUUUGUCGAGAAGAGCAUCAAGGGAUCAAAAAGUCAACUCUUACCGCCCAUAUCUCAUUGGAAUGAAAAGUAAUAAAAUAAAAUUUUAUUCAUUGUUACUUGUGGAAUUGAUUUGUCGGUUUUGAAGAAAUUCUUGUUGUAGGAAUUGCGAGUUAAUGGAAGCGUGCAUGAAAGAAGUGGAAGCUUUAUUAAAUUGUAGCUGACUACAUUUCAGUGAACAACUAAUAUGAUCUGAAUUCAUUCUCGUUUGAUAGUAAUAGUAACUAUCUCUCUUGUGUACAAAUCUCUUGUGUAAACAUUCUUAUCUCGUCCAUUCCUCUGGCUAGGGUAUGGCCAAAGCCAAUGAUUUUCUUACAGUUCAAUUUUCAUGUAAUUGCAGAGGAUUCAACUUCCUUCAAGGACAGACCAUACAAAAUGGAGGGCUUCAGCACCAAACUAUAGAAUAUUUCCUAAGUUUAUAUGCUCUUCUGAAUUGUUUGCUUCUGGUUAUUGAUGGAUCUUGUACUUGCAGGGUUGAUGAUGCUAGACUGCCUAUAAACCGUGUGGUUCAAAUCACAUCCUCUCUCAUGACACCUUAUCAUUUUGUGAGUCUUCUUUCAUUAAUGUACACCUCGUCGAGUGAAAGAUGCAUAUACCCUGUGUUUGACCUCAGUUAUUUGUGAGACCUGGUUUGUCUUUUCUUUGUUUCAAAAAUGGAGACUUUUCUUGGCCGGUUUGGUUUAUGGUUUUGGUAAGUUUAUCCUCACGUCCAUAUUUUGAUAAUCAAUCACUUGUUAUCAUAGAAAGCCUUUCAUUUCUACCUCCGGAUUGGUAAUUGGUAGAUUAACAAGAAGGCUGACAUAAAAUAUAUAUCCUUAGAUUUAGUGGGAGUGGGUUUGAGAAUAAGAACUUGUAUAGUGUUUUAUUUAUUUGCAUAUGGUUUUUAAUUUAUUGUAGAUAUGAUGGUGAACCAUCACAGCUAGCUCUCUCGUGGAUGUGUUUGUUAUACGGCGGACCCAAUGAAUGAGCCUUCUUUUGUAACAGUAAAUACGGUUUUCUCAAUUCUUGUUCUGGACUAGCCAAGUGGAUAAAGCUACGUGUUAUGUUUCAUAUAAAGUUACAGUAACAAGGUUUUUUCCUAAAUCUUAUGAUUGCUGACAUUGAAUUUAAUCUCAGGUUCACCGGACUCUUGUCAGUUGUGUUCCUUGGACAUUUAUGUGAAGACAACGAUCCUCUUGAUGUUCUUAUCCUUAUGCAGGUAAUUGUGUUUUCACAACCAUCAAAAAUCACCGGAAUUGGUUAUCUAAUACCACAUUGUUUUAACAUGACUUGGAGAAAACAUCUAGGCAGAAGCCCGACUUAUCUUCUGAAUCGUGUAGUAAAUAGUGCUUUCCGGAUGUUUUCUCCGUGUUAGAGCCAUUGGAUUAAUGCUUGCUCAGGUUUCUUCUCUCAAUUUCCAUAAAUCUUUUUUUAUUUUUUCACAAAAUAUUAGGGAGCUAAAUGUGAAAGUCUUAGAACCUGAUAUUGCAUAACUUUGAUUAAGGUGCGUGUUCUGUUUCUGUGAUGAUUCUUCAACUAUGCAAACUUUUUAAUCCUUUUGUGAAAUGGCUAAGUUUGCUAGGAAAUGGCUAAAGCACACAAAAUACCAGACUACGGUUGGACAAUGCAGAAUGUUAAUCAAUGGCCUAGUAACAACUCUAAAGACCAUCUUGAAAUGAUUCAGGUACACUGAUACACUCUUAUCUGUUUCUUUUAACUUAGCAUAGAGGUCAAGGUAAUUUUUUAGAGGUACUCUCAGUUUAACUUUCGAUUUUCUAACGUUCCCUUUUGUCAUUGGCUUGGAAGCGUUUUUUGUUUUGUUGUAUAAGAUCAGUGGCUUCGUACUAUUCCGUAAUGCGAGUACAUUUAUAGGUAAUUGGCUUAGUCGAUAAAUAGCAACUAUGAUUUCUUAAGAUCUGACUUUUAUUUCUCCUGAUCAAGCGUUUAUUACACUUACAGCUAUUCUUAUCAAUGGAGAAUAUCUUUUGAACGUAGAUUGUGAUCAUCACUUCAAAAAAAUAGGCGAUUCAAAAAGGGAUUUGUUUCAUGAUGGACCAUGCUAUUUGUAAGAAGUGAUGAUAUGUGCAUUUCCCACAACGUUUCGAUAUAAACCAACAAGAAUAUUGUCUUCUUUGAUGUGAGUUUAAUUAACUCAAUAUAUUCCACCAGUGUCUUUAAUUUCCCGUCUCGGUCAUGUCUUGUCCACUUAAGCUGACUCAUGUGUAUUCUGUUGUGCAAAUUUUGGUGGUUGUUUUAACAGGUAAUGGGUAUGAUGCAAGAAAGAGUUUGUCAUCUAUUUGAUUCUUACCGCUCACAUUUCAUAUGGCAAAGAAAGAAUAUUUUAUUCUUUGGUUAAUUGUGAGAUUAAUAUUUUGGUUUAUAGGAAAGACCCUAUUGUAGGAAUUGGGUGAAGAAGAGAAGCAAAAUUAUAGUGGAGGGGCUAGGAGUAAUGGAAGCGUAUGGUAAAGAAGGUGAAGCCAUAAAACUUCUGGAAUAUGUUCGAAAGCGUAAAAUUGUAAUGGAAUUGAUUGAUUAAUAUAUCAAUCUAAAGCUCAUGACUACAUUUCAAUCACAUUAUAUUAAUAAGAGUAUUGUCUGCAUUCACGUUUUGUAGGAAGCUAAAGGAUCUUCUCAAACUCAAACAACUCAACCAUGCCUAAUCUAUGCAAAGGUUUGUUUUUUUGAGUAAAGUUAACAAGGGGCUACUUCAGCCCUUCUUAGUUCUUAGUUCAGUUUUGUCACUUCACUUGAGCAAAUUUAUUUGUAUAAUUUGUGAGUUCAUGACUGUUUUCUAUUGAUUUCAGUACUUGUACGUGUAGAUCAAUCGUUGACUCCGCUGCAAAAGAACAUGUGUUUCGAUGAAUUCAGUGAUGUAUAUAUACAGUUCCGGUAUUUCUUUAUAUAUACCGAUUAGGACUCUUUCAAUUACAUUGGUGAGUUCAUGAUUGUUUUCUAUUCGGUUCAGUCUUCUCUUCUAAUUUCAAUAAGUUGUGUGGAUAACUUGGUGGGUUUAUCUUGAAGGCAUUUGUCUGUUCUGUAAAAUCUGGUUUCUUGAUGCUCUAAAAUCUCUAUUUGCUUCUCUGACUUUUUGGUUACUUGUACGAAUGAAUGGUGUUCAUGCCAUAACAGAGAACUUCAGCGAGCAUGUCUAGUCAUCUUGAUCAGAAUGUCGAACAGUAAGUACUCUGCUCUAUUCUUCAAUAUCUUUCAAACUAUCCUACUUGAGUUCUAUCUGCGUUUUCUUAUUGCAGGUUGUUGUUACAUGUGAAAUAUUUGUAUGGAUGAUGAUUUUUGGAGGUGGAUAGAAUUACUGCCAAGGGAGAGAUACUUGAUACGGGUCUCUGAUUUUGGCUUAUCUUUGUUUUUGGAGUAAAGUUAACAAGGAGCUACUUUAGCUCUUCUUAGUUCUUAGUUCAGUUUUGUCACUUCACUUGAGCAAAUUUCUUUGUAUAAUUUGUGAGUUCAUGACUGUUUUCUAUUGAUUUCAGUACUUGUACGUGUAGAUUGUUUUCUAUUGAGUUGACGAUGUUGACUCCGCUGCAAAAGAACUUGUGUUUCGAUGAAUUCAGUGAUGUAUAUCCAGUUCCGGUAUUUCUUUCUAUAUUCCGAUUAGGACUCUUUCAUUUACAUUGGUGAGUUCAUGAUUCUUUUCUAUUCGGUUCAGUCUUCCCUUCUAAUUUCAAUAAGUUGUGUGGAUAACUUGGUCGGUUUAUCUUCAAGGCAUUUGUCUGUUCUGUAAAAUCUGGUUUCUUGAAAUUAUUAUCAGGAAUUUGGCUUGAUGGAUUCUCAAAGGGCAUCCCGUAUAUGCAUCCAGGUGAUAUAAAUGAAAUGGAACUAUGUUGAGCUAUGUCACUUUGAGCUAUGUCAGUCACUAACAACAACACAUGUUUCUUGCAGAUAAGGAAGAGAUGACAAAGACAAAGAAGAAGAACCAAACCCAAAAAGCCUUUUUUCUCCAUUCUUUCUAUUCUGGUCUUAAAUCAUUUCUAAAUCUGUUUUGUAUUCAAUUUUAUAGGGAAAACGCAAGAAAGAUUUGUCGAGAAGAGCAUCCCGAGAUCAACAUCUCAACUCUUACCAACGACAUUUCAUUGAAAUAGAAAGUAAAGAAACACUAGUUUUGAGUUUUAUUCAUUGUUACUUGUGAAAUUGAAUUCCUAGUUUUGAGAAAAAUCUUAUGGAUUUGUUGGUUUUGGGAACAAUCUAAUUGUAGGAACUGGGUGAGAAGUGAGCCAAAUUUAUUAUAUUGGAAGGGCUGCAAGUUAGUGGUACAAUAAGCCAGGACAGAACAGAGAAGAUUUUGGGACGAUUCAGGUACACUAAUACACUCCCUUCUAUUUAUUUUUACUUAUCACAGAUGGGCUAACUAUAGCAACGUAGCGUAGAUGUCUAUAGAGAUACCAACUUCUUUACUAAAUCCAAUGAUGCAUGUGAGGCAGUGAAGGACAACACAUGUGACAGUUCUUUUACCUCAUCCCUGAAGAUGAGGGAUGGAAAUAAAUUUACCCAAACAGUUAUUAGAAGCAAAUAAAAAGCAUGAGUAUAUGAUCCUUAGUGCAUUUGAGUGAAAGCAACCUCUCUUCCAAGAAAGUUAAGACCUCUCUUCUAAGCCUUAAGUUAUAUAUCAAGUCCGAUUUCUUUAUGAAAUUAAAAGAAGCCUUUUUUUUUUUCAAUUUUGUGAUUGGAAUGGAUCUUCUUCUUCUAUGUAGAACGACCUAGAACUCUUUGUUGAGGAGCAACACACUUAAUGUGGAGAAGAUGAAGCUAAGGCGAUAAUACAUGAUUUAUUGAGCUUGGAGGAAUUUCAGCCUAACAUCGUACAAUUUCUAGAAUUAGCCCUGGUUCUCCACUUAUUUCCCACUUCAGGUUUGGCGAAACUUAUUUAAGAUUUAUUUAAAUCUAGUUAAUCAUAUGGGUUAUGGUCUUAUGGAGUUUGUUGAUGGUUGGCUUGCUUUGAACUAAUAAGCUUCGGCUUAGUUUUCUGCACAUUUCAUGCUGCCAAGGUUCAAGGUUCUCACCAAGAAUGAAAACUGAGUAAGUUUAUUUACAACGUACGGGAAUUCUCAAAGUAAGUUAAAAUGAAUGCUCACAUUUACAUCUUUACGACAAAGAGGAGGAACCCGAGAUGCUUAAGGUGGAGCACAAAAGCCUACAAUAAAUGGAGUAAUUCAAGCCGAACAUGGUAUAUUUUCUAAAUCUAGCUCUGGUUUUCCACUUAAUUUACAGUACAUGUUAUGUGGAAAUGAUUCAUAAUUUUUUUUGGAAUUUGGCUAGUCAUAUAAUGUGACUAUGAUUUAUGGAGCUUGUUAAGAUAUUCCUUUAAUCUGCUUUUACUCCAAUAUAAGAUUUUGAUUAAACCAACGGAUUUUCAAAAAGAAUGUUUGUUUCUCCUCAACUAUUGGGCAGAGGCGCAAAGCCAAUGAGGAGUACAAGUCUCAAAAACAACAUGAUAAAUAGGGAAGGAAAUAGCUAUCUCUCUUGAGUACAAAUCUCUUGUGUAAAUAUUCUUAUCUUGUCCAUUUCUCCUUGCUGGGAUAUAUAGCCAAAGCCAAGAUUUUCGAUACAGUCCAAUUUUCAUGUGAUUUCAGAGGCUUCAACUUCAAGGACAUACCAUAGGAGAGGGAGGCUUCAUCACCAAACUAUUGAAUAUUUCCUAAGGUUACAUGAUCUUCUGAAUUGUUUGCUUCUGGUUAUUGAUGGAUCUUGUACUUACAGACUUUAUGAUGCUAGAUUACCUGUUAACAAGGAGACUUUUCUUGACAGGUUUGGUUUUUGGUCUUUGUAAGUUUAUCCUCUUGUCCAUAUUUUUCUACAAUAGAUGUCUUUCCACGUACCUUUUGAUAAUCAAUUACGUGUUAUUAUGGGAAGCCUUUCAUGUCUACGUCCGAAUGUGUAUUAGUAGAUUAACAAGAAGGCUGAAAUGAAAUAUAUUUCCUUUGAUUUUUAGUGGGAGUGGGUAUGAGAAUAAGAACUUGUAUAGUGUUUUGUUUAUUUGCAUUUCAUUUUUCGUAGAUAUGAUGGUGAACCGUCGCAGCUAGCUCUCUCGUGGAUGUGUUUGUUAUACGGCGGACCCAAUGAAAGAGCGUCCUUUUGGAACGGUAAAUACGGUUUUCUGAAUUCUUGUUCUGGACUAGCCCAGUGGAUACAGUUACGUGUUAUGUUUCAUAUAAUGUUACGAUUUCCUAAAUCUUAUGAUUGCUGACAUUGAAUUUAAUCUCAGGUUCACCGGACUCUCGUCAUUUGUAUUCCUUAAGACAUUUAUGUCAAGACAAUGAUCCUCCUUAUGUUCUUAUCCUUAUGCAGGUAAUUGUGUUUUCACAACCACAUUGUUAUCUAAUACCACAUUGUUUUAACAUGACUUGGAGAAAACAUAUAGGUAGCAGCCCGACAGGGUCCUGUGUUAGAGCCAUUGGAUUAAUGCCCAUGACUGAUCAGGUUUCUCCUCUAAAUUUCCAUACAUCUUUCUUAUUUUUCACAAAAUAUUAGGGAGCUAAAUGUGAAAGUCUUAGAACCUGAUAUUGCAUAACUUUGAUUACGGUGCGUGUUCUGUUUCCGUGAUGAUUCUUCAACUAUGCAAACUGUUUAAUCCUUUUGUGAAAUGGCUGAGUUUAAAGGAAAUGGCUACCUUUUUAUAAGAAAUUCAAGAGUAAACCUUAGGUUCUUUUUAGAAGAUAGAUUACUUGAAAGACUAGAGAUCCAGCUUACCGCUCAUCUCAGGAUCAACUAUUUGAUUCUUACCGCUUACAUUUCAUUUGGCUAAGAAAGAAUAUUAUUUUAUUCUUUUGUUAAUUGUGAGAUUAAUAUUUUGAUUUAUAGGAAAUACCCUUUUGUAGGGGAAUUGGGUGAAGAAGAGAAGUAAAUUUAUAGUGGAGGAGGUAGGAGUAAUGGAAGCGUAUCGUAAAGAAGUGAAGCCAUAAAACUUCUUGAAUAUGUUCGAAAGCAUAAAACUGUAAUGGAAUUGCUUUUUUAAUAUAUCAAUCUAAAGCUCAUGACUACAUUUCAAUCACAUUAUAUUAAUAAGAGUGCUGUCUGCAUUCACCUUUUGUAGGGAAGCUAAAGGAUCUUUUCAAACUAGAACAACUCAACCAUGCCUAAUCUAUGCAAAGGUUAGUUUUCGAUCUUUACUUAAGAAAUUAAAUCAGUUUUAGAAAUUAAAAAAGUAAUUUAAAGGUUAAGAAACAAUUAAGAAAAUAUUUAACCUUAUAAAAAAACUAUUAACUAAAUAUAAAAGUUACGCUAUGUAUUCGACAAUGCCAAUCCGACCUAUCAAUUUUAACGAGUUGAAGAUUUUUGCUACAAUUGAUUAAUGAUAGGUCAAAUAUAUAAUGGUUGUCAAUAUAUAUUAUUUUAUAAAAUACACAAAACCAAAAUGUUGUUUUUAUAUUCAUCACCAUCAUUAACGACUAAUCAUCAACUCAUCAUCCUCCUCAUCAUCAUCAUACUAUCAUCACUAGACGUAACAAUUUAUCAUCAUCAGCAUACUAUCAUCGUCAAUCCAUCAUCGUCUUCAUAUCAUCAUCAGUUAUGCUUCUUAAUUAUGACCACACCAUGUUUGUUUCUACCAAUGCUUAGAUUUUGGUGGCUUAUAAGCAUUGCUCCUCUACCAAUGCUCCUCCUUAAUAGGUAUUGGUGUGUAAAUACGAAUCCCAUUCCAUAUAUCAAAUAUUGUUUUUAAAACAACAUUAUCUAAUUUAUUUUAGAUUAUAUAAACCAUUAGAAAAUCAUUUUCAUAAGCCUCGGGGCCAUGAAGACUCACGAGCGAUAAACAAACUUAUUAAAGUUUUCCCUUGUGUGGGCUUAGGAUCCUCGGUCUCAUCUAGAGGUUUUCAUAGACGGUGAGGGAGGCGUGUUUACCGGGGAUUUCCUUUUCCGCCGGCGAGGGUUUUGGUUCUUUUCCUUUUUUGUUGAAAUUCUGUCUCAAACUUUCCAAAAUUCUUUGAGCUUUAACCUAGAUUUAAGGCUGAGAGGAGGAGCCGCCGCACUAAGGAUUCAAGUGCGUUGCUUCCAAUUGCUAGUUUCUUUGAUUCAAUCUCUGUUUUGCUCGAUGGCGUUUACUCUUGACAAAGCUUUGCAAGCGAUGACGAUUGAGGAGAACAAACCAGUGAAGUUGAAGAAUCUACCGAAAUUCAGCUCGUGUGAAAGAAACGCUUGUAGAGUCUUAUGGGAAGGCUACUGUGUCAUGAAAAUCAAAAGAUGUCACGAUUCAUCCAUGACAUGCCUAGGCUUUGGCAUGUUAGCAACAAAGCUCGUGGUAUAGCUCUGUCGGAGGAGACUUUUCAGUUUAUAUUUGAUAGUGAACAUGAUUUAGAGACUGUUCUCCAUGGUGGAGCUUGGACUUAUGAAGAUUGGAGUAUGGUACUGGAACGAUGGGUGGAGAAGCCACCGGAAGAUUAUCUUAGGAUUCUGCCUUUGUGGAUUCGAUUGAGAAACAUACCUGUGAACUUCUACACGGUAGAAACCUUUGAAGAAAUAGCGGAGAGUAUUGGACAAGUCUUAACUGUUGCUUUUGAUCCGCUUAAACCACAAAGUAAGGGUUUUGUUCGAGUUCAAAUUCUGUUUGAUGUUAAUAAGCCUUUAUGGAACUCAAAGGAGGUGGAGCUUCCUACUGGAGAGAUGGUAUCCAUUGGGGUAGAGUAUGAACGGGUGCGAAAGAGGUGCUUUCAGUGUCAGAGGCUUACUCAUGAUAGGUCUCGUUGUCCAUUUAACCCUCAGAAUCGGCAUUCUAGUGCUACGGGUGGGGUUAAAACUGCUGCUACUGGUUCAGUUACCAAAAUUACACAACUGGGACCUGAUGAUCCAUUGUUUGGUGUUUUAACUAACGAAGAUGUGGGUCUUGAUGCUGCGACAGGAAGACCAAAAAUUUCAAAAGAGGUUCUGGAUGAGAUGCGCAGCUACUUGUCAGUGACUGAUCCUACGGAGAAACAUGCCCCUAUUGAUAGAGUUCGGAGAUCGGUGUGGAACUUAGAAGGUGACCCGCAAGGACAGAAGACUUUGCUAAGAUUGGAACCGGCAACUGAAGUCACAACUAAUGUCAACAAAGGGAAGGGUCUGGUUUUUGACUUUGACACUAAAAAGACCAAUUCUCAAAAUGUUGCAGGUGAAAAAUUAAUGGCUUCUACGAUCAAAGCUAGUACUGCUAUAACAAGAUUCAGUCACGUGGAGGCUUCUUAUACUGAUUCAAGGUCUUUAAAUCCUCUUCUUAAUCCUUGUUCUACGGUGUUUCAAACUGGUGGCAACGCUAGUUCUUCCGGGACAAGUGAUACGAUUAAAAAAUAUCGUAGGAGACCAAGUCAGCAUAAGAGAAAAGCGUAGGCUGUUAAGGAGACUAAGGAGUAUCGAAAACCAGAGUUGGUGUACAGAGAAAAAGUCAAACAAGAUGGAGCGGAUGGUCUGACUUUGAAGAGGGAAAGCUGAGGAGGUUGGGUUGUCAUCACCAAAGAUUGCUAGGCGGUCUGAAAAUGAUUUAGCGGUGGUUCCGUAUAAGGAACCGCGGAAGCAAGUAUGAGCAUACUCAGCUGGAAUUGUCAGGGAUUGAGGAGCUCGCUGACAAUUCCUACCUUAAAGGAAAUGAGACGUAUUUUGUUUCUCCUGGAGACGAAAAACUCCAGUAAUCACGUGUUGAAUGUUAAGCAAUGGUUAGGUUAUGAUUCUGCUCAUAUUGUUGAUCCUGAAGGGUUGAGUGGAGGCUUGGCACUGUUUUGGAAAGCUUCAUAUGACGUUGAGAUACUUCACUCGGAUAGAAGAAUUAUAGACACAAAAAUCAAGAUUGGGUCCUUGUGGUUUUUUGCUUCUUUCAUUUAUGGAGAUCCAGCUUGUAAUUUAAGACAAGAUGUUUGGGAUAAUUUAAUAAGUAUUGGUUUAACAAGAAAUGAUCCAUGGUUUGUCGUUGGUUAUUUAAAUGAGAUAUGGGAUAAUUCUGGAAAAUUUGGUGGUCUUGCUCGUCAAGAAGCUUCAUUUAUACCAUUUCGCAAUAUGGUUCGGGACUGUCGACUACGUGACAUACCAUACACGGGUAAUAAAUUUUCUUGGGCAGGUAAACGUAAUGAUAUGUGGAUCCAGAUUCGAUUGGACAGAGCUCUUGGUAAUGCUGAAUGGUUCCAUCUAUUCCCGAGAGUUCAAUCAAAAUAUUUAGAGCGGAUUGGUUCGGAUCACAGGCCGGUUUUGACGCGUUUUGUCAAUGAAAAUCAAUCUUUUCGGGGUCGUUUUAUGUUUAAUAAACGUUGGACUGCUAAACCAGAAACUAUGGAGAUUAUUAGACAAGGAUGGAACAGUCAAGGAUUGCAUGGUAACACAAGUCUUUUUCAUAGAAUUGCAGCAUGUCGCAAAUUUUUAUCUCAAUGGAAACGCAAUUCUCAAUCAAAUUCUAAGACAAGAAUCAAGCAACUACGAGAGCAAUUGGAGGAAGAAGGUUGCAAACAAUUCCCACGUUUUUUCCUUCUUCAACAAUGGAGAGGUGAGUUAGCUGAGGCAUAUCGAGAGGAAGAGAUUUAUUGGAAACAAAAGAGUCAUGACAAUUGGUUGAAUGAUGGAGAUCGUAAUACUAAAUACUUCCAUGGGAGUGUCCAAGGGAGAAGAGCUCAAAAUAAAAAAUUUUCCUUAAUUGAUGACACUGGAUUGGAACAGUUUGUAGAUGGAUCUAAAGGUAAUAUAGCUGUGGAUUAUUUUCAAAAGCUAUUUACCUCCUCUCAACCAAGUGAUGCUUCCGUUUUACUUGAUGGUAUGUCCCCUCGUGUUACUCCUCUCAUGAAUGUUGCCUUGACUAAACCGGUCACCAAUGAGGAAAUUCGACAAGCGGUUUUUGCUAUUGGAAGUAGUAGUGCUCCUGGAGCGGAUGGCAUGACAGGUUUAUUUUUUCAAUCCUAUUGGAAUGUAGUUGGUCAUCAAGUUUGUGAUGAAGUGAGAAAAUUUUUUGAUUCUGGAUCAUUUCCGGUUGAAUGGAACUUUACUCAAGUAUGUUUGUUGCCCAAGAAACCAAAUCCCAACAGGAUGACUGAUCUACGUCCGAUUAGUUUGUGUUCUGUUUCAUAUAAUAUCAUCUCUAAGAUUUUAUGCUCACGUUUGAAGGUAUGGCUGCCAGAAAUUGUCUCCAAUGCGCAAGGCGCCUUUGUGUUAGGCCGUUUAAUAUCAGACAAUGUUCUCUUGGCUCAUGAAAUGGUACACGCUUUACGCACUAAUCCGGACUGCAAUGAAGAUUUUAUGGCUAUCAAAACUGAUAUGUCUAAGGCGUAUGAUCGAGUUGAAUAGAAUUUUUUGGAGGAGCUUUUUAUUCGACUUGGUUUUGCUAGACGAUUUGUCGAUUGGUUAAUGGUUUUUGUGAGAAGUGUCACUUACUCGGUCUUGUUGAAUGGGAAUUCCUAUGGAUUUAUCAAACCGGAGCGUGGAAUUAGACAAGGUGAUCCGUUAUCGCCUUUUAUCUUUAUUUUGUGUGCUGAGGCUCUUGUUCACACUAUGCAAAAGGCUGAAGUUGAAGGUCGCAUCAAUGGUAUUUGGCUAACAAGGAACUGUCCCUCCAUUCAACAUUUAUUAUUUGCUGACGAUAGCCUCUUUCUUUGUCGGGCUAACUUUAAAGAAGGUGCUGAAAUUCUUCAUUGUUUGAAACUUUAUGGGGAUGCUUCCGAUCAUGAAAUUAAUCUUCAAAAAUCAUCAAUUAUAUAUGGGACCAAGAUGGAGCCGAUUAUGAGACAUUUGCUGGGAUUAUUUCUUGGAAUUGUCAAGGAAGGAGGUGAUGGUAUGUAUCUCGGUCUACCGGAAUGCUUUAGUGGUUCUAAGUGUGAUUUGUUAGCUUACAUAACAAAGAAGCUCAAAAAACGGUUGACUGGAUGGUUUGCGAAGACGUUGUCAUUAGGAGGGAAGGAAGUUCUCCUUAAAUUAGUGGCUAUGGCCUUGCCAGUUUACGCUAUGUCCUGUUUUAAACUGACAAAACAUCUAUGUCAACAGAUCACUAGUGCGAUGACAAGCUUCUGGUUGAAAUCAUGUGAGGAAAAAAAGAAGAUGCAUUGGGUGUCUUGGGAAAGAUGUGUAAAACAAGGAAAGAAGGUGGGUUAGGCUUCCGUGCAGUUGGUGAUUUUAAUCAAGCUUGGAGACUUCUCACAAAACCAAAUUCUCUAUUGGCCCGGGUAUAUAGAGCACGAUAUUAUCACCGUAAGGGUUUUAUGGAUGAUGUGGUCGGUUCUAGACCUUCUUAUGCGUGGCGCAGCAUCAUUCAUGGUCGAGAAUUGCUUGGAAAAGGUCUCAUAUAGAACAUAGGUAAUGGUCAAACGACGAGUGUAUGGGCCGAUAAAUGGAUAUUCGAUAAUGCUCUGCGUCGUCCUUUUAACAAACAGUCUCUGUAUGAUUUAGAUUUACGAGUUUCAAACCAUAUUACCCCCCAAUAACGGAACUGUUUUUCCCACCGGAUAUUUUUAGAAUUAUGUCGUAUCCUCCAAAUAUAGCCGUGGCUGACAGUUACAUUUGGGCUUAUAAUUGGUCUGGGUGUUACACGGUUAAGAGUGGCAAUUGGUUGUUGUCCAAUGUGCAAACUGUGUCUACACCAUUAUCCGCUCAGGAACAAGAGUCUAGAGUUCUUAAAGAGAAGAUUUGGGCUGUUAAAACUGUACCUAAGAUCAAAAUGUUUUUAUGGAUGGCUUUAUCUGGUGCACUAGCAGUCUCGGUGUGUUUACAAGCUCAUGGUAUUAACUCUGAUCUCCAAUGCUCUCUUUGUCAGAAUGAUAUAGAAUCCAUCAGUCAUGUACUGUUUAAUUGUUGGCCGGCUCGUGAAGUUUGGGAGAUCGUCAACAUUCCCCUACCUGCUCAAGGGUUUUCGGAUUCUAUUAAUGAUAACAUAGCAUUUUUGUUGAAAGUCAUAGGCAAUGAUAGUGUUCCUCUUCCUAUAAGAAUGACGAUCUCUUGGAUAUUAUGGGGAAUAUGGAAGCACCGUAAUGAGGUCUUAUAUGCUGGAAAACAAGGAGACUUGAAUGCAUUGGUUAUUCAUGCUAUGGAAGAAGCUGAAACAUGGAAUAAGCUAAAGGAGAUACAACUGCAGGUUUUAUUUGGUUCUGCCUCAUCUCUUCACCGUGAAACAAGAUGGAUUAAACCCCCACUUGACGUUCUCAAGUGUAAUUUACAUGUUUCUUGGUUAAAUGAGUCUCAUAUAUGUAGUGGAGCAUGGAGAGUAAGGAGUCACCAAGGAGAUGCAGUGUUCCAUGCGAGAGACAUGUUUCUGCCCGCAAUUAAUCGUAUUGCUGUGGAGUUAAGAGGUAUUCUAUGGGUUUUGGAUGGUCUUUCAGCGUUGCAUUUGGACAACAUUGAGAUCUGUUCCGACUGUAAUGCUGCUAUUUCAGCCAUUCAUGAUCCUUCAAACUGGCCAAGAUAUCUUUCCUAUCUUGAUAAGAUUCACUGGGUGAUAUCAAAUUUUGGUAAAAUAGUGUUCAAGGUGUCUUCUCCAAAAGCUAAUUCAGUCGCAAAAGAUAUAGCUAUGAGUGUCACAAGAGAUGGUCGUGUGCGAUCAUAUGUAGCUCGUGGUGGUCCGGCGUGGUUACUUUCACGGCUUGAAGCGGAAAAGAGAAGAUGAUUUAGAUGGAAGGAUUUUCAUACUAUGACUGCUCUAUUUUGUGGGGCUCUGUUUUUUUAUUUUGGAUGUUUUGUUUUGUUUGAUUUUUGAUUACCUUACAUUAAUAAAGAUCUUUAGACCGAAAAAAAAAAAUAAUUUUCAUAAGCAAGUAAAAAAAGUAUAGAAAACACUGUUUUUUAAAAUGAACUCAAAAAUAUCUAAGACAAAAGACAUCUAUAUAGGUUAAAAUAGGAAAAAAUAAGACAAAAUGUGUCAAGUUUGGGAAUUGAACUUGAGUUUGGGGUGUCAAUGACAUGAGAAUUACCAACUGAGUUGUUGGUAUUUAUUAGAUAUUACGUACAAAAAAGCAUUUAAUUAUUUAACCUGGGUCAGGUGACCCACCUUCUCUCUGAGUGGGUCCGCGCCCCUGCAUAUACCAUAAAGAAAAUUUCCAUGUCAAGCAUCUUUUGCCUCUCUUACAUUUAUUUUUAAUGGCAUUUUUAAAAGGAUUUUAAGGGUUAAAAAAAUAUGAGUUAUUCUAGUUAUUAAUCAUUAUUUCUAGUUCAUUAUAGUUAUUUCAUGAACUCUUCAACGCAUCUAUCGACUUGUGAAGUGUCGUCUUUUUCUCUCAAAACGGUUCUAAAACCGACAACGGUGCAGCUGCCUUUUCCUCGAACCCAACCUUCUUGGAUUUCUUGCCAGCCCUGAGCUCGGGUACAGAACCGUCAGGACCAGUCUUCGGGUUCACAUGACCCGUACUAGAGGAUUCUAGCCUAGCCCCGUCCCUGGAAACAAAUAGCUCUUUUUCCAGCCGGGGAAUAAUGGAUGCCUCGAUCUCUAAGGAGGCCGCGAGUAUCUGGUCGACCUUCUCGACAACCCCAAAACCAGUCACCGCCUCUUCCUGAACAGAAAUGACUGCAAGCUGAUUGUCGCCACCCUAUGGUCCUUGCUUUUGCACCCGACGCAUCCCUGACCGUCCUGGCUAGCCCUCUGAGUCUUGUCCCACUUACGCUUAUGUCCCUGCACCGGCUUACCGUUCUUGUUGGAACUGAACUGCUGCUGAGGCUUCUUUGCCUGAAGCGUUGGGCUAGUCACCACCGCCUCAUCCUUCAGACCCUCCUCCAACAACGCAGCUGUCUCGACCAACUCCACCACCAUACCGAAAAGUCUCACAAGACAACAGUUCUUCAACUCAGCCCGAAGACCUCUAAAAACUCUCUGCACUAGUGUCUGGUGACCCUCCAUAGCUCGACCAGCAUACAAACUGAGACGGUUAAACUCUGUCUCAUACUCAAGAACCGUCCGCCUCCCCUGAGACAACUCCAAAAACUACCCUUCUAAUCAGUCUAACGCCUCAGGAGGAAAAUACUUGGCGUUAAACUCCGCCACAAAGUCUGCCCAAGUCAUCCUUUCUCGAGCCCUCCUAGCCGCCACAUCCCUCCACCCGAGAUUGUGGAUGUAGGAUUCACACUCGAUUAUCUUUAAGUAUUUUUGUGGAGAAAAACUCUUGUAAAAUCAGGAAAUGAAUACGGGAAUUCGAAAUCGAAAACAACCAAGAAAAGGAGUAAAUAAAUUUAUUGAAAGAUGAAGUGCAAAAUGCCUUGCGAAAAAUAGUAAAGAGAGAAAAAUGUAUUGUAUUGCUUAGAAGUAAUGAAUAAUCAGAUUCGUUCCUUAAACACAUGCGUUUGAGGUUGUUUUUAUAGAGAAAACAUGAUCAAUGCGGUCAUUUACUGCUCAUAAUCGUAUUGAUCCGCAUUAAUCACGUAAGUUACAUUUUGACCGAAACGGCUUGAAUUUGAACUAUCUUGGGCUUCGCGUGAAUCUUCCGAACUCGUUCUUGUUGACUCCGUACUCCUGCGUCUUGACGCUGCUGCGAGCCUCGAACAAUAUUCUCCUCGCGUCGGCCUUUCUCUAUGCGAACUGUAUAUUGAAAUAAGAGCGAACUCCGUACUGGUAAAGAUCGAACUCUUUUAAUAAAUCGAACCGAACUCCCGACUGGUUAAACUCGAUUCUCACAAUAAAAUAUCUUUAAUUCCAAGAGGAUUAUUAUGUAACAAUGACUUGGACAGAUCCAAGUGGAUCCUACCAAAAAUGUGUGGGAUCCGACCCCAACAUUUAGCCCCCCAAGUCUUGCGAGCUGAGUGCUCGGCUUGGAAGACUUAAGUAAACAGUAAUUAAUAACCCGAGAUCUUUAACAUUCCGGAAUUAUUCCAUGUUUUACGCUAUUACGCCGAUCUCGGAUAAUCAAAUGAUUUGAUAUCCCUGACAACAGUCAUCAUUAAUUUUCUAAUUUUAUAUUAAUACUGCGGGGAAAACCGUCCCACUUCCCAAUAUUCUAGAGGCGGUCUUUCAUCAUACUUUAGGGUUCUAAGAGGUAAUAUUACUUUUCCAUCUUAUCUUCUUUACCUAGAGAACUUUCAUUAUUUUACAGAAAUCAUUGUUUUCUUUUUGGUAAAAAAUCCCUUUCGUAAAAUGUCGAACCUUUCUUCCGAAUUUCGCGAAUACGAGGCUGACGAUCUCGAAGCUCUCAUGGGUGAAGGAUCCGGACCUCAAAUUCAAACCGGAGAUGGGUUUGAUCUUCACCCCAGAGUGAAUCAACUAUCGAUUCUCUCAACGAUCUUCGUAGAUUAUGUCUCAUCCCCCCUGAGGUAGAGAUGGUAGUUCCGGAGCCCUUUGAGUCUCCGGAGUCAGGGCGAGAAGGUUACUGCUGUGCCUAUGAAAUUUAUUUCAAAGGGUGCGGCUUAUUCUUUCCCCUUCCUGAGGUACUUCUCAUCUACCUCAACCAUCUGAGAAUUGCUUUCUCUUAGAUGUCGCUCAACAUGCUCCGGUAUCUUUUGUGUACCCUCACUGUUGCGGCGGAGGCGGGCUACUCAUUAAGACUUUGCGAACUCCUGGAACUUUUCCAAGCUCGCGAAUCCCGAACUUCUGGGUAUUAUGCCCUUUAUCCGAACGCGGAUCGGAAUCUUAUUGACGGUCUGCCUUUAAAAGACAACGCCUAGAGGAAGUUUUGUUUCUUCUUCCGCAUAAAUAAUUUUUCUAUCCAGAGUUCUUCCGAACUCCUUCGAACUCACUGGUCAUCGAAUUUGGGUAGAAAUUAGGAUUUAACUGAAUAAAUUCCCUUUGUUAUUUCAAACUGCGUUUCAACAUUUCCUUGUUUUCUCGCAGGUCCUCAGAUUCGACUAGUUCCAUCCGUCGACUUUCUCAACUUCUACAAGGCCGUCUUGGAGAGGCCAGUUAAUUGGAAUUUUUUUACUCUGGAAAGAAUUCACGGUGCCGGGUUUUCUGUAAGAAUGACCCUUACUCACCCCGUCGACCCUCCUCCUGUUGAGAUUGAUCUCUCGAAUCUGAAUGCCCGAGACAGGAGAAAGAUCAAAGAGGCAAACAAAAAGGUUAAAGAUCAGAUUUCCCUAAUCGGGAAAAAUAAGAAAAACGCAACUUCCACCGGGGAUGACAAAGUCUAACGGAAAACUCUCCUUGUUGACGAUGGAUCUCUUGAAGGUUCAAAGUCAAUGGCGGUCGCUGUGAACAACGCUCCCUCCCCCAUCCCAGCAGCAGACAACGUGGUCGCUGCCACCGCUGAGGAAGAAGGCCUUACAGGUGAUUCUUCUCUCAUAAAAAAGAGGAAGGCCGAGGAACUUGAACCCCUGCUCCAGGGGCGUCCCAAAAACACAAAGAAGGGCAGAAACGUAUCUUCGAAUCUGCCUAUUCCUGAAUCUGCUGAAACUCAGGAUGUAAAUCCUGAUUCAGGAAUCGUUUAAAAGGAGCCGCUGGGUUCGGGGAUGUUACCCCCUAGACGUCCCCGAGGCAAUACUUCUAGGGUUCGAUCGUCUCCGAGAUCGGGACUUGUUGCCAGAGCUUCAUCCCAAUCAGGUAACCUUUAAUUAUCAUACUGUUACUUGAGAUCAAUCGACUUCUCAAGAAGCUCAAUCCUCAAAUAACUAUCUUUAUUCUAGAUAAAGCGAAGAUUGGGAACAUGUUUAGGUGCUUCCACACCCGCUUUGGGAAGAAACUCCCGCCCUUUGAGUGGUGGAAGCCUGAUAUCAAGAAGAUGUAUGUCAACCAUUCAUUCCACUCCUCCCAGGUUUGACUAUUUACACCCUUCAACAACCGAUUUCGAAAUUAUUUUUUUUAAAACGCAUCUUCUUUCAUUAGGCAACUUUGGACGUGAAUGGCAUCAUCAACUAUUACGAAGAGGAGCUUGCCAAAGUUUCCAAGAAAGCUGCUGUUGCUGAAGGAGCGAACCUCCUCAAGAUGCUAGCUCGCUUAAUCCUGAGGUGGUUCCCACAACUCAGAACGCUGACGUCGGGAGUACUCUUGUCUCAAAUCAAGCAGGAGAUGAAGGCGGUUCGCCUAUGAUUGAAUGAUGGUGAUUGCAUUCACCUUUUAUGGGGAUUGUCCCUUUUAAUUUUAAGACACGAAAUUCGCUUUGUUGGCCAUGGGGCUGUUUAUUUCUUUUUGGAGUUUUCUGCCCAAGGGGGCUUUUAUUACUGUUAUGAAUAACUUACCCAAGGGGGUUUUUAAUUAAAAUUUCUUUAGGAAGAAAUAUUUAAUUUUGGUGGAAACCAUCGAUUUUACCUGGAGGGUUUGCAAAAUCCUCCUAAUCGAAGUGUUUUAGGAUUAUAGGAGAGAUAGGCUGAUCAGACCUACUUGCCUUUUUUAAAGAAAAAACAUUGGAAUUUUUCCUCGGUCUCUCGUUUGCGAGGUUAGAGCUCGGCUUAUAAGAACACUUUGUGAUACUUCAAAUGUGUUCGAUUAGGGAAAUCUCUAGUGAGAACUGUUUGCUUUCCCUAAGAGAUAAAAAGGUGUGAUACCAUUUAUUGAAUGUCUUCGAAUUUUAAGUUCGAAAUUAAGUUCGCCUACUAGGUGUUUAAGUGAUACUUGAAUAACCUAUAUUUCGUAGGUCUUGUUUGUGCAUGUACACAAAAAUCGAGAGGUCAUAACAGUGUCAAGCGGGCCGAUAGCCCGCGGGCUUUGUCCAAGUAGCCCACGGCGGGGCGGGCUUGGACAUCAUUUUUCAUGGCCAUAAAAUAGCGGGCCUCGCGGACAAGCCCAGACGGAUUGCGGGUUUUGGCGGGUUUUGUCCGCGGAUUUGCGGGCCGGCCCGCGGACUACAAAUAUUUAAUAAAACUAAAUAAUUAAUAUAAAUAAAUAAAUAUUUUUACAUAAUUCUGAAAAUAUAUAUAUGAAAUAUAUGAACAUAUAACAAAAUUUAAUGUAUGAAAUAUAUGAAAUUCAAAUUUUAAAAAUUAUUUUUAUUUUUUUAAUUAUUUUUAAAAUAUUUAAAACUAAGCCCGCGGACCGGCCCGCUAACCCGUCGGGCUUAGCGGGGCGAUCCUGGACAUAUCUUUUUUGCAUGCGGUUCUAGCGGGCCCGCCUGCUGCGGUCUCAUAAACGUAAAUGCCCACCGCGGGUCGGCCCAGAUGGACACGGGCCGGCCCGUCUGACACCUCUAAGUCAGAUGAAUAGAUUGACGUUUAUUUUCUUUUUCAAUAAAUACUCGAGUGAGUGCCCUUACAUAUUUUUUCUAUAUAAGGAGAGUUGGAUUUUGGAAAUUUUCCAACAUAUAUUUUUUUUAAAAGAACUUUGCAGUUCUCAAUUUAUAGACCUAAGAUGACAUCUCCCCAAUGCGAACCUUCUGGUCCUAAUUCACCACGACUCCCUUCAGGCAAAUCUCUUUUCCCGACGGGGGAUGGAUUCACUCCACAAGGGGUGGUUAUUCCUUGUUUUCUUCCUUCCAUGUCCAGGGAGGAACAGAUCGAGUGCUAUGAAUUCAUGGAGCAGGUUUGAACAUAGUACCAAUAGUUUCAAGGUUUUACUUAAUAGGUUCGUAAUGUAUCUGUUUUUUACAGAUCACAGAAAGAUACGUUUUUCUCUGCUCCGAAAGGCAACGCCUCGGAAUGAAACGCCGUAUCCUCGAGGAUCGGAUUGCUAGAACGGAAAGGAAGAUCCGACGUUUGGAGUCGGACGUUCACAACUGGGAGAGGAGGGGAUUUGAUUCUAUCGCCCGCAUUCCCGGCUGUCUUCGAGAACACAUUAGGUUCCUAAAGAAGCAUUGGGAUAUCUACCAAAGGAGCCUCGAACCUGAUGAACGCGAAGACGGUUCGCCAUCAGACGAAGUUCCUUCUGCGAACCCCCCCUCCUUCUUAGUUUUUUUUUUUAAUAUUAUGUAAAAUACUAUUGGGCUAGAGGCCCAGAAAUAUUAAUUACAUUCCCCUUUUGCUUUAGAUUUGCCGAUUUACUCAAAUCUUAUUUAAUGCGUUAUAUCUAGAGAAUAUAAUUAGUAAUUAACUCGAUUACAUUUUCCAUAAAAGUAGUAAUUUCAGAUUUGGGAAAUCGUCAAUUAACCUUCUUAAAUGUGGUCGAGUAUAUUUUGAAUAUAAAGCAGAUGUAGAUCGUUAUUGAAUUUAAUCAACAAUAAUUCUACAAAAAUGUUUGAGGAACGUAAUUUCUCAGAGAAUCCCUCCGACUCGUUUAAAGUGAUGAGUGAUGAUCUUCCGGAAACGUCAGACAUCGUUCUUGUAAAAAACGGAAGCCAACGGCGAACCAGAAGAGUUACGCCCAUUGGGGUGGGGAACCAGCAUUCAGGUUCCAAAUGUGUUAAUUGAGAGAUUAUCAGCUCAAGAUCGUCUCAAGCCCGAGGAGUUUAUUACCAAGGUAUUGUUAAACCUAGUGAUUUAACUCUUUUUAUUAUUGCUAAAUGAAGCGUUUCAUUUUCUUCAGCUUAUCAUACGGCACGACGAGCUCGAAAAUGAGAAACAAGAGAUUAGGCAAAGGAUCAUAGAACUAGAGAAGCGUCGCCUCGACAUUGCUCGCGAGCUUCAUCGCCUCGAAUCCCAUCCUUCCGAUUGGAUCGAACUAGGACUUCAGGAGUACGGAAACAUGCCAGGUUGUAUUAUGAGCAUCGUUGACCUCGCAGGUCAAGGAGCAAAGUUAUUCCGUAACUCAAGACCCUUCGAGAUCUGGUUCUAGCUUAUCUAGAAAUAUUUAUACAUUGUUCGCAAUGUAUUUCUAUAUUCAUGCUCGAAUAUUGAAUUUAUAAAAACAAGACUCCAUGAUUGGAAUAAUAUUUUUAUUUUUAUGUUAUAGCUGGACUCGUGUUUAGCGAGCUGCCUACGUACCCAAAAUAGGAUCAAGCCAAAUCGUAGUUCGAUUGUAUUUGCUUUAGCAAUAGAACUUUUUCAAGUUGAUGAUGUUCCAAGGCCUUUGAACGGGAUUUCCGUCAAGGUAUUGUAAAUGGUAAACACUAUUUCGGAUUUUUUCUGUGAUUUGAUAAGGACCUUCCCAGUUGUUGGUGUCGGAUCCCGCACCAGAAGUCCGAGAUCAACCAAAGAUUGCCACGUAGUCAAGAUAAUGGCCCAUAAAGGAUAAAGCCCAUUGAACCCAUGAGCCGAAGGAACGGUCGAAGUGGUUGUCACCACUUCGAGAAUCCGAAGUGACUGCACUGUGACACGAGUUCGGUGUAGAAGACACGGGUAAGUCGGUUCAAGGACACUUGGGCCAAAAAGGCGAGGCCCAUGAAGAUCAGAGUCAACUCAAAUUCAAACGUUGAGCAUUAAAGUCGAAGAAUCAAAACGGACACAUUUAAGAAGGAAUAAUUGUACUUAAUUAUUCAUUUUAAUGUCGUUUCUCUAUGUAUAAAUAUAAAGGCCAAUGGCCAUGUAAAGGGGAUUCUCGGAAGAAAGAAAUAAUAUAGCAAUUUUCGUAGCAAUUUAUAAGUUCUUACAUAUUCAUUUUUGUCCCUCAAGAGUAAUCUUUCCUACUUAAUAAAAAUACUUGAGUGUGUGAAUCCGACAUCCACAUUUUGGCGCCGUCUGUGGGGAGAUAGGAUUCUUGAGUGGUCAGAUUUUUUCUUUACUACAUUUCCGAGAUAAGCAACAAUGUCCGGAGGAGACGCCGUUGAGACAUCAUUGGCCGAAACCCUCAAAGCUAUGCAGCAAACCAUGUCGGACAUAUCACAAAAGUUCUCGGAUGUGGAAAAGGCCGUCGAUACGUUGCAAACAUCCCAGGUAUCUCUUAGUCAAAACGUCAAUACUAUACAAACUCGUGUUCGCUCUUUAAGUGCAGGAAACCUUGUGGGAAUCCGAAGAGGGAUAUUCAACUCGCCAAGUUCCGCUGCACGAAAUGAAACCAGCGGACAAACAACUCCUGGUGCUACUAAUAAUGUAGCUCAGACGUUGGAAGAAGAGACACAGCUCGGGGAUGAAGAACAACUUGCAGCUCAGUACGAGCAGGAGAACCUCGACCAGUUCGAGACCAUGAGGAAGGUUAGCCAGGAAUUAAAAGAAAUGAAAUCAAAAUUUCAUCAAGCUACAAGUUCGGAGCCAGACAUCAAUCGAGUCAUUGAAGAAGCUAGGCGAACACCUUUCAUCCCGCGAAUUGCAAGUUUGAGGAUCAAAGAUUCCCGGAAACUCAAGUUGGACCCUUACAGCGGAUUGGAGGAUCCAAAAAGCUAUCUCGCAGCUUUUCUGAUCGCUGCUGGAAGAGUCGAAUUGGAUGAAGCUGAUGAGGACGCAAGCUACUGCAAGCUUUUUUCGGAGAAUCUAUGUGGCCAAGCUCUAAUGUGGUUCACCCAAUUAGAGCCGGGUUCGAUCAGCAAUUUCGACGAACUAUCAGCCGUAUUCUUAAAGCAAUACUCCAUCCUUAUGGAAAAAAGCGUUUCGGAUGCCGAUCUUUGGAACUUAUCGCAAGGAUCUAAUGAGUCACUUCGAGUUUUCAUCACCAAAUUCAAAGGAGUGCUGUCAAAGCUCCCAAGAAUCUCGCAGCAAUCAGCUUUAUCUGCCCUACGAAAAGGAUUGCGACAUGAUUCAAGGUUUAAAGAAGACUUAAUACUUCAUAAACCAGACACGAUUCAGGAUGCACUCUUCCGCGCGAACAACUGGAUGGAGGUAGAGGACGAAAAAGAAAGUUUUGCCAAAAGAAAUAAGCAAGAAAAGCCGGCAAUCACCGUCCCUACCAAGAAGUUCGAGCCCAGGGAGAGCAAAGGACCAAGGAAAUUUGGGUCGCAACCCUUCAACAGUACCGUCGGAAAGCAAUUCCAAGGGAAAGGAAGAUCAAACACUUGGGUCCGUGAUGAAAGUCUAUAUUGCGACAUUCAUAAAGUAACCGGACAUUUAACCAAGGAUUGCAGCGUUCUUAAAAGGCACUUCGCAGAGCUUUGGGCCAGUGGAGAUCUUUCCAAAUUCGAUAUAAAAGAUUUUGUGAAGGAAUACCACGAAGCAAAGGAAAACUCCAAAGAUCAAGAUUCCAAAAGACCAAGGUUAUCCAACGAGGAAGAACCAAGGAGUUCGAAGGGUAAGAUCAAUGUGAUUCUAGGAGGCUCAAAAUUUUGUCGAGAUUCGAUAAGUUCCAUCAAAAAACAUAGACGAAAUGUCUUACUCAAAGCAAGCUUGAGCGAAGAAGUCGAUUUUCAAGGUGCCUCAAUAUCAUUUAACGAAGAAGAAACGCGGCAUCUCGAAAGACCGCAUGAUGAUGCUCUAGUCAUUACUCUUGAUGUUGCUAACUUCGAAGUAUCAAGGAUCCUUAUCGAUACAGGCAGUUCGGUCGACUUGAUCUUUUUAAGUACUCUAGAAAGAAUGGGAAUCAGCCGAGGAGACAUAGUAGGACCCCCAUCUCCGUUAGUUGCGUUCACAAGCGAGUCAGCCAUGUCUCUCGGAACAAUCAAGCUACCGGUCCUUGCCAAGAAGGUAUCGAAGAUCGUGGACUUCGUUGUCUUCGAUAAGCCCGCAGCUUACAACAUCAUCCUCGGGACUCCCUGGAUUUAUCGAAUGAAAGCAGUCCCCUCUACUUACCAUCAAUGUAUCAAAUUUCCAACAUCAAAUGGGGUGGAAACAAUUCGGGGAGAUCAAGAAGCUUCACGGACGUAUUACCUAGCUAGCCACCGUAUGAAGAUUCAAUAGCAAUUAACGAAGCCCGCAAAAGAGGGACUAAGAACAAAAUUUCCUAGCGGGCAGAAGAAAGAUGAUGUAGUAAUCGAAGUGGUGUUGGAAAAAGACAAGCCGGACCGGAAAAUUCGAAUUGGAGCAACUCUGACUGGCCAAAUAAAAGAAGCUUUGGUCGAACUUUUAAAGAGAAACAAAACAUCGUUUGCAUGGUCAGCAGCAGACAUGCCUGGUAUAGAUCCAAGUAUAAUUUGUCACGAGCUAACGUAGAUCUGAGCUUCAAGCUGGUGAAACAGAAAAGAAGAAAGCUCGGAGUGGAGCGAGCCAAAAUAGUAAAUGACGAAGUGGAUAAACUUUUGAAGAUAGGGUCCAUAAGAGAAGUGCAAUACCCGGAAUGGGUAGCAAACACUGUCGUUGUCAAAAAGAAGAAUGGAAAAGAUAGGGUUUGCAUCGAUUUCACAGACCUAAAUAAAGCAUGUCCCAAAGAUAGUUUCCCGCUCCCACAUAUAGAUCGAAUUGUAGAGUCCACCGCUGGGAACGAGCUGUUAACAUUCAUGGACGCCUUCUCGGGUUAUAAUCAAAUAAUGAUGAACCCCGAAGAUCAAGAAAAGACGUCAUUUAUCACAGAUAGAGGUAUCUAUUGUUAUAAGGUGAUGCCUUUUGGUUUGAAAAAUGCAGGAGCAACUUAUCAACGGUUGGUUAACAAGAUGUUCCAUAAUCAUCUCGGGAAAACAAUGGAAGUCUACAUAGAUGAUAUGUUGGUUAAGUCGUUAAAGAAAGAGGAUCACGUUAAGCAUUUAUAGGAAUGUUUUGAUAUUUUCAAUAAAUAUCAAAUGAAGCUGAACCCGGCGAAUUGCACAUUUGGAGUCCCAUCCGGAGAAUUUCUUGGUUAUAUCGUGACAGAAAGAGGAAUCGAAGCCAAUCCAAAUCAAAUUAACGCCUUUCUAAACAUGCCCUCUCCAAGAAACUUCAAAAAAGUACAACGGUUGACUGGGCGGAUUGCGGCUCUGAAUCGUUUUAUCUCGAGAUCAACAGAUAAGUCGUUGCCUUUCUACCAAAUUCUAAAAGGGAACAAAGGAUUCCUUUGGGAUGAGAAGUGUGAAGAAGCUUUUGGGCAGCUUAAGGCAUACUUAACCACUCCACCUAUAUUGUCCAAACCGGAAAUGGAUGAAAAACUUUAUUUAUACGUGUCGGUUUCAAACCACGCGGUUAGUGGAGUCUUGGUUCGGGAAGACCGUGGGGAGCAGAAACCAAUUUACUAUGUGAGCAAGUCAAUGACGGAUCCGGAAACCAGAUAUACAAUGAUGGAAAAACUCGCACUCGCGGUGGUGAUAUCGGCUCGGAAGCUGCGCCCGUACUUUCAAUCCCAUCCGAUUGAGGUAUUAACCAACCAGCCACUCCGAACAAUACUUCAUAGUCCAAACCAGUCCGGACGAUUGGCGAAAUGGGCGGUGGAAUUAAGCGAGUACGACAUAGAGUUCAAAAGCCGGAUCAGUAUGAAGGCUCAGGUCUUAGCAGAUUUCCUGACCGAACUUCCAAUACCUGGAACGAUAGAACAACCGGAGAACCAAACUUGGAAAUUACACGUAGAUGGGUCUUCAACAAAACAAGGAUCCGGAGUGGGAAUCAAGUUGGAGUCUCCAACAUCAGAAAUUCUAGAACAGUCAUUCCGGUUGUUAUUCAAUGCCUCCAACAACGAGGCAGAAUACGAAGCCCUGAUUGCCGGACUUCGAUUGGCACAAGGAAUUGGAGCUAAGGAAAUAUUGGCUUAUUGUGAUUCGCAAUUAGUAGUUAACCAGUUUAACGGAGACUAUGAAGCCAAAGAUUCGAGAAUGGAAGCGUACCUCGAAGUGGUGAGGGAUCUAUCUAAAAAUUUCUCGAAGUUUUUAUUAAUCCGCAUACCUCGGGGAGAGAAUACAACUGCGGAUGCACUUGCCGCAUUAGCGUCAACAUCAGAUCCUGAGUUAAAGAGAGUUAUUCCAGUGGAAUGCAUUUCGGAGCGAAGCAUUCAAGACAGCAAAGAAACUCUCGUCGUUACAAGAUCUCGAGCAGCGGCACGCGACCGUGGCGAACCAGAUAUCGAACCACCACCCAACAAACGAAGGAAGUCAAAGGGAUCGAAUACAUCUAACAAGGAACCCGUUGUCUUAGCUGAAGAAGUGAUUCCAGAAACGAUGUUAGAAACCGAGCCAUUAAUCGAGGAGGAUGUUCUUGAACCAUACGAGCAUCCCGAGCCAGAGCCACGAGUAUUUCACAAGGUUGACCAAAUUCCGGCUAAAGACUGGGGGGCUUACUGGAGGGACCAAUAAAGCACUACAUCAUGACAGGUGAGCUCCCAAAGAAUAAAUGGCAGGCCAGAAAAAUGAAAAUCGUUAGCGCGAAAUUUUGUCUGUCAAAGGAUGCGUUAUAUAAACGAGGUGUCAGUGACCCUUACCUAUUAUGCAUUUUUGGGCCCGAAGUCGAAAUCGUCAUGAGCGAAGUGCAUGAAGGAUUAUGUGGGAGUCAUUCAUCAGGAAGAGCUAUGGCUUUUAAAGUUAAAAGAAUGGGAUAUUAUUGGCCCACUAUGAUCACAGAUUGUGUUAAGUUCGCCCAAAGAUGCAAGCGCUGCCAACUCCAUGCACCAUUGAUCCAUCAACCGUCGGAAUUAUUCUCUUCCAUUUCCGCCCCAUACCCGUUUAUGAGGUGGUCAAUGGACAUCAUUGGACCAUUGCACAAAUCAACUCGAGGUGUACAGUACCUUUUAGUCCUUACGGACUACUUUUCAAAAUGGAUCGAAGCUGAGGCGUAUGUUGGUAUCAAGGAUUCGGCGGUGAAGACCUUUAUUUGGAAAAACAUUAUAUGUCGACAUGGAGUUCCAUACGAAAUAGUUACUGAUAAUGGACCGCAAUUCAUUUCACACGAGUUUGAUGCCUUUUUGUGCGGACUGGGAAUCAAAGUUAGUUAUUCUACUCCACGAUAUCCGCAAGGAAACGGUCAAGCUGAAGCCGCGAACAAGACAAUAUUAAGCAAUCUCAAGAAACGCUUAAGUCAUCUAAAGGGAGGAUGGUAUGAAGAACUCCAACCCGUCCUGUGGGCCUAUCGUACAACCCCUAGGCGACCUACAGGAGAAACUCCAUUCUCUUUGGUUUACGGCAUGGAGGCUGUAGUACCAGCUGAACUCAAUGUGCCCGGACUUCGCCGAACAGAAGCACCGUUAAAUGAGGAAGAAAAUUCAGCAAUUCUUAAUGAUUCACUAGAUACCAUAAAUGAAAGGCGUGAUCAAGCUCUAAUUCGGAUCCAGAAUUACCAGCAGGCAGCAGCCCGGUAUUACAAUUCUAAGGUUAAAAGUAGGCCUUUCUUCGUGGGAGAUUAUAUAUUAAGGCGCGUCUUUGACAACAAAAAAGAAGAAGGUGCCGGUAAACUCGGUAUUAAUUGGGAAGGACCUUACAUUAUUACCGAAGUGGUUCGGAACGGUGUUUAUAGGUUGAAAGACUUAGAAGGCAAUCCGGUCAAGCGACCUUGGAAUGUGAUCAACCUAAAGAAGUUUUAUGUUUAAAGCUACAUGCAUUGUUUAUGUACAUGAACUACGAUGUGGCUUGAUCCCGAAAUGGGUACGUAGGCAGCUCGGAAACGAGUUCAGCUAUUAAUAAAAAUUUGUUUUAUUUCUUUAUUAAAGGAAAGAGGUUCGACUGUGCGAACAAGUGAAGCAAACAAAGGUUCGGCUAUACGAACAUACAAGAGAUUGGAAAUAGAGCGUUUAUUCAAAGAAGGGAUGUCGCUCAUCGUACACUUCGGACUAUGAAAACCUUGUUGACGAGCAGAACACCUCAACUCCUUGACCAGCAAGAUCGAGGAUUGGCAUCAUGCAGUCCGGAAUUCGAGCAAAGUCAGAGAUUCCAAGCUCAAUCCACUCUCCGGGGUGAGAUUCAAGGAUGUGAAGAUCUCUCGACACCGUAGUAAGCCUGCGUUGCAUCCGGUUAAUCCUCUUCUGGAGUCUCCUUUUUUCCAACAUAAGCUUCCGGUGUUGAAGCUCGAGUGCCUCUAUGAACGCCGUCGCUGUUCCUUGGUCUCUGAUUUGGAGAUCCCUGAUCAAAGCACAUGGGGCUCGGAUCUGAGAUCUUAAGAAGCCGCGAAGUGGAGGAGGCUGCCUGCUUGGCUCAUUUGGAACAUCUUCGUUUAUCAUUCCGAUUCUGGAGAAGUCGGGCAUAGAUUCUGAACAGCGAAGAUUGAACUCCAUACCUACUAAAAUGAAAAGAAUGGUGAGGAGUAAAGGGAAAUUGAGACUAUAAUUUAUAGGAAUGUCAUAUCCCUAGCAAGCUGCGGAUUCUAUCCAAGGAAUGGAGUGAUUCGCGAAGAGAUUUAUGCCCUCGAACAGAUCCUGCAUUAAAAGGCGCAUCUCCGAGAAUAUUUGAAAAGAAAGGAAAGUUGCAAAUGUUUCCAUAAAUAAAAAGGGGCCGAAGCCCAUUACGAGUUUAAAAUAAGUGAAGAAGUUAGAGAACAUUUAUGGAAGAGGCUCAGGAACAGGCUCCUUCAUCGCCGGUUUAGUCUUCGAAGUGGACGCCUUGUUCUUGGCAUCCACUUCGGGAUGAUCCCGAACGCGUUUCCGACAGGUGCUGGCCUCCUCUUCGUCUUCUUCUUCGCUGUCAGGUGGAACGGCAUAGACCGGGGCGUUCACGGGACCCGGGACUCCUUUAGCGCGAAGAUACAUCUGAAGCAUCUUCGGGAUCUCGGCGACAGAGUCAAAAUUCUGCUAUUCCCAUUGAAAGGGAUCACUUUCCAAGGCCCGUAUCUUCCUCUCCACCCGAGCGAUGCGAGCCUCGAGCGUUUGCCUUUUGAGUCCCAGCCGCUGCCUCUCUUCACACAAGCGACGGUGUUUGUCGGCAACCUAGCAUAAAGAUGAAUGAAUAAGAUGAAACAAAAAGUUUCUAAUCAAAAAAGACAGAUAUUAACCUUGUCAAUAAAGUCGCAAGCCUCCUUCUUCUCUUUCGAAGGAAAGUGAAAGACGGCGUGAGGGAAAAGAACGCCGGCCGGUUCAAAGCCGUCGCCGGACAAGAAGAGUGGGCUGCCGGGAUCAAUGGGGGCUACUUUUUCGUUUUCCAUUCUUGAAAUAUUUCUCAAGUAAGAUUCUAAAAUCGUGUUUAAAUAAAGCUUAGAAGUAGGUAAGCCUUUAUUUAUAAUGAUUUAGGGUUUGUCUUGGAACCAUAAAUCCAAUAAUGGUAGAGUGCCCGAGUGGUUUAAGCCAUUUUUGGAAAAUCGAGAAAAGGCAGUUAUUGCAUUAGAGACGAGCCGUUUUCCUUACUUAUAAGAAGGGAAAGAGCAACCGUCGCAUUAACUACAAAAGUUUCUAAGGCCCAAGCCCAAUAAAUUUAUCGAGUUGACUAAACCCGAAGUGGGGAACUCGCUUUAAGCCGAGCUCAGCUCUCGCAUUCUAAAGAGAAAGGCCUGAUCAGCCUAAAAAUCUCGAAAGCAUAACCAUAAGGCCACAAAAGGUUAAAAGCGGACUUUGCAAACCCGCAUAUAAUUUUAACCAAACCCCCUUGGGUCGUAACCUAGAAAGGUUUAAAAUCCUCCUCAGGCAAAAAUCUUGUUAAAAAAAAAUGAUAAAGCCUCCUUAGGCCAAAAAAUAAGUUUGAAGUUAAGUUUAAACUAAGUGGGAUCCAGUUUAAGUGGGCGCAGCCACUACGGAUCGACCUCCAUCUCGGACUCCGGCUCGGCUGUCAAAGUUUCACUUGCUUCCUUAAUUGGCGCUUGAUCAGAUGAAGCUCCCUGACCACCCUCCGCGGUGCAGCCAUCCUCUGGAGUGACCUCCGGCACCGCAGGAACUUCGGGUGGAACAACGUCUUCCGUUUUACUUGAGCCUAGAAAAAUAAUCCCAGUCAAUCAAAGGUACAAGGUAAGAAAAGGUAAUGAGUAUCAAGAGCAAAAAGUUACCCGCCCAGUCUAGACCCAAUUCACUUAUAGGAGGAGAUUCUGUGAAGAAUUCCUCAAAGUCCUGCGGGUUGAAAGUCGAAGCGGGAAGAGCUGCCAAACGACUCCGCUUUUCAGAAAGAUUGGUCAACAGUUCAGCCCUCUCUUGCACCUCGGAGAAAUCUGCAUCAUGGAUUUGGUCCAACAGAAUCAAAUUGCUCUCGUGCUCCUUGACGUCUGAUUCCAGAUCUGACCUAGCCUUCUCGGUUUGAAUGAAGCGGAUGGCCCCCUGGAUCAACUCCAUCCCUCGUCCCUUAACAUCUUUUUUGGCUUUCGAUGCUGACCUUGCCAACUCGGAAUCACGCAACUUGGCUAACGCCUUGUACUUCGCGUAAGCUCGAUAAGUUGGUUGUUUAGGGUAUCGGCGGUUGAUUCGGAUUCAUGGAGUCUACCCUGAACACCAGAAAGCUCAUCCUGGAGUUUGUAAUUCCGGUCAUACUGGUCUUGCAGCUCCCCCUUUAUCUGCGCAAGCUCAGAUGUUAAACUGUCGACCUUGUCCUCCAGAUCGUGCUUGGAGCCGGCAGAAGAAUUAAGUUCAGCCUCAAGAGCUGAGAAUUUCUUCUUCCACAUGUCAAUCUCCUUCUCCCGUCCAAUGACCAACCCUUCGUAAUGUUCGAUCAUAUCGUUAAGUUCGCUGUGAGCCUGGCAUUAUAAACCCGGGAUGGCGAGUCAGUUUGAAGAAUGGCAAUACAUAAAAGAAAAAAACAAAAAAAAACGGAAUUAACCCGAGAUGAAUGAUGAGCGUGAAGCAAAUAGCGUUCACGAAUCGCAGGACACCAUUUGUUGAAGUCUGGCAAGAUCGAACCCGACUGGGUCUUGAAGCAUCGGAAGACGCUGCCUUCUUUCUCCAUAGCUGCGAAGAAGGAAGAGUUGUAAAUAUUGGAAUUUUAAUAGAGACAAAAAAGUUUAAGUAUGUGUAAGUCACCAAACCUGAAAGCGAUUUGACUUGAGGGACAAGGGCAGGCUUUAACCUCGAGAAAGCAUCUCGAGAUUCAGAAUCUCCCUUUUUGGGGGAUGCACUCCGAACAGUCUUUUCACUCUCGGGCUGGGCAGAAGAAGACAUGUCAGCAGGUCGGGGAGGACCCAUUGGUUCAGUGGGAGGGGAUGAUCGAGGUGAACGGUCAGUCCGGGCCCUUGAUUUCUCCCUUCGCGGAGACGAGUCACUACGGGAUGACUUGUCCCUCUUCCUGCGAACCAAAUUCUUAAGUGGUUCGCUGCUGAAAUCGUCUCGGGGAAGACGAGGAGAAUCACGACGAGGAGACCGCUCUCUCCGAGGAGAACGUGAGUCACGACGAUCGCGACGAGGAGUUAAUCUGAAAGAAGCGACAGAUCUGGCUCCUUCGGUGCUGCCAUCAUCAACCAGCAGGGUCCUACUGUAGUCCUUCUUGUCUAUAGAAGUCGCGAGAAACUUUUUCUUCUCCUCGCAAGCUUCAGCCAUCGGCUUGGAAAGCACCUUACGCUUGGCCGCAAGGGCCCGAGAUGACAUCCCCUGAGUUGAGGGAGGAGGCGGAAGUUGGUGAAGUUGACCCAGUGGACUCAUCCUGAGUCUGUGGUUAGCUUCUAGGAAUCGUUCAAGAGUAAAAGAAUUCCAAAGGGUUUCCCCUUCGAGAAUUAUUUUGAAGAAUUCGAUGAACUCUUCAGACGGGAGAGUGGAAGCGACGAAAGCUGCGAAAUGAAACAACGGCUUUAGUCAAUAAAGAUAAGAAAACAAUCGGAAAAGAUAUAUGCGACCUAAUCUCUACCAGGCUUUGCAGACCACUUCGAUGGGAGUAAAUCUGCAAGAUUUCCAAUCGAAGCGGGAGUUUUCUUAAUCAGAAACCAAGGAUGGUGCCAAUUUUCAUCCUUGUUCAGAAGGUGCGAGAUGAUGUUUCUAUUAGCGUUUGGAUACGCUGAGAAAUAUCCCGUCUUCUUCGAUGAACUUCUUACGCUUAGAAGCUCAUUUAAUUCAGUAACUCCGAUAACAUAUCCGGCCUCCGCCGUGAUUGUUAUAAUUCCGAGAAUAGUUCGAAGAAGAUUGGGAGUUAGUUGAGGAAGCGCGAUUUCAAGAGCCGCUAGGUAUCGAACUAGGGCUUCGGGAAGAGGAAAGGUCAGCCCGCAACCUUUAAAAUAGAUCUCAUAUACACAGAAAUAGCCGUCGCGGUGGCUUUCUGGGGACUCUGUGGGAUCGGCUAUCUGCGCCUCCGCCAUAAUUCCUGGUGGAAUUCGGCAGAGCUCCCUCAAACGUUCGAGAGAUUGAAGGGUGCAGGUGGUUCUGUAGUGCGGACCAGCAAUAUCAUUAGGGCGGGUGCACUCGUCAUUACUAGAACGCCUUUCAUCGAAAGACGGAGACUCGGGUCUAUCAGAAUCAGAAGUCAUUGGGGGGAAUGAAAAAUUCAAGUUUCGGCAAAGAGAAAAUCGGAGAAGAAAGAGAAGAGAGGAGUUUCGAUUAAAGCGUAAAAGAAGAAAGUAAUGGUGAAAAGAAGUUACCUCACACAAGCUAAUGAUGAAACCGCCUCGGAAGUUGUGUGGGAAGUGGGAAGGUUUUUUCCCGUUUUAAUAGUAAUUAAUUAAUAUACGGUCAUAAUGAUGACAGAUGUCACUCGGGUAAAAAUGGCUAGUGCCGAAAUUAGAGGAAUGAUGAGAUUUCCGGCGGGAAAUCAGAAAGAUUUUCGAGCGCAAUCUUUGGUCACUUGAGCAUUUAAAGUCCUCCGAAUUGGAACAGCACUUCGAAGAACUUGGGGGGCUAAUUGUUGGUGUCGGAUCCCGCACCAGAAGUCCGAGAUCAACCAAAGAUUGCCACGUAGUCAAGAUAAUGGCCCAUAAAGGAUAAAGCCCAUUGAACCCAUGAGCCGAAGGAACGGUCGAAGUGGUUGUCACCACUUCGAGAAUCCGAAGUGACUGCACUGUGACACGAGUUCGGUGUAGAAGACACGGGUAAGUCGGUUCAAGGACACUUGGGCCAAAAAGGCGAGGCCCAUGAAGAUCAGAGUCAACUCAAAUUCAAACGUUAAGCAUUAAAGUCGAAGAAUCAAAACGGACACAUUUAAGAAGGAAUAAUUGUACUUAAUUAUUCAUUUUAAUGUCGUUUCUCUAUGUAUAAAGGCCAAUGGCCAUGUAAAGGGGAUUCUCGGAAGAAAGAAAUAAUAUAGCAAUUUUCGUAGCAAUUUAUAAGUUCUUACAUAUUCAUUUUUGUCCCUCAAGAGUAAUCUUUCCUACUUAAUAAAAAUACUUGAGUGUGUGAAUCCGACAUCCACACCAGUUAAUACCGAGUUUUCUAGCUCCUUCUUCUUUUGUGUUAUCGAACACUCGCCUUAAAACAAAGUCUCCUACAUUUAAAGGUCUGUUUUUCAACUUUGAGUUAUAGUAACGAGCGGUCAAUUGCUGAUAGUUUUGAAGUCGAAUAAGGGAUUGAUCUCACCUUUCAUCGAUUGUAUCAAGAACGUUUUCGAUUGUAUCAAGAACGUUUUCUAAUAAUUUAGUUCAGUUCGGCUGGGACUACAGCUUCCAUCCCAUAUACUAAUGAGAAUGGAGUUUCUCCCGUUGCUCGUCUCGGGGUUGUUCGAUAUGCCCACAACACAGGUUGCAGCUCGUCAUACCAACCACCUUUCCGAGUAUUCAAACGCUUUUUAAGAUUGCCGAGAAUGGUUUUAUUGGAAGCUUCCGCUUGCCCAUUUCCUUGAGGAUACCUCGGCGUUGAAUAGCUAAGUUUUAUUCCCCAAGCGGAACAAAAAUCUUCAAAUUCAUUUGAAAUGAAUUGAGGACCGUUGUCCGUUACUAUUUCGUAAGGAAUUCCAUGGCGACAAAUAAUGUGUUUCCACAAGAAUGUUUUUACCACAGAAUCUUGUAUAUUUACGUAGGCUUCUGCUUCGAUCCAUUUGGAAAAAUAGUCCGUUAGGACUAAUAAGUAUUGGACGCCUCGCGUUGAGCGAUGCAUAGGACCAACUAUAUCCAUUGACCACCUCAUGAAAGGGUAUGGAGUAGAUAUAGAUGAUAAAAUUUCAGAUGGCUGGUGAAUAAGAGGAGCGUGCAUCUGACACUUUUUACACCGUUUGGCGUAAUGAAUGCAGUCAGAAAUCAUAGUUAGCCAGAAAUAUCCUAGUCGUUUGAUUUUGAAAGCCAUUGCUCGUCCCGAAGAAUGACUACCACAAAGCCCUUCGUGGAACUCGCUUGUCACUAUUUCAACUUCGGGUCCGAAAAUACAUAAAAGAUAGGGAUCACUGACGCCUCGCUUGCACAACGACUCUUUAAUUAUACAAUACUUAGCGCUGAUGAUUUUUAGUUUGCGAGCUUGCCAUUUGUUCGAUGGUAGUUCUCCAUUAAGAAUGAAAUUUUUGAUGGGUACUCUCCAGUCAGCCCCCCAAUCAUUAGCGGAAGUAUUAUCCUUGAGUAUAAACUUCCUUGGUUCGGGCUCGGAAGGAAUAUCAAGAUCUUCGAUUGUUUCCUGAACUUCUUCAUCACCCUGAGGUGUUUGUUCAGUUCGAGAUAGUUCUUUAGCGGGAACCUCUAUAUAUUCAACUUUCUUCUUGGCUUUCUUUUAGGAAGUUCCAGUGGUGAAGUAAGUUCAUCAUCCUGAGAUUUUACUCGUGAUCUGGUGACAACAAACGAACUAUUCUCAUUUGCGGAACUUAAUUUUGGAGUUUCGAUAUGCUCGGCCUCCAAAAUGUUAUCGUUUUCUGUUUCUUCAACUGAAAUACUUCGCGUAGAAAUACAUUCAACAGGGAUAACUCGUUUAAGCUUGGGAUCUGAGGUAGAUGCUAGGGCAGCUAAAGCGUCUGCCGAAGUGUUUUCUCCUCGAGGUAUUCGAACUAAGUCGAACUCUUUGAAUUUUCCGGCAAAUUUUUUGACAGCCGAAAGAUAGGCUUCCAUUCGAGGAGCCUUAGCUUCGUAAUCCCCACUGAACUGGUUUACAACUAGCUGGAAAUCACAAUAAGCUAUUAUUCUUUCUGCUCCAAUUGCAAGAGCAAGCCGAAGUCCUGCUAGGAGAGCUUCGUAUUCUGCUUCAUUGUUCGAAGCCGGAAACAUUAAUCGAAGCGACUGUUCGAUUAUUUCCUUUGUCGGAGUUUCGAGCCUAAUACCGAUUCCGGAUCCUUGUUUAGAAGAAGAGCCAUCUACAUGUAAUUUCCAUGUAGAGUUUUUUCAAUAAGGAUUCCAUCAUCAAGUGGCAGUUCGAUCAAAAAAUCAGCCAGAACUUGUGCUUUUGCGCUAGUUCGACUUUUAUAUUCUAUAUCGUACUCACUGAGUUCGAUUGUCCAUUUCGCCAAUCUACCGGACUGACUUGGUCCGUUAAGAAUCGAGCGAAGUGGAUGAGAAGUUAGAAUUUCUAUCGGAUAAGAUUGGAAAUAAGGUCUGAGCUUUCUAGCAGAUAUCACUACUGCUAAAGCUAACUUUUCCAUCAUGGUAUAUCUCUUUUCUGGACUGGUAAGAGAUUUACUUAUGUAGAAAAUCGGCUUCUGAUCACCUUGAUCCUCUCGAACUAAAACCCCACUUACAGAAUGAUUAGAAACCGAGACAUAAAGAUAAAGUUUCUCAUCUGAUUCGGGUUUUAAGAGAACCGGUGGUGUCGUCAAAUAAGUUUUUAAUUGGUCGAACGCUGCUUCGCAUUGAUCAUCCCACCGAAAUUUUUUGUUCCAUUUUAAAAUCUGGUAAAAGGGGAGACAUUUAUCGAUAGAUUUCGAGAUGAAACGAUUCAACGCAGCAAUUCUUCCCGUCAAUCGCUGGACCUCUUUAAUGUUUUUUGGUGAAGGCAUCGUGAGGAAAGCGUUAAUCUGAUUAGGAUUUGCUUCUAUUCCUCUUUCCGUGACUAUGUAACCUAGGAAUUCUCCGGAAGGCACACCAAAAGAACAUUUAGCAGGAUUUAAUUUCAUCCCGAAUUCAUUCAGAAUUUUGAAACACUGCUCAAGAUGUGUGAUGUGCUCGGAUUUCUUAAGAGAUUUUACGAGCAUAUCAUCGAUAUAAACUUCCAUCGUUUUGCCCAAUGUUUUGAAAACAUUUUGUUGACUAAACGUUGAUAUGUUGCCCCGGCAUUUUUUAGACCGAAUGGCAUUACUUUAUAACAGUAGAUUCCUCUAUCUGUUAUGAAAGAUGUUUUCUCUUCAUCUUCGGGAUUCAUCAUGAUCUGAUUAUACCCAGAAAAUGCAUCCAUGAAAGUCAAGAGUUUGUUUCCGGCUGUUGAUUCUACGAGCCGAUCGAUAUGAGGGAGAGGAAAGCUGUCUUUUGGACAUGCUUUGUUAAUGUCAGUGAAAUUGACACAUACUCUCCACUUUCCAUUUUUCUUUUUGACUACCACGGGGUUUGCUAACCAGUCCGGGUAUUUUACAUCUCUAAUCGAACCAAUUUUCAAAAGCUUAUCAACUUCGUCAUUGACCGCUUGUGCUCGUUCAGGACCCAGUUUUCUUCUUUUUUGCUUUAUUGGUAUAAAACUGGGAUCGACAUUUAAGUCAUGGGUAAUGAUACUUUUGUCGAUGCCAGGCAUAUCCUUGGCCGACCAGGCAAAAGUAUUUUCUUUUAGAAAUGUUACCAAUUGAUCUUUGAUUUCUGAAUCCAAAGUAGUUCCGAUUUUUACUUUCCGAUCUGGAAAUUCGGGAUCAAUUUCAAUUUCUGUGGUAAUUCACUCGAACUGAGACCACUUGGGUAACGCGAGGUGCUUUCUUGCUUAGCAUUUAUCAUUAAUUGCUAUUUGAGCUUUAAACGAUGUCCCAUGAGGUAGCAAGAUCGCGACGUUUCCUGAUCUCCUCGAAUGGUUCUAAUUCCACCAGGAGUCGGAAAUUUCACACAUUGGUGAUAAGUUGAAGGUAUAACCUUCAUUUCGUAUAUCCACGGAGUUCCGAGAAUUAUGUUGUAAGCGGCCAGACGGUCGAAAACAAUAAAUUAUACAAUUUUUGGAACCCCUGCGGCGAGCACUGGUAGUUUUAUGUUUCCUAAGGACAUAGAUGUGUCACUCGUGAAAGCUACUAACGGUGCCGGUGGACCGAAAAUAUCGGCUUUACUGAUUCCCAUUCUUUGCAAAGUGCUUAGAAAUAUGAGAUCUACCGAGCUUCCAGUAUCAAUUAGACACCUUGUCACUUCAAUGUUCGCAACAUCUAAAGUUAUUACAAGAGCAUCAUCAUGAGGUCCUGUUAAUCCUUGAGUGGCCGAAUUAUCAAAGGAGAUAGAAGGUAUUUGUUCAUUUGACUGAAAACCUACAGCGGUUUGAAUUGCUGCUGAUUUCUUAUGCCUUUUGAUUGAUCUGAUCGAAUCUCGGCAUAAUUUGGAUCCUCCCAUUAUAACAUCGAUCCUUUUCUUAGGAGUGCUCGGAGUUCCUGGCCCAUUGGGCUUAUGUUUCUUUUCAGGAGGAUUAGAAGCUUCGGAAUCUUCUUUUUCUUUGUGGUAUGAUUCCACAAAUUCCUCGAUAUUGAAAUUAGCGAGCUUUCCAGCUGCCCACAGUUCGGUGAGGUGCCUUACGCUGCAAUCUUUGGUGGAGUGCCCGUUUACUUUAUGAAUAUCGCAAUAGGCACUUUCAUCUCUAACCCAAGUAUUAGGAGGAUUGUAUCUGUAACGCCCGCGAUCCUCAAUAGGAUCGUCGGAUGAGACUUGGUCCGAGAAAAGGAGGAGAAACUCGGACAAGUCUAGAUUGGAGCUGCCCAUCAGCUCGGAUAAGGAGAAUAAUGAACGUUAAGUAGCCAAACCAGCUCCCGUAUAGCUCAACUAAGCUCGAAGUACUUCCGGGUAGUUCAGCUAAGCUCGGGUAACUGUCGAGUAGCUCAGCUAGCUCGACCAGCUGCCGGGUAAGCUCAGCUCAGCUCGGGUAACUGUCUGACGGUUGGAUGGUUGGGCGGUUACGGAAGGACGGUUGGGCGGUUACGAGGGGCGGUUACCAAUGAGCGGUUAUGGCCGAAUGGGCGCCUUCUAGAGAAACGGUUGGGAAACGGUUUUCUAAACGAAACUCUAUAAAUACAAGGCAUUUGGGGCGAUUUCAGGGGCGGGGAAAAACGGAGGGAAAAUACAGAAACUCUCGGAGAACAUCUUGAGAGAAAACACUUUAAGAGAGAGUUACGAUCGGUGCGAUCGAAGGUGAGACGGUUCUAGACUUUAUGUCCGAACCUAAGGAGAUAUGAUACGUACGAUCUAGCCUAGGGAUUGUUCCGAUGACUUAGAAGAAGUCCGGAACGAUUAGGGUGAUAUUGUAGUAUCGGGGAAUCAUUCAUAUCAUGCAUAAACUUGGUUCGAAUGGCGGAUCGGUUGAAAUGGGGAUGCGGCUCGGCGGAGGAUCGGCGGAUCUGUGAAGAUCUACCGUGAAUCGGCCGAACUGAUGCGCAUACUUCCACUCUCCGAUCUGUUCUUCGUUCCGGGUGGUUAAAAGGCUUAGAGAGCAUUGCAUGGAUUUGCAUAUAAUAAGUAAAACGGAUACUUAUGCCUCUUUGACUUUCAGGAAAGGGUGGUGAUCGUGGGAAGGACUUGGCUUAGGCGUGAGAGACUCAAGCCCGGGAAGAUGAGUGGUGAUGAAUCGGGUAGAAUAGGAUCGAUUAUAUGACUUGUAAUAGCUUAUAUGCAAACUCAUAAGUUGUAUCGAAUCCUUUCAAGUAUCUAAUAAAGUAUCCGAUUCUUUGUUUACUCUAUUAUCGCAUAUUGACUCUAAGUAAUGAAUCUCAGAAUAUCGUAAAUCGGAUUGUCUUAAGGAAAUGGCCCUAAAAUUUGACUAAGGAUCAGAUCACUUAAUGAUUUGGUCGGAGAGAACCUCUCCGGACUUAGGCAGUCCGGAUCGGGGUCUUUCAAGUUGGUAUCAGAGCAUGCUUGGUUCUAGGACCAUUACUGCGGGUUUUGGGAAUCACCACUCAUCGGCUUAUGAGUCCUCACGGUAGUUGUUUCUUACCCUCUUGCGAUUUACUAUGACUUACCGUAACUAAUUUGAAGUUUUUCGCAGAUGGAUAAGAGCAACAAAACGGGAAAGAGUAAGAAGGAUAAGGAUAAGGGUAAGGACGUCGUAGAGGAGACGUUGGUUGCCGAGGAGACACAAGUUACCAAGGAAACAAGUGUCGAAGCAACGCUUGAUGGGACAAUUCCGGCCGGACCUGUGGCUGGACAAAAGUCUCCGGUUCAUCAAACUCCGGAGAACAGUUGUGCAACGGAUGCGAAGGAGAAUCCGAACGCACUUCCAUCUGCCCAAGAACAAUGGGAAACGAUGAAGGCUAUGAUGGUACAAAUGGCCGCAUUGACUAAGGCACUUGUACCGGAUCCUGUGGUGCAAGUGAAGGAGAACAAAACGGACGUAGAUGCGGAUGUAGAUGUGGGGAUUGUCGAAGUCAAUCCGCCUACGAACUCUUCAAGGAAGAGGGGAGACUACUUGAGUUUACUCCAGCACGUCUCGAAGUUGGGAACAAGUCACUUCACGGGGAGUUCCGACCCGAUCGUGGCGGAUGAGUGGAGGACUCGGCUCAAAAGAAACUUUAACUCCACUCGGUGCCCGGAGGAUUACCGGAAGGACAUUGCGAUUCACUUCUUGGAAGGAGACGCGCAUAACUGGUGGCUGACCGUGGAGAAACGUAAGGGUGAUCAAAUCCAAACCUUUUCGGACUUUGAGGAGGAGUUUAACAAGAAGUUUUUCCCUCCAGAGGCAUGGGAUCGGCUUGAGUGUGCCUACUUGGAUUUGAUACAAGGCAACCGAACGGUGCGAGAAUACGAUGAAGAGUUCAAUCGCCUUAGGCGAUACGUGGGAAGAGAGCUCGAGGAUGAGCAGUCUCAAGUGCGCCGUUUCAUCCGCGGGUUAAGGGUGGAGAUCCGUAACCAUUGCUUAAUCCGUACCUUUAAUUCGGUCUCCGAAUUGGUGGAAAGGGUGGCUAUGAUCGAAAUCGGAAUUGAGGAAGAAAAACUCAUGAAUCGUGAGAAGUUUCCGAAUCGUUCUAGCCAACCAAGCAAGUCCGCGGAUAAGAAGAGGAAAUGGGACAAGGUGGAUGACACUAAGUCGGGAGCUAAGCGCGGAGAAUGCUUGACUUGUGGAAAGAAUCAUGGUGGGAUUUGCUGGAAGGCCAUUGGUGCAUGUGGCCGGUGUGGAAGUAAGGACCACGGGAUUCAAAACUGUCCAAGGAUGGAUUCGGUGCAACCAAAAGAUCUCGCUGAAGAACCAAGGACUUGUUACCAUUGUGGGAAAGCGGGACACUUUAAGAGGGAGUGUCCGAAGCUGGAAGUGGAAAAGCAAGCCGCACAAAAGGCAAACCGGAGCGGAAACGGAUUACCGCCUCCGCCUAAGAGGCAGGCCAUAGCACCGCGAGUUUACGAACUGUCGGAAGAUGCUAACAAUGCCAGAAACUUCAGGGCGAUCACUAGUAAGUCCUUGUGAUCUUUAUGUUAAUUCGUAAAUUGCAUCGCAUCAUGCAUAAACGGAUUGGGGUACUCAGCAUUCUAGGGGAAUGUGUAGGGACCUUGUGUAUAGGUGAUGUAGAAACACACACCUUAUUUGAUUCCGGAGCUACACAUUGUUUUGUGAGUUCCGAGAUGGUUGAAAAAGGUGGGUUCAAGAAAGAACCAAACACCGAAUAUGAAAUGGUUCGAGCAGCCGGCGGACAAGUAAUGUAUCCGUCCGGUGUUGUUCGGGAAAUCUCGGUUGUAGUCAACGGUGUAAAUAUGCCAACGGACCUAAUCAUCGUCCAACUCAAGAAACACGAUGUUAUUUUGGGUAUGGACUGGUUGGGAAAGUAUAAGGCACACAUAGAUUGUCACCGGGGACGGAUUCAAUUUGAGAGGGAGGAAGGAAUGUUGAAAUUCCAAGGAAUAAGGACAACUUCGGGAAGUUUAGUAAUCUCGGCAAUCCAAGCGGAAAGGAUGCUGGAGAAAGGGUGUGAGGCAUACCUAGCCACGAUCAUAACCCACGAAGUUGGAGCAAGUGCGGAGUUGAAAGAUAUUCCGAUCGCAAAAGAGUUCUCGGAUGUGUUUGAGGCCGUGAGUGGCUUGCCACCAGACCGGUCCGAUCCAUUCACCAUUGAACUCGAAGCGGGAACAACUCCUAUAUCUAAAGCUCCAUACCGGAUGGCACCGGCAGAAAUGGCGGAGCUAAAGAAACAAUUGGAGGAGUUGUUGGAUAAAGGAUUUAUUAGACCAAGUAGUUCACCAUGGGGUGCACCGGUCUUGUUUGUAAAGAAAAAGGAUGGUAGCUUUAGGCUAUGCAUUGACUAUCGGGGAUUGAAUAAAGUUACGAUAAAGAACAAAUAUCCAUUACCCCGGAUAGAUGAGUUGUUAGACCAACUCGGAGGCGCUAGGUGGUUCUCAAAGAUAGACUUGGCGUCGGGAUAUCAUCAAAUUCCGAUAGAACCAUCUGAUAUUCGGAAGACGGCCUUCCGGACGAGAUAUGGCCACUAUGAGUUCGUAGUGAUGCCAUUCGGACUAACCAAUGCACCGGCAGCCUUUAUGAAGAUGAUGAAUAGUGUUUUCCGAGAAUUCUUAGAUGAGUUUGUGAUCAUCUUCAUCGAUGACAUACUUGUCUAUUCCACGGAUUGGAAAACUCAUCAAAAUCAUCUAAGGGCGGUGCUAGAACGGUUAAGGGAACAGAAGUUAUUUGCAAAGUUAAGCAAAUACUCAUUUUGGCAAAGGAGUAUCGGAUUCCUCGGACACAUAAUAUCGGAACAAGGAGUGUCCGUAGAUCCGGAGAAAAUCAAAUCCAUCAAGGAUUGGCCACGACCAAGGAAUGCCACGGAGAUUAGGAGUUUUCUCGGGUUGGCGGGAUAUUACCGAAGAUUCGUAAAAGGCUUUGCGAGUAUGUCCUAACCGAUGACUCGACUAACCGGGAAAGAUACUAAGUUUCAAUGGUCGGAGGAAUGCGAGAAGAGUUUCUCCGAGUUGAAGGCUAUGCUAACAAGCGCUCCGGUAUUGGUAUUGCCGGAAGAAGGUGAACCUUACAUGGUCUAUACGGAUGCAUCGAUCACGGGACUAGGAUGCGUAUUGAUGCAAAAGGGUAGUGUAAUCGCUUAUGCUUCAAGGCAAUUGCGUAAACACGAAGGGAAUUACCCUACGCAUGACUUGGAGAUGGCCGCGGUGGUGUUUGCCUUGAAGAUUUGGCGAUCAUAUCUUUAUGGAGCCAAAGUCCAAAUGUUCACGGACCACAAGAGUCUUAAGUACAUAUUCACUCAGCCGGAGUUGAAUCUAAGGCAAAGAAGGUGGAUGGAAUUUGUGGCGGAUUAUGACUUAGAUAUUGCCUAUCAUCCGGGAAAGGCAAAUCAAGUCGCCGAUGCCUUAAGUAGGAGACGUUUCGACGUAGAAGCGGAGAAAAACCAAGUGGACUUGGUUAACAUGAUGGGGACAUUGCAUGUGAAUGCGUUAUCCAAGGAUCUUGAACCAUUGGGUUUAGGUGCGGCUGAUCAAGCCGAUCUACUUAGUAGAAUUCGUUUGGCCCAAGAGAAGGACGCGGAGUUGAAAACUUGGGCAAAGAACAAUAAAACGGAGUACCAAACAUCGAACAAUGGUACCAUAGUGGUGAACGGUCGUGUAUGUGUGCCGAAUGACAAAGGUUUGAAGGGGGAAAUCCUUAAAGAAGCGCACCAAUCAAAGUUCUCGAUUCACCCCGGGUCCAAUAAGAUGUACCGAGACCUAAAAAGGUAUUACCAUUGGGUGGGAAUGAAGAAGGAUGUAGCCGAAUGGGUUGCCAAGUGUUCGACGUGCCAACUUGUCAAGGCGGAACAUCAAGUACCAAGUGGGUUAGUACAAAACUUACCCAUGCCCGAAUGGAAAUGGGACCAUGUAACGAUGGACUUUGUUACCGGGUUGCCUACGGGGAUAAAGUCUAAGCACAAUGCGGUUUGGGUGGUGGUGGACAGAUUGACUAAGUCCGCACACUUCAUAGCAAUUUCCAAAACGGAUGGAGCCGAAGAUAUAGCCGCAAGGUAUAUCGAGGAGAUAGUACGAUUACACGGAGUGCCGGUAAGCAUUGUGUCGGAUCGUGAUACACGGUUCACAUCGCAUUUCUGGAAGGCUUUUCAAAAAGCCUUAGGAACGAGGGUGAACUUAAGUACGGCUUACCACCCGCAAACGGAUGGGCAAUCUGAACGUACGAUUCAAACCCUUGAGGACAUGUUGCGUGCAUGUGUCUUGGAUUGGGGUGGGAAUUGGGAGAAGUACUUAAGGUUGGUGGAGUUUGCCUAUAACAAUAGCUAUCAAGCUAGUAUUGGCAUGUCACCUUACGAGGCGUUGUACGGACGAGCAUGUCGGACACCGCUAUGUUGGACACCAGUGGGCGAACGCAUGUUGUUCGGUCCGAAGAUUAUGGAUGAAACCACCGAAAAGAUGAAGUUCCUAAAGAUCAAACUAAAGGAAGCACAAGACCGACAGAAAAGCUAUGCGGAUAAGCGUCGUAAGGAGUUGGAAUUCCAAGCAGGAGACUUGGUGUAUCUUAAGGCCGUAACGUAUAAGGGCAAAGGACGAUUUUCAACAAGGAAAAAGUUGAGUCCAAGGUACGUUGGCCCGUACAAGGUGAUCGAACGAGUAGGGGCUGUGGCAUACAAACUCAAACUUCCGCCAAAGUUAGAUGCGUUUCACAAGGUUUUCCACGUUUCACAACUAAGGAAAUGCCUAAGUGAACACGAGGAGCGAGUUGAAGAUGUUCCUUCGGAGUUAAAAGAAAACUUAACGGUGGAAGCAAAUCCAAUUCGGAUCAUUGAUCGAAUGGAAAAGGGGACAAGGCGGAAAAAGAUAAGCAUGAUAAAAGUGUUAUGGGAUUGUGGAGGCCGCGAAGAAACUACUUGGGAAACCGAAAAUAAAAUGAUGGCUGAUUUUCCUAAGUGGUUUAGAGAGAUGGGUAAAGAUCAACUUGGGUCGGAUUCGGGGACGAAUCCCAUUCAAGGGGGGGAGACUUGUAACGCCCGCGAUCCUCAAUAGGAUCGUCGGAUGAGACUUGGUCCGAGAAAAGGAGGAGAAACUCGGACAAGUCUAGAUUGGAGCUGCCCAUCAGCUCGGAUAAGGAGAAUAAUGAACGUUAAGUAGCCAAACCAGCUCCCGUAUAGCUCAACUAAGCUCGAAGUACUUCCGGGUAGUUCAGCUAAGCUCGGGUAACUGUCGAGUAGCUCAGCUAGCUCGACCAGCUGCCGGGUAAGCUCAGCUCAGCUCGGGUAACUGUCUGACAGUUGGAUGGUUGGGCGGUUACGGAAGGACGGUUGGGCGGUUACCAAUGAGCGGUUAUGGCCGAAUGGGCGCCUUCUAGAGAAACGGUUGGGAAACGGUUUUCUAAACGAAACUCUAUAAAUACAAGGCAUUUGGGGCGAUUUCAGGGGCGGGGAAAAACGGAGGGAAAAUACAGAAACUCUCGGAGAACAUCUUGAGAGAAAACACUUUAAGAGAGAGUUACGAUCGGUGCGAUCGAAGGUGAGACGGUUCUAGACUUUAUGUCCGAACCUAAGGAGAUAUGAUACGUACGAUCUAGCCUAGGGAUUGUUCCGAUGACUUAGAAGAAGUCCGGAACGAUUAGGGUGAUAUUGUAGUAUCGGGGAAUCAUUCAUAUCAUGCAUAAACUUGGUUCGAAUGGCGGAUCGGUUGAAAUGGGGAUGCGGCUCGGCGGAGGAUCGGCGGAUCUGUGAAGAUCUACCGUGAAUCGGCCGAACUGAUGCGCAUACUUCCACUCUCCGAUCCGUUCCGGGUGGUUAAAAGGCUUAGAGAGCAUUGCAUGGAUUUGCAUAUAAUAAGUAAAACGGAUACUUAUGCCUCUUUGACUUUCAGGAAAGGGUGGUGAUCGUGGGAAGGACUUGGCUUAGGCGUGAGAGACUCAAGCCCGGGAAGAUGAGUGGUGAUGAAUCGGGUAGAAUAGGAUCGAUUAUAUGACUUGUAAUAGCUUAUAUGCAAACUCAUAAGUUGUAUCGAAUCCUUUCAAGUAUCUAAUAAAGUAUCUGAUUCUUUGUUUACUCUAUUAUCGCAUAUUGACUCUAAGUAAUGAAUCUCAGAAUAUCGUAAAUCGGAUUGUCUUAAGGAAAUGGCCCUAAAAUUUGACUAAGGAUCGGAUCACUUAAUGAUUUGGUCGGAGAGAACCUCUCCGAACUUAGGCAGUCCGGAUCGGGGUCUUUCAGUAUCUUCCUCUUCUUGGGGAGGGUUUUCCUAUAGCAUUAGUAGCAGGAUUAACUCCGAACCGUUUUUGAUCUUUUUGUUCGAACUUUUUAGUUGGAUUCGCAACGGAUAAUAUAGCUGGCCGAUGCUUUUUAGCGAGGCUAAGCUUUUUUUCUUCUGCCUCCAUCCAAUUAGUAGCUCUGAAUAAAACAUCUUGGAUGGUACUUGGACGAUUGACGAUGAUUUCCUCUAGAAACCGGGAUUCAUGCCAAAGUCCGUUCCUUAAAGCAGAAAGGGCAGCAGCGUGCUAUACCCCAGGAAUUUUGGCUAUCACUUCUUUGAAUUUAGCGAUAUAUUUGCGAAGUGGUUCAUUCUGACCUUGGGUUAAAUUCCAAAGAUCCGCAUCAGAAGUUGCCUUUUCCAUGAACAUGGAAUAUUGUUUUAGGAAUGCAGAGGACAAUUCCUUAAAACUAUCAAUAGUUUCUGGUUCUAACUGGGUGAACCAUAACAGAGCCGGUUCGGAAAGAUUUUCAGAAAAUAGUUUGCAAAAUCCAGCAUCUUCCUCGCCUGGUUCUAGAUCAAUUCUGCCUGCGGCGAUCUGAAAAGCAGCGAGGUGAUUUUUAGGAUCUCCUUUACCGUCAUAAGUUGGUAACUUAACUUUUCGAGAAUCUUUGAUCUGAAGGUUCGAGAUUCUCGAGGUACAGGGUGUUCGACGAGUUUUUUCGAUUACUCGAUCGAUCUCAGGCGCCGAACUGGUCGCCUGAUGAAAUUUCGACUUCAUUUCCUUAAGCUCUUGACGAACUUUAAUGAAAUCGUCUGAUUGGGUGACAUCAAGGUCUUCCAUAAGGAAUCCGUCGUCAAUAGGAAGAUUUUCCUGACCCUGGGGAAUUUGUUCCCCGGUUUGGUUGGUCGCAUCCCCUACGGCUGCCUGGUUACUAGUAUUAGCAGGCUGGCCUCCUGAAGGAGAGUCGCGAAUAACCUGCGCUAAAGCGUAGUUGUUCGCGCUGAGGACAAAUUAUCUAAACGGGUCGAAACAGCGUUCUGUGCGUUUGACAAAUUUGUCUGGGUGGUUUGAACACUCGUUAAGGUUUGCUCGAUUGAGCUUAACCUUUCACCAAAAACGGUGUUGGCAGUAACAAGUGUACCCAUCUGAUUGGUCAGAUCGGUGGUUGUCGGAGUAAACAAGGCAAUUGCAUCGCUCAAUGCUUGCUGAUCAGCCAUAGUUUCUUGGUUGGAAAGAAGGAUUUUGAGAUUAAAGAGUUUUGCGGUAACUCCCCACAGGCGGCGCCAAAAUGUGGAUGUAGGAUUCACACUCGAUUAUCUUUAAGUAUUUUUGUGGAGAAAAACUCUUGUAAAAUCAAGAAAUGAAUACGAGAAUUCGAAAUGGAAAACAACCAAGAAAAGGAGUAAAGAAAUUUAUCGAAAGAUGAAGUGCAAAAUGCCUUGCGAAAAAUAGUAAAGAGAGAAAAAUGUAUUGUAUUUCUUAGAAGUAAUGAAUAAUCAGAUUCGUCCCCCAAACACAUGCGUUUGAGGUUGUUUUUAUAGAAAAAACAUGAUGAAUGCGGUCAUUUACUGCUCAUAAUCGUAUUGAUCCGCAUUAAUCACGUAAGUUACAUUUUGACUGAAACGGCUUGAAUUUGAACAAUCUUGGGCUUCGCGUGGAUCUUCCGAACUCUUUCUUGUUGACUCCGAACUCCUACGUCUUGACGCUGCCGCGAGCCUCGAACAAUAUUCUCCCCGCUUCGGCCUUUCUCUAUGCGAAUUGUAUGUUGAAAUAAGAGCGAACUCCGUACUGGUAAAGAUCGAACUCUUUUAAUAAAUCGAACCGAGCUCCCGACUGGUUAAACUCGAUUCUCACAAUAAAAUAUCUUUAAUUCCAAGAGGAUUAUUAUGUAACAAUGACUUGGACAGAUCCAAGUGGAUCCUACAAAAUAUGUGUGGGAUCCGACCCCAACACCGUUGGCUUCCGUUUUUACAAGAACGAUGUCUGACGUUUCCGGAAGAUCAUCACUCAUCACUUUAAACGAGUCGGAGGGAUUCUCUGAGAAAUUACCUUCCUCAAACAUUUUUGUAGAAUUAUUGUUGAUUAAAUUCAAUAACGAUCUACAUCUGCUUUAUAUUCAAAAUAUACUCGACCACAUUUAAGAGGGUUAAUUGACGAUUUCCCAAAUCUGAAAUUACUACUUUUAUGGAAAAUGUAAUCGAGUUAAUUACUAAUUAUAUUCUCUAGAUAUAACGCAUUAAAUAAGAUUUGAGUAAAUCGGCAAAUCUAAAGCAAAAGGGGAAUGUAAUUAAUAUUGCUGAGCCUCUAGCCCAAUAGCAUUUUACAUAAUAUUAAAAGAAAAAACUAAGUAGGAGGGGGGGUUCGCAGAAGGAACUUUGUCUGAUGGCGAACCGUCUUCGCAUUCAUCAGGUUCGAGGCUCCUUUGGUAGAUAUCCCAAUGCUUCUUCAGGAACCCAAUGUGUUCUCGAAGACAGCCGGGAAUGCGGGCGAUAAAAUCAAAUCCCCUCCUCUCCUAGUUGUGAACGUCCGACUCCAAACGUCAGAUCUUCCUUUCCGUUCUAGCAAUCCGAUCCUCGAGGAUACGGCGUUUCAUUCCGAGGCGUUGCCUUUCGGAGCAGAAAAAAACGUAUCUUUCUGUGAUCUGUAAAAAACAGAUACAUUACGAAUCUAUUAAGUAAAACCUUGAAACUAUUGGUACUAGGUUCAAACCUGCUCCAUGAAUUCAUGGCACUCGAUCUGUUCGUCCCUGGACAUGGAAGGAAGAAAACAAGGAAUAGCCACCCCUUGUGGAGUGAAUCCAUCCCCCGUCGGGAAAAGAGAUUCGCCUGAAGGGAGUCGUGGUGAAUUAGGUCCAGAAGGUUUGCCUUGGGGAGAUGUCAUCUUAGGUCUAAAAAAUGAGAACUGCAAAGUUCUUUUAAAAAUAUAUAUAUAUCUGUUGGAAAUUUUCCAAAAUCCAACUCUCCUUAUAUAAAAAAAAUAUGUAAGGGCACUUACUCGAGUAUUUAUUGAAAAAGAAAAUAAACGUCAAUCUAUUGAUCUGACUGUUAUGACCUAUCGAUUUUCGUGUACAUGCACAAACAAGACCUACCAAAUAUAGGUUAUUCAAGUAUCACUUAAACACCUAGUAGGCGAACUUAAUUUCGAACUCGGAAUUCGAAGACAAUCAAUAAAUGGUAUCACACCUUUUUAUCUCUUAGGGAAAGCAAACAGUUCUCACUAGAGAUUUCCCUAAUCAAACACAUUUGAAGUAUCACAAAGUAUUCUUGUAAGCCGAGCUCUAACCUCGCAAACGAGAGACCGAGAAAAAAUUCCAAUGUUUUUUCUUUAAAAAAGGCAAGUAGGUCUGAUCAACCUAUCUCUCCUAUAAUCCUAAACCACUUCAAUUAGGAGGACUUUGCAAACCUUCCAUAUAAAAUCGAUGGUUUCCACCAAAAUUAAAUAUUUCUUCCUAAAGAAAUUUUAAUUAAAAACCCCCUUGGGUAACUUAUUCAUAACAGUAAUAAAAGCCCCCUUGGGUAGAAAACUCCAAAAAGAAAUAAACAGCCCCAUGGCCAACAAAGCGAAUUUCGUGUCUUAAAAUUAAAAGGGACAAUCCCCAUAAAAGGUGAUUGCAAUCACCAUCAUUCAAUCAUAGGCGAACCGCCUUCAUCUCCUGCUUGAUUUGGGACAAGAGUACUCCCGACGUCAGCGUUCUGAGUUGUGGGAACCACCUCAGGAUUAAGCGAGCUAGCAUCUGGAGGAGGUUCGCUCUUCGAUUCAAGGCCAUCUCCCAUAAUCGAGGAGAUGGCAGGAUCACGACCAGAGAACCCUUGAGCUCGUCCCGAGGAGAUUCUGUCAACAUUUGUUCCGAACUCAUUAAAAUGAGCGCGAGGAGAACCUGUUAACAUCAUCUCGUCCAGAGACAAACCAAUAUUUGGCUCAGUCAAUGGAGGGGAAUCAGCGAACUCAGAAACAAAAUGUUGCAAAUUCAAAUAUGUCCGAGGAGCAGUAGCUUCAGUCUCAGCGAGCUCAGCGCCAACUGUUUCCUUUUCCUCAGCCAAGUUGACCUUUCCGUCCUCUAUCUCCUUGAUCAGAUCGAGAUUGCUCUUCAUCUCAUCACGCUCGGAGUUAAGAUUGUUCCAAGCUUUAUCUGCAGUAAUAAAUUCCUGCACAGCAAGAAGAAACUUUUGCCCAGCUCCUAUAACCUCUUUCCGAGCAUCAUGAGAUAUUUUGCGAACAUCUCGAUCUUUGAGUUUGGAAAGAGAUUCAUUUUUGCGCGCGAGCUCCUCAGCAGCUGUUUUGGAAACUUUGGCAAGCUCCUCAGCAGCUGUUUUGGAAACUUUGGCAAGCUCCUCUUCGUAAUAGUUGAUGAUGCCAUUCACGUCCAAAGUUGCCUAGUGAAAGAAGAUGCGUUUUAAAAAAAAAAAAUUCGAAAUCGGUUGUUGAAGGGUGUAAAUAGUCAAAUACGGGAGGAGUGGAAUGAAUGGCUGACAUACAUCUUCUUGAUAUCAGGCUUCCACCACUCAAAGGACGGGAGUUUCUUCCCAAAGCGGGUGUGGAAGCACCUAAACAUAUUCCCAAUCUUUGCUUUAUCUAGAAUAAAGAUAGUUAUUUGAGGAUUGAGCUUCUUGAGAAGUCGACUGAUCUCAAGUAACAGUAUGAUAAUUAAAGGUUACCUGAUUGGGAUGAAGCUCUGGCAACAAGUCCCGAGCUCGGAGACGAUCAAACCCUAGAAGUAUUGCCUCGGGGACGUCUAGGGGGUAACAUCCCCGAACCCAGCGGCUCCUUUAAAACGAUUCCUGAAUUAGGAUUUACAUCCUGAGUUUCAGCAGAUUCAGGAAUAGGCAGAUUCGAAGAUACGUUUCUGCCCUUCUUUGUGUUUUUGGGACGCCCCUGGAGCAGGGGUUCAAGUUCCUCGGCCUUCCUCUUUUUCAUGAGAGUAGAAUCACCUGUAAGGCCUUCUUCCUCAGCGGUGGCAGCGACCACGUUGUCUGUUGCUGGGAUGCGGGAGGGAGCGUUGUUCACAGCGACCGCCAUUGACUUUGAAUCUUCAAGAGAUCCAUCGUCAACAAGGAGAGUUUUCCGGUAGACUUUGUCGUCCCCGGUGGAAGUUGCGUUUUUCUUAUUUUUCCCGAUUAGGGAAAUCUGAUCUUUAACCUUUUUGUUUGCCUCUUUGAUCUUUCUCCUGUCUCGGGCAUUCAGACUCGAGAGAUCAAUCUCAGCAGGAGGAGGGUCGACGGGGUGGGUAAGGGUCAUUCUGACAGAAAACCCGGCACCGUGAAUUCUUUCCAGAGUAAAAGAAUUCCAAUUAACUGGCCUCUCCAAGACGGCCUUGUAGAAGUUGAGAAAGUCGACGGAUGGAACUGGUCGAAUCUGAGGACCUGCGAGAAAACAAGGAAAUGUUGAAACGCAGUUUGAAAUAACAAAGGGAGUUUAUUCAGUUAAAUCCUAAUUUCUACCCAAAUUCGAUGACCAGUGAGUUCGAAGGAGUUCAGAAGAACUCUGAAUAGAAAAAAUAUUUAUGCGGAAGAAGAACCAAAACUUCCUCCAGGCGUUGUCUUUUAAAGGCAGGCCGUCAAUAAGAUUCCGAUCCGCGUUCGGAUAAAGGGCAUAAUACCCAGAAGUUCGGGAUUCGCGAGCUUGGAAAAGUUCCAGGAGUUCGCAAAGUCCCAAUGAGUAGCCCGCCUCCGCCGCAACAGUGAGGGUACACAAAAGAUACCGGAGCAUGUUGGGCGACAUCUGAAAGAAAGGAAUUCUCAGAUGGUUGAGGUAGACGAGAAGUAUCUCAGGAAGGGAAAGAAUAAGCCGCACCCUUUGAAAUAAAUUUCAUAGGCACAGCAGUAACCUUCUCGCUGUUGGGGUCGGAUCCCACACAUCUUCGGUAGGAUCCACUUGGAUCUGUCCACAUCAUUAUUACAUAAUAAUCCUCUUGGAUUUCUAGAUGUUUCAUUGCGAGAAUCGAGCUCGACCUGUCGGAAGUUCGAUUCAGUUUAUUAAAGAGCUCGAUCUUUACCAGUACGGAGUUCGCUCUUAUUCAACAUACAGUUCGCAUAAAAGAAGGCCGAAGCGAGGAGAAUAUUGUUCGAGGUUCGCGGCAGCGUCAAGACGCAGGAGUUCGGAGUCAACAAGAAAGAGUUCGGAAGAUCCACGCGAAGCCCAAGAUAGUUCAAAUUCAAGCCGUUUCGGUCAAAUUGUAACCUACAUGAUUAAUGCGGAUUAAUGCAAUUAUGAGCAGUAAAUGACCGUAUUGAUCAUGUUUUCUCUAUAAAAACAAUCUCAAACGCAUGUGUAUGAGGAGGGGAACAACUUUUUACCUCUUACGAUCAAGCAAUACAACAUACUCUUUCUUUUACAAUUUCGCAAGGCUUUUUACUAUUUUAUUCUUGCCAAGCUCUUUCGCUUUAUUUAGUUUCUUGGUUACUUACCUUUUCAAAUCCUUAUUUUCAUUUGUUGAUUUUAGAGUUUUUCUCCACAAAAAUACUUAAAGACAAUCGAGUGUGGAUCCUACAUCCACAUUUUGGCGCCGCCUGUGGGGAGUUACCGCAAAACUCUUUAAUCUCAAAAUCUCUCUUUUUCAAACCAAGAAACUAUGGCUGAUCAGCAAGCUUUGAGCAAUGCAAUUGCCUCGCUUACUCAGUUAACCACCUAUCUGACCAAUCAGAUGGGUACACUCGCUAGUGCCAACGCCACUUUUGGUGAAAGGUUAAACUCAAUCGAGCAAACUUUAACAAGUGUUCAAAAUACUCAAACAAAUUUGUCAAAUGCGCAGAACAUUGUUUCAAGCCGUUUAGAUAAUUUAUCCUCAACACAAACGACAGCGUAUCAGCGCAGGCUAUUCCAAACUCCCACACAAAACAGAUCCAGGAGCACUCAAACUCCUCCUACAGGCCGUCCUGCUAGUACUAGCAAUCAGACAACCGUAGGAGAUGGGUCCAAUCCAACCGGGGAUGAAAAUCCCCAAAAUCAGGGCAAUCCUGCUAUUGACGAAGGACUCCUUAUGGAAGAACCUGAUGUCAUCCUUUCUGAUGAUUUCGUCAAAGUUCGUCAAGAGCUUGAUGAGAUGAAGUUGAAGUUUCAUCAGGCGACCAGUUCGGCACCUGAGAUCGAUCGAGUAAUCGAAGAAACUCUACGAACACCCUUCACUUCGAGAAUCUUGAACCUUCGGAUCAAAGAUUCUCGAAAGGUCAAAUUACCAACUUACGAUGGUAAAGGUGAUCUUAAAAAUCACCUCGCUGCUUUUCAGAUCGCUGCUGGCAGAAUUGAUCUAGAACCAGACGAGGAAGAUGCCGGAUAUUGCAAACUAUUCUCUGAGAAUCUAUCCGGAUCGGCUUUAUUAUGGUUCACUCAGUUGGAGCCUGAAUCUAUUGAUAGUUUUAAGGAAUUGUCCUCCGCAUUCCUAAAAUAGUAUUCCAUGUUCAUGGAAAAGGCAACCUAUGAUGCAGAUCUAUGGAAUUUAACCCAAGGUCAGAACGAACCACUUCGCAAAUAUAUCACUAAAUUCAAAGAAGUGAUAGCCAAAAUUCCUGGGGUGUUGCACGCUGCUGCCCUUUCUGCUUUAAGGAACGGACUUUGGCAUGAAUCCCGAUUUUGGGAAGAAAUCAUCGUCAAUCGUCCGAGCACUAUCCAAGAUGCUUUAUUCAUAGCUACUAAUUGGAUGGAGGCAGAAGAAGAAAAGCUUAGCCUCGCUAAAAAGCAUCGGCCAGCAAAAUUGGUCGUUGGAAAUCCAACUAAAAAAUUCGAACCAAAAGAUCAAAAACGGUUCAGAGUUAAUCCUGCUACUAAUGCCGUAAGAAAACCCGCCCCAAACAAAGGAAGGUACAAUUCUUCUAAUACCUGGGUUAGAGAUGAGAGUGCCUAUUGCGAUAUUCAUAGAGUAAAUGGGCAUUCCACCAAAGAUUGCAGCGUACUCAAAAAGCACCUCACCGAACUGUGGGCGGCUGGAGAGCUCGCUAACUUUAAUAUCGAGGAGUUUGUGGAAUCUUGUCAUAAAGAAAAACAAGAUUCCGAAGCGUCCAAUCCUCCUGAAAAGAAACAUAAGCCCAAUGGUCCCGGAACUCCGAACACUCCUAAGAAAAGGAUCGAUGUUAUAAUGGGAGGAUCCAAAUUGUGCCGAGAUUCGAUCAGAUCAAUCAAAAGGCACAAGAAAUCAGCAGCAAUUCAAACUGCUGUGGGUUUCCAGUCAAAUGAACAAACACCUUCUAUCUCUUUCGAUAAUUCGGACACUCAAGGAUUAAGAGGACCUCAUGAAGAUGCUCUUGUGAUAACUUUAGAUGUUGCGAACUUUGAAGUAACUAGGUGUCUAAUUGAUACUGGAAGCUCGGUAGAUCUCAUAUUUCUAAGCACUUUGCAAAGAAUGGGAAUCAGUAAGGCUGACAUUAUCGGUCCACCAGCACCAUUAGUAGCUUUCACGAGUGACAAUUCUAUGUCCUUGAGGAACAUAAAACUACCAGUGCUCGCCGCAGGGGUUCCUAAAAUUGUAGAAUUUAUUGUUUUUGACCGUCCGGCCGCUUACAACAUAAUUCUCGGAACUCCGUGGAUUUACCAAAUGAGGGCUAUACCUUCAACUUAUCACCAGUGUGUGAAAUUUCCGACUCCUGCAGGAAUCGGAACCAUUCGAGGAGAUCAGGAAAAGUCGUGAUCUUGCUACCUCAUGGGACAUUGUUUAAAGCUUAAAUAGCAAUUAAUGAUAAACUCUAAGAAAGAAAUCACUUCGCGUUACCCAAGUGGUCUCAGUACGAGUGAAGUUACCACAGAAAUUGAAAUUGAUUCCGAAUUUCCAGAUCGAAAAGUAAAAAUCGGUACUACUUUAGAUUCAGAAAUCAAAGAUCAGUUGGUAACAUUUCUAAAAGAAAAUAAACAUACUUUUGCCUGGUCGGCGAAAGAUAUGCCUGGAAUCGACAAAAGUAUUAUUACCCAUGAUUUAAACGUCGAUCCCAGUUUUAAACCAAUAAAGCAAAAAGAAGAAAACUUGGUCCAGACCGAGCUCAAGCGGUCAAUGAAGAAGUUGAUAAGCUUUUGAAAAUUGGUUCCAUCAGAGAAGUGAAAUAUCCGGACUGGUUAGCAAACCCCGUGGUAGUCAAAAAGAAAAACGGAAAGUGGAGAGUAUGUGUCGAUUUCACCGACAUUAACAAAGCUUGCCCAAAAGAUAGCUUUCCUCUCCCACAUAUCGAUCGGCUCGUUGAGUCAAUAGCCGGUAACGAACUCUUAACAUUUAUGGAUGCAUUCUCUGGAUAUAAUCAGAUCAUGAUGAAUCCCGAAGAUGAAGAGAAAACAUCCUUCAUAACAGAUAGAGGAAUCUAGUGUUACAAAGUUAUGCCAUUUGGUCUAAAAAAUACGGUGAAACAUACCAACGUUUAGUUAACAAAAUGUUUUCAGAACAUUUGGGCAAAACGAUGGAAGUGUAUAUUGAUGAUAUGCUCGUGAAAUCUCUUAAGAAAUCUGAGCACAUCACACAUCUCGAGCAAUGUUUCAAAAUUUUAAACGAGUUCGGAAUGAAAUUAAAUCCAGCUAAAUGUUCCUUUGGCGUGCCUUCCGGAGAAUUCCUGGGGUACAUAGUCACGGAAAGAGGAAUAGAAGCAAAUCCUAAUCAGAUUAACGCUUUCCUUACUAUGCCUUCGCCAAGAAACAUAAAGGAGGUCCAAUGAUUGACAGGCAGAAUUGCUGCAUUAAAUCGUUUCAUAUCGAAGUCUACCGAUAAAUGUCUCCCCUUUUAUCAAAUUUUGAAAGGGAACAAAAAAUUUCGGUGGGACGAUCAAUGCGAAGCAGCAUUUGGUCAACUCAAAACUUAUCUGACAACACCGCCGAUUCUCUCAAAACCUGAAUUAGAUGAGAAACUUUAUCUCUACAUUUCAGUUUCUUACCAUUCCGUAAGUGGGGUUUUAGUUCGAGAGGACCGAGGUGAGCAAAAGCCAAUUUUCUACAUAAGUAAAUCUCUUAGUAGUCCAGAAACGAGAUAUACCAUGAUGGAGAAAUUAGCUUUAGCAGUGGUCAUAUCUGCUAAAAAACUCAGACCUUAUUUCCAAUCUCAUCCUAUAGAAGUACUAACUUCCCAUCCGCUUCGCUCAAUUCUUCACGGGCCAAGUCAGUCUGGUAGGUUAGCAAAAUGGGCAAUCGAACUCAGUGAGUAUGAUAUAGAAUACAAAAGUCGAACUAGCGCAAAAGCACAAGUUCUAGCUGAUUUUCUAACCGAACUGCCAUUAGAUGAUGGAAUCUUUGUUGAAUCGGACUCUACAUAGAAAUUACAUGUAGAUGGAUCUUCUUCUAAACAAGGAUCCGGAAUCGGCAUUAGGCUCGAAAAUCCGACAAAGGAAAUAAUUGAGCAAUCAUUUCGGUUAAUAUUUCCAGCUUCGAACAAUGAAGCAGUAUGCGAAGCUCUUUUAGCAGGACUUCGGCUUGCUCUUGCGAUUGGAGCAGAAAAAAUAAUAGCUUAUUGCGAUUCUCAGCUAGUUGUAAACCAGUUCGCUGGAGAUUACGAAGCUAAGGCUCCUCGAAUGGAAGCUUAUCUUUCGGCUGUCAAAAAAUUAGCCGGAAAAUUCAAAGAAUUUGAAUUAGUUCGAAUACCUAGAGGAGAAAACACUUCGGCAGACGCUUUAGCUGCCCUAGCUUCUACCUCAGAUCCUGAACUCAAACGAGUUAUCCUAGUUGAAUGUAUUUCUUCGCGAAGUAUUUCGGUUGAAGAAACAGAAAAUGAUAACAUUUCGGAGGCCGAAUACAUUGAAACUCCAAAACAAAGUUCCAGAAAUAGUUCACUUGUCAUCACCAGAUCACGGAUAAAGUCUCAAGAUGACGAACUUACUCCACCAUUGGAACUUCCUAAAAGAAAGUCAAAAAGAAAGUUAAAGGAUCAAGAGUUUCCCAUUAAAGAACCAUCUCGAACCGAACAAUCACUUCCAGGUGAUCUAGAGGUUCAGGAGACAAUCGAAGAUCCUGAUAUUCCUUCCGAACCCGAACCAAGGAAGUUUAUACUCAAGGAUAAUACUUCCGCUAAUGAUUGGGGGGCUGACUGGAGGGUACCCAUCAAAAAUUUCAUUCGUAAUGGAGAACUACCAUCUAACAAAUGGCAAGCUCGCAAAUUAAAAAUCAUCAGCGCUAAGUAUUGUAUAAUUAAAGAGUCAUUGUACAAGCGAGGCGUCAGUGAUCCUUAUCUUUUAUGUAUUUUCGGACCCGAAGUUGAAAUAGUGACAAGCGAGGUCCACGAAGGGCUUUGUGGUAGUCAUUCUUCAGGACGAGCAAUGGCUUUCAAAAUCAAACGGUUAGGAUAUUUCUGGCCAACUAUGAUUUCAGACUGCAUUGAUUACGACAAACGGUGUAAAAAGUGUCAGAUGCACGCUCCUCUUAUUCACCAGCCAUCUGAAAUGCUAUCACAUAUAUCCGCUCCAUACCCUUUCAUGAGGUGGUCAAUCGAUAUAAUCGGUCCGAUGCAUCGUUCAACACGAGACGUCCAAUACUUAUUAGUUCUAACAGACUAUUUUUCCAAAUAGAUUGAAGCUGAAGCUUAUAUAAGCAUACAAGAUUCCGUAGUAAAGACAUUCUUGUGGAAACACAUUAUUUGUCGCUAUGGAACUCCUUACGAAAUAGUAACGGACAAUGGUCCUCAAUUCAUUUCAAAUGAUUUUGAAGAUUUUUGUGCCGCUUGGGGAAUAAAACUUAGCUACUCAACGCCGAGGUAUCCUCAAGGGAAUGGACAAGCGGAAGCCUCCAAUAAAACCAUUCUCAGCAAUCUUAAAAAACGCCUGAGUGCUCGAAAAGGUGGAUGGUAUGACGAGCUGCAACCUGUGUUGUGGGCUUAUCGAACAACCCCAAGACGAGCAACGGGUGAAACUCCAUUCUCAUUAGUUUAUGGGAUGGAAGCGGUCACUACAGGAAAUGUGGGUAUUAAUAGCGGCCGAAAAACGCAAUUAUUCAUCUACCAUAGCGUUUCCUUAAGCGCUCUAACAUCGCCCGUUAUAGAAAGUCGGACACUUUUGAUAGCGGUUUUUCGUUGUGCUAUAGUUAAUUGAACUACGAUAGCGAUUAUGACACUACUAUUAUUAAUAUUUAUAAUAACGUGUAAUAAUUGUUAAGAUUGGGUUGUACCUAUUUUCAUGAUUUGAUUUUUCUACAAUAUUUAUUUGAUUAAUUAUUUCAAUAAUUUAUAUUUUUUAUAAUAUUUAUAUUUUUGUUAAUUAUUUUAAUUGUAUUUAAAUCAUCUUUACUGUGAUUUUUGGAUUAAAAUUACAUAUCAAAAAUAAAAAAUACAAUAUUUUAUUAUCAUUAUUACAUGAAAUAAUAUACAAAAACUUUUAUAAAAAUACUACAUCAAUUAAAAAUACAAGACCAAUACAUCUCCUCUACAUAGAAUGCCUAUUCAUCUGCCCUUGUCUCCUAUCUUCAUCUUCCUCCUCUGGCACUAGAUAGCUCAAUCAGAAGAAGAGUCACUUGUGUAGGUGCAAUAUCUUGCACAUCGGCUGGUGGAUAGGCUUCAUAAACAUGGUGGAAAACGACUCGGGCGAUUCCAUCCCAAUCUCUUGAUAAUCUGAAUACACAGAGUCCAACUCUCUAACAGCAAUAUAAAGCAACAAACCACACAACAACAAUCCCCAAAGAGAUAGCUCAGGAAAAUAAAAGAGUUCCAACACAAUAGUGCAUAGAAACGUAACUAGAAACUCCCUCUCUGAGUCCAUCUUCACCACUACCAGAGAACAAGAAACUCCAAAUAGCAAGUGGGAACAACAAGACAAAACACACAAAAAAACGUGAUAAGUUGUACAAGCUUCAAUGGCAACAAUCCAAAAACUCCAAGCUGAUCAAGUUAAAUUUGGGUUAAAGAGAUUCAGGAAUUACCUCAUGCUUUCAAGAGCAGCCUUCUGCAACUCGGGAUUGGGAUCCUGAACCCUCUCGACAUAGAGCUCAAGGUUCUGCUUUAGUUCCAAGUCCUCUUCAGACUACAAUAACAGCCAAUGGAAGCCGAGUCAUUAAGUGACCAUAUACUUAUCUACAAGUUAACAUGCUAAUCGAAUGACGGACAUGACAUUCACUUUAACAAACGAAUAGCAUAAAAAAACCCUAAUUCUAUAACAUACGAAUUCAAUUCGAUCGAUUUCAAUUCAAAAUCUGACUGCAAAUCUGACGGAACCUUGAGGGAAGCUUCAUCCUGCUUCGUCUUCUUCUUAUUAUAAGUACCUUCAUCUUGGGAUUGGGAUUCUAAUUGCUCAAGAUUCGCAGAGCACCCACCACCAUCUCUCUGACCAAUAGAAGAUUUGAGACGCUUAUAGCAGUCAUGCACUCUUCGAAUCUCUUCUCUGUUCCUUCUUCUGGUUUGAAUUUCCUCCUGAGAUGGAGGCGAUGGCGUCACCGGAGCUAGGAACGAGCUAACCACCGUAGAAGGGGAUUGGGAUUCUAAUUGCGGUGGCGGAGGCUGAGAUUCAGGAAGAAAAGGGCUAAGAGUGCGAGAUAAACCUCUGGAAGCGGAGAUGAGGGAGCGAUACGCUUGCUCAAGAUUCGCAGAGUUUGAUUUUGGGACCUUUGAUUUUCUCAUACGAAGAGAAGAGGCAAAAGGAAAAGAAGUUUUAACCAAAAAAAAAAGAAAAGAAGGAGAAAAUCUUAACCGUUGGAUUUAAUUCAUCAAUGGUGGAGGUUAAUGCUCAUUGGCUAAGAAAAAGAACGGCUCAGAUCAAAGUUAUCAAGACAGAUCAAUGGUGUACAUUAAUCACAUUAACAAUAAGAAUGGACGGCUGAGAUCAAAGUCGGUGUGGAAGUCAAAACUAACACAAUCAAGAUUUGUCUAGGGUUUUAUUUUAGGGAUACGAUAAUCGUGAAUUCUCAAAGAACAACAGAACGAUUGUAACCAAAGAUGGUGUUCUUGAUAUUAUUAAGAAAAAGAUGACUUUGAUCGUACAAGAGUUUGAUCGUAAAAGGAAAAAGAUGUUUGUGCUGUGAGAGCUUUGCGUAGUGUAAAUUCUAGAGCGAUAUUGCCUCCCCUUUGCUUGAGCCUUGAGUCUCUUUAUAUAUAGGUGAUAAACCGCCUCCCCAGCGAUAUUCUCGGAAGAUUUCCAUUUAUCUUGAAGUCGGCUCAGAAUAUCGCGGAUUAGGAUAGUUUCCUUAUUUUUCGGAGUCUUUGGGAGAUUUCCUGAUUUGAGUCGAUCCUUCUAGAUUCUCUCUAAUCAUUUCCGGGUAUAUCGGAAAUGAUCCUUUUUGUUCGGAAAUGAUACCUUGCUUGGAAAUGGUACUUUGAAAGCGAAUAUUUACCAAGUCUUUACCUCGGGCGAUGAUGAAGACUUCACCUCGGAGAAACUUGUGCAAUCGGCUCGGGUACACAGGAAGGACUGGCUCGGGCACUCUAGGAUGGCUUGUUCGGGUGCCCCCGAGGCGGUGGGCUCAGAAACUCCCGAGGCAAUUGGGCUCGGGUGCUUGAGACGUCUUGUUCAAGUAUCCCCGAGGCAAUUGGUCUCGGGUGCUUGAGACGUCUUGUUCAAGUAUCCCCGAGGCGAUGGGUCUCGGGUGCUUGAGACGUCUUGUUCAAGUAUCCCCGAGGCGAUGGGCUCGGGUGCUUGAAACUACUUGUUAAAGGUAUCCCCGAGGCGAUGGGCUCGGGUGCUUGAAACGUCUUGUUAAAGUAUCCUCGAGGCGAUGGGCUCGGGUAUACUAAAUCGAUUAGAUGGAUAUCCCGAGGUGAAUGAUGCGAUGCCCCGAGGUGAUCACUAAAAGACUCCCAAAGUGUUCUAAGUCUGGCUCGGCGCCAAAGGAUGGAAUCCGACCCCAACAGUUAGCCCCCCAGCUCGUUAGUUUGGAGAAUCAAGCGUGACGAGCUUUAUGACAAUUAGGCCGAGCCGUUUACUUUGAACAGUUCGGUCCCUUUAAAGUUUUUGGCGAUUUGAAUUCCUCUGUCGUUUCAUCUUCUCUUGGCGUGUGACGGUUGGGAUUCCUUUUCGAGAAGUGGAAAGGUCCUUUCGCUGAUUCCCGAGAUUCGUGCGUGCCCGACGCGCCUUAGACACGGACGCGAUGUUUUUUAUUUGGCUUGUUCGUACCCGACGCGCCUUAAGUCCCUAUAAAUGUUAAGUCUCCGACUCAUUCUCUCAUUUUGCAACUGCAAAGGAAAAUUUUCAAGGUUCGUUCUCUUCUUUCUCUGAUCUUGAGUUCUUGCAUAUUCUCUACUUUUUCCGUUAUACUUCCGUCGUAGCGCCACCGUCAUUAGAUCUAGGUCGAUUUCUCCGAUCUGUCGAGCUUUGUUCCUCCGAUCAACUUCUUCAAUCUCCUGAGCCAGAAAAUGUCUCUAUCUGACUCCAGUGAUUCGCCCCGAGGCGACACUCAUCUCCCUGUCUACAAAAGAAAGAUGGUCUGGAGUUCUUCGAGCGACCCCGAGGCGGAUACCACGGACCGUCAGAUCGAGUUGUACCGUGGAAGUGACGUAGAGUCGGCCUCAUGGGAGGAAGACCCGAGCCGUUUUGUUGCUCGGGAAGACACGAUUGCGAAUGUGGCUCGGGAUCAGGAUUUGCCUGAUGACCCCGAGGCGAUUUUGAGUAGAAGGAGGAUCCAUCCACCGGCGACUGGUGAAGCUGGAGUCUCGUGCUGGAGAAAUGCCCCCGAGGCGCCUCUACUUAUUAAGGCCGAGGAGGUUUACUACGAUUCUGACGAGGCGGCUAGGUUGCUCCAAGCUAAAGUCCAAGCAGCCAAGGGUCAACAGAAGAGAAAACGAGCCAAGAAAGCUAGGAAACCCGAUCCCCCGGGUUCCACCUUAUGCACGGAGGACUCCCUUCGGGAUCUCAAGGCCCGGUUCGGUUUUAGCGAGGGAAUUGAGCUAAGACUUCCAACUCCGAACGAGCAAGCAGAUGAUCCGCCCGAGGGGUUUUUCACCCUUUACGAGGGGUUCUUCUACCAUUGCUACCUUUGGCUUCCGAUCCCGAGGCCGAUUUUAGCGUUCCUAUGGUCGUACAAGAUCGCUUUGUCUCAGAUUACAACCCGAGGCUUGCGCCAUCUUAUAGGGAUUCUAGUCCGGAGUAUUGAGACGGUUAACCUUGUCGACCUUAGCCACUUAAGGAAUCUCCUAGAGAUCCAGCGCAUACCAGGCCCUGUUGAGAGAUUUUACAUAUCCCCGAGGCCAAAUAGGAGGGUUAUCGGUGGUUUUCCGAGCAAGGAUGAGAAAUACACCGACCAUUUCUUCUUCGUAGCCUUGAAUGAGUAUAGUGUCCACGAGGACUACUUAGGGAGAGUUGUUGGAAAAUGGAGAAAAAUUGGUACUACGCCCGAAGCCGUAUUUGCCGUUUUGUUUUGCUUUAAACUUUUCACUGAGUGUUUUCUUGUCUAUGCAGAUCGGAACCCGUCAUUUCUCGAAGACGUUCCCGAAGGCUUUCUAGACCUGCACGACGAACUAAUAGCUCGGAAGUGCGAUUGGACGAAACACUUCUCCCAGGAAAGAAUUGAGAGAGCCUUGCGUUUGUUGCACGGAGCUCCCUGCCAGUCUUCUUCAGAAUCAUCCGACCACCGUCUAGAUCACCUCAUUGAAAUGCAAGGGGCUGCGCAAUCUUUGAGGGCGAAGAAAGCUGCCGAAAGAAAGGCGGCCGAGGAAAAAAGGGUUUUAGAGGCGACUUUCGGACCGUCAACUCCGCCUGAGGUUAACAUUGAUCCGGAGGUUGCCGAUGGUGCCGAGGCGACUGAAGAGGUUCGGGUCGCUGCAGAUUUGUCCAGACCCGAGGCCUCUGGUGAUGUUCGGCCGGAUGUGGAAGUUCCCGACGCAGUAGGGGCUGUGGCGAUUGUAGCUCUGGGUGCCGAGGCGAAGGCUAAGGCGAAAGGGAAGAGGCCCCGAGGUGAUAGCUCGGGAGGACGCAGAAAGGAGAAGAGGAGCCGUAGUGAGGUUCCCAUCUACAAGGAUAAGAUAGAUUCGGCUAAUCUUAUCGCUUCUUGUUCGGGUCCACAGCUUUCCGCUCUCGAGGCCUUGCUGGAGGCACAAAACUACCGUGAAACCGCUGCUGGAUUUCUGAAGGUAUAGAUUCAUUCCUUGCGUGUUUUUCUGUCGUUUCCAUACGUGUUUGCUAACGAUUCUCGUUCCAUUGCAGGCCUUCAAAUUGAUGAAUUCCAUGGUUCGAGCCUACGAUUCUGGAGCUCGGAAAUCCGAGCUUGCUCGUGAAAAGUCGGAGAUCUCCCGAGCCGAAGUAGAGGCUAGGAUUUCUGAGGCGAUUGCGGCUAAACAGGAGGCCGAGGCAUCGGCCAAGGCCGAGAAGGUGGAGCGGUUGAAGGCUUCGGAGGAUAGCCUGCGAACUCAGAGAAAGCUCGAGGCCGAGAUUGCACGCCUUCAUCGGUUAUUUACCGAAGAGAAGGCUCUCCGGGAGAAGGAGAUUAUCAGAGAGCGGAGGGCAGCCAAAAGGGAGUUUGCCGAGAAGGUCAAGGCUAUCGAGGCGAAGAUGGACCAGUACGGGAAGGUGUCUACGCGCUAUAUGUACUUGGUGCAAGCGCGGGCCAAUGCCGAGCUGAUAGCCGAGCUGGAGGACGGGAAAAAGGUAGAGGAUGAGAAGGCCGAGGUCCUUCAAUGGACGACUGAAUAUGGAGACGCCGAGGAUGAGUACGUCCGUCUCGGGACCGAGCUGCGAGAGGACUUGAAGCUUCCUCCGGUUUCCCCGGACUCUGUCGACGAUAGCUUUGGGAAUCGUUCGAUCGAGGGUGUCGCGGCUGCGAUAGGCGUUGCCGACCAGUCGGGUUCGAACCGAGGUACCGAGGUAGCUCAAGUUUCGCCGGUUAACCAAGAUUCGAUCUGAUCCCGAGAUGUCUUUUUAUUUUCUUUUUUGUAAGACGUGCCUGGACGGCUUUAUCCCUUGAAUAUUACGUCAAGUAUUUUUCUUAAAAAAUUUUCCGAACUGAAUCCAAAACUAAUGUCAAAUAGCUGGAUUUAUCUUUCGAGCCGAGAGCGAAAAGAAUCAUGCACCGAUGUUAUGUUAACCGGGUUUAAGAUUUGCUCGUUGAGAAGUUAAAUCCAAACGUCUUAACUUUCGAGCCGAGAGUGAAAUGAAUCGUGCACCAGUGUUAGGAUAACUGGGUUUUGGUUAAGUAGGACUAAUCUUUAUCGGUUGCGACCCGAGCUGAUAUAGUCGAAGCCAGUGCUUAGAAGCGAACUGGGGUACCAGUGUCGAAGUCAACUGGGUUUUCUGAAGACAAUUUCUUUAUGGCAAGAUAUCUCCGACCGAAUCGUCUCGACUGUUUAUAUAGCGCGCUGUAACCGAGGCGGUGAAAAGAGCUUUUUCUAUCCGAGGACGUGGCCAUCGUCCGAACGAACUUUUAGCUUUAUAGGUCGAUAAGAUGACCGUUAAAAUAUCCGAGGUAGAUAAGAUUGAUAAUCCGAAGGGUAAAAACUUAGAGAAUUUGAGAAAUUUAGUGGGAGUAUAUAUGUAUACGGACCCACUCCCCCCCUUUUUUAAUUAGGGGGGGUAGCUGAACUCGUCCGAGGACGAGCUGCCUACGUACCAUUUUCAGGGAUCAAGCCACCCCGUAGUUCAAGUACAUGCGUACCUUAGGUUUUUAGCGGUAAUAUUUCCUUAGAUGCAUUGCGUUCCAGGAUCUAGGUACCGCUUUGCCGUUCAUGUUGAUGAGUUCGUAGACGCCGGGACAGAUUACCUUUGCGAUCGUGUAAGGUCCCUCCCAAUUCGUACCGAGCUUACCUGCGUUCUGCUCGGCGGUAUUCUAGAAAACUUUGCGCAGUACGAGCUCUCCUUCGUGGAAGCGGCGACGCUUCACGUGAGAAUUGUAGUACCGAGCCGUUGCAUUCUGAUAGUUCUGCAUACGGAUCAAAGCUGAAUCUCUUCUCUCGUCAAUUAAGUCCAGCUCGUCCAGCAUCAUCUGAGUGUUGGAAUUUUCCUGCUCGGGGAGAAAACGUCUUCUCAGUCCCGGGAUCUCGGCUUCGGUGGGAAUCACACACUCCGUGUCGUAGACAAGGGCGAAAGGUGUUUCUCCCGUGGCCCGCCGCGGCGUGGUUCUGUGCGACCAUAAUACUCCUUCCAAUUCGUCGGCCCAGCGGCCUUUCUUCGCGUCGAGGCGCUUUUUUAUUCCGUCGAGAAUCGUCUUGUUUGCCGCCUCGGCCUGUCCAUUUCCCUGAGGGUACCGAGGCGUAGACUUGCUGAGGCGAAUUCCCCAUUUCUCGCAGAAUCCUUCGAACCGAGCCGAAAUAAACUGCGAUCCGUUGUCUGUGACGAUCUCGUAAGGUAUCCCAUGGCGGCAUAUGAUGUUCUUCCAGACGAAGUUCUCGACCUGCGCGUCUUUGAUGCUGGCGUAGGAGUCCGCCUCGAUCCAUUUGGAGAAGUAGUCUGUCAGUACGAGGAUAAGUUUCUUCUGCUUGGAGUUGUGUAGAGGUCCGAUGAUGUCCAUGGACCAUCGCAUGAAUGGAUAAGGCGAAGUGAUGGAAGAGAGGAGCUCGGCGGGUUGAUGAAUGGUUGGUGCGUGCCUCUGGCAUUUAUCACAUCGUUGAGAAAACUUCUCGCAGUCUUUGACCAUCGUCGGCCAAAAAUAUGGGCGGUUUAUCACCAUUUAAAGAGCUCUCCGUCGAUCAGAGUAUACCGAGCCGCUUUGGCCUUAAGCUUCCGAGCUGCCCACUUUUCAGUAGGAACUUCUCCAUCGGCGAUGUAGCUUCGGAUGGCUCCGAUCCAUUUGGCGUCGCUUCCGUAUUCGGGCUCGGUUGUGUCCGUAGUUUGCUGGUCUAGCUGUUCGAUGUCCAUUUCUUCUGGUUCUUCUGUCUCCCGAGCUGUUAGAACUUGAUCCUUGCUAUUAUCUUCAAUGCUCGGCUUUUCGAUGAACUCAACCGGUAUGAUCCUCUUCAGAUUUGGGUCGGAGGUUGAAGCUAGAGCCGCUAAGGCAUCGGCCGAUGUGUUCUCACCUCGUGGGAUUCUGGUUAACUCAAACUCUCCGAACUGUUUCGCCAAGUCUUGCGUGAGAGCAAGAUACGCUUCCAUUCGUUCGUCGCGAGCCGCGUAUUCUCCAUUGAAUUGAUUAGCCACGAGCUGGGAGUCGCAAAAGGCUCGCAGCUUGUUGAUCUUAAGUCCCCGAGCCAGCUUAAGUCCUGCUAUCAGCGCUUCGUACUCAGCCACGUUGUUAGUCGCGUCGAAAUUUAGCCGAAAGGAUUGUUCAAGGAUUUCACCCUCUGGUGAUGCGAGGCGGAUUCCGACGCCAGAACCUUGUUUUGAGGAUGAGCCGUCGACGUGGAGGAUCCAAACAGCGUUGGGUGACUCUUCUCGGACGUUCUCUGUUGGCAGCUCGAUGAUGAAAUCGGCCAGGACUUGAGAUUUCGCGCAUGUUUUGUUUCUGUAUUCGAUGUCAUACUCGCUGAGUUCUACUGCCCACUUGGCCAAGCGUCCCGAUUGGCUCAGACUGUGCAGGAUGGUUCGGAGUGAUACGGGCGCCAUGACGACAAUUGAGUGAGAUUGGAAAUAUGGCCGUAGCUUCCGAGCUGACAUUACUACGGCGAGAGCGAGCUUUUCAGUUUGCGGGUAGCGUGUUUCCGCGUCGGUGAGAGUUUGCGAGACAUAAAAUAUCGGCUUCUGCUCCCCUCUGUCUUCCCUGACUAUGACUCCACUUAUAGCCGUAUCAAAGACUGCGAUGUACAGGAAUAAUGGCUCGCCCGGGACUGGUUUCGCUAACACUGGUGGAUUAGCCAAAUACUUCUUCAGUUCCUGGAAAGCUUCUUCGCAGCGAUCGGUCCAUUCGAAUUUCUUGUUCCCGCGCAGAGUAUCGUAGAAAGCAAGGCAUUUGUCAGUGGACCGCGAGAUGAAUCGAUUCAAGGCUGCGACUCUCCCGGUGAGACGUUGGACUUCGCGCUUGUUCUGUGGUGAGGGCAUGUUCAGUAGAGCAUCGAUUUGCUUUGGGUUUACCUCGAUGCCUCGGUGAGUUACGAGAUAUCCGAAGAACUCACCCGACUUUACCGCGAAACGACAUUUUGCCGAGUUGAGCUUCAUGUUGUGCUUGUUGAGCUGGCGAAAACAGUCGCGUAGAUGGGCUAUGUGAUCGUUUUCUUCAAGGGAUUUGACUAGCAUGUCGUCAAUGUAAACUUCCAUCGUUUUCCCGAGCUGCUCGGAGAACAUCCUGUUGACGAGCCGUUGAUAUGUUGCGCCAGCGUUCUUGAGUCCGAAGGGCAUGACCUUGUAACAGUAGAUACCUCGGUCUGUGAUGAAUGCUGUCUUCUCACGAUCGUCGGGGUGCAUGAGAAUCUGAUUGUAUCCUGCGAAAGCAUCCAUGAAUGAUAGCAACUUAUUUCCCGCGGUUGCUUCUACUAAACGAUCGAUAUGUGGGAGCGGAAAACUGUCUUUAGGGCAAGCUUUGUUCAGAUCGGUGAAAUCGACGCAGACUCUCCACUUGCCGUUUUUCUUUUUAACCACGACAGGAUUUGCUAACCAGUCCGGAUAUCUUGCUUCGGAGAUUGAGCCGAUCUUCAGGAGCUUUUCUACUUCGGCGUUCACUGCAUCUGCGCGAUCCCGACCCAAUUUUCUUCGCUUCUGCUUGAUGGGCUUGAAGGAUGGGUCAACAUUCAGCUCGUGGCAGAUUACGUCGAUGCUUACCCCAGGUAGAUCUUCAGCCGACCAGGCGAAGGUGUCGAUGUUCUCUUUGAGGAAUGAGAUGAGCUCGGUCUUGAUUUCUUCGGUUAAGUUGCUGCCAAUUUCCACGCAUCGUUCAGGCCGUUCGUCGCCGAGGUAGGCUUCUUCUCCUCGCGCGCCUCCUCGAUCUGUAAUUGCUAUAACUGUUUAGAUAUAGCCUUCUCUUCACUCCGGCCAAGUUUUGAUUUCUUGUGAUCCGUUUCAGCCUUCGCUUCAGUGACAGGGUUUCGGAGUUUGUGUGCUGCCAUGAAACACAUCCGAGAAUUUUUCUGACUGCCCCAGAUCGUUUUCAUGCCAUUGGGGGUCAGGAAUUUGACACACAGAUGAUAUGUUGAUGCGACAGCUCGCAUUAGGUUUAACCACGGAGUUCCCAUUAUGACGUUGUAGAUGGUAGGUCGAUCGGUGACUAAGAAGUUGACUAUCUUUGUUACCCCGCCGGCUCGGACCAGUAGUUGGAUGGUUCCAAGCGUCAUCAAAGUUUCCCCUGAAAAUCCGAGGACAGGCCUCGGGGUCAAAAUCACCUGUGACAUGUCGAUGUUCAUUUGUCGGAGCGUUUCGCGAAAGAUUACGUCGAUGGUGCUACCGGUGUCAAUUAAUACUCGGUAAAUAUCAUGGUCUCCUAUCGCUAAAGUGACGACGAUCGGAUCGUUAUGAGGCAUGUCGAGCCCGUUCGUCUCGCUUUCUUCGAAUGUGAUCACGUCGUUAGGUCGAUCGAAGCGUCUUGUCCAGUUGCUAGGCGUCUCGGCUCGGCGUUGAUAAGCUUUAAUUGCCGCUACGGUGUCAGGACAGUAUGGCGAUCCACCCAUUAUGGUAAGAACCUUCUGCCGCGUACCAUCUCGGUCUUCGUCUUCCGACCCCCGGGUUCUUUUCUGAGACUCCUGGUUCCUUGGUUCGGGAUCUCUUCCCGGGUUGGUCUGCUCGGGCUCUGGUUCUGGCUCGAGGUCCUUAAGAGUAACAUUCGUCCCGAGCUCUCCAGCUAGGAAUUUGGUUGCUAACUUGGCUCCGAGGCUUCGGCAUCUCGAGGUAUGAUGGCAAAAAAUUUUGUGGUGUUCGCAGUAUUCUUGAUCAUUGCUCUGUGGCUGAUCCCUUGUCCAAGUGAAGGACUCUCUUCCUCGCCCACGACCUCGGCCUCUGCCGCGGCCGCGGCCUCGGGGCGUAUCAAUCUGGUAGCUAUGGUAUCCUGAGAAAUUACGCCCCUCGUGAUGCGUACACGUACCGCUCUCGCGUGUUUUUUUCUGGACCGGAGGCGUCGCUUGGGCUUUUUCGGCUUUCUCGGCUCGGGGCGCCUGUUUCGUUGGCUCGUGCCUCUUCGCUAGUAGCGCCAUCUCUUCUUCGUGGGCGACGAAAUCCGAGGCUCGGUGCAGCGCGUCGCGAAUUGUUGUCGGUUUAGACAGAUUCAACUCUUUCCUGAACUCUGACUUAUACCAGAGGGCUUUCUUUAAAGCCGAAAGAGCGGCUACAUCUGUAAUUCCUUCUACCUUGGCUAGCGUCGAUUUGAAGGUUUUGAGGAAAUCUCUUAACGGCUCGGUGGGCUGUUGAGACAUGGACCACAGAUCCGCGUCGGAGGUUCCGGGGUCGAUGAGCACGGAGUAUUGCUUGAGGAACAGUGUCGCCAGCUCGUCAAAACUGUCAAUCGAGUUUCGUUCCAAUCUUGAAAACCACUCUAAUGCGGGUCCUUUGAGGUGUUCCACGAACAAUAUGCACAGACCUGCGUCCUUUUCCCCGGGUUUGAACCUGGCUCGGGCCACAGAUAUCACGAACGAUUUAAUGUGGCACUUUGGAUCGGUUGAUCCGUUGUAAGAGUCGAUUUUGAACUUUCCCAGAUUGGACAUCGUCGUUUCGGAAAUUCUUUUGGUGAAAGGCGUAUUCCGAGAUUCUUCCAAAAUUCGGUCGAUGUUCGGUGCGGAGGAUGAAACGCUAUGUAUCUGGGUUUUGACGAGCUUCAUAUCAGCUUCCGCCUUGGCUAGGGAGGCUCGGAUCUUGCUUAGCUCGUCUUCUCUUUCAGACUCUUCGGCCCACCUUAUGUUUUCCUCAGUUUCUUCGUCGUCAGUGAGAUCUGUUCGCUCGGCGGAGUUAGCUCCGGCUCGGGUACGCUCAUCUUGCAGAUCGUCUGGCUUGUCCGUUAAAUCCACUGCGUCUGGCUCGGUGGGAUCAUCUUGGUUCUCGCAUCUGGCAGGGUCGGCUCGGGUUGCGACUCUGCUGUUGCCGGUUGGUGUCGCGAACGUGAGUCUUGUUGGGUUGAUGCCAGGUAAAUCCCUCCGAGCUCGUGGCGGCCGAGUCUGGAAACGCGUUGUUUUUGGUUGCCCACGUGUUGCGAUUUCGUCGACUCGCUGCGCCAAAGUUUUGUUAGCUUUCUCUUGGUCGUCAGCUUUCUUCUGGAAUUUAACCAUCAGGUCUUUCAGUUCGGCUAGAGUCGCUAUGAUCGUCGGAUCGGCUUGAGGAUUCUGAGGGUUCGGAGGGUUCGGGAUCCCUCCUCCAGCUGGUGGUGUCUGACGACCGUCUUCGUUCAUCGUCCUAUUCGGUAAUCGAGUUCUGCGUCUUAGGGUAAGAGAAUUCUAAAGUAUCCCCACAGACGGCGCCAAACUGUGGAAGUCGAAACUAACACAAUCAAGAUUUGUCUAGGGUUUUAUUUUAGGGAUACGAUAAUCGUGAAUUCUCAAAGAACAACAGAACGAUUGUAACCAAAGAUGGUGUUCUUGAUAUUAUUAAGAAAAAGAUGACUUUGAUCGUACAAGAGUUUGAUCGUAAAAGGAAAAAGAUGUUUGUGCUGUGAGAGCUUUGCGUAGUGUAAAUUCUAGAGCGAUAUUGCCUCCCCUUUGCUUGAGCCUUGAGUCUCUUUAUAUAUAGGUGAUAAACCGCCUCCCCAGCGAUAUUCUCGGAAGAUUUCCAUUUAUCUUGAAGUCGGCUCAGAAUAUCGCGGAUUAGGAUAGUUUCCUUAUUUUUCGGAGUCUUUGGGAGAUUUCCUGAUUUGAGUCGAUCCUUCUAGAUUCUCUCUUAUCAUUUCCGUGUAUAUAGGAAAUGAUCCUUUUUGUUCAGAAAUGAUACCUUGCUUGGAAAUGGUACUUUGAAAGCGAAUAUUUACCAAGUCUUUACCUCGGGCGAUGAUGAAGACUUCACCUCGGAGAAACUUGUGCAAUCGGCUCGGGUACACAGGAAGGACUGGCUCGGGCACUCUAGGAUGGCUUGUUCGGGUGCCCCCGAGGUGGUGGGCUCAGAAACUCCCGAGGCAAUUGGGCUCGGGUGCUUGAGACGUCUUGUUCAAGUAUCCCCGAGGCAAUUGGUCUCGGGUGCUUGAGACGUCUUGUUCAAGUAUCCCCGAGGCGAUGGGUCUCGGGUGCUUGAGACGUCUUGUUCAAGUAUCCCCGAGGCGAUGGGCUCGGGUGCUUGAAACUACUUGUUAAAGGUAUCCCCGAGGCGAUGGGCUCGGGUGCUUGAAACGUCUUGUUAAAGUAUCCUCGAGGCGAUGGGCUCGGGUAUACUAAAUCGAUUAGAUGGAUAUCCCGAGGUGAAUGAUGCGAUGCCCCGAGGUGAUCACUGAAAGACUCCCGAAGUGUUCUAAGUCUGGCUCGGCGCCAAAGGAUGGAAUCCGACCCCAACAGUCGGCGCUAUCUAACGGUGUAGGAUUAGUCCCACAAUCUGGGAGGUUACUUCCCAUUGGCUAUUAAUGAAAAAAUCAGAAAAUUAUCAUAUAAAAUAGUUUAUUAAUGAAAAAAAUAUAAAUUAUUUCUUUAAAAAUUUAAUAUAAGUAUUUCAAUUUUUAGAAUAUUUUUUCUUAUAAGUAUAAAAUUUUAAAAUUAAGAACAAUUAAUAUAAGUUAGUAUUCCAACUAUCUAACUUAUAUGUUCAUAAACACUAGGGCAUAGUUUAGGGUUUAGGGUUUAAACUUUGGGGUUUAGAUUUUUUUACUCAAGUAUUAUUACUUUAAAAUAAUUUCAUUGCAUUUUAUUUUGUUAAUUUAUAAAAAGUGAAAUAUGUUUCAAGAUUGAACUUCCAACCCUAAACCCUAUACCCUAAAACUAAACCCUAAACCCUAAACUAUUUUUAAAAAUGAAUUUUAUUUAUGUUAUUAUUUGUUAUAAUUAAUAUUAUUACUAUUUCAAACAAAUAUAAUCCAAAACCCUAUACCCUAAACUCUUUAAAAUUAUAACUUUGUUAUUAUUUAUAUAAUUAUUAAUAUUAUAAUUAAAUAUUUGUGUCUUUUUUAGAUAUUUGGUUAUAUUUUUUUUCUUUCUUUUUCCUUUAUUUUUUUUUUACAAAAUUCGAAAAUCAUAACCAAAAUCUUAAAAUCCUAAAAAUCAUUUAACUUGAAACCUAAAGUACAUGCCAUAAAAUAAUUAAUUCAAUUUUUUUCCAGUUAAGAUGUUUUAAGUUUGUUUAUUUGUGUUUGCAUUCUCAGAUAUAUUUUUACCAAGAGAAAACAUAUGCCAUUAGUAACAUAAGAAAACAAAGUCAAGUGCAUGUAAUAAAAGAAAACACAAAGUGUUCGACACUUAAACUAAUUGUAAUAGCCAUCGUUGAUCUCUGAGAGACCUCGCAGUUCCUGCAGACUUUCUUUUUGAUAUCAGAGAAGAUCAUUCCCCAUUUGGGUUUCCAUGUGAUAUGAGACAAUACUUCAACCUCUUGAAAACCAGUCCUGUAAGUAGCUUUAAUGGCUUCUAUAGCUCCUAAUGGAAGUCCAUCAAAGGACAUUGCUUCAGGUGGUGGAUUUGGUAACGAAACCACAAGCAACAAGAGGUUUGCAUUAUUCACUGCCACCUAUCAAACAAACUCAUAAAAUCAGAAAACUGAACAAGAGCAUAUGGAUCUUAUACAAAUCUUAAGAGUGAAAAAUUUCACCUGAACAUGGUAACAAACAUCAUCAAAUGCAAUCCACUGAUAAUUUAGCUCCACAGCUUUAUCAAGACUGAACAAAAAUAAUAAUGAAGACCUAAAACUCUACAAAAAAGAUUGAACUUUUCUUCCAUUCUACAAAAUCUACAGGAUGUGGUCGGAGUUAGCCUCAGGUGUGUCUUUUUCACUCGGCAGUACAACUUGCCAAAACUUGGCUAAAUACUAAUCCCAUUCCUGUACAAUCAUUGUUCCUUUGCUGCUUCCCGUAAAAACAUGAAAGUCUAUGUUAAUCGCACUAAUAAAAAAACAGUCCAAAACAAAAAAUGCAGACUUUGCCAAAGAGAAGAACCUAAGAACAUACUUAAAGUGCAUCUACGAUAUAAAGCUUCCUAUGAGAUCAAAACAAAGUAUCAAUAUUUAACCACCUUGCACAUAUGAAACAAGCGAGUAUCUUUUUCUCCUACCCAAAUAAGAAACUAAAUUAUCAUGAAAAAUCUGGUCAUAAAAUAACUUUGAUAUACCUCCUCAUGUUCAUCAUCAAACCAAAUAAAGGUUGUGAUGAGCGGGCAAUCACAUCUCCACUUCCUGCAAUAAAGAUAAAAAAAAACAGCAACAUGUAAAUGUGGAAGCUAUACAAACGAAGUACAAAUGGAAGUACCACAACCGGUGUAUUUUUACCUGGAUGACACCACAAGAUCACAGGCAAGCGACAUCUUGCCAAAACAUGUAACUCAGUUAUUCUCAUGAGCGUAACUCAGUUGCAAGAAGUCAAGAACAGUCACAUAGAGAUCAAUUAGAUAUCAAUUAUUUACCAAAACAUUAAAAUUGAUAUAUCAAAAUGAAACUCAUAAACCUUCAACAGAAGUUUCACCAAGCUCUUCCUGCAAAAGAAAAAAAUUCAUCGAUGUAAAUUAAAACUUUACAUGAGACAAAUACCCAAAACCCAAACACAAUGUCACCAUAAAUGUCAAAUUCGACUUACAUGGAUGAAGAUCGAUGUAAAGUGACAAUGAAGGAUUGAGACAGAGAUCGAAGUACUAGACUGAGAUUAAGAAAAAACAAUAGAGACUGAAUCGAACGAGAUGCUGAAUUGAACGAGAGAUUGAGACUACACAUAAGAGGAUCGAGAUUGACAUUCAGAGAACGAGAAGAAGAUAGAUUUGCUACGAUUGAAUAUGAACAUACCUGUUGGAGAUCGAGAGAAAUCGAGAGAUAUCGACUGAGAUUGAGUUGCAGAUUGUGAGAAUUCGAGUGAAAUCAAGUGAGAUGUGUUGUUGACUGUGAGAAAUCGAGAGAAAUCGAGAGAGAAGAAGUUUAUUUUGCCUUAAGAAAAAAAUGAAAAAGUGAUGUUUCUUGUUUUAAUUUAUUUUGCCUUAGCCAAAAUUUCACAUUUUUCCCUCUUAACAGAUUCAAUAGCGGGAAUUAAACUUUAGUAACCCGAAAAUUGGCCGCGUCAAUUUCAGCAUGUCCCGCUUAAAUCAUCUAUAGCGUUUACAAUUCAAAAAACGCUAUCUUUAAAUCACGAUCAAGUCAAAUAUAGCAGAGACAUAAAAACCGCUAUCUUUUAGUGCUAUCAAUACCCACAUUUCCUGUAGUGCGUAGUCCUAGCCGAGCUGACAGGUUUGCGCUGAAGCGAAGCUCCACUUAACGAAGAAUCGAAUUCUAAAUUAUUAGAAGAUGUUCUUGACACAAUCGAUGAAAGGCGAGACCAAUCCCUUAUUCGACUUCAUAAUUAUCAACAGUUGACCGCUCGCUACUAUAACUCAAAGUUGAAAAACAGACCUUUAAAUGUAGGAGACUUUGUUUUAAGGCGAGUGUUCGAUAACACAAAAGAAGAAGGAGCUGGAAAACUCGGUAUUAACUGGGAAGGCCCUUAUCAAAUCACUGAAAAAAUCCGAAACGGUGUAUACCGUUUACAAGACCUUGGUGGAAAUCCCGUUCAAAGGCCUUGGAACAUAAUCAACUUGAAAAAGUUCUAUUGCUAAAGCAAACACAUUCGAACUACGAUUUGUCUUGAUCCUAUUCUGGGUACGUAGGCAGCUCGCUAGUCACGAGUCCAGCUAUAACAUAAAAAUAAAAAUAUUAUUCCAUCCAUGGAAUCCUGUUUUUAUAAAUUCGAUAUUCGAGCAUGAAUAUAAAGAUACGUUGCGAACAAUGUAUAAAUAAAUAUUUCUUGCAAAGCUAAGACUGGAUCUAGAAGGGUCUUGAAUUACGGAACAACUCCGCUCCUUGACCAGCGAAGUCAACGAUGCUCAUAAUGCAACCUGGCAUGUUUCCGUACUCUUGAAGUCCCAGUUCGAUCGAAUCGGAAGGAUGGGCUUCGAGGCGAUGAUGCUCGCGAGAAAUAUCGAGGCGACGUUUCUCUAGCUCCAUUAUCCGUUUCCUAAUCUUUUUUUUUCUCAUCUUCGAGCUCGUCAUGCCGAGUGAUAAGCUGAAGAAACGCUACGUUUAGCAAUAAUAAAAAGAAGUUAAUCACUAGGAUGGAAAAUACCUUAUUGAUAAACUCCUCAGCCGUAACACGAUCUUGAGGCGACAAUCUCUCGAUUAAAACGAUCGGAACCUGAAUGCUAGUUCCCUUCUUCAAUAUUUGUGAAUCUUUUGGUUCGCCAGACUCUCCUGCUUUUAUAAGCUCGAUGUCCGAAGUCCUCGAAGGAUCAACACUCAUCACUUUGAACAAGUCUGAAGGAUUCUCUGAUGAAUUACCUCCCUUGAACAUUUUUGUAGAAUCGUUGUUGAAAUUCAAUGACAGACUACACCCACUUUAUACUCGAAAAAUUAUUCGAUUGCAUUUAAGAGGAUUAAUUGACGAUUUCCCAAAUCUGAAAUUACGAUUUUCAUGGAAAAUGUAAUCGAGUUAAUUGCUAAUUAUAUUCCCUAGAUUAAACGCAUUAAAUGAGAUUUGAAUAAGUCGGCGAAUUUAUAGCGAAAGGGAAAAUGUAAUUAAUGUUGCUGGGUUUCAAGACCAGUGACAUUUUACAAACAUAAAUAGGAAAGUGUUCGAUCAAAAGUCUUCGCCCGAUAAUGACUCCAGCGAGGUGGAAGAUCCCGAACAGCUUUCCGAGGAUAGCCCCUCGUCAGAAGAUAUCAAAAGGGCCGGAGAAGUCAUCAACAAUUUUUGUCUCCGGUUCCUCUUUUUCUUCAGUUCUUAACAUCGGAAGUCUCCGGAACUCUGAGGAACAUGAAACAAAAGAGGACCCAUCACCGGUUGCCAAGGAUAAACGAUGAAAUUUAUCCAGCAUGCGGAGGAAUCAUCGGAGGCAAGUAAGCAUUAUGGCCACGAUGUCUAGACCAUUCCUCUCCCAUUCGUGCGGUUCAGAUUCCAAGCGAAGAAUCUCUCUUUCCAUCCUCUUUAUGCGCUCAUCAAGAGCACGGCACCUCCUUCCGAUUCUUUGUCUCUUAUCACAUAAAGCUUUGUGUCUCCCGACGAUCUGUUUGAACGAACAUUUUGUCAAAUGACCAAAAGAAAGGAAGUUAUAGUUUUCUGAGAAGACUAAGAGUUAGAAAAGGAACCUUUUCCAGGAAGUCAUAACAUUUGACCCUUUUCUUCCCUGUUCGGAAAUGAAAAAACGUUGGGUGAAUAACUCCCUUUGGAGAGAAUCCGUCUUCGGACUCAAACAAUGGGUUCCCACUUGAAGUUGUUAUUCUUGAGCUUGAUCUGAAAGAAAACAGCGACAUUUUUCAAGUUUUUUCUUAUAAUGAACUAUGGUGAUCUUUCGGAAUUCCUUUUAAAAGAGAAAGAGGUUCAGAUUUCUAAAAAUAAUUAUAUAUUGUUGGCCUGUUGGAGCAGGCUUCAGAUCCAAUUAAAACACGGCCCAGCGAUUCCGAAGCCAUCAUGGGCAACGAUCGAAAUCAUUGCCUGGUCGUAUUUAUGAAAAAAUUCUCAUGAAUUAUAAAUCUUAUCCCUCGAUAUAAAAAUAAAACUUAAGCCGAGCUCCAUCCUCGCCUUCGAGAGACCGAGGAAAAAUACUUAUUAAGAUUUUUUCUUUAAAAAAGGCAAGUGAGCCUGAUCAGCUCAUCUCUCACAAUUCAUAAAACCUCUUUGGCGGGCUAGGACUUGCAAACCUAGAAUCGUGUCCAAACCUAUUCUCCUCUAGCUCAGCCUCCAAGCGAAGAGCAUUAGACCUCGCAGAAUCGCUUUCAGGAUUCGCAAUUCUGAUGCGUUGCUCGUUAGCUGCUAGAGUUUUCUUCAUAUUUUCAAAAGAUGACUCGAGUGCUUUUUCCCGCUCAAGUCGCUCGGAUUGGUUGGCUAAUCUGAGAUCAUCAACCUCCUUCUUAGCCUUUGCGGUCUCUCUCUUCGCUUGAUGAAGAAGGUUCUCAUAAUGGAAGAUCAUUCCAUUAGUCUCCAUAAACGCCUUCGGAGUAAAAAAAAAACGUGUCGUUUAGACAAGAAGCUUUUACCUAAGGAAGGGAGAUUGUCAUAAUCUAAAAGAUCCAAACCUGGGAUAGGUAGCAAGCUCGAUUGGCGAACAUCUGACGGAUUUUCGGCCUCCAAACCGAAGAAGGAGGAAGGGACGCCCCUUCCCUGGUUUGGAAACUUCGGAAGAUGUCUCCAUUCUCUUCUCCGCCUGCGAAGCAGAGGAGAAUAGCAGAUUAAUAAAAUAGAUGCAAUAUGUGGCAAGUUUUGCUAAUGCUCGCUUUCUAAGUAAAAAUUUACCUGAAAUCGAAGCGGGUAAAGGAUUUUGAGUCCUAACACUCAGUCCUUGAGAUAGGGGAGCCUCCAAUCUUGGCUCAUCUAUUUCCUCUGAAAUUACUCUGUCUCCCGGAAGAGGGAGCUCGGAGUUUAAAGGUUCUGAAGAGGGAGAAACAGAACGUAGAGGGCUAGAGACUCGUGGGGGAGAACUUAAUCUCAUGGUUUUAAGUCUCUCGUUUGAUAGAUUAUCGGAAUCUGGAGCAUUCCUCUUUGUACAAGGAGAGGAGGUUAUUUCUCCAUCACACCCUGGUUCGGAAGGGCAAAUUGCGGUGGCAACUGGAGGGUUGUUAAGGAUCUCGCCUCCAUGAGUAUCCACCGCGGCUGACAGGGCUGCUUCUAAUGAACCGUCAUCAACCAAGAGGGUCUUCCUGUGGAAGUUCCCAACCCUGGAGAUUGCAGCUAUCCGUUUCUUUCUCCCGAUUUCGGAUAGCUGAUCCUUAAGAGCCUUGAUUUCAGCCUGCAUCUUUCUUUUAUCUCGAGCAUUCAGGCUCGAGACGUCUUUCUCCUCGGGAGGAGGAUCGAGGGGGUGAGUCUGACCGUCUUUAAUGGUGAGCCCCGCUUUAUGAAUGCGUUGAAGGGUGAAGGAAUUCCAAUUUGUUUCACCCUCGGAAACGAUUCGAAAGAAGGACAAGAAAUCAACGGUUGGGCCGGGGAUCGUUUGGUUCCCUGAAACAAAGUAUUGGGUAAAGAAUUCUAUCUCUUUUACUUAAUACAGUGGAAAGUAGUAAAGGUUGGAUUUUUAACCAAGUUUAGCCGACCAAUUGGCGAGAAGAAGACCGGAAAGACCUUGAACGGAAUGGGGAUUGACUCGAAAAAAGAACUAGUAUUUCCUCCAAGGCCCAUCAUUCGAGGGCAUUCCGUCGAUCAGGCUACGGUCAAGGAUAAGGUUUAUAGAAAAAAUACCCGCUGCUGCGGAUUCACGGGCUCGAAAUAGCCCUAAGAGUUUGCUGGUGGAGAGGGAAAACCCUGCUUCUACCGAAACAGUCAGGGUACUCAGAACGUAUCGAAGAAAGUUGGGGGCCAUUUGGGGAAAGGCAAUCCCUAGGUGGAGGAGGUAUAAAAGAAGAACUUCCGGUACGGGAAAAAACAAACCACAACCUUUGAAAUAGACUUCGUACGCACAACAGUAACCCUCACGCACCACUUCCGGAGACUCGUUGGGUCUAGGAAGAGAGAAUUCAAUUUCCUGGGGGAUGUUACAAAGGCGGCGAAGAGCGCCAAGGGAAGCGGAGGUCGACUGAGACUUGAAAUGCGGACUAAAUUUGUCUCCCCUUUGGAUGAAGACUUCAUCCCCUCUGGGAACAGGGAUUCCUUGACUGUCAUCUUCGUUUUCCGAAACAUAGACGGUUGGGGAAGACAUCUUUUACUAAGAGGUUUCUCUUUUUCUGGUUUGGUAAAAGCUUUAGGGGUAAAUGUACGCUGCUGUAAAAGCCGUCGUUCCAUUUAACCUUAUUUAGCGGAAAACCGCCUCGAGAAUAUUGGGAAGUGGGACAGUUUUCCCCGUAGUAUUAAUAUAAAAUUAAAAAAUUAAUGAUGACGGUUGUCAGGGAUAUCAAAUCAUUUGAUUAUCCGAGAUCGGCAUAAUAGCGUAAAACAUGGAAUAAUUCCAGAAUGCUAGAGAUCCUGAGUCAUUAAUUACUGUUUACUUAAGUCUUCCAAGCCGAGCAUUCAGCUCGCAAGACUUGGGGGGCUAAAUGUUGGGGUCGGAUCCCACACAUCUUCGGUAGGAUCCACUUGGAUCUGUCCACGUCAUUAUUACAUAAUAAUCCUCUUAGAUUUCUAGAUGUUUCAUUGCGAGAAUCGAGCUCGACCUGUCGGAAGUUCGAUUCAGUUUAUUAAAGAGCUCGAUCUUUACCAGUACGGAGUUCGCUCUUAUUCAACAUACAGUUCGCAUAAAGGAAGGCCGAAGCGAGGGGAAUAUUGUUUGAGGUUCGCGGCAGCGUCAAGACGCAGGAGUUCGGAGUCAACAAGAAAGAGUUUGGAAGAUCCACGCGAAGCCCAAGAUAGUUCAAAUUCAAGCCGUUUCAGUCAAAUUGUAACCUACAUGAUUAAUGCGGAUCAAUGCGAUUAUGAGCGGUAAAUGACCGUAUUGAUCAUGUUUUCUCUAUAAAAACAACCUCAAACGCAUGUGUUUGAGGAGGGGAACAACUUUUUACCUCUUACGAUCAAGCAAUACAACAUACUCUUUCUUUUACAAUUUCGCAAGGCUUUUUACUAUUUUAUUUUUGCCAAGCUCUUUCGAUUUAUUUAGUUUCUUGGUUACUUUCCUUUUCAAAUCCUUAUUUUCAUUUGUUGAUUUUAGAGUUUUUCUCCACAAAAAUACUUAAAGACAAUCGAGUGUGGAUCCUACAUCCACACUCGCCCCGACUCCGGAGACUCGAAGGGCUCCGGAACUACCAUCUCUACCUCAGGGGGGGGAUGAGACAUAAUCUACGAAGAUCGUUGAGAGAAUCAAUAGUUGAUUCACUCUGGGGGUGAAGAUCAAACCCAUCUCCGGUUUGAAUUUGAGGUCCGGAUCCUUCACCCAUGAGAGCUUCGAGAUCGUCAGCCUCGUAUUCGCAAAAUUCGGAAGAAAGGUUCGACAUUUUACGAAAAGGAUUUUUUACCAAAAAGAAAACAAUGAUUUCUGUAAUAAGAAUGAAAGUUCUCUAGGUAAAGAAGAUAAGAUGGAAAAGUAAUAUUACCUCUUAGAACCCUAAAGUAUGAUGAAAGACCGCCUCGAGAAUAUUGGGAAGUGGGACGGUUUUCCCCGCAGUAUUAAUAUAAAAUUAGAAAAUUAAUGAUGACGGUUAUCAGGGAUAUCAAAUCAUUUGAUUAUCCGAGAUCAGCGUAAUAGUGUAAAACAUGGAAUAAUUCCGGAAUGUUAAAGAUCUCGAGUCAUUAAUUACUGUUUACUUAAGUCUUCCAAGCCGAGCACUCAGCUCGGAAGACUUGGGGGGCUAAAUGUUGGGGUCGGAUCCCACACAUUUUUGGUAGGAUCCACUUGGAUCUGUCCAAGUCAUUGUUACAUAAUAAUCCUCUUGGAAUUAAAGAUAUUUUAUUGUGAGAAUCGAGUUUAACCAGUCGGGAGUUCGGUUCGAUUUAUUAAAAGAGUUCGAUCUUUACCAGUACGGAGUUCGCUCUUAUUUCAAUAUACAGUUCGCAUAGAGAAAGGCCGAAGCGAGGAGAAUAUUGUUCGAGGCUCGCGGCAGCGUCAAGACGCAGGAGUUCGGAGUCAACAAGAAAGAGUUUGGAAGAUCCACGCGAAGCCCAAGAUAGUUCAAAUUCAAGCCGUUUCGGUCAAAAUGUAACUUACGUGAUUAAUGCGGAUCAAUGCGAUUAUGAGCAGUAAAUGACCGCAUUGAUCAUGUUUUCUCUAUAAAAACAACCUCAAACGCAUGUGUUUGAGGGACGAAUCUGAUUAUUCAUUACUUCUAAGCAAUACAAUACAUUUUUCUCUCUUUACUAUUUUUUGCAAGGCAUUUUGCACUUCAUCUUUCGAUAAAUUUCUUUACUCCUUUUCUUGGUUGUUUUCCAUUUCGAAUUCUCGUAUUCAUUUCCUGAUUUUACAAGAGUUUUUCUCCACAAAAAUACUUGAAGAUAAUCGAGUGUGAAUCCUACAUCCACAACAACGACGCAUAUAUCAAAGCAAUAAGAUCAAGUUCGAUUCUAGUCCUUACAGCCCUAUAACUAAGUGGUGUGUGCUUGUUAUAACACGAUACAAAUUCGUAAGCUAGGUCUAGCGUAUUAAACAACCUUGUGAGCAAUUUAAACACUUGGGAUCACGAGUUAGGACAUGAAUCUAACUACAUGCAUUAAGAAACAACUUAUUUAGAAAGAGUACAGUGUAAACGAUCAAACAGAACCCUAGAUAUUGCCACCUAAACGAUCGGUCAUAUUCCCCCCUUUAAACCCAACUAGAAAACUACUCUAGCAUGGUUAAAGAGAUCAUCAAAGUUAGGUUUGAUAAACUCAUAAGAAAGAGAAGACUAAGAACUGAAUAGGGUUUAGAGAUUACUUCUUUGAAUAUAGAAUACAAGAGGUAAGACUUCACCUUAAUAGAUCUUAGAGUAAACAAGAGAAAAGAGAGAGAUAGAUUCGGUGAUUCUUCAAAGCUUCAAGGUGCGAUGGCUGCAGCUCACGGCGAGGGCAGAGAAGACUUGAUUGGCACGGUGGAGGCACUUUGAAGGCACAAUAGGGUUAGGGCUUCCAUCAUGUAUUUAUAGGGUUUGGAGACCAAGGAUUAGGUCUAGGGGUAAAAGCGUCGUUACCGUGAUUAGGUUUAAGUGCAAACUCGAGUUUCUUGCAAGGGAGAAGUCUUAGUGACCGGUCUGGAGAGUGAGACGCAGCACGGGCUAGGCCCAUGUGGCCUAUGUGUGGCCCAGAAGCUCCAGAUCGGUUGCAUAGCUUCUGGCCGGUCUGGACAUGUCUUCACUCUUCUGGUCAUAACUUCCUAACGACUUGUUGCAAAGCUCUGAUUCCACUUUGAAGCGAAUCUUGACUCUUCUAGCUUUCUAUAGCCACCGAGAUCUCUUGAUUUAGUAACCGGGAAGACCUCGAACGGAUUCCAUACUUCUGACGUACAGAAACUGUCUUGAAACGGGUUUUGAUCGCCUUUUGGUCUUUAAAGCUCAAAAACUCUUAAAACCUUCUUGGCUCCAUAAAUACUUGAAUAACUCCUUCUUAGCUCUGAAAUCACUCCAAAUUAUCCCUAAAACAUAAAAAAAACAAUAACAAAUAUGGGCGAAAAUCCCAUGUUAUCAACAAUGAACUAACCUUCCCGAAGACAUGCUAGGUGUCAUACAUGGUAAUUAAGGUUGGAGAAUCUUCUUCUCUCGACUUCAUAUCUUUCCUCACUUCAUGCAAAAUAUUUUGUCUUAUUUCUAAAUUCCCAGACGCGUGGAAGAAUUUUAAGCUCACUGAAGUAUUUCCACCACCAUGGAAUAAGAUUCCUAAGAAAAUCAAAUUCUUAGUUGAAUGUGUAAAAAAUGGGAAUGUUCACGUUAUUUUCUUGUGUGGUCUUAUAGAUUACUAUUUCAAAAAGAAAUUUCUACAGGGAUUGCUCAGCUCUCUUAUGCAGCUAAAGCUACUCAUUCAGAAGCACUGUAUGUUGACGGAAUGAUUCUAUUCAGUGAAAGGCAAAAAGAUGAAGGAUCCAACUAUAUUACCCAACUUUGAAAAAAUCAAGGAUUUGAACCUGUUGGAUAAUGCCUAGAGAACAGUCGUGAGGUUAUUUCUGGAGUUAAGCGUAAGGCAAUACCGAGACUAUGAUAUGCUACUAACUCAAAUUGAGGUUGAUGACGAGUGCGUUGCUGGAGAUUUUGAUCACGAUUGUCAUGGUUGUUUCAUCUACAAAGAAAUUUUCCACUUCAUAUACUAUAUCCACUAUGUUUAAGUGAAGUUUGUUUUCUUUUGGUUUAGACACAUAUUUCCUUUAGAACACAUUAUGUAGACACAACGUAUUCACAUUUGAAAUUUUUAUUGAUAAUUUUUAAAUUUUAAAUUCAUGCCUUCUAUUAAAUUUAAAACAGUUUUUGAUUGUCGAUAAAGUAUCGGAAGAAAAAAAACAAAAAUACAGUAUUAUAUAUAGAAACUAACCUUCAUCGUGGUAGAGAAUUCAUUGUUUCGGUAUAAGAUGAUCUCCAUAAACAAUACACCAAACGCAAACACAUCUGGCUUCUCAUCUACAAUCACGUGCAUAAAGUACUUUGGAGCUGGAACCUGUAAGAAAAAACAAAGAACUAACCAGGUUUUGGACUAAAAAACAUCGAGAAGAAAGGUUCACAUAAAGAUAUUGUAGUUGUGGAAUUCAACGUCUGACCCGAAUGUGCCUUCGAUAGGGAAAACAAUGUGAUGAGGCGAAUUCUCUGGGAACCACUUAGGUAGUCCAAAAUCUGAAAUCUGCAAACCCAAUUCAUAUCAAAUUCUCAGUACAUAUACAAAAAUUUGAUUGCAUUUUGUUGCAUCAAUCAAUACCCGAGCUUCGUAAUCUAGACAUAGCAAAAUGUUGGAAGCUUUGAUGUGACGAUUGAAUAAUCAUAAGAUCAACAAAUAUCAACUUUAAGGAUCAAACUUUGUCAGGAACAAACUUCACCAAAGACCUUGAUAACUACAUCAACCUUCCUUUCGAGAUAUCAAUUUCAGAUUUUGAUGAAAUACCCAAAAUCAGCAGAUCCUUGAUCUUGUAGCUGUCUCAACAAAUGAAGAAAGUGAAGAAAUCUAAUAACCCACCCCACCAACUAUCCAAAGCUUCUACAACUUUAUUAAUCACCAAAUCAAGCUCCCAAACACAACUUUGUUAUAGAACCAGCUCUACUAAAGAGUUUUUUUUUCUUACUUUUUCCUAGGUCAGAUCAAACACUCGAUUAUCAAGAAAUAUAACCAAAACCCAUAAGCCUAUUUAAAAAACUAGCACAUUUGGGGUUAUAACCCAGAUUUAAAAAGACCAAGAUGGACCAUAUAUAAAUUUAAAAAGCCCAAGAUGAUGAUGUUAUAAAAUGAUGUGGAAUAGGGGAGGAUUUCUCCUAGAAGAAAAUAAUGAUGAUCAAAUUCUCAGGGGCUCCUCAAGCUCCGAAAAUUUUCUCAAAUACUCUUGUUAUAACAUUUAAUUUAAUUUUGAUAUUUUUUUAAAAUCGAAAAAGGAGACAAAGACAUACGGGACCUUGAUAUUUUGAUUUUAUUACGUACCUAACCAAGCUAAACAGAUUAAAAUAACCCAACUUCUCUUCAAUCCAAGUCAAAACUCAAAAACCCUAGAUUCCUCUUUUCCUUUGUCGACAUAUUCAGACCCGACAAAAUAAAACUCACAUCCUUCAUCCUCUUUUAUCCUCUCCACCGCAAAACCAAAGAUCUCGACCAACAUCUGGGAUUCUUCUUCCUCCUUUCAUUCCGACAUCUUCGUCAUCCUCUGUAAGUGAAAUUAGUCUUUUGAUUCGAAUUUCUUUGGAAUUCAAAAGAAAUUUUGGAUUAGAAUCCGAUAAUCCAAGAAACCCAAUUUCUUCUCUACAAUUUUGUUUUUUCACAAUCUAGAAUCUGAGAUGUUGUACGUGAUUAGUUAUGUCUGAAUGUUGGGGUUUUGUUUUUAGAAUCGUAAGAUGUCCAAUUCUAAACUGCCUUGGACCAAGAACGCUACGGUUCCAACCGAGCGUGAAGCAGAACCAGUACUAGGCGAAGAAGAAGAGUUGUCUAGAGAAGAUCCCAAUAAGGAUCCAGAAGAUUAUGAAGAAGCGGAGCAAAAUUCAAUGGUAUAUGUUUGUGUAAAAAUUCAGAAAAAAAUUGAUAAAUUUGUUGCUUUUGUAAGUUUUGUAAGAUGAGUAUGUAACUUUAUUUGGAUUAUAGGAUUUAGGAGAUGAAACUGAACCAUUACGACCAUUAAAGAUGUACUUUAGCCCCUCCGAUUAUGUGAAUCAAUUCAAGCUAUGAUCAAAGUGUUAUAUUCAUCAAGCGGUGAAGCUUUGAUAAGUCUGUAUUUUACUUGUUUUGAGCAUUCAUUUGUCAUCGCUUUAGCAUCGUUUCAUCACUAUUUCAUACCAUUCACCAUCAUUUAUCUUCACUUUGCAUAUUUAGGAUAUUUUUGCAUACAUUUUGCAUUUCUGAGUUUGUUGGGGUCGGAUUUCAUCCCUAGCACCGAGCCGGAUUCGGACGCCUCGGGGAACUUCUGAGGAUCACCUCGGGGAAGCGUACCAACCACUUCGGAGGAAACGAGCCAUCACCUCUGUGCAAGGUGCCAUUCACCUCGGGCCAGUACAACGAUCGCCUCGGGAAGCGCCCGUAGCCUGCUCGGAAUCUGCUAGCCAGCUUGUGAACCCGAGCCGGCUCUCUUAAAGUACCCGAGCUGGUUCAUGCCAGGAUGCCCGAGCUGGCUCCUUCUGUGCGCCCGAGCCGCUUUCCCUCGGAAGCCCGAGCUGCGCAUCUCUUAUCUCCGAGCCGAUUAAACAAGUUACCCGAGGCUAAGUCCUCAUCGUCACCCGAGGCAAAGACUUAGUAAAUAUUCGUCUUCAAAGUACCAUUUCCAGGUAAGGCGUCAUUUCCGAAAAAGAAGGAUCAUUUCCGAUAAAACCGGAAAUGAUAAGGAAGAAUCUCGAAGGAUCAACUCAAAUCAGGAAAUCUCCCAAGAAACUCCGAAGAAUAAGGAAACUAUCCUAAAUCCGCGAUAUUCUAAGCCGACUUUGAGAUAAAUGGAAAUCUUCCGAGAAUAUCGCUGGAGAGGCGGUUUAUUACCCCUAUAUAAAGAGACUCAAGGCUCAAGCAGAAGGGGAGGCAAUAUCGCUCCAGAAUUUACUCUACGCAAAGCUCUCACAGCACAAACAUUCUUUUUCUUUUACGAUCAAACUCUUGUACGAUCAAAGUCAUCUUUUUCUUAAUAAUAUCAAGAACACCAUCUUUGGUAUCAAUUGAUUAUGUCGUUCUUUGAGAAUUCUCGCGAAUCGUAUCCCUAAAUUAAAACCCUAGACAAAUCUCGAUUGUGUUAGUUUCGACUUCCACAGUUUGGCGCCGUCUGUGGGGAUUACUAGGGAAUUCUCUUACCCUAAGACGCAGAACUCGAUUACCGAAAAGGACGAUGAACGAAGAUGGUCGUCAGACACCACCAGCCGUAGGAGGGAACCCUAACCCUCCGAACCCUCAAAAUCCUCAAGCCGAUCCGACGAUUAUAGCGACCCUAGCCGAACUGAAAGACCUGAUGGUUAAAUUCCAGAAGAAAGCUGACGACCAAGAGAAAGCUAACAAAACCUUGGCGCAGCGAGUCGACGAAAUCGCAACACGUGGGCAACCAAAAACCACGCAUUUCCAGACUCGGCCGCCACGAGCUCGGAGGGACUUGCCUGGCAUCAACCCAACAAGACUCACGUUCGCGACACCAACCGACAACACCAGAGUCGCAACCCGAGCCGACCCUACCAGACGCGAGAACCAAGAUGAUCCCACCGAGCCAGACGCAGUGGACUUGACGGACGAGCCAGAUGAUUUGCAAGACGAGCGCACCCGAGCCGGAGCUAACUCCGCCGAGCGAAUGGAUCUCACCGACGAUGAAGAAACUGAGGAAAACAUAAGAUGGGCUGAAAAAUCCGAAAGAGAGGACGAGCUUAGCAAGAUCCGAGCCUCCCUAGCCAAGGCGGAAGCCGAUAUGAAGCUUGUCAAAACCCAGAUACAUAGCGUUUCAUCCUCUGCACCUAACAUCAACCGAAUUUUGGAAGAAUCUCGGAAUACGCCUUUCACCAAAAGAAUUUCCGAAACGACGAUGUCCAAUCUGGGGAAGUUCAAAAUUGACUCUUACAACGGAUCAACCGACCCGAAGUGUCACAUUAAAUCGUUCGUGAUAUCCGUGGCCCGAGCCAGGUUCAAGCCCGGGGAGAAGGAUGCAGGUCUAUGCUUACUAUUCGUGGACACCUCAAAGGACCAGCAUUAGAGUGGUUUUCAAGAUUGGAACAAAACUCGAUUGACAGUUUCGACGAGCUGUCGACACUGUUCCUCAAGCAAUACUCCGUGCUCAUCGACCCCGGAACUUCCGACGCGGACCUGUGGUCCCUAUCUCAACAGCCCACCGAGCCAUUAAGAGAUUUCCUCACAACUUUCAAAUCUACGCUAGCCAAGGUCGAAGGAAUUAUGGAUGUAGCCGCUCUUUCGGCUUUGAAGAAAGUUCUUUGGUACAAGUCAGAAUUCAGGAAAGAGUUGAACCUGUCUAAACCGACAACAAUUCGCGACGCGCUGCAUCGAGCCUCGGAUUUCGUCGCCCACGAAGAAGAGAUGGCACUGCUAGCAAAGAGGCAUGAGCCAACAAAGCAGGUGCCCCGAGCCGAGAAAACCGAGAAAGCCCAAGCGACACCUCCGGUCUAGAAGAAGACGCGUGAGAGCGGUACGUAUACGCAUCACGAAGGGCGCAAUUUCUCAGGAUACCAUAACUACCAGAUUGACACGCGCCGAGGCCGAGGCUGAGGCCGUGGGCGAGGAAGAGAGUCUUUCACCUGGACAAGGGAUCAGCCACCGAGCAAUUAUCAAGAAUAUUGCGAACACCACAAAAUUUUCGGCCACCAUACCUCGAGAUGUCGAAGCCUCAGCGCUAAGUUAGCAACCAAAUUCCUAGCUGGAGAGCUCGGGAUGAACGUCACUCUUAAGGACCUCGAGCCAGAGCCAGAGCCUGAGCACACCAACCCGGGAAGAGACCCCGAACCAAGGAACCAGGAGUCUCAGAAAAGAACCCGGGGAACGGAAGACGUAGACCGAGAUGGUACGCGGCAGAAGGUUCUCACCAUAAUGGGUGGAUCGCCAUACUGUCCUGACACCGUAGCGGCAAUCAAAGCUUAUCAACGCCGAGCCGAGAUGCCUAACAAAUGGACAAGAUGCUUUGAUCGACCUAACGACGUGAUCACAUUCGAAGAAAGCGAGACAAACGGGCUCGACAUGCCUCAUAACGAUCCAAUUGUCGUCACAUUAGCGAUAGGAGACCAUGAUAUUUACCGAGUAUUAAUUGACACCGGCAGCACCAUCAACGUGAUCUUUCGCGAGACGCUCCGACAAAUGAACAUCGACAUGUCACAGGUAACUCCGACCCCGAGGCCAGUCCUUGGGUUUUCAGGAGAAACUUUAAUGACGCUUGGAACCAUUCAAUUACCAGUCCGAGCCGGCGGGGUGACAAAGAUAGUCAACUUCUCGGUCACCGAUCAACCUACCAUCUACAACGUCAUAAUGGGAACGCCGUGGCUAAAUCUAAUGCGAGCUGUCGCCUCAACAUAUCAUCUCUGUGUCAAAUUCCCGAUCCCCAAUGGCGUGAAAACGAUCUGGGGCAGUCAGAAGAAUUCUUGGAUGUGUUUCAUGGCAGCACACAAACUCCAAAACCCUGUCACUGAAGCAAAGGCUGAGACCGACCACAAGAAAUCGAAACUUGGCCGGAGUGAAGAAAAGGCUAUAUCUAAACAGUUAUAGCAAUUACAAAUUGAGGAGGCGCGCGAGGAGAAGAAGCCUACCUCGGAUCCUGUAAUCUCCAUUAGCCUCGACGAAGAACGGCCUGAACGGUGCGUGGAAAUCGGUAGCGACUUAACCGAAGAGAUAAAAACCGAGCUCAUCUCAUUCCUCAAAAAGAACAUCAACACCUUCGCCUGGUUGGCUGAAGAUCUACCCGGAGUAAGCAUCGACGUAAUCUGCCACGAGCUGAAUGAUGACCCAUCUUUCAAGCCCAUCAAGCAGAAGCGAAGAAAAUUGGGUCGGGAUCGUGCAGAUGCCGUGAAUACAGAAGUAGAAAAGCUCCUAAAGAUCGGUUCAAUCUCCGAAGCAAGAUAUCCAGACUGGUUAGCGAAUCCCGUCGUGGUUAAAAAGAAGAACGACAAGUGGAGAGUUUGUGUCGACUUCACCGACCUGAACCAGGCUUGUCCUAAAGAUAGUUUUCCCCUCCCACACAUCGAUCGCUUAGUGGAAGCAACUGCGGGGAACAAGUUGCUAUCGUUCAUGGAUGCUUUCGCAGGAUACAACUAGAUUCUCAUGCAUCCCGACGAUCGCGAGAAGACAGCUUGAUCGCAAAGUCUCGUUGUGAAGACCACUAUCCCGAACUUUCCUUAUUUAACUUUUUUUUCGCUUAUAUAAGCAGCCUCUAAGGGUUUUCCCUAGGGCAUCCAGUCUUUAUUUUCAGUUUUUACCUAGACUCGUUUUGGUAGCCGCAAGGUGUUCUUCCUGCGACUUUGUAUUUGCUUUCAAGUAUUUUAUAAUUCAGUUUUUGUUUCAGUCUUUAUCAUUUCUUGUUAUCAUGUUUUCAAUCGUUUCAUUGCUAUUGUUUUUUAUUAUGUCUGAGUAGUGAAUUGUAUUUCUGAGGAUGGGAUAGAGUAGUCGUGGUUGUUUUAGUCGAUUUAGAUGGUUGAGUUUAGAUUGUUUGAAUCCCUUCUGGAUUAGUUGCGCUUAUUGCUUGUUCCUUUCUGAUUAACUGGAAAAUGAAUCCAGACAUUCCCGCACCCAAAAGGUGUUUGAUGGAAUGUCUGAUCCACUAAUUCCAGAGAUACUCGUCUCUAUCCCAAGGUAUUGGCCGUUUAGAGCGGGUAUUGGCUUUAACAAGUUGAUUCGAUAUUGGCUGCUUAGUUAGAGAUCGCUAAUGGUGAUUAGGUCUGUGUCUAGCUCUUCUUGAGAAUUUCUAUCACGGUGGUGAAUUGAUUUGCUUUUGAACUUGUUGUCAAGGGAUAGCUUCUGUGAAGUUUUGUCAACCGUCUAAAUAGAUUAAGGAGACCACGCUAUUCGAUUACCCUGUCCUUAGGAAUCUCUCAUCCAUUUGAUUGCCUGCUAUCUUACCUGCUUUGUUAUUCAACUGCCUGCUAUUGCUAGUUUGCAUUUCGGUUUCAUUUCAUUUCUGUUAUUUCGCAUUAGGAUUGUUAGAAAACAACAACUCUCUGCUUGGCUUGACUUAGCAAAUUCUGAUCAUAUCUCAUCUGUUUGCAUCACACUAGAUUGGAUUGACACCCUAAAAUACUACAACGACACGAUAGUGUUUUAGGUUUAAUUGAGUGAAAAAUCUAUUAUCAGUUUUCGUUUUCCAUUGAUGUGGUGCUUGUUGAAUGAAUUAUGAAGUUUCUUGAGAAAAGAUUAAAGGCAAACAAUCUCCUAUUUAUAAUAGGAAUAGGGUUUGUCUUGGAAACGAAAAAUCAUUAAUGAUGUCGUGCCCAAGUAACUUAAACCAUUUUUGGAAAUCGAGAAAAGGCAGUUAUUGCAUUGAAGACGAGCCGCUUUUCCUACUUUCAAGAAAUAAGAAGGGAAAGAGCAACCGUCGCUUUUCCUACUUUCUAAGGCCCAAGCCCAAUAAAUUUACCGAGUUGACUAAACCCGAAAUGGGGAACUCGCUUUAAGCCGAGCUCAGUUCUCGCAUUCUAAAGAGAAAGGUCUGAUCAGCCUAAAAAUCUCGAAAGCAUAACCACAAGGCCACAAAAGGUUAAAAGCGGACUUUGCAAACCCGCACAUAAUUUUAACCAAACCCUCUUGGGAUCAUAACCUAGAAAGGUUUAAAAGCCUCCUCAGGCGAAUAUUUUGUUUAAGAAAAAAGGUAAUUAUAAAGCCUCCUUAGGCAAAAACAAGUUCGAAAUUAAGUUUUAAAUUAAAUGGGACAAUCCCGAGUUUAAAGCGGACACAGCCACUACGGAUUGACAGCCACCUCGGACUCCGGCUCGGCUGUCAAAAUUUCAUUCGGCUCCUUGAAUGGUGCUUGAUCAGAUGAAGUUCCAUGUCCGCCCUCCACGGUACAACCAUCCUCCGGGGUGACCUCCGGCUCGCAGGAACUUCGGGUGGGACGACAUCUUCCGUACCACUUGAUCCUAGGAAGGACAGUUCCAGUCGAUUAAAAAAUAUAAGGCAAGAAAAAGGUGGUAAGUGUCAGAAGCCAAAGAUUACCUGCCCAGUCUAGACCCGAUUCACUUAUAGGAGGUGAUUCUGUGAAGAAUUCCUCGAAAUUGUGAGGGUCGAAGGUCGAAGUAGGAAUAGCUGCCAAGCGACUCCGCUUUUCAGAUAGAUUAGCCGACAGUUCGGUCCUUUCUUGCACUUCGGAGAAAUCUUCAUCAUGGAUUUGAUCCAACAGAAUCAGGUUGCUCUCGUGCUCCUUGAUAUCUGAUUCCAGAUCUGACCUAGCCUUCUCGGUUUAAAUGAAGCAUAUAGCCCCUUGAAUCAACUCCAUUCCGCGUCCCUUGACCUCUUUUCUGGCCUUCGAAGCCGACCAUACCAACUCGGAAUCUCGCAGCUUGGUUAUUGCCUUGUACUUCGCAUCAAGUUCGGCAAGUUGUUUAUGCAAGGUGUAAGCAGUUGAUUCGGAUUCACAGAGCCUACCUUGAACGCCGGUAAAUUCAUCCUGAAGUUGAUUAUUCCGGUCAUAUUGGUCUUGCAACUCGCCUUUCACUUUUGCGAGUUCGGAUGUGAGAUUGUCAACUCGGUCUUCCAGUUCUUGUCUAGAGCUGGAAGAGGAGUGAAGAACGGCCUCAAGAGCAGAAAGUAUUUUCUUCCACGUAACAAUCUCCUUUUCCCGGUCAAUGACCAGCCCCUCGUAGUGUUCAAUCAUGUCGUUAAGCUCGCCGUUAGCCUGGCAUGAUGCAUAAAACCGGGAUGGCCAGUCAGUUCGAAGAAUGGUAGCACAGUCAUAAAAAUAAAGCGGAACUAACCCGAGAUGAAUGAUGAGCAUGAAGCAAGUAGCGUUCAUGAAUCGCAGGGCGCCACUUGUCGAAAUCUGGCAAGAUCGCACCCGAUCGGGUCUUGAAGCAUCAGAAAACGCUGCCUUCUUUCUCCAUAGCUGCGAAGGAAGAAGAGUUGUAGAAAUUGGAAUCUGAACAAAGACAAAAACUUUUAAGUGAAUAUAAACCACCAAACCUGAAAGCGAUUUGACUUGGGGGACAAGAACAGGCUUCAACAACUUCGAGGAAGCAUCUCGAAACUCAGAAUCUCCCUUUUUAGGAGAUGCGCUCUGGGCAGUCUUCUCGCUAUCAGGCUGGGGAAAGGAAGACAUAUCAACAGGUCGGGGAGGACCCAUUGGUUCAGUAGGAGGGGACGAUCGAGGUGAACGGUCAGUCCGGGCCCUUGAUUUCUCCCUUCGCGGAGAAGAGUCACCACGGGAUGACUUGUCUCUCUUCCUGCGAACCAAGUUCUUAAGUGGUUCGUUGCUAAAAUCAUCUCGGGGAGGACGAGGAGAAUCACGACGAGGAGAUCGGUCUCUCCGAGGAGAACGUUCGUCACGACGUUCGCGACGAGGCGUUAACCUAUAAGCAGCAACGGAUCUGGCUCCCUCGGUGCUGUUGUCAUCAACCAGCAGGGUCCUGCUGUAGUCUUUUUUGUCAAUGGCGGCCGCAAGGAACGCCUUGUUUUCAUCACAAGCCUCUGCUAUCGGCUUGGAGAGUUUCUUACGCUGGGCAGUAAGGGCCCGAGCUGACAUUCCCUGAGUUGAGGGAGGAGGCGGAAGACGAUGAAGUAGAUUGGGGGGACUCAUCCUGAGUUUUCGGUUGGCUUCGACGAACCGAUCGAGGGUGAAAGAAUUCCAAAGGGUUUCCCCUUCAAGAAUUGUUUUGAAGAACUUGACAAAUUCUUCAGUCGGAAGAGUCGAAGCGAUAAAAGCUGCGAAGUGAAACAACGAGUUUGAUCAGUAAAAAAUAAAACAACCAGGAAAGGAAUAUACGACCUAAUUUCUAUCAGGCUUCGCAGACCACUUCCAUGGGAGUACAUCGGAAAGAUUUCCAAUUGAAGCAGGAGUUUUCGUAAUCCGGAACCAAGGAUGGUGCCAGUUUUCAUCUUUGUUCGGGAGGUGCGAAAUGACGUUCCUGUUGGCGUUUGGAUACGCCGAGAAGUACCCUGUUUUCUUUGAUGAACUCCUUACGCUUAGGAGUUCAUUCAGCUCGGGGACUCCAAUAACGUAGCCAGCCUCUGCCGCAACGGUUAUGAUCCCGAGGAUGGUUCGGAGGAGAUUGGGGGUUAGUUGAGGUAAAGCAAUCUCAAGAGCCGCCAAGAAUCGAACUAGGGCUUUGGGAAAGGGGAAGGUCAAUCCGCAGCCCUUGAAGUAGAUUUCGUAAACACAAAAGUAGCCAUCGCGGUGGUUCUCCGGGGAUUCCGUAGGAUCGGCUAUCUGUGCUUCCGCUAUGAUUCCAGGAGGAAUUUGACAAAGCCCCUUUAAUCGCUCGAGGGAUUGAAGAAUACAGGUGGAUUUGUAAUGAGGACCGGCAAUGUUGUUAGGACGAGUGCAUUCGUCGUUGCUAGAACGUCUCUCAUCGUAAGACGGAGAUUCAGGUCUCUCAGAAUCGGAAGUCAUCGGAGAAAAAUGAAAAAUUCAAGAUCCGGCGAAGAGGGGUUCGGCGAAGAAAAGUAGAGAGAAGUUUUGAUUAAAGCGCAAAAGUAAAAGUAGAAAAUAAUGGUGAAAAGAAGUUACCUUACACAAGCUAAAUGAUGGAACCGCCUCGGAAGUUGUGUGGGAAGUGGGAAGGUUUUUCCCAUUUUAAUAGUAAUUAAUUAAUAUACGGUCAUAAUGAUGAUAGAUGUCACUCGGUUAAAAAUGGCUAGUGCCGAAAUUAAAGGAGUGAUGAGAUUUUCGGCGGGAAAUCAGAAAGAUUCUCGAGCGCAAUCUUUGGUCAUUUAAGCAUUUAAAGUCCUCCGAAUUGGAAUGGCAUUUCGAAGAACUUGGGGGGCUAAUUGUUAGUGUCGGAUCCCGCACCAGAGGUCCAGGACCAACCAAAAAUUACCAUGUAGUCAGGGUAACGGCCCAUAAAGGAUAAAGCCCAUUGGACCCACAAGUCAAAAGAACAGUCGAAGUGGUUAUCACCAUAAGGAGAAUCCGAAGUGACUGCACUUCGACACCAGUCCAGAGACGAAGUCAUGGUCAAAUCGGUCCAAGGACAUUUGGGCCAAAAGCCGAGGCCCAUGAAGAUCAGGAUCAAUUCAAAUUCGAACGUUAAGCAUUAAAAUCAAAACGGACGCAUUUAAGAGAAUAAUUGUACUUAAUUAGCCAUUUAAAUGUCGUUUUUCUAUGUAUAAAUAUAAAGGCCAAUGACCAUGUAAAGGGGAUCUUCCUCUCGAGUAAGAAAUACUAUAGCAAUUUUUGUAGCAAUUCAUAAGUUUUUGCAUAUUUAUUUUUGUCCCUCAAGAGUAAUCUUUCCUACUUAAUAAAAAUACUUGAGUGUGUGAAUCCGACAUCCACACUGACCAGUUAUGAGAAGAAGAAGUUCUUCAGAGAUAUCAACCACUACUACUGGGAUGAACCUUAUCUGUACAAGAAAGGAUCGGAUGGUCUCUUUAGAAGGUGCAUUGCUGAGGAGGAAGUACAAGGAGUGCUGGAACAUUGUCAUUGUUCUGCAUAUGGAGGGCAUUUUGCAACUUUCAAAACAGUUCAGAAGGUAUUAUAUGCUGGACUUUGGUGGCCUUCCAUGUCCAAAGACGCCCACGGAUUCAUAACCAAAUGUGAUCCCUGCGAGAGGAUGGGGAAUAUAUCUAGGAGGAAUGAAAAGCCACAAAACCCGAUCUUGGAGGUUGAAGUUUUCGACGUUGAGAGAAUCGAUUUCAUGGGUCCUUUCAACCGUUAUUCUCAUGGGAAUAAUUAUAUCCUAGUUGUUGUGGAUUACGUCUACAAAUGGGUUGAAGCCAUUACGUCACCAACUAAUUAUCAUAAGGUAGUCUUGAACCUGUUCAAAAGCAUAAUUUCCCCCAGAUUUGGUGUACCUAGAGUUGUGAUCAGUGACGGUGGUUCUCACUUCAUCAACAAAGUCUUUGAGAGAUUGUUAAAGAAGCAUGGUGUCAAGCACAAGGUUGCUACUCCUUAUCAUCCUUAGACUAGUGGCCAAGUAGAAGUAUCUAACCGUCAGAUCAAAGCUAUACUUACUAGAGUUGUUGGUGUUUCAAAGAGAGAUUGGUCUACCAAGUUGGAUGAUACAGUUUGGGCCUACCGGACUGCCUACAAGACGCCUAUAGGAAGAACUCCAUUCUAGAUGUUGUAUGGAAAGUCAUGUCACCUUCCAGUCGAGGUUAAAUACAAAGCAAUCUGGGCAACCAAGUUAUUAAAUCCGGAUAUAAAGGAGGCUCAAGAGAAGAGAUCAGUUGACUUACACGAACUUGAAGAGAUAAGGCUGGAAGCUUAUGAGAGUUCAAAAGUGUAUAAGGAGAGGACAAAAGCUUUCCAUGACAAGAAGAUUAUCACCAAAGACUUCAAGGUUGGUGAGUGCUGCUAUUCAAUUCUUGUCUGAAGCUGUUUCCGGGUAAAUUGAAGUCAAGAUGGUCAGGACCCUUCUGCAUCAAGGAGAUCCAUCCUUAUAGAGCAAUCACUCUAGCUGGUAAGAGUGGAGAUUUCACAGUGAAUGGCCAAAGGUUCAAGAAGUACUAGGCAGAUCAAAUCCUUUCAGAGAUGACCUCAGUUCAUCUCCAGGAACCUCUUGAUGUUUAAGGGAGUAAGGAAGUCAAGCUAAUGACUUAAAACAAGUUCACUUGGGAGGAAGUCCCAUGUCUAUCUCUGUACAUAUUUUUGUUUUCCUUGUUAUUUUUAAUGCAUUUUGGUAGUGCUUUCAGGAGAUAAGUGUUAAGAGCUGAGUGAAGUCGAUUCUAGCUCUAAGUGUGCAAUAGAAUACUCGACCACAUCCUGCAAGGAGCAAGUGUAGCUGUGCAAUCGAGUAUGAGGCGGUUUUCAGUCUCAAGAUUUUUGAAGUUUUAACAUGUCACUCUAUCACGCGAGGCCAUGUUCUGAUGAAGAGUGUGGUCGAGUAUAUGUGAUGAUUUUGGCCCAAAAUUUUUAAAAAUCAUCACUAUACUCGAUCAGCAAAAGCCACUUGGUGUUUAGAGGAAGAUGUCGAGUAUGACGUUGUUUUUGAUCCAAAACUUCACAAACUCAUCAUCAUACUCGAUCAACAAAAGCUACAGAAACCUAUAGUAAAUUGGUAGAGUAUACAAAAGGUAGCGGUUCGAUAUGAGAUUUUUUUGGGUCAACUAAGAACAGUGUUUUCCCACUAAGAGACAGAAGUGUGACCUACCAUGUCUCCUUGUUCCCCAACUCAACGAUUUCAACGAAUCAACUAAGGGAAGAGGCGUUUCUUUCUCAUGAAGGGUCAAGCAUUAUCACCCACACACUUAUUUCGCAAGAGAUAAGCAUUAUCACCCACACACUUAUUUCACAAGAGAUAAGGUACAUUUCCUCCAUCUCUCUCAUUUCCGUCUUCUACCUCACUCUCUCUUCUCUCACUCUCGACCGACACUUUACUUUCCUUAUCCUAUCGCAAUCUCUCAUCUCUCUCCAUCUUUUUCCAACGACACUCUCAUUCAACUCUCACCUUAUCUCUUAUCUCAAAUCGCAAAAAUCAUCUCUCUCACUUCGCUUUCCACCAUCAAAGCUUCAAAACACCCCAAGAACAACCAUUCUUCACUCAUCCAUCUCCCUAAUCGCUUACCCUUCCAUUUCUCUUUGAAUUCGUUUUCAUUCUCACUCUUCACUACCGUUAUCAAGUUCAUCUUUUUCAUCUCCUCAACCUCCAUCAUCCUUAAUCUUCAUCACUUUACCACCAUCUCGAGCCGAUUUCUCUUUUGUUUCUCCGAUUUGGGAACCAAUACUCUUCAAGCUGUUGGGUUGUUACUCUUGUCAAUUCAUCACCCUUGAAGCUUGACCGUACUCGACCACAUCGAAGAAGAAGACGACUCACCUGAAAAGAAGCUACUCGACCGUUGUCAUCAACACUCGACCGCCGUUUCACCAAAGUACUCGACCGUGAGAAAGGAGACUCACUCAACCGAUCACCACAACUUAUUUUAGAAAGAGAAGAAAAGGGUUGAGAUACUCGAUGCUAUACUCGACCGCACUCUACCUCAAUUCGUCGUCUCAAAGUACUCACCGCUGCCUCCAACACACAACCACUAAAGUCACUCAACCACAAACCAAGAAGAAAAUCAUAUUCUCGACCUCGCAACUCAACACAUACUCGACCUCCUCUCGACCGUAUCACCUCGUUAACCACUCGACCGCAAAAAUCAGAAACCACUCAAACCGGUUUACUCGACGCUAUACUUGACCAACACCGGUUUAUCUCUCAAAACAUUUCCUAUUUUGUAUUCAUAACUAUCUCUUGAAACUAACCUAUUAACGUUUUGCAUUAAGUUCUAAUUCUUUUCAGGAUCAUCAUAAGCAAUUAAAGUGGCGAUUAAUCAAUGGAUGCUGAUAACAACGUCGAUGAAGCUGAAUCCUAAUCUACAAGAGCAGAAAGAGAAAAACAGGCAUACGAGGGUUUCAGAACAAAAAUGGAACGCUCUGCAGGUCGUCGUAGUCAGAGACGAGCUGAGAUAGGACGAGGGAAGAGGGCACUCACGGAGAGAUACAAACUGGUAGAUGAGGACUUGGAAGUCGAGUAUGUGCCUGAGCAAUCUGGCAGAGCCACAAAGCUUCUACACAAGCCCGACGAACUAACAGUUGAAGAGUACAUCAAACUCUUCAAGCUAAAUGAUUUAUGGGGAACAAGAUAUUUGUCCUCUCAAACACUGGCACAGUUGGGGUUACUCGAAGACAUUCAGCAUUUGUUCUAGAGUUAUCACUUGGAUACUCUAAUGUCCUACCCAUAUGUUGCCUACAAGGAGGAAACCAUUCAGCUCCUCUCCACACUGCAAGUGGAGCUCUACCAGGGGUUGACAGAAGACGAGUUGGAGAGUGAAGGAUUGGGAUUCUUGACAUUCUCCGUGUAUGGCUAGAGGUACAUGUUGACGAUCAAGCGCUUAGAAGGAUUGUUUGGUUUUCCUAGUAGAACGGGAACCAAACCAAAGUUUGACAGAGGUGAGUUGAAGGACUUGUGGCUCACCAUUGGAAGCUCCGCACCGCUGAACUCUGCGAGGUCUAAGAGCAACCAAAUGUGCAGCCCUGUUAUCAGAUACUUUCAGCGUUCAGUGGCUAAUGCCCUCUACUCUAGAGAGAUAACAGGCACUGUGACCAACUCUGAUAUGGAGAUGAUCGAUUCAGCUCUCAGGGUACUCUCCACCAAACUAAGAAUGGUUUAACUCUGCAAGGUGAUAUCAGUGACACACCUCCAGCAAUACUUCUUUUGAUCCACCUAUGUGGAUACAAGAAGUGGGCGAUCACUAACAACAACAAGAGAGCACGAGGAGCUUUAUGCAUAGGAGGUGUUGUGACACCAAUUCUGAUCGCCUACAAGGUUUCAAUCACAUCUGAAGGAACUAAUCCAAGAGCAAUGAACUUCGAGCAUUUGCAUCACUGUGAGUUCCUCGAGUAUGGAAUGGUUGGCGACAGGCAUCGUUACCGGUUUGAGCAUCCAACGAACAAGAAAGCUAACAUCUUUCUCCCCUGCCUUGCAGCUACACGCAUCAUAGAGGGAAACAACAUUGACUUUGAGCCUGCAAUUGAUGACCUAUAUGUCGAGAGCGCUCAGUCAAUGGAUGAGGAUGUUCCUGUAGAAGAAGCUGUAGAAGAAAAAGAUGAUGAGAUGGAUGAGGAUAGCAAAGAGGAGUAUGAUACAAGAAUGUAUCACUUUGGCGAGCAAGUAGCACCAGCGAGGGAGAGUAAGAGCUUGAGUGAAGCUCACAAAAAUGCAAGCCUGCUGAAGAAGUGGAACAAGAAGCAGGAUAAGAUCAUCGCUAAGUCCCUGAAGACUAUCAAGUCUCUGAAGGUUAUGAUAAGUUGCUCCUCUUCCAGCACGGCUAUGCCACAGGGACAGCCACCUCAGGACAUGCCCUCAAGGAGAUAUGAUGAGCCUAAGCCAAGGCAAUACGGGCCUGAGCCAAGUGAGCAUGGAGUCUCACAUGUCCCUGCGAGGCAUUCCUCACACGAGCCUCGGGAGCACAAGAGAAGGAAGAGAGCUGAAUUUGCUCGCUCUAGCAGCAAGGCACGACUUCUCCAUGUUAGAAGUUCACUCGACCGCGGUGCUGGCCGCAACAGAGGAGAAGAGGUCAAGUAUCACGAGGGAGAUGGAGCUGAGACACAACAGGGAGACUCUUCAAUGGCCUGGCAGGAAUCGCAGGCAGGCAUUGAUGAUCACCUCCGCUCCUUCUUCGAUUGAGGUACGCACUACUCUCCACCAUUGUUAAAUACCAUCCUUUGUUUGUUUUUGUUUCUGUGAUGUUUUUGUCCUGAGUACUCUCUUCCAAAUUUGGUCACACAGAGGACUGUGUGAUUUAAGUUUAGGGAGGGCUCAAGAAGUGUUUGUUAUCUAAUAAAGUUUCUUUUGUUCUUAUUUUCAAAAAAAUAUUUCAUUGUACAUACUCUUGAGUCUGCAUGCAUCUAUGUUUUUGAAAAAAGCCUAAAAAUUUGAAAAAUUUCUGAAAAUGAUUUCACAAAAACAGAGUGUUCAUGUAGUUGCAUUUUCAUCUUAAGAUAGAGUCUAGAAUGUUUCAUAUAGGAGUGUUGCAUAUGCAUAGGGGAUGAUGAUGAGAGAACCUUGUCAUCAUGCUCAUUUACUGGAUGAAUUCAAUGCCCUUGUUGUUAGCUGUUUAAUGCUUGUGAUAGAACUUGAAGUAAGACAGAACCAUAUUUGGAAUUCACAACUUGACUCUCUUGUUCUGAUUAAAGCAUGCUUGAUGUGAUUCUUUUCUCUGUCAAUAUGAACAUGAACUUGACUUAUAAUUAUCAUGUCUUUGCAUUGUUGUUGAAGUUGUGGCUACCAAUACACAUACUUGGAUUUUCUUUCACCUUCCACCACUCUUGCUAAUCCAAGUAGCUGAUUCCCAUUAUUGGAACAGUUUCCCCUACCCUGAACCUAGCCUUUCUUUCAAGACCUAAAUAAAUUUGUGUGUGUCUGAGGCCUAUUUCCAUAUUGAGCUUGGUAGAAAGUGUUAGGUAAGAACCAACAAAAAUGGUAUCCCAUGUAGUUCUAGUCCACGCUUUUUGGGCUAGAUAGGACUAGGUGGGAUUUUUACUUUGGGUUUGGGAAUGUGUUUGGAAAGAAAAAGAGAAAGAAAGACAAGUGUUAAAUGUUCUUAGGAGAUAGAAGUGAAAUAGAAAAGAAUAUCUUGUUAGUCUAGUAAAGGAUUUGGGAAGCUGGAAAAUAAAAGAAGUUAGGCUUUGUACAAAGUAAAAAGGAAGGCAAAAGCCUAGAAAUGUCUUAAGUCAUGAGAUGAAAAGAAGAGCCUUAGAUGUUAAAGAGAGUCCCAAUCCGCUAGAAAGUCUAAAAGAAAACCUCUCCUUGGAACAGAACCAAAAAGAAAAAACGGGUUGAUCCAAAAGUAAAUGGAAACAUGCCUUGAGUGCAAAGGGUAGAACUAGGAUCAUUUAUGGGGUUUAGAGAUAGGACCAUCUAUUGGAUUUAAUAUGCUCAUUGUUGUUUGGGUAGAUGAGAUCUGUUCUUGUAUGCAUAGGUUGGUUCUAACCUUUAGCAUUAUGCUAAAGCUCGGUCCAUUCGUGAGAGUUCCCUGUUACUAUGAAAAAAUCUGAAACCAUUUACAGAGGAACCAUCUUUGUUUCUCAGCCUUGUCCUUUAAACCAAAUGAGUUCUUCAACAAUGUCUUGCUUGAUUCACGAUUUGAACUUAAUGAAUGGUAAAGGGAAUUGAUGAUCUGAAGGUGUGUGUAGAUUGGAACAAAUGUUAAGUUGUCUUGUGAUGAAUAUGGCUAAAGUUUUUGAGUAGAGUUUGGUCUCUAUGCAUUCCACAACUACUAACUUAGACAUUGAGUUCAUUUGCUUUGUUUGCAUGCUUUGGUUCUGAGUCCCCGCUUUCAAACUUUUCCUCCAGCUUGUUCUUAAUUGUUUGCUUAAGGGAAAUCAAAGAAUAAGUUUGGGGGAGUUGAUAAGUCUGUAUUUUACUUGUUUUGAGCAUUCAUUUGUCAUCGCUUUAGCAUCGUUUCAUCACUGUUUCAUACCAUUCUCCAUCAUUUAUCUUCACUUUGCAUAUUUAGGAUAGUUUUGCAUACAUUUUGCACUUCUGAGUUGUUUUCAGGUGAUUUGGAGCUGUUGGUGAGCUGAUUGGAAGAAGCAAAGCAGAAUAAAGCACAUAUUCGACAACCACUCGACUGUGUGGUCGAGUAUCUCUAGCACCAAUCCUACUCAGUUACUCGACCGCGACUCUAGCACCACCACUCGACGGUAUGGUCGAGUACUUCAACAAAUUCUUCCUCAAACUACUCGAUCUCAACUCACCUAUGCAAGCUAUCAACAAAUACUCGACCAAGUACUCGACCUUGUUGGUCGAGUAUCCGCAUCACCUCAUACUCGGCAACAUGGUCGAGUAACCGCAGCACGCACCACAUGACAUCACACUCGACCUAGCAGCUUCAGAGUCUUCUUAAAUCUGCACUCAACCAGACAUUUGAGCAUAAAGAAGAGAAGAGGAUGAAGCAGACACUCGACCUACCACUCUACCUAAACACUCAACCACGUUGUGACCAGAGCAAGAAUCCGCAAAGACUUCAGCUUUACUCGACCGAGCAUACUCGAUCGCAUGGGUCGAGUGUCCCCAUAAACCGCUUUAGUAUUUUGUCGUUUUGUAUUUUAGAGCUUCCUAGUAUUUGCUAUAAAUAGGUUGUUUCCCUUAAUUUUCGACUUAAGUUUUAUUCUGCAGAACAAUUAGUGUUUUCUUCACAUUUGUAAUCCAAAUUACUCUUAAUCUAUUCAGUAUUUGCUUUUGAUUUCUUCUACAAAGUUGUUCAUCUUGUUAAGAUCUUGUUGUUAUGAAGUUUUAAUGCAUUUCUGGGUUUAUGUUCUUGGUUAUGAAGUUUGAGUAGUGAUUAGGGUUCUUGAGGAUGGGCUAGGGUAGUUUAGAAUCCUUAAUCUGCUAGGUAGUUGAGUUUGAAUGGUAGAUCUCUUCUGGAUUAGUUGUUCUUAAUGCUAAUGAUCAACUGGAAUUUGAGCCCAGACAUUUCCGCACCCAGAAGGUGUUCGAUGAAAUGUUUGAACCACUAUUUCCAAAGAUUUGUGUCUCUGUACCAAGGUGUUGGUUACAGAGAGCGUUUUGGCUUUAACUUGUUGAUUUGUAAUGCCUGUUAAGUUAGCUUUCGUCAAUGGUGAUUGAGUCUGGAACUAGCUUAGCUUGAGGAUCUCUGAUGCGAUAGCACUUUGAUUUAGUGUUGAACUUGUUGUCUAGGGAUAGUUUGUUGAGCAUGUCAACUACUCGAUUACCCCAUCCUCGGGAAUUUCUCUUCCAAUUGAUUUCUCUGUUUGCAUUGCUAUUGGUUGCUUGUUCUUGUUUCAUGUUGUUUAGUUUUUGCAUUUCUUAUCUGUUUUCACUCUUAUACUCGACCACACCCAGUGUCUGGCAACAAACUGUGCGGUAGAGUAUAUCUGUCGUAUUUCCUGUCUAUUACCCGACCUGUUACUCGACCACCCCCAGCUCAUGGUAUCAGCCAGUUGUGGUCGAGUGUUUUUCGUAAUUCUGCUAGAAUUUUUGUUUUCUACAAGUUCACUUAGGACUGUUAGAAACCCGCAAACCUGUUUUUGUUUGGAUUGACACCUUAAAAUACUAUAAUGACAUGAUAGUGAUUUAAGGAAUUGAGAACUAGUUAAAAUCCUACUAUCAAGCUUUUGCGGAGGCAUCUUUCAGCUGAUGAGUUGAAAUGGUUUUUGGAGCAUCCACAGUGAGUGCAAUGGUGGUGGUGAUAAGAAUUAUCACGUUGAAGAGAGUGCAAUGGUGGUGGUGUAAAUGACAUGGCAAUUAUGUGGCAAGUUUAGUGUUGAAAAUUAUCAACAGAGUUGAUUAAUUUUGAGUGGCCACAUGGAACACUCUCAUUGGUUGCUUAGGUUGUUGUUCUUUUUCUUUUCACCUCUAUUAUUUAACAUAAAUUAUUUUUUAAUAAUAAUAUAUUAUAUAUAAUUUAUACCAAAAUUCAUCAUUUUUUUAUACUCUAUGCAUAGAGACUCGUUUCAUUUGAUUUGGACACAAAAACUUUUUGUACUAUAUUUUUUUUUCCAAUUACCUUUCAAUAAUUUAGUUUCAAACAGCGUUUUAAUAAAUGGAUUCAAUUAAUAUUUUUCCAGAUUGGUAGUAACGUUUUAGCAGAAGGGAGAGGAAAUUACUGUAACUUUUUACAUUAUGUUUCUGCCAACACGUAUAACCAAUCACACCCCUUGUUCUAAAACGCGGCCACCUAGGCCGUUAAAUCGGCGAUUAGACGCUCGGCGGUUGGCAGCCGCAGCGAUUACACCAAAAUCGGUUAUGUAAUCGGAAAUCUAAAAAAAAGUUUCAUUUUUAUGGAUUAUAAGGUUGAUAACGUAAGAUGGAUUAUAGAUCUGUUGUAAUUAGGUAAGAAUCCAGAGAAAAACAAAGGAAAAAUGACAUAAUUGUGAAAAAAAAACUGAAACGGCAGAAAUUAGGGUUCUGUGGUCGCAGAGGCAAUGAAGAAGACGAGGGCAAAUUUGUAAUUUCACGUUUCAAUAAAGUCAAAAAUGAAGAAAAUAGCAAAAUCGCAUUAUAUAGGUAUCGAACCUUGGAUAGGUGCAUUCGAAAGGGCGGACGUGGACCACUAGACUAAACAACAUUCUUAAUUUUAUCAUCCGUAUUUUAGUAUAUAUACAUAUAUAUAAUAAAAUUAUAUAAAAAAAUCCCCGAUUAAUUCCCGUUUAAUCUCCGAUUUUCUCUCUAGGCGCUAGGCCCAAUCCGAACGCCCGACUAGCGCCUAGCGAUUUUUUGAACAAGGAUCACACCCUAUAAUCCUCAAAAAAAAAAGUAUUGAUGAUUUUGUGGACCUCGAUGUGAUGAGGUUUAGCGGGCUCUCUAAGGGGCCUUGAUGUAAUUGUUCCCAAAAAGAAAAAAAUCCUCAAAACAGUAAUAUUUACCACAAAAAAGAAUAUUCUUUGAGGGCUGUAAACCUAGAAACUUGUACUAUAUAUGCGUCGUUUUUAUAAGUCCCAAAGUUGUACAAUUGUCAUAUCCCAUCUUGCUCUUAUUCUCGCAGCGCAGUGACGGAGACGACUCUAGACAUGGACAAGGUAAAGCCGAGAACUCCUCCACUCUCUUUAGUUAAUCGUUUCUGAUGUUGAAUCUUUCCCUUAUCUGUUUAAUCAUUUUCUUUGCUUGAUUUUCUCGAUUAUGAUUAAACAUGGACUCUAGCUUUUCUUUGUUUAAUCGUUUCUUUGCCAUCUUGUUUACUUUAAUAAUAAAUAGUUAUUAAAAAUAGUCGUGAGAUACUCAAAGAUCGAAAUAGAAUCUGGAGAUCCCGAGAUCUCUAGCAGAGAUCUGAAGAAUACGGCGGAUGAGGACCUUAAUGAGGGAUUUGUUCUCCCUAUUGAAAAAAACGCUAAAGUAUUAUUUUUCUUCUGAGGAGAAGCCUUAACUUAUUCGUUAUGUUCUUUUUCCUUUACAUGCCUGAUAAAGAGCUUAGAUUAGUCCAGUUUUGAUGAUUUUGUACAUUCUAAUAUGUCUCCUUAACUGUUUUGUGAAGCAUUGCAUCAUUGAGUUUGAUGGAGCUUCGAAAGGAAACCCAGGAAGAGCUGGUUCAGGAGCUGUUCUGCGUAAUUCAGAUGGAACUGUCAUCGCCUCCUACCGUGAAGGAUUAGGCACUGCAACAAGCAACCAGGCGGAAUAUCGAGGUCUGAACCGUGGCUUGGAGGCUGCUCGCGAAAAAGGGUAUACACACGUGAAGGCCUAUGGGGACUCUGAGCUUGUCGUUAAGCAGGUCAGUUGACUUACAAGUAUCUAUCUUCUGUUUACUCUCUCGAAGACCUUCUGAUAGCUAUCUUGAAACAGACUCGGGGUGAAUGGCAAGUCAGACACCCGAGAAUGGCAGAGCAGUGGAAGCAGACGAACGAGCUUAAGAGCCAAUUCAAGUCAUUCGAUAUCACGCAUGUUCCCAGGGUAUUAUUGCACAGAUCCUUUCAUGUUUUGAACAAUCGACAACCGCUUGUCUAAUUUCCAAACUAUCUAUGGUCUGCAGGAAUACAACUCUGAAGCUGAUAGCCAUGCAAACAGCGGGACCUAUCUCCAAGGUGACUGAUUUUUCGCUUGCAAUCUGAAUUCAAUUAUAUUUCCCAGGGGAAUUUAGUUAAGUUUGAUCUUGUUUCUGCUCCUCUUUGAUGCCCUCUUAGAUGGCCAGGUCCAAGAGAUUCCAGGCAAGAAGAGCUACUACUGAAGUAGAGAGAGAUCUUCAUCUUCCACAUGCUUUGAAUAACAUGCUUUUCCUUUUCUUCUUCACUUCAGAUAAACAUGUUUUCAAUCUCCCUUUAGAAUUACAAAACAAUGUUUUUUUUUUUUUGAAAUUAUUAGCUAAAAUUUACUGCUUUUCUUGGUGGUCACUGGUCAAGAAUUAUAUGAUUCACACACACUACAAAUUCAAGGAACAAAAGAAAGUAGUCAGAAAGAAUUUAGAUUCUUGAAUCCAAACCCACAAGUGAAAUUAGAAUAUUAUGAACAGUGCUUUCACCUUUCUCCUGGUUAAGCAAUUUCCCGAGAACUCGAGCUACCAUGGACCAUGGUUUUACCUGUUAUUUGGAUAUACUUAAAUCGUCAUGUAUUGGUUUGAUUGAAAGACAGAGAACCAUAAAUACAAAUCUUUUCUUCUCACCUGUUCCAGGAUUUCAAAGAAAUGCCAUAUGUGGAGUUCUUCGAGUUCCAAUGUUUAGCCCAAGAGCCCUUCGCCUCUCAUCUAAAAGCAUUCCUUCAGUUGUGUCUUCAGCUCGCUUAAACCAACAAUAUUUGAUAACUCGUCCAUCUUGGCUUUUGUCUUACCACAUUGCUCAAACGCACUUCUUUUCCUCUGCUCUUGGAGAAACCAGCGCAACAAUUCCCACAAAGAUGGAUUAGGAAACGAGUAGGAAGGAAUUUGACCAAAGAAAAUCAGCAAUUUUGACAAGUCCAAGAUCAGAGAAAAUCACCUGAUUCUUGAUCGUAUCGAAGAAUUGAGCUAUUGAUCUUCAAAACAAGUGAGAAGUGAGAGAGAGAGAGAGACGUGUACGUCUUUGGUAAAGGCUUCUUUCGUAUUAUAAUUAAAUCAAAAAUAUAUGAAUAAGAUAUGAAUUCGAAAAACUACAUAACAUCAACUUGGGUAGAUAGAAACACAUGGGUUUAGCUGGGUAAUUACUAAUCGGAAAAAUAAAUGAGACAGAAACUCCACCUAAUUAUCAUUUCAUCAUAUUUUUUUAUAAUAUCUUUCUAAGUAAAGUUAAAUAUUUUUCUUUUUUGUUAUAUUUUUUUUAAUAAUGUAUAUAAUAAUUUCUUAAUUAUUUAAAUAUUUUUGAAGUUAAAAUUUAAUUUACUUUUAUAAAAAAUAACAAAACUUAAGUCCGUACAUGGCAUGGACCAUAAUGCUAGUAUAUAUAUAUAUAUUUGUGAGGGUAAAUAUGGGUCUUACUAAACAAAGCCCAGAUUAUCUGUAUUUUUUUUUAAAAAAUUUAUUAUUAUUAUUAUUUUUUUUUUAUAACUCGGGUGUCCGACCCCACCGAGGUGGAACCGACUAGCGUGGAACCCACAUGCGUCAUCUGCCCUAGGGUACCCCACAUCCCAGAGAGCUGGCGAUUCCCUCAUGUAAAUCCGCCAGUGGCCGUGUCUCGAACCCUGGUGGCAGAAGUCACAGCCGUGACCCCUUUACCACUAGGCCACAAGGCCCGGUUAAAAAUUAUUUUUUUAUGUGAUAAGAUUUUUUGUUUCCUUGUUUGUUUAAGUUUAUAUAUAUUUUGAUAAAUUAGAAUUGAAAAUUGAAAACAAAUAAUAUUAUUAUUGUUUGAAAUGAAUAUGUUUUACUGAUUUAAUAUUUUAAAAUUUACCGUUAAAUUAAUAUCUUGAAAUAUCAAAAGUUAUAUUUUUACAAAAUUAUACAAGUUUACGUUUAUAAAAGAAUAUCAUGUUAACUCUAUUUUAUUAGACUGUCUUUCAAUAGUCAUAGCUAUGGUUCUCAGUACUCCAAGAAUUAACCACCAGAAUAAUUUCUCCUUUUUCAUCGAAUGUAUAUUCUUAUGUCGUAUUUUUCAUAAUUUAUAUCAUUAUUAUCAUAUUAUUUUAUCAGAUCUAUCUAUAGUAACUUUAGUUUAACUUUUAUUUUUCAUAUUCAUUACGUAUAAUUUAAUAACUAAUUUUUUUGUUUUAUCUGCAUAUUGUUAUACUAGAAUAGACGGAAAAAUAGCGCCAAGAAUUGGUAAUAGUAAAACUAUAAGUGAUCAAAAAUUAUAACAAGAUAUGUUGAACAACAAUGGUAAAACAAAAUGUGUGAUCUUACUUGCGACAAAAUAAAAUAAUGACGAAAUAAUCAAUCACAAAAUAAAUUGUAUGGCUUCGAUCCUGCUCGGUGUUUGAUGGGUGUUCCGAUUGAGCCUAUCAUUCUUUUGCUUCUAAAGUGGAAGAGAAACUGCUCAAACUUAUUUUUGCCAAGAGGAAACGACAACAUAGAGAGGACCUUGUACAGCACUAAUGUAACUGAUUAGAGGUCCAUAUUAAAAGGAGUCCAAGAUUUAAUUCAAAAACUGGCCAUUUCCAGGCAAAAUUCGAAACUAGUUAGAAGCUGAAGCAGUCUCUCUAACUAACAUUUGAGUGAGUGGAAAAUCAUACAAAAGGUAUGAGUACUGGGACUGCGGGAUAAUAACUAGACAAGUGGAGCGUCACAUGGGAGAAUUAUGAUCAUCAUGCACAUGAUUAGGAGCAUGACAUUCGCUGGUCUCAUCUUCUAAUAUUCUCUUAUUUUCUAGUGUUUUUCUUUAUAACUAAAGCUGUCAACAGACUCAACACCGGAAAAAAAUACACACACAAGCCAAGACAAAUCCAAACUCGACCUUGGACCCUUCCCCAUUUUCCUAUCGUCUGGUCAAGUCAAAUAUGGCUUUUGCCAAUUUGAUUUUUAUUAUAUACUAAAGUGCUAUUUGCCACACACAAAAAAAAAAAAAAAAAAAAAAAAAAAAAAAAAAAAAAAACCAACCGUAGGGGUUUUUUUUUUUUUUAAGCCAUAUUUGACUUUUAUUAUAUAAACAAUUUGAGGUGAUAUUUUAUCGUCAACCACAUUAUCUUUUCGGCUUUUUGAGAUUCGUGACUAAUUGCUGAUGAGCAUAAUUAUAAACGAAAAAGAACAAGUAACGCUUGCAGUUACGGUGGUUAGCAUUAUGCUGUUUAGAACACUAGACAUUAGCUUUUUCUUUCUAGACAUUGCAUUGUUUUGUAUUGUAACAAAAAUUUUUUUUUUAAAAAGUCUCUCUUGAUGAGCCAUAAUUUGGCAAAUGACAAGCAAUUUAUCUUCUGAUACUUGUUAUUAGUUUACAGAAGAAAUGGUACAUUAUGUUACUUCUCUUUCUUCAACUGAUAGUAGGUUUUUAACUAAGAUCAAUUAUCCUUAAAUCACUAUCAUGUCAUUGCAGUAUUUAAGGUGUCAAUCCAAAUGGGUGUGAUGCUAGCAAUCAAGAUGCAAUCAGAUUUCACAGAGUCAAGCUAAGCAAUAACAAGUUUUGAGGUUGUUAACAGUUCCAGUGAUCAUGCAGAAAACAGUAAUUCUAACAGAAACAGAUAACACACUCGAUCACACAGCUUGAUGCCAAGCACUGGAUGUGGUCGAGUGCCAGGUCGAGUACCAAACAGAAACUGCAACAAAUGUACUCGACUGCACAGUCCGUUUCCAAACCGCUAAAUGUGGUCGAGUACUUCAAGUGAAAUAAGUAAAAAUGCAAAAACUAAACAACAAGUAACGAGAUCAAGCAAUCAAUAACGAUGUGAACAAAGAAAUCAAUUGGAAGAGAAAUUCCCGAGGAUGGGGUAAUCGAGUAGUGAAGUCUCCUUAAUCUAACAGGUGGUUAACAUGCUCAACAAACUAUCCCUAGACAACAAGUUCAAUAACCAAACCAAAAUGCUACCGCAACAGAGAUCCUCAAGCAAAGCUAGUCCCAGACUCAAUCACCAUUGACGAGAGCUAACCUAACAGGCAUUACAAAUCAACAAGUUAAAGUCAAAACGCUCCCUGUAACCAAUACCUUGGUACAGAGCCACGAAUCUCUGGAAUUAGUGGUUCAGACAUUUCAUCGAACACCUUUUGGGUGCGGAAAUGUCUGGGCUCAGAUUCCAGUUGAUCAGAAAGCAAUCAGCAUUAAGAACAACUAAUCCAGAAGGGAUCUACCAAUCAAACUCAACCACCUAGCAGAUCAAGGAUUCUAAACUACUCUAACCCAUCCUCAAGAACCCUAAUCACUACUCAAAAUUCAUAACCAAGAACACAAACCCAGAAAUACAUAAAAACUUCAUAUUAGCAAGAUCUCAACAAGAUGAACAACUUUGUAGAAGAAAUCAAAAGCAAAUACUCAAUAGAUUAAGAGAAAUCUGGAUUACAAAUAUGAAGAAAGCACUAAUUGUUCUGCAGAAUAAAACUUAGACAGAAUAAAACUUAGUCUGAAAAUUAUGAAAAACAACCUAUUUAUAGCAAAUACUAGGAAACCCUAAAUCACAAGACGACAAAGUAUUAAGGCGGUUUACGGAGACAUUCGGCUUCGUGCAAUCGAGUGUAGAGGUCGAGCAAAGCUGGCUUCUUUGCGGUUUCUUGAUCUGGUCAUGAUGCGAUCGAGUGACUAGGUCGAGUAUGCACUCGAGUCCCGCUUCAUCUUCUUCUCUUCCUUAUGCUCAGUGUCUGGUUGAGUUGGGAUCUGAGAAACCUCUGAAGCGUGCAGUCGAGUGCUUGGUCGAGUAAGUUGGUGGAGGAUACUCGACUGCGUGCUCGAGUCGUGAUCUGGAGUCGUGGUCUACUUGGUGAAGGAGCUGGUACUCGACCACGAGGUCGAGUGGUAGGUCGAGUUGGUGAAGGAGAGGGUACUCGACCACGAGGUCGAGUUAGUGAAGGAGAGGGUACUCGACUUGGUCAUGGACUUGGUGAUCGACUUGGUGCUCGACUUGGUGCUCGACUUGGUCGUGGUCGAGUGCAUUUGGAAGGUCAUGAUGAUGGUGCUCGACCUCGUGGUCGAGCAUACUGAUGGGUUCUGGUCCACUUCUUUCAAUUUGCUCACCAACAGCUCCAAAUCACCUGAAAACAACUCAAAUAUGCAACAUGCAUACAAAACUAUCCUAAUCAUGCAAAGUGAUGACAAAUGAUGAAGAAUGGUAUGAAACAAUGACGAAAUGAUGAUAAAGUGAUGCUAAAUGGAUGCUCAAAACAAGUAAAAUAUAGACAUAUCAACUCCCCCAAACUUAGUCUUUGCUUGCCCUCAAGCAAACAAUUAAGAACAAGCUGGAGGAGAGGUUUGAAAGCGGGGACUCAGAACCAAAGCAUGCAGACAAAGCAAAUGAACUCAAUGUCCAAGUUAGUAAUUGUGGAAUGCUUAGAGACCAAAACUCAACUUAAAAACUUUAGCCAUAUUCAUCACAAGACAACCUAACAUUUGUUCCAAUCUACACACACCUUCAGAUCAUCAAUUCCCUUUAACAUUGAUUAAGCUCAAACCAUGAAUCAAGCAAAACAUUGUUGAAGAACUCAUUUGGUUUAAAGGACAAGGCUGAGAAACAAAGAUGGUUCCUCUGUAAAUGGUUUCUGACUUUUCCACAGUAACAGGGAACUCUCAUGAAUGGACAGAGCUUUAGUAGAAUGCUAAAGGUUAGAACCAACCUACGCAUACAAGAACAGACCCCAUCUACCCAAAUAACCAUAAGUAUAUCAAACUCCAUAGAUGGUCAUAUCUCUAAACCCCAGAAAUGAUCCUAAUUCUACCCUUUUGCACUCAAGGCAUGUUUCAAUAAUCUCUUGGAUCAACCCAUUCUUUGUUUUUGGUUUUUGUUCUAAGGAGAGGUUUUCUUUUAGACUUUCUAGCGGAUUGGGACUUUCUUUAACAACUAAGGCUCUUCUUCUCAUCUCAUGACUUAAGACAACUCUAGGCUUUUGCCUUUCUUUUUACUUUGCACAGAGCCUAACUUCUUUUAUUUUCAAGCUUCCCAAUUCCUUUACUAGACUAACAUGAUAUUCUUUUAUGUUUCACUUCCAUCUCCUAAGAACAAUAACACUUGUCUUUCUUUCUCAUUUUUAUUCCAAACACAUUCCCAAACCCAAAGUAAAACUCCCACCUAGUCCUAUCUAGCCCAAAAAGCGUGGACUAGAACUACAUGGGAUACCAUUCUUGUCGGUUCAUACCUAACACUUUCUACCAAGCUCAAUCCGGAAAUAGGCCUCACACACACACAAAUUUAUUCAGGGCUUGAAAGAAAGGUUAGGUUCAGGGUGGGGGAAACUGUUCCAAUGAUGGGAAUCAGCUACUUGGAUUAGCAAGAGUGGUAGAAGGUGAAAGAAAAUCCAAGUAUGUGUAUUGGUAGCCACAAGUUCAACAACAAUGCAAAGACAUGAUAAUUACAAGUCAAGUUCAGGUUCUAAUAGAUAGGGAAAAGAAUCACAUCAAGCAUGCUUCAAUUAAAACAAGAGAGUCAAGUUGUGAAUUCCAAAUAUGGUGCUGUCUUACUUCAAGUUCUAUCACAAGCAUUAAACAACUAGUAACGAGGGCAUUGAAUUCAUUCAGUAAAUGAGCAUGCUUACAAGGUUAUCUCAUCAUCAUCCCCUAUGCAAAUGCAACAAUCCUAUAUGAAACCUUCUAGACUCAAUCUUAAAAUGAAAAUGCAACUACAUGAACACUCUAUUUUUGUGAAAUCAUUUUCAGAAAUUUUUCAAAUUUUUAGGGUUUUUUUUUUUUUUUUUUCAAUGACAUAAAUGAAUGCAGAGAAUAUGUACAAUGCAAGAAAAAUUUGAAAACAAGAACAAAGCAAACACAUCAGAUACUUCCUGAGCCCUCCCCCAAACUUAAAUCACACAGUCCGCUGUGUGACCAAAUUUGGAAGAGAGUACUCAGGACAAAUAAAUAAAGAAAGAAAACAUGAGAUGGUAUAAACAAUGGGGAAGUGGAGUUGUUACCUUAACUGAAGAAGGAGUUGAUGUUCUCAUCAAUGCUUGCUUGUGUAAACAUCAUACUCGACCAUGUUUCUUCAUCAGCAUGUGGCCUCGCAUGAUAGAGUGACAUGUUGAAACUUCAAAAAUCUUGAGACUAAAACCCCAUUGAUACUCGAUCACACAGCUUCACUUGCUCUUUGCCCUUGUGGUCAAGUAUUCUAUUGCACUCUGAGCUAGAAUCCACUUCACUUUGCACUUGACACACAUUUCCUGAAAACCAAAACACUACCAAAACGCAUUAAAAUAACAAGGAAAUAAAAAUAUGUACAUGGAUAGACAUGGGACUUCCUCCCAAGUGAGCUUGUUUUAAGUCUCUAAGCUUGACUCCUCACACUCAUUAGGCUUAGGGUGGUUUGCAGAGAGGAAAUGAGGUCUCCUCUUCUCCUUGAGUGGAGUGAUCAUCAUACUCAGCAAGCUUUUUUGACGGGUUUGCGAUUGGAUACUCAGUGGUCCUUUUCUCGAAGUAAGUUUCUUUUUGAUCAGGAGGAUAAUCUUCUUCUCUAGACAAGUCCAAUGUGAAUUCACAUCCUUCUUUGCUAAGCUGAGUAGUUGCUCCAUCAUUUUGGACGUCUUUGAUGUUGAGUGGCACUUGGUUGGCUUUUCCAUGGAGCUCUUUGAUUUGAUCCUUCAGCUCUUUCACAAUGUCUGCUAACUCCCUUAUGGCUUUGUCCUGCCAUUUGGACCUCUCCUUGAGUUCCAACCAAUCAUUUGAUGCUAGAGUGCUUGCUUUAAGCUGUUGCUCGAGCUGUUCAGUCGAGCAUGAGCUCUCAGGGCCAGUUGGAGGCUUCUUCGAGUUGUUGGUGGAAUCAGUUGGUAGAGCAUGUGUUGAACGUACUUCAUUAGCUCUCAUAACCUUUGUUUCAGACCCCAUCAAUCCCUUGUGUAAGUCUAAGGACUUCUCAGAACUCAAAGUCUCACUAGGGAGAUACCUAGCUUUACCACUCUUGGUCAAAACAGUUUUUAAGUAAUCUUCUUCAGCAAGUUCCUCUAGCAGUUCAUCAGCUAGCCGAUCCAUUUCCUCAACUAAGAAGGUUUGUCCUUCUAUUGUCGUCUUUUGCAUAUCAUCAUUGAUGUCAAACUUCAUUUUUAAAUCCUUCCCCAUAUUAAGAUCAAUCUUCCCUUGCUUAACAUCUAUGAUUGCUCCAGCUGUAGCCAAGAAGGGCCUUCCUAAGAUCAAGGGAUCUUUUGGUUCUUCAUCCAUGUCCAACACUACGAAGUCUGUAUGCACCUCCAGAUUUCCAAUCUUGAUAGGCAAAUCUUCUAAUAACCCAUGAGGUAGUCUAACAGACCUAUCAGCCAAGAUCAAGGAGAUGUUGCAGUAUUUAUACUUGUUAAAACCCAACCUCUUAGCUACUGAGAGUGGCAUGAGACUUACUGAUGCUCCUAGGUCACAAAGGCAUUUAUUGAAAGUCAAUGGACCUAGGGAGCAUGGUAGAGUAAAUGAACCAGGGUCUCCUAGCUUUUCUGGGACAACCUUCUUCUGUAUGAUGGCACUGCACUCAUGGCUCACAACUGUUGUUCUCUGAACCUCUUGAAUUCUCUCCCUGAUCAAUUCUUUCAGAAACUUGUGGGAAUCCGGAAUAAGCGCGAGAGCAUCAACAAGAGGUAUCCUGGCUUCAACGUUUUUAAUGUUCUCUGCAAACAUAGCUCUGUACUUAUCUGCCAACGUUUUCUUUUGUCUACCAGGAAAUGGAAGUGGGGGCUUGUAAGGAGGAGGAACAAAAACCUUCUCCUUGUUCUUAGCAGCAACUGGUUUUUCAGCAGGUAUAGCCGCUACUCGAGUUUUUGAUCGAGUAUGUCCAUCGAGUACUUCAGCUGGUUUGUCAACUUGAUCUUCAUUGAGACUGAAAUCCUGCCCAUCUUGGUCUGCACUGUCCUCAGUGACUGGCUUGGGUCCCUCUCGGGUGGAUAACUCUCUUCCACUCCUUAGGGUGAUAGCAUGAACAUUAGCAUACUCCUUUGGAUUCUGAAUUGCUUUCCCUGCGAGUUGCCCUGGAGGUUUGGGAGCAGAAGUGGAUGCAGAUUGUCCCUCUAAGUAUCGGACCUUGGAGCUCAAUGCUUCCACUUUUACAUUCAGGUCAUUGUAGCUACAAUCCAACUUAUGGUGUAAUUCAGAUAUCUUCUUAGCAAUCUCCAUGGAGCCAGAGGCUUGUCCUUGGAGAAGCUGUUGUAGCAUUUGCUUCAUGUCAGAAUCAGGAACAACAGGACCUUGGUGUUGCUGAGGUGCAUACCCAGGUGGUGGUUGCUGCUAGUAGUUCCCCUGAAAUUGUUGCUUGGGAGCAAAACCUUGGUUGUAUGGAACAAAAGGUUUAUGCUGACCCUGCUGUUGUUGUGGAGGAUACACUUGAUCCUGUGGAUUAGCAACGUUGGUGCUGCGGUAAGAAAGGUUGGGGUUGUUAGUCUUGAAGUUAUUAUACCCUUUGUAGCCACCUUGAUUGUUGAUGUAGCUGACCUCUUCAAACUGGUUCCCCUCCCCAUCUUGGACUUGAUACUGGUCGUCAUCAACUAGGAAGUGCACAUGCUUCUGCUGGCCAAGGAGAAUCCUAUCCAGUUUUUCAUUAAGAGCUUUCAUCUCUUUCCUGUGUUUAUCAUCCGAGUCAGCUGUUCCUCUGAUGGUCCUGUCGCAGUCCUCGUUGUAAUUUCCAUCUGACUGAGCUAAGUUCUCAACUAAUUCCCAGCCUUCAGCAACAUCCUUGUUCUGGAAAUUCCCAUUGCUCGCAGUAGCAAGGAGCAUUCUGAUCCGUGGAAGAGCACCUCUGUAGAGUGUGCUGAGCAGUGAGGCUGUACUGAAGCCAUGAUGAGGACAUUGGUUGGUGUAACUUUUGAAGCGCUCCCAGGCCUCACAGAAGCUUUCUCCAUUCUUUUGGGCAAAACCAGAGAUCUCAUUCCUGAGCCGUGCAGUCCUUGCGUUGGAGAAGAAUUUUGUAAGAAAGGCCUUCUUGCAGUCAUCCCAGGAUGUGAUGGAUCCAGGUGGAAGAUUCUUUUCCCAGAUGUGUGCUUUGUCACCCAAGGAGAAUGGGAACAACCGGAGCUUGAAUCCAUCUUCACUGACUCCGUUGAUUUUUGUUAGGCUGCAGAGCCUAUCAAAUUCGUCAAAGUGGUCGAGUGGGUCUUCCAUAGGCAGACCAUGGAACUUGUUUCCCUGAAUCAUCGAGAUGAGACCACUUUUAAUCUCGAAGUUGUUGUUUUGGACAGCAGGAGGCACAAUCCCUUACCUCUGAUGGUGGUUUCUUGGUGCAUCUCCAGCACCAAUGUUUGCAGGCAGAUUGUUGACAUCUUGUUCAUCAGCCAUUCUGAAAGGAUGGUUGUGUUCAAGGUCUGUAGUGUCUCUCCUUUCCCUUAGUUCUCUGUCAAUACGGUCAAUGUUAUCGUUGAAAAGGAGGUUCUUGUUACCUUUUGAUCGAGUUUGCAUACAGCAGGGUUGUACCUGGAUCAAGAAGACAACAAGAAAAACACAAAGUUAGUAACCUAAGUGAAAAUUGAAAUAGAACUUGAUCUAAGCAAGUCUGAAAUCUCAAAUGUAACAAACAAACACCCAAACGGCAACGGCGCCAAAUUGAUAGUAGGUUUUUAACUAAGAUCAAUUAUCCUUAAAUCACUAUCAUGUCAUUGCAGUAUUUAAGGUGUCAAUCCAAAUGGGUGUGAUGCUAGCAAUCAAGAUGCAAUCAGAUUUCACAGAGUCAAGCCAAGCAAUAACAAGUUUUGAGGUUGUUAACAGUUCCAGUGAUCAUGCAGAAAACAGUAAUUCUAACAGAAACUGAUAACACACUCGAUCACACAGCUUGAUGCCAAGCACUGGAUGUGGUCGAGUGCCAGGUCGAGUACCAAACAGAAACUGCAACAAAUGUACUCGACUGCACAGUCCGUUUCUAAACCGUUGGGUGUGGUCGAGUACUUCAAGUGAAAUAAGUAAAAAUGCAAAAACUAAACAACAAGUAACGAGAUCAAGCAAUCAAUAGCGAUGUGAACAAAGAAAUCAAUUGGAAGAGAAAUUCCCGAGGAUGGGGUAAUCGAGUAGUGAAGUCUCCUUAAUCUAACAGGUGGUUAACAUGCUCAACAAACUAUCCCUAGACAACAAGUUCAAUAACCAAACCAAAAUGCUACCGCAACAGAGAUCCUCAAGCAAAGCUAGUCCCAGACUCAAUCACCAUUGACGAGAGCUAACCUAACAGGCAUUACAAAUCAACAAGUUAAAGUCAAAACGCUCCCUGUAACCAAUACCUUGGUACAGAGCCACGAAUCUCUGGAAUUAGUGGUUCAGACAUUUCAUCGAACACCUUUUGGGUGCGGAAAUGUCUGGGCUCAGAUUCCAGUUGAUCAGAAAGCAAUCAGCAUUAAGAACAACUAAUCCAGAAGGGAUCUACCAAUCAAACUCAACCACCUAGCAGAUCAAGGAUUCUAAACUACUCUAACCCAUCCUCAAGAACCCUAAUCACUACUCAAAAUUCAUAACCAAGAACACAAACCCAGAAAUACAUAAAAACUUCAUAUUAGCAAGAUCUCAACAAGAUGAACAACUUUGUAGAAGAAAUCAAAAGCAAAUACUCAAUAGAUUAAGAGAAAUCUGGAUUACAAAUAUGAAGAAAGCACUAAUUGUUCUGCAGAAUAAAACUUAGACAGAAUAAAACUUAGUCUGAAAAUUAUGAGAAAAAACCUAUUUAUAGCAAAUACUAGGAAACCCUAAAUCACAAGACGACAAAGUAUUAAGGCGGUUUACGGAGACAUUCGGCUUCGUGCAAUCGAGUGAAGAGGUCGAGCAAAGCUGGCUCCUUUGCGGUUUCUUGAUCUGGUCGUGAUGCGAUCGAGUGACUAGGUCGAGUAUGCACUCGAGUCCCGCUUCAUCUUCUUCUCUUCCUUAUGCUCAGUGUCUGGUUGAGUUGGGAUCUGAGAAACCUCUGAAGCGUGCAGUCGAGUGCUUGGUCGAGUAAGUUGGUGGAGGAUACUCGACUGCGUGCUCGAGUCGUGAUCUGGAGUCGUGGUCUACUUGGUGAAGGAGCUGGUACUCGACCACGAGGUCGAGUGGUAGGUCGAGUUGGUGAAGGAGAGGGUACUCGACCACGAGGUCGAGUUAGUGAAGGAGAGGGUACUCGACUUGGUGAUGGACUUGGUGAUCGACUUGGUGCUCGACUUGGUGCUCGACUUGGUCGUGGUCGAGUGCAUUUGGAAGGUCAUGAUGAUGGUGCUCGACCUCGUGGUCGAGCAUACUGAUGGGUUCUGGUCCACUUCUUCCAAUUUGCUCACCAACAGCUCCAAAUCACCUGAAAACAACUCAAAUAUGCAACAUGCAUGCAAAACUAUCCUAAUCAUGCAAAGUGAUGACAAAUGAUGAAGAAUGGUAUGAAACAAUGACGAAAUGAUGAUAAAGUGAUGCUAAAUGGAUGCUCAAAACAAGUAAAAUAUAGACAUAUCAUCAACCUUGUGUUCUUUCUUAUUUUUGCUUGAUUUUGUAUUUUCUUAAAAGAUAAAUCAUCUCAUCAUCUAUCCAACAAAAAUGUCAUCAUUGGAUAUGGUAAAACUUGUAGAUGUUGCAUUGUGUGUAUAUAACUCGAAUUAUAAAGAGUGAACACAAAAGAAUAUAGGGAAAAUGCCAUAAAAAGCCUCAAGUUUCUAAAAGUAUUAAAAAAAAAACCUCAACUUUGCUGAUAAUGAAUUAAAUCACCAACUUUUAUGGACUUUCCAAUUAAAUCAUUAACUUUGAGUUGGCCAAAUAAGACACGUCGUUUAGUCAACUGACGGACAAACUUAACGGAUCGGUCUAUAUGAUGGACCGGUCGGUAUAUGGUGCAUAUCGGGAACGAUUGCUGGCUGGGUUGGACCGAGCGAUCGAUGUGCUGGAUCGGUCGAUCGAUGUGCUGGACUGGUUGGUCCUGAGCUCCUGCAGAGACUUGUACAUCUUCAAUCUCACUCUGGAUCGUGAUGGCAUUGCAAAAUUCCUUAGCCUUAGAGAAAUAUGCAAUCUGAGAUACCCGCAUAUAAAGAUAAUCAACACGAGAAGCCAAAUUCUCAAUCUUCCCGUUAAGCUCGAUGUACAUGUGUUCCAUCUUCUCCUUUCUGUCGUGUGCCCUCUUGUUCUGGCUGUCUAAUAGUUGCUGCAUCAUGAGCUCAAGCUUGUUCUCUUGGGGAGAUGACAUAUCACAAUGAGCUUGAUAUUCUCUACUCUGCUCAUUCUUCAGAAGUUGAUCAACCUUGGUAUUCAGCUCCUCAAAUGUCUGCGAUGCUACACUCUUGACAUGAUGCGCUCUAUCAUACUCCGGAUAAUGAUUGCUAUUACUAGCCGCCAGAUUGUUGAUCAGAGUAUUAGCUUCUGCUGCCGUGUUAGUCGAGAAAUCACCUCUACUUGCCGUGCCAAGAGCCAUCUGAUACUGCCAUUCAACUCCAUUGUAGAAGAUGUUCAUGAGGUUGGUAUCUGAGAACCCAUGAUGAGGACAAUCUCUGAGAUAUUCCUUGAAUCGUGUCCAACCUUCAUGAAAACGCUCUCUUUCGCCUUGAUGGAAUGUGGUGAUCUUGUUCCUGAGCAAUGCCGUCUUGGAUUUGGUGUAAAGAUGGUUGAAAAAAUUUGCACCACAUUGACUCCACGAGGUAAUGGAGCUUGGUUGCAAUGAUUUGAACCACUUUUUUGCCUUAUCGCUCAAUGAGAAAGGGAAGAGCUUGCACAUCAUGUAGUCAACAGGGACUCCACUCGAUCUAAAAGUGUUGCACAACUCCUCAAAAUUCUCAAUAUGAUCCAUCGGACUUUCCGAAGUAAAUUCACAAAACAAGUUCUGCGCCACCAAGUGAUACAGUUGGGGUUUGAUCUUGUAGUCAUGCCCCUCGUCUGGUAAGCGAAUCGCAGCGCGAUUGGAGUAGAACUUGUCUGGAGUAUCGUGUUCGCCUAGAGUAACACGACGUGGAGGUUGUCCGUGGGUUCCAACACGAGCAGGGGAUGGUGGAGGGAUUAGCACAUCAAGGGACUGAUCGGUCUCAGAUGAGGACAGAUCGGUCUGAUGGAUUAGCUGAUUACGAGAUGCAUAAGGAUCCACAAUUUCUCGAUCUUCCAUCUUUACUUAUACCUGAGACUCACUAAAAAGAAGAAAAUAAAAAUAAUUAGUAAAAAUAAAAAUAAAAAAUCUUAGACUAAACCUUAAUCCUAAACUCGCAGGCAACGUUAUUGGUCCCCGGCAACGACGCCAAUUUGAUCUUAGGUCAAAUAAUAAACCUAUAAUGCACUAUACCAGAUCAAGUCAGUAUGUCAGUUGUAGCAUUAAAGGGUCGAAUCCACAGAGACCAAUAAGUUACACUACGAAUUAUCGAGAUUAAAGUAAAGCUAAGACAGAAAUAAUUAGGGAUUGUGUAAUCAAAUCUAACAAAGCAAGCAAGCGAAUUAAAACGUGUAAAUCAAAUAAAUAACAAGAAUUGGGCAUAGGGUGUUCUUCCGGCAUGCGAGAUGACAAUUCAGGAAAACAACAGGAAUUACUAAGUACCGUUCUUAAACUCAAAGCACAAAUAUAAAGACAAUUCGCUAUCGCGUAAAUAUCUAUCUAAGCAAUGAAUUUAAUAAAUCCUAAAUUCUCGUUUGAACCUAGCAAAUCAAGCAAGCUUUACAGAACAGGUUUGAUAUGUUCACAUAGUGCCCCAACUUCAAAUAUCGUUGGCUGAGGAUCACUUUGCUCAUCUAUGUUAAUUCAGGCGACUAACAACACUUCUGAUGCCAAGAUAAAUCAACCUAAGAUCUAAGAACAAGGUAGCUAAUCAAGUCCUAGCAAUAAGAACAACAAUAGAUGAAGAACCAAAUAGAUAAAUUCCCAUGACUAACAACCUAACGAAUCAUUCUCAGCAUCCCUUCAGAAACCCUAAACCCAAUAGAGAAACUACUCAGACAUGGAGAUGGAGAACAAGCAAUUCAAAGAUGAAGAAGACAUAAUUGAAUUGAAGAGAUGACAAGGGUUUUGCACCCAAAAAUUUACAAUAGGUAAAACAAAGUAGAAAAGUGAAUAGGAGGCGUCUCCCUGCUCUACAGGUCGAGCAAAGGGUUUAUAUAGCAAGAGGAAUUAGGUUUAGGUCGAGUCUAGUCAAUUUGUAAACUUUCCAAAACUUUAUAAAGGGGGACCAAUCGGUCCCAACAUUGGACCGGUCGAUCCGAAUCUCGUCCGCGUCAAACUGGUCGGCAGGAUGACCAGUCUUCAGUAAAUCGGCCAUAACUCUUGAUUUCACCGUUAGAUUUCCUUCAAACUACUUGGAGAUGAAAGCUAACUUCCGUAGCUAUCUUGUUUCCAAAUAUCAAAGAGAUCCAACGGUGGGAAGGUCUUAGUAUGAGGCCAUACUUCUGACGGGUCUUCACAACUCUGCUUCUUUAAAUGUAUUUUUGCAUCCAAAACGAUCCAAAACUAUUCCUUUUCCUUUAAUAACUCCUCAGACCUGUAAAACCACUAAGUAAAGCAAAUAGUCCUAAAAUCUAUGUAAUAUAAGUUAGUUGACUCAAAAUACAAUCCUAAAACAAAGACUAAAAACGAUAAAAAUAGGACACAUCAGGUUUUAUCAGUGUUUUUAUAAGGAUUUCAAACCUGAGGAGUAUUUUCGCGGUUGUUUUCAAGUAUUUGGAGUUUCAGGUAGCUUUACGCAUUUUAGGGCGAAUGGGCCUAAAAGGAGCAUAAUGGACUUUCCGGACAGCUUUGGACUGUCAGAAGUAUUGCACCCGUUGGAGAUCUUCCCCUUAGCCAAAUUUGGACUUCUUAGUUUCAUUGGAAAGCUUAAAGAGUCAAGAUUUACCUCGAAGUGGAAUCAACCAAUUUGGAGUUGCCAAUCAUAAGUUAUGGUCGAAUGAAGAGAGCUCUGUCCAGCCAUGCAACCAGGCCAUGGGCCUUCGGCCAAGAGCCUCUUCACCGCACAGCCAGACCACGAUCAUGCGGCCAUCAAGCAAGGCCACCGCACACUGGGAGCCCGACCAUGCGGCCAUUGCAGUCCGAAGUCAUUUAUCCAAAAAGCCGAGUUUUGUCGGAGGAAGCCCUAACCCUAAUUUGUGACGCCCCAAGACCCUAUAAAUACUACAUCUUCGCCUCCUUUCAUAAGAGAGGCCAGAGAGGAUGCAAAAUAGGGAGAGAGCAAACCCUAGACGUCUCGAGAGAGAUCAAGAGCCGCCGCCCUCUUCCCUUUGAAGAUCUUCUCUUGUUUCACCCUUCUUUCCCUUUUCUCGUACUAGUAGUUUGUUGGGGAGACGUGAUACCUUCUGUAUUCAUUAGAGAACUUUUCUCUGAACCCCCUUUGAUAUUUCGAUUUCUUUUUAAUAGAUCUACUUAUGAUUGCUUUGAUGGUUUCGUUUAAUGUGUGAGUAGUUCGUUUGUUGGGUUUGAUAGAGUGAUUCGAAGGGGUUCUCAUGGUUUCAUCGUUUGCUUAGGUUAUUAGAUCAUUAGGGUUUGUUACAUGAUUCUACCUUCCAGUUCAUUAUCACCGCGUAUAGGUAACGGCUAUUUGACAAAAACCUUUAGGAGUUAUUGGACCUAGGUGAGGAGACUGACCGACCUUAAUCUUUGUAUGUACUAAGGUACAGAGGUUUUGGGUAGACGUCUUGGACAUAUCGAACUUAAUCAUAACGCAAACUCCAUGCCUUCAAAGGAGAGUGACUAGGACAAUGUCGAGUCUAUGGAUGUUUAGGAGCUAGUAAGCGAAUGUGGAUAGCUUAAUUUAGUGUUCGAGUUAGUGAGUCAUAAACCAAGUUUUAGAUUAAUUCCUAGCAAACCCUGAGAACAUGAGACCCUGGAGAUGUUCCCUUGACCGCCCAACACUUUUUAAUUUUGAUAGUAAACCCUUAGCCAUUAGCGUAGCAUCCCUAGCAUUCUUUAGUAGUCAUAGUUUAGUUAUAGCAUCCUUAGUUAGCAUUCGUUAGUCGUAAGCGCAUUAGUUAGUAGUUUUAGUUAGUUCUCAUUUAGUUUAGAACUAGUUUAGAAGUAGAAACCCCCUUUCCAUUUAGUCUUUGCCGGAUCUUUAGUUUAGAGUUUAAACCUGUCACAACUUCCUCGGGUGAAUCGAUACCCUAAGUACUGCAAUCAAUUGGUUGUGCACUUGCGACCUUUUUAUUUGUUUUGCUGAAGGUUAAAAACCUAAUUCAUUUUCGGUGAAACCCAGUGAGCGACUCAUCAGACACCCAUCAAGUUUUUCGCGCCGUUGCCGCCGGGGACAGAUUGUGCCUUUGAAUUCUACUCGAGAUCCCGUCUUUGCCACCUGUUAUUUUCAUUUUUGCAUUUUACAAAAGUUCUCUCUAAGUUUGUGUUUUCAUCUUGCAGUGUAUGACUAGGAUCCAAAACUCCGAAACCAUUUCUCCACCUGAAGACAUCAACAAGCUUAUACGUGAACUCAAGAGAUCGCUAAGACAACGAAACAUGGCCGACGAUAGAGACCAUCAAGGGGCUCUAAACUUCGACCAACAAGAACGUGACGAUAGGGACGAACAAAGAAACCCUCUCCAUCAAGGAGACGGUGGUCAGAACUUCGGACCGAUCGGUCACCAAGUCGACGAUCAACAACAACAACAACAACAAGAGCAACAUGAUGCUUUGGGCGGUGGAGACAACCGUAACUUGCCUCUACCUCAGCCCGCAAAUGUCGUCAACCAGCAGCAGCCUUGCUAUGCAGGUGGACAACAACCGUACGUGAUGUGUCUAUAAUUUGCAUGUUUUCUGCAUUCAUUCUCAUUGUUUUGAGUUUACUUUUAUAACAUUCAUCACUGUUUUAUAUCAUUCUUCAUCAUUCUUGCAUACUUUGCAUGAUUAGGAUAGGUUUGCAUACAUUUUGUAUUUCUGAGUUGUUUUCAGGUGAUUUGAAGCUGUUGGCGAUCAAAUUGGAAGAAACGAGCCGGAAUCAGAAGAAUAUACUCGACUACAAGGUAGAGUGCCUUCUAAAGCACUUACUCGACCAUGUAGUCGAGUGAAAGAAGCCACCAUCUUCUUGGUCUACUCGACCACACCACUCGACCUUGUGGUCGAGUGACAGCAGCUGCCAUCCUCCUCAUUCACUCGACCAGGUCACUCGAUCACAGCACUCGACCCCGUGGUUGAGUGACGCAGCACCAGGACUCCUGAAGCACUCGACCACGUCACUCUACCAUUCACUCGAUCACGUCUUCAGAGUCUUCUCAAAUCCGCACUCAACCAGACAAGCUGAGCAUAAGAAAGAGAAGAGGAGAAGAAGAAGUGUUUGGAAGCGGUUUAGAGUUUCACUCGAUCACAAGGCCCAGCUUUGGCCCGUUAUUGCUUUAUGGCCGAUCGAGUGGAUUCGCAACCCAUCUCUUAUCUUUACUUUGUAUAAAUAAGUCUUCGAGGGUUUUGUCCCAAGACAUCUAGUUUUUGCUUCGAGGUUUCGUUUCUGUUUAACCUAGUUACUCUAUCACUUCGCCGCUUUGUUCCUCCGACUUUGUUUUCACUUUCAAGUAUUUGUUAUUCGAGUUUUUCGUUUGAUCCCUUAUCAUUUCUGUCAUAUGAUGUUUUCAAUUGUUUCGUUGUUAUUGUCUUUGAUUAUGUCUGUGUAGUGAACUGUAUUUCUGGGGAUGGGAUAGAGUAGUCGUGGUUGUCUAGAUCGUUUUUAGAUGGUUGAGUUUAGAUUGUGUGAAUCCCUUCAGGAUUAGUUGCGCUUAUUGCUUGUUCCUUUUUGAUCAACUGGAAUAUGAAUCCAGACAUUCCCGCACCCAAAAGGUGUUUGAUGGAAUGUCUGAUCUACUAAUUCCUGAGAUACUCGUCUUUAUCCCAAGGGAUUGGCCGUUUAGAGCGAGUAUUGGCUUUAACAAGUUGAUUCGAUAUAGCCUGCAUAGUUAGAGAUCGCUAAUGGUGAUUAGGUCUAUGUCUAGCUCUGCUUGAGGAUUUGUUGUCUAGGGAUAGCUUCUUUGAAGUUUUGUCAACCAUUUAAAGAGAUUAAGGAGAUCACGCUAUUCGAUUACCCCAUCCUUAGGAAUCUCUUAUCUAAUUGAUUUCUAUGUUUUCAUUGCUAUUGAUUUAUUGUUAUCCUUGCCUGUUUUCGCAUUUCUCACCUGUUAUCACCAUUUCACUCGACCACAUCCAGUGUCUGGCAAUAGACUGUGUGGUAGAGUGCUUUUGUUGCAGUUUCUUCCUAUUACUCGACUUGUAACUCGAUCACAUCUUGCUCCUGGCAUCAGCCAGUUGUGGUCGAGUGAUUUUUGUAAUUCUGCAUUUUUUCCUGUUUUCUGCAUGAUCACUUAGGAUUGUUAGAAACACCAAAACCUGCAAUUGCUUGGGUUGACUUAGUGACUUCUGAUCACAUCUCAUCUGUUUGCAUCACACCUGAUUUGAGUGACAACCUUCAGUACUACAACGACAUGAUAGUGCUUUAGGAUUAAUUGAUCUUAAAAGUCUAUUAUCAAUUUGGCGCCGUUGCCAUUUGGGUGUUUGUUUGCUAUAUUUGAGGUUUUAGAAUAUUUAAAAAUAAAGUUCUUUUUCGUUUUUAUUCAAGCUACUAACUCUGUGUUUUUUUUUUCUGUUGUCUGUUUUGAUCCAGGUACUGACAAUCACCAGCUUCACUGGUUGAUAGUCGUUGUAUGCAAACUCGAUCAAAAGGACAUCAGAACCUUCUUUUCAACGAGAACAUCGAUCAUAUUGCUCGUGAGUUAAGAGAGCAGUUAAAUACAGACACUAUGGCUGACGAUAAGAACCCAGAAUUGCCAAACAACAUUGGUGCAGGCGAUGCUCCACGCAAUCACAAUCAGCGCAAUCGUAUUGUGCCUCCACCAAUGCAGAACAAUAACUUCGAGAUCAAGAGUGGUCUCAUUGCCAUGGUUCAGGGUAACAAAUUUCACGGCCUCCCCAUGGAGGAUCCACUCGAUCAUCUGGACGAGUUUGAUAGGCUCUGCAGCCUAACUAAGAUCAAUGGAGUCAGUGAGGAUGGCUUCAAGUUGCGUUUGUUUCCAUUUUCUCUUGGAGACAAAGCCCACCAGUGAGAAAAAUCACUUCCUCAAGGCUCCAUCACCUCCUGGAAUGAUUGUAAAAAAUCCCUUCCUCAAGGCUAAAUUCUUCUCCAACUCCAGGACUGCAAGACUCCGGAAUGAGAUUUCUGGCUUCACUCAGAAGAAUGCUGAGACUUUCUGUGAAGCAUGGGAGCGUUUCAAAGGAUAUCAGAAUCAAUGUCCUCACCACGGUUUCUCCAAAGCCUCACUCCUGAGCACUCUCUACGGAGGAGUUCUCCCUAAGAGCCAGAUGCUCCUGGAUACAGCAUCCAACGGAAAUUUCCAGAACAAGGAAGUUGAAGAAGGAUGGGAGCUGGUAGAGAAUUUAGCUCAGUCUGAUGGCAAUUACAAUGAAGACUAUGACAGAGCCAUCAGAGGAAGUUCAGACUUAGAAGAGAAGCAACGCAAGGACAUAUUCGCCAUGAAUGACAAGCUGGACAAGCUACUCCUUGUGCAACAGAAGCAGGUCCAUUUUCUCUGUGAAGAUGAGACGUUCCAAGUCCAGGAUGGGGAGACUCUCCAGUCAUAAGAAGUUAGCUAUGUGCAAAACCAGGGAGGCUACAAUAAAGGUUUCAACAACUUCAAGCAGAACAACCCCAAUCUGUCAUACAGAAGCACUAAUGUUGCAACCCCGCAGGACCAAGUUUACCCUCCACAGCAGCAGAAUCAACCAAAACCCUUUGUACCAUACAACCAGGGUCAAGGGUUUGUUCCUAAGCAGCAGUAUCAGGGAAGCUACCAACCGCAGCAUGCACCACCUGGGUUUGCACAGCAGCAACAGCAAGCUUCCACAACUCCAGACUCAGACUUGAAGAACAUGCUCCAGCAGAUUCUCCAGGGACAAGCAGUAGGAGCAAUGGACUUAGCCAAGAAGAUGGCAGAAAUCCACAACAAGGUUGACUACACCAUCAAUGAUCUCAACAUCAAGAUUGAAGCUCUAACGUCUAAGGUCAGAUACAUGGAAGGGCAGACUGGGUCGACCUCUGCUCCCAAAGUUACAGGACUUCAAGGGAAGUCAAUUCAGAACCCAAAAGAGUAUACCACCGCUCAUGCCAUCACUAUCUGCCAUGAUCGAGAGCUGCCAACUCGUCAUGCCCCUAAAAUACUCACUAGGGACAAUGAUAUUCAGGAAGGGGAGGCUUCUAAGCGGAUUUAAGUCUCAUUUAUUGAACUAAGCUCAGCCGGAUCCCGCCAUCAAAUUCAGCCCACCGUGGAAGAUAGAGUAGCCAUGAUUAAGAGAAUGGUAAAAUGGUUUAAGCCAAUUCCAUUACCUCCACUUGUUCUUCCAGAGAAGUUUAGAGAAGUUUGGAAAGAGAAGUAUGAAUCUCUUGUUGAGAAACAACUUGAUGGGAUAGAGGUAGUUAUGCCGUUAACAGAAGUUCUCAAGCUGAUUCCAAACCCUCACAAAGACGUGAGAAAAUUUAUUCUGGAAAGAGGUACAAUGCUACUCCGUUUCAAGAGGUAUCGCGAAUCAAGAUGAUGAAUACAAUGCUACUCCAUUUCAAGCUGCUGGUGAAAAGAUUGUUCAGGAAAAGUUGGAAGAUCCUGGAUCUUUCACUCUGCCUUGCUCCAUUAGGUAUUUGGCUUUCAGCAAUUGCCUAUGUGAUCUGGGAGCUUCAGUUAGCUUGAUGCCGCUUUCUGUGGCAAGGAAGCUAGGAUUUGUUUAGUACAAGCCCUGUGACCUGACCUUGAUUCUUGCUGACAGGAGUUCAAGAAGACCUUUUGGCCUAUUAGCGGAUCUGCCUGUGAUGAUAAAUGAAGUAGAAGUACCUACCGACUUCGUGGUGCUAGAGAUGGAUGAAGAAUCCAAGGAUCCUCUGAUUCUAGGAAGACCUUUCUUGGCUUCAGUAGGAGCGAUGAUAGAUGUCAGAAAUGGGAAAAUUGAUCUCAACCUUGGAAGGUAUAUCAAGCUGCAAUUUGACAUCAACAACACUCCCAGAAAAUCAACAAUUGAGGGAAAGACUUUUGAAAUUCGGAGAGCAGUUCCAAGAGAGAAGGAACCUGAUUGGUUAGAGCUCAGAAGGAAAUCCGACCUCCAAGAGAGAACCAUACAGAAGCUAGCCUGCACUGUCGAAGAGCUUAUAAGCACUCUAAGUCGAAUUCAAGGAGGAGUUCAACCUCAGCUCAACAUUGACAUUACUUCAAGGGAGGAUGCUGAGUAUGAUGAUAAGCUCAGUGAGGAAAAAGACUUCCUAAGUCAUCUCAGCCUCAUUUUCCCUGCUUAAUAGGUGUGAGGAGCCAAGCUAGAGACUUAAAACAAGCUCACUUUGGAGGAAGUCCCAUGUCUAUCCUGUACAUAUCUUUUAUUUUUCCUUGUUAUUUUUAAUGCAUUUUGUUAGUAUUUUCAGGAGAUAAGUGUAAAGAGCUAAGUGAAGUGGAUUCUGGCGCUAAGUGUGCAAUUCACUCGACCACAUUCUGCAAGAAUGACAAGAAGUUGUGAUCGAGUAUAAUCGGGGUUUCAGUCUCAAAAUUUCUGAAGUUUCAACAUUUCACUCUAUCACACAAGGUCUCAUGCAGGUGAAGAGAUGUGGUCGAGGAUAGGAGUCGAUGAGCCCAAAACUUUCAAAAAAAAACUCUAUACUCGACCUAUAGAAGCUACAGAGACUUACAGAGGCUUGGAUGAGCUUACAGAGGGUUGUAGGAGAUUCUGGGAUUUUUCCAGGAAAAAGUGCUUAUAGACAAAGAAACAGACGCGUGGCCCACCACCACAUCCUUUGUCUCCCACCCACGGUUUGAAGAGAUAAGGGAAAUCUCUUUGUUUCACUCUCCACCACUCCUUCCCCAUCCCACUCUCACUCUCACCUCUCAUCUCUCUCGUCUCACACACUCGACCAUCACCUACCAAAAGAACAACAAGCAUCACUCGACCACAACUCUGCCUUCAUCAUUCUCGCAACCUCGCAUACCUUGUCGUCGUUCACUCGUUUCGCCACCACUACUUCCACGAAUUCACUCGACCACUUGAAGUCGCCUAAACUCAAUCUCAUCGCCACCGCCACUAAAGCUCAUUCUCGCAGCCCACCACUCGAUCUCAUUCUUCCACGAACUCACCGUUAUACUCGACCGCACCUUGUACCACCAGUGGAGAAAAGAUACUCGACGGGGCCACCAUCUCGCCACAACUGGACUACACCGGAGAAGAAAAGCACUCGAUCGCUGCCUUGUUCAAAUCAGGGAAAGUGGUACUCGAACUCUCAGACUUGUCCACCCUCGACCUUUUUUCAACCACUCGACCUCACCGAUUCGUUUCACCGAAGAUGAAGAAACACUCGACCGCAUAGCCAAGUGUUCACUCGACCACACAAUCUUCGUGAGACUCGACCACAAGCCUAACUCAAUUUCACAGCCUUCAGUUCACUCGACCGUAGCUUGUUCCACCAGUGGAGAAUCAAUACUCGACCAUACCAAACCGGUUUAGUUAAUUUCAAACCAAAACUGGUUAUCUCUUGAAAGUGAUUGCAUUUCUGAAUUGGUAUUUGCUUCGUUGGAACUAACGUACUAACGUUUAGCUUUGAGUUUUGUCUCUUUUCAGGGUCAUUAUGAGCGACGCCACUGGAGGACGGUCUAUGUCUAUAGAUGAGGACUACGACGUCAAUGAAGCUGAAUCCUGGUCCACUAGACCACAGAGGGAAAAACAAGCUUACGGGAGUUUCAGAGCUGAAAUGGAAAGCUCAUCGGCUAAACAGAAUCAGAGAAUAGCUGAGAUCGCUAGAGGAAAAAGAGCGAUGACUGGUAGAUAUGAGUUGGUUGACGAGGACUCUGAGGGAGAAUAUGUGCCAGAGCAGUAGUACAGAGAGACAAAGCUACUGAACAAGCCUGAUGAGUUCACAGUAGAGGAGUAUAUCAGACUCUUCAAGCUGAACGACUUCAUGGGGACGAGAUAUCCCUGUUCUGAGACAUUAGCCAAACUAGGGCUACUUGAGGACGUUCAGUACCUGUUUGAGAAGUGUCACCUGGAGACUCUCAUGUCGUACCCGUAUGUUGCUUUCAAGAAGGAAACGAUUCACUUUCUCUCCACACUGCAAGUGGAGCUGUAUCAGGGCAUAACAGAGGAUGAGCUGGAGAGAGAGGGAUUGGAGUUCAUCACGUUUUUAGUGGAAGAGCAGAGCUACCAGUUUUCGAUCCAGCGUUUGGAGGGAUUGCUUGGUUUCCCUAGUGGAAAGGGAACCAAAUUGAAGUUUGAGAGGCAGGAGUUGAAGGAUUUGUGGCUUACCAUCGGGAACGAUAUACUGCUAAACUCUGCGCGGUCCAAAAACAACCAAAUCCGAAGCCCUGUAAUUCGCUACUCCCAGCGUUUUGUAGCGAAUGCUCUUUAUUCGAGAGAGAUUGCAGGCACGGUGCCUAACAUAGACAUGGAGAUGAUAGAUUUGGCGCUCACAGGCAUCCUCCGUCAAACAAAGAGUGGGACAAUUCUGAAAGGUGACCUCAAUGACGCACCUCCAGUGAUGUUUCUCUUGAUCCACUUGUGUGGAUACAAGCAGUGGGCAGUGAACAACAACACAAAGAGAGUGCGAGGAGCACUGUGUGUAGGAGGUGUUGUGACACCAAUUCUUAUAGCUUGUAGAAUGCCCAUCACGUCUGCAGGGUAAUGGAUUUUGAGCAUCUGCGCCGCAUUGAGUUUCUAGAGCAUGGCAUGGUUGGUGAGUUCUAUCGCUACAGGUUCGAGCAUCCAUCGAGCAAAACCGCCAACAUUCUUCUUCCUUGCCCUGAAGCUACGAGUAUACUCGCGGGAGAAAACAACGACUACGAGCCUGCGCUCGAAGAUCUUUAUAUUGAGAUCACUCAACCGAUGGAAGAAGAUGUUCCUUCACCAGAUGUUGUAGAAGAUGAGAUUGAUGACAUGGAUGUGGACAGGGAUGAAGAGUAUGAUAUGAGCAUGUAUCACUUUGGCGAGCAUGUAGCGCCAUCUAGAGAGAGCAAGAGCCUGAGUGAAGCUCACAGAAACAACAGCCUGUUGCAGAAGUGGUGCAAGAAACAAGGUAAGUUCAUCGCCAAAUGCCUGAAGAGUAUCAAGUCUCUAAAGGCUAUGGUAAGCUGCUCCUCCUCCUCCACAGCUAUACCGCAGGGACAACCUCCUCAGGAUAUGCCAUCGAGGAGAUAUGAUGAGCCUGAGCCAAGUCGGCACGGACCUGAGCCAAGUCGGCACGGACCUGAGCCUAGUGAGCAUGGAGUCUCACAUGUCCCUGCGAGACAUUCAUCACACGAGCCUCGGAAACACAAGAGGAGAAAGAAGGCUGCACUUGCUCGCUCCAACAGCACAGCGCGACUUAUCCGCUCCAGGAGAUCACUCGACCGCGGCGCUGGCCGUAGCAGGAGAAAUGUGGUAGAGUACCCACGCGGAGCUGAAGCCAAAACUGAGCAGGGAGAUCCUUCAAUGGCCUGGCAGGAAUCACAGUUGAUGAUCACCUCCACUCCUUCCAAUGAGGUAAGUACCUCACUUCACCAUUGUUCAAUACCAUCUCCUGCUUUUGUUUUUGAUUUUGUGAUGUGUUUUGUCCUGAGUACUCUCUUCCAAAUUUGGUCACACAGAGGGCUGUGUGAUUUAAGUUUGGGGGAGGGCUCAGGAAGUAUGUGAACUGAUGAGUCUUUUCUUUUCUUAUUUUCAAAUUUUUGCAUUGUACAUAACCUUGAGUCUGCAUUCAUAUAUGUCAUUGAAAAAGCCUAAAAAUUUUGAAAAAUUUCUGAAAAUGUAUUCCACAAAAACAGAGUGUUCAUGUAGUUGCAUUACAUUUAGGAUCGAGUCUAGAGCGUUUCAUUUUGGAUUGUUGCAUAUGCAUAGGGGACAAUGAGGAUAUAGCUUUGUAAGCAUGUUGAUUUACUAGAAAAACUCAAUGCCCUCGUUAUUAGUUGUCUGAUGCAUAUGAUUGACUUUGAAGUAAGACCGCACCAUGCUCUAUUAGAACCACUCGAUCGCAUGUCAUGAUACCAUUCCCUAUCAACUUGAACUUGAAUCUGACUUAUAAUUAUCAUGUUUGCAUCGGUUUUGAACUCAUGGAUAGAAUACAUACUUGGAUUUUCUUUCACCUAUUCACCACUCUUGUUAAUCCAAGUAGCUGCUUCCUUCAUUGGAGUAGUUCCCAUACCUAUAACCAACCCUUCUUUCAAGCCUUGUUAUUUCUUGUGUGCAUGUGAGGCCUAUUUCAAGAUUGAGCUUGGUAGAACGUGUUAGGUUUGAGCCGACAAGAGUAGUAUCUCAUGGAGUUCCAUGCCACGUUUUUGGACUUGGUAGGACUAGGUGGGAACUUAUAUGGGGAUUGCUAUUGAGUGUGAAAAGAGAAAAGAAAAUAAACGGGUUAGAUUCUUUAGGAGAAGGAAGCUGAAAUUCAUAUUGAUCUAGUGAAUUGUUUGGGAAGCAUAGAAUUGUUAAGUUAUGCUCUAAAAAAUUGGCAACGAAAACAUAAAAGAAAAAAAUGAUAAGAGCCAUAGAGUUUAAGAAAAACCCACUUCACUAGAUUAAACUCACAGAGUUUAUGAAAAACUUCUCCUUAAAAACAGAGCCAAAAGAAAAGAUGAGUUGAUCCGAGAAAUAAUCGAGAUGCGCCUUUAGUGCAAAAGGGUAGACUUAGGAUCAUCAAUGGGUUUAGAGAUAGGACCAUCUACUUGUUAUUCACCGUUUAUGUCAUUGGGUAGAUGGGAUGCUAUUCUUGUAUGCAUAGGUUGGCGCUUACCUUUAGAAUUCUUCUAAAGCUCAUUCCCUUUUCAUUGAGAGCCCCCUGAUAUUGAAAACUUAACCACCUCAAAGGGACCAUCUUUGUCUCAUAACCCGUCCUUAGCCAAAUGAGUUCCCUAACGAUGCAUUGCUUGAUUCAUGUUUUUGAACUUAAAUGAAUGUUAAAGGGAUUGGUUGAUCUUGACACUUAUUGCAAUCAAGUAUAUGUUUACAUCAUAACAGAGCAUGGCUAAAGUUUUUGAGUCGAAGUGAAUCGCAUCGCAUCUUAGAACUAUUAACUUGGACAUUGAGCUUAUUUACUUUAUCUUCUGCUUUGGUUCUGAGUCCAUAACUUCAAACCUCUCCUUCCUACUAUGUCUUCCUGUUUGCUUGAGGGCAAGCAAAGACUAAGUUUGGGGGAGUUGAUGUGUCUAUAAUUUGCAUGUUUUCUGUAUUCAUUCAUCAUUGUUUUGAGUCUAGUUUCAUAACAUUCAUCACUGUUUUAUAUCAUUCUUCAUCAUUCUUGCAUACUUUGCAUGAUUAGGAUAGGUUUGCAUACAUUUUGCAUUUCUGAGUUGUUUUCAGGUGAUUUGAAGCUGUUGGCGAUCAAAUUGGAAGAAACGACCCGGAAUCAGAAGAGUAUAGUCGACCACAAGGUCGAGUGCCUUCUGGAUCACUUACUCGACCAUGUGGUGAUUGAAAGAAGCCACCAUCUUCUUGGUCUACUCGACCACCCCACUCGACCUUGUGGUCGAGUGACAGCAGCUGUCAACCUCCUCAUUCACUCAACCAGGUCAAUCGAUCACAGCACUCGACCCCGUGGUCGAGUGACGCAGCACCAGGACUCCUGAAGCACUCGACCACGUCACUAUACCAUUCACUCGAUCACAUCUUCAGAGUCUUCUCAAAUCCGCACUCAACCAGACAAGCUGAGCAUAAGGAAGAGAAGAGGAGAAGAAGAAGUGUUUGGAAGCGGUUUUAGAGUUUCACUUGAUCACAAGGCCCAGCUUUGGCCUGUUAUCGCUUUAUGGGCCGAUCGAGUGGAUUCGUGACCCAUCUCUUAUCUUUACUUUGUAUAAAUAAGUCUUCGAGGGUUUUGUCCCGAGACAUCUAGUUUUUGCUUCGAGUUUUCGUUUCUGUUUAACCUAGUUACUCUAUCACUUCGCCGCUUUGUUCCUGCGACUUUGUUUUCACUUUCAAGUAUUUGUUAUUCGAGUUUUUCGUUUGAUCCCUUAUCAUUUCUGUCAUAUGAUGUUUUUAAUUGUUUCGUUAUUGUUGUCUUUGAUUAAGUCUGAGUGUGAACUGUAUUUCUGGGGAUGGGAUAGAGUAGUCGUGGUUGCCUAGGUCGUUUUUAGAUGGUUGAGUUUAGAUUGUGUGAAUCCCUUCAGGAUUAGUUGCGCUUAUUGCUUGUUCCUUUUUGAUCAACUGGAAUAUGAAUCCAGACAUUCCCGCACCCAAAAGGUGUUUGAUGGAAUGUCUGAUCUACUAAUUCCUGAGAUACUCGUCUUUAUCCCAAGGGAUUGGCCGUUUAGAGCGAGUAUUGGCUUUAACAAGUUGAUUCGAUAUUGCCUGCAUAGUUAGAGAUCGCUAAUGGUGAUUAGGUCUAUGUUUAGCUCUGCUUGAGGAUUUGUUGCACGGUAGUGAAUAAAUCUUCUUUCGAACUUGUUGUCUAGGGAUAGCUUCUUUGAAGUUUUGUCAACCAUUUAAAGAGAUUAAGGAGACCACGCUAUUCAAUUACCCAAUCCUUAGGAAUCUCUUAUCUAAUUGAUUUCUCUGUUUUCAUUGCUAUUGAUUUAUUGUUAUUCUUGCCUGUUUUCGCAGUUCUCACCUGUUAUCACCAUUUCACUCGACCACAUUCAGUGUCUGGCAACAGACUGUGUGGUAGAGUGCUUUUGUUGCAGUUUCUGCCUGUUACUGGACUUGUCACUCGAUCACAUCCUGCUCCUGGAAUCAGCCAGUUGUGGUCGAGUGAUUUCUAUAAUUCUGCAUUUUUUCCUGUUUUUUGCAUGAUCACACCUGAUUGGAUUGACAACCUUUAGUACUACCACGACAUGAUAGUGCUUUAGGAUUAAUUGAUCUUAAAAGUCUAUUAUCAGUACGUUCCGCCGAUUAGACGUGGCCGUACCAUCGCCGAUUUUGAUGCACCAACUCGUUAUGCACCGGAUCGAGCAGCUAUCCGACUUCAGCAUCCACAAAGGAGAGACUUUGAGAUUAAACCUCAAAUUAUCUCCCUAGUAAAGCAGAAUCAAUUCCAUGGAUUAUCUACGGAGCAUCCUAUGGAGCAUAUUGAUAGAAGAGAUAUGCAGUACGACAUGAACUAAUGGAGUUACUGAUGAUUUCUUGAAGCUGAAACUUUUUCCGUUUUCUCUAGCCGAUAAGGCUAAUAAAUGGCUUAAGUCGAUGCCUCCUGGAUCGAUGACUUCAUGGGAAGGAUGCAAGGACGCGUUCUUGACAAAAUUCUACACGAAGGGACGAUUAAAUCAGGUAAGGAACAAGAAGAAAAGUUUCCAACAAGGACAUGUCAAAUCAUUCUUUGACGUGUGGGAGCGGUUUAAGGACUACGAACGUGAUUGUCCUCACCAUGGCUUCCCUGAUGGUAAUCUUCUUACGACUUUCUAUAGAGGAAUACAUUCGAAGUACCAACUUUCGCUCGACAUGGCCAGCAAUGGAGACUUUACGACAAAGACCGUCGAAGAAGGACGCGCUUUGAUAGAGAACCUUGCCAUUUCCAAUGACAAUAACUCUACUGAUUUUGAUAGGACCACACGUCCUAAUAACAAUUCUGAGUCCAAGCAAAUCGCCGAGCUUAGGAGAAUGAUGGAUAAUCUUCUCCGCAACCAGCAAUGUGAUGUGCACGCUUGUAACACCACACAAGGAAACAAUGAAGCUUUUUAAGAUUAUGACCAGUCAAACGGUCAAGAAAAGGAAGUUAACUAUAUCGGUAACCAAGGUUUCUACCAGAACCGCGGAUACAAUGGUGGCUUCAACAAUAAUUUUAGAAACGCUUCUAACCUUUCUUACAGGAACCCUAAUGUGGAGAAUCCUCAAGAUCAGUUUUAUCCUCUGGUAAACAAGCCAUUUCAAAACCGAGGUUUUCAAAAUGCCAAUUUUGGUGGCAAUAACUUCCAAUCGAGACCCCAGUUCAGCAACACGAGACCUCCUUUCCCAGCCGGACCAGCCAUAAUGCCGGCACCUCAAGAAAGUAAGAUCGAAAUGAUGUUGCAACAAUUAAUGAACUCGCAUGAUAAACUCGCUAAGGAUAUCAACUCUAAAGUUGAUUUCGGACACCGAGAUCUAAACGUGAAGAUAGAAGGCAUAGCUAGUCACGUGAAGAAACUCGAGGUCCAAGUCGCCCAAACCGCAUAAGCAGUUAGGAGACAACAAGGCGUUUUACCAGGAAGAGCCGAAGAUAAUCUGAAAGGAUACUGCAACGCUAUUACAGCAAACAACCCUAACGUGAAGAGCAAGCCAAUGGAUAUCUUGCCCUUGUUUGACUCUCACGAAGAUGGGGUUCGCAGAACUCAUGAUGUCGCGGAAGAUCAGCCCAGUCGUCCUCUUUUAAGAAGACUUCCUAAAGCUGAAGACCCGGGCCGUUUUGUGUUCCCCUGCUCAAUAACAGGCAUCGAAUUCCCAGACUCUCUUUGUGAUUCUGGUGCUAAUGUUAAUGUUAUGUCUAGGAGUGUUGCAGAGAAGCUAGGAUUGAGAAACCUUUCUCAUUCCAACAUGAGUCUAGUCUUUGGAGAUUCAUCUCUGAAAAUUCCCGAUGGAAUGGUUCAAAACUUACAACUCGUUGUAGGGGACUGCAUUGUUCCUACGGAUUUUCAUGUCUUGAAAAUGGAUGAAAGGGCAGAGAGACCUUUAAUUCUAGGAAGACCUUUUCUCGGUACCGUUGGUGCCGUGCUAGACCAUGCAGACAGAGGAGUAAACUUCAAGCACAUUGAUUAGAGGACUCAAUACUCGCAGAAGCUUAAGGAGAAGUCGAUGCAGAAGAAUCAAUUCUCGAACCAAGAAAUUGAUAAAGGGAAAGCGUUCGCUAACCCAAACGAAGACAAGAAGUCUAAGGCCCAGCCACAGCCUCCAAAAUUCAAACUUUGGAAGGGCAGGAUCAUUGUUCCCCCUGAUCUUGAAGGGAAAACAGAACAAGUCCGAGAAAUGGUGAAUCAUACGAAACGAGUCCUUCUCCAGACCAAGCUGCUUGGAAACAAUAAGGAGAAGAAGCUAGUGUCAGAGGAGCCAAAGGUGCUGCAAGCCAAGGAAGCUACAGGAAGUCCACGUCCCGGAGCAACUUCUUCUAAAGAUUAAACAAAAGGGACCUAAGUCGAGCUAACCGACUUAAAACAAAAGCGCUUGAUAUGUCUAUAAGUUGCAUGUUUUAUACAUCCAUUUAUCACCAUUUUGAAUCUAGUUUCAUUCAUCUUUCAUAGCAUUCAUCAUCAUUUUGCACAUUUUACAUGUUUAAGUGUGUCUAGCAUUAGUCUUGCAUGCAUUUUGCAUUCUGGAGUUGUUUCAGGUGCUUCAGGGCUAUUGGUGUUCAGAAAAAGGAAAAACAGAGCUGAAAGUCACAUUUGGACCAUUCUACUCGAUCACCAGUAGCAGAGAGGGAAGCAGUCAGCUCAGCAGACCAUCAGGACUCUUCUACUCGAUCACCAGUAGCAGAGAGGGAAGCAGUCAGCUCAGCAGGCCAUCCAGUCUACCCUUAUACUCGAUCACAGGGCAGUCCAUCCUAACAGACUACCCUUAUACUCGAUCACAGGGAAGAGAAGGCAGUCCAUCCUGACAGACUACCCUUAUACUCGAUCACAGAGGAGGAGAAGCAGUCCAUCCAGACUGUUAUACUCGAUCACAGAGAAGAGAAGAGGAGAGAAGGAACCACUUGAUCACGCCAUCAACCAUUCUACUCGAUCACCACCUCGACCCUCUGAUCAAUCCGCACUCAACCAGACAACCUGAGCAUAAGAAAGAGAAGAGGAGAGAAGGAACCACUUGAUCGCAGCUUCGAUUAAUGCUCGACCAUGAAGCCCACUUUGAGCCCAUAUACUCGACCUCCACGUUCCAAUGGGCCUGUUAAGCGGACUCGAAGCCCACUUACUUAUCCUUGUCGUUUUUGCUAUAAAUAAGUCUCUAAGGGUUUCCCCUGAGACAUUCAUUUUUUUCAUUCACUUUUCAUUCACGUUUGGGGACUUAGAAACCUAGUAUUGUUUUAGUAGCCGCUUUUGCUUCUGCAACUUUGUAUUUUUCGUUUCUUCUAAGUUAUUGAGAUUUUGCUUUCAUUUCCUUGUUCAUUUCCUUUAAUCUUUAAAGUUAUGCAAUCAUCAAUCGUUUCUGUGUCUUUGAGCUUGUUGUCUGAGUAGUGACUAGGAUUUCUGAGGAUGGGAUAGAGUAGAUGUCAGACUCUUAGUCGAUUCUGAUGGUUAAGUGUAGUUUUAUUGAAUCCCUUCUGGAUUAGUUGUGUUUACUGCUUAUUCCUUUCUGAUCAACUGGAAUUCGAUCAAAAGCAUUCCCGCACCCAAAAGGUGUUCGAUGGAAUGCUUGAUCUACUAAUUCCAGUGAUAAUCGUCUCUAUCCCAAGGGAUUGGCCGUUUAGAGCGGUUAUUGACUUUAACAGUCGGUUAUUAUUGCCUGCAUAGUUAGAUUCCGUUAAUGGGUAUUAGUCUGGGCUAGCUUUGCUUGAGGAUUCGUUGCACGGGAGUGAAUAAGUCUGUUAUUGAACCUGUUGUCUAGGGAUAGCUUCAUUGAGAAUUGUUAACCAUCUGAAUUGAUUAUGGAGUCCACACUAUUCGAUUACCCCAUCCUUAGGAGUUUCUUAUCCAAUUGAUUUAUCUGUCUACUUAAUUGCUUCUGCUUGUUACCUGCUGUUUAAGUUUUUUUAACAAUUUUACUUUGUGACCACUGGUUUACUCGAUCACAGCCUCCCUUCUGGCAGUGAGCCUUGUGAUCGAGUAUAUCAGUUCAUUUCUGCAAAUUUAGUGUUUUCUGCAUCAAUAAGAACAACACCACACAACCACAGUUGACUUCUUCCUCACGUCAACAGUAUCUCAAAAUCACCCUAGUAGCCAACCACAACAAUCAAAACAUUAAUAAAAAACAACUGUUAAAUUCUAGAAAAAUCACAGAAUUGUCAGUCUGAAAGAUAUAACCGUCCACUUUCAAAUCCCACCGUUGAAAACAUUUCUCUACGAGUCCUGAAGCUACCAACAAAAUAUCGUGACGAUCAGACCAAGGGUUCGCUCACAAUCUCUCUUUGAACACACACUGGUCCAAAUCGCGUCUGAAACAGAAGAGCUCACGAAAACAGGGAUAACUCUUAGAAUAUUGACUCGAAUCUAUAACUAGAUAUAAGUCUUACCUACAAUCCCUUAAAAUUUCUUUACCUUUGGAAACGAAUUGAUAUGUCGAAACUCUGUUCUACCAAAACGUGUCUGGUCUGGCUCUCUCUCCUUUCACCAAAGUUUCAGCCUGCCUCUCUCCCUCUUUCCCUCUCUUUCUCACGCCAAACUCCUCUCUCUCUUUUCUCUAAGUGCAGGCAACGACAAUCAAAAAGAGGAGGAGAAUGAGAUUAGGCGUGAACCUAUGAGAAAAUAUUACGGCUUUUGGUUUAAUAAAAUUUAACCAUAAAUUAAUUAAAUCCCUCUUUGGUUUAAUCAAUCACUCCACUACCAUAGUAAACCAUUUAGGAUUGAACCGAUUCCACUCCAAUUUCCGAUAUAAACACAACUAUUUCAUUCUUUUUAGAACACCGAUUCCACCACUUUGCGUCCUCGAAUCUUAGGUCAGUGUCUAUUCUGUAAUAAUUCUAACUAUCACCGUCGCAACGAAUUACUUGUCGGUCAACAUAAUCCGAUCACAAGGUCAAAAACUAACGACCUCCGAGGUUUCCAUUAAAUCACUAUGCUUUAGACUCCCAUCAUAGAUUUAUUGCUCACAACUCACCUCAUACCCCUCCACUCACUACAAGAAAACAGCUGAUUGCCGACUAUGCAUAACGACUAUAGAAGUAGUCGCUUAAUUUUGUGACUGUAUAGCCACUAUUUGGCGACUAUUAUACGACUAUUUGUGAUUAGUCGUUCAUGAGUCGCCAUUUAGCGACUAUAUAACCGAGUCGCUAUCUCAAUCGCCUUUUAGUCGGAAAUCAGUAGCUAUUUAAGUAACCUAAAUCUAUAUACAUAGAUACCAAAUUAAGAUUUUGAAACUUAUAUCCUAACCCUAAAUAUAGACCCUAACCCUUAAAUAAACCCCAAUAACUAAAUCAAACACUAGUUAUAAUUUUUUAAAACUUAAUAUCCCUAUAAUUAAAACUUAUAAUAUAUAACAUUAUCUAUAUAUAUACCUCCAAAAGUUAAAUCACAUAAACUACAAAUAUGAAAUUUUUUAUUCUGUAUCUUAGAAUUAAUUAAGAAAGCAUAAAAACUAAUAAUUAACCAUUAUAUAUUUUUACAAAUAAAAACCAUUUACUUAUAAAUUAAAGUUUCUAAACCAUCAAUACAAUUAUUAUAAACUAUAAAAAUUAAACUUUAUACUCUUAAAAAUUAAAAUUAAAAUUAAAAUUAAAAUAGCGACUAUUUGGCGACAAAUUAGCGACUAUAGUGAAAAUUUUGGGUUUAAUAAAAACCGCGAAACCAAACCCAAAUUUUAAGCCCAAUUCGGCAUGCCCACUCGUUUUCCCUCUGAAGAAAACGCACAAAGGGAAUCAGAAACCCUAAUUUCAUUCUCACUCUCUUCUCCUUCCUCAAUCUCUUCCUCAAUCUCUUCCUUAGUCUCAAAUCGAAUCUCUAAUCAAAUCCCUCAUCGAAACCCUGAUUUCGUUCUACAAAUCGAAUCUCUUCGUCAAUCUCUUCCUCAAAUCUCUUGCUCAUUCUCAAAUCGAUCUAGCCAUGCCUCUAGCUAACAACAAACGUCGAGGCCGCAAGAGAUUAUCCAUUCCAAAUGUGUCUCAGAGGCCAGUCGGUUCCAAACCCAACACAUCGAAAAGAAAAAACCCUUUACCUCCUCAAUACGAGUUCACGCCGGCGCCAGAGGAGCAGAUUCCUCAGCCUGAGUCGCCCCUUGAGCAAGUCCAGCCAGUCCGCGUUUCCCCUCAACUGUCUACGUCAAGAGCUUCUCAUUUCCGGGACUAUCCACCGCCACAAAGGCUUUUCCAGAGCUCGGUGAAUCAACCACGUGAAGACCAUGGGUUGUCUGAACAAGAAGUCCAGCAGGAACAACCUCGACAGCAGGCACAGCCUCGACAGCAACCUUCUCGACAACAACCUUCUCGGGAUCCUAGACAGCAACCUUCUCGACAACAGGAACCUCGACAACAACCUUCUCGGGAUCCUAGACAGCAACCUCCUGAACAAGUGGAUCCUCCAGGAUCUCCACUUCAUCACUCUCAGGCUCAGUCUCAUCCAUCAUCUCAAGGGAAUAAU